GGCCAGAGUGAGAGAUACGGAGAGCAGCUGCAGCCUGUGCGGAGGAGACCCGGAGCCAGCACCCAGCCAUGGCACCAGAGGGUGAGUACCCAGUGCCCUGCUACCCCAGACCCCGGGUACAACAUGCCCCUCAUAGCUCCCUGGCUGCCCCCCUCCUGCAUCACCCACAAUGUACAUCCACCUGCUGGCACUGAGAGAUCUUAGCCUGGACACCUGCUGGCACUGAGAGAUCUUAGCCUGGGCACCUGCUGGCACUGAGAGAUAUUAACCUGGGCACCUGCUGGCACUGAGAGAUCUUAGCCUGGGCACCUGCUGGCACUGAGAGAUCUUAGCCUGGGCACCUGCUGGCACUGAAAGACCUUAGUCUGGGCACCUGCUGGCACUGAGAGAUUUUAACCUGGGCACCUGCUGGCAUUGAGAGAUAUUAACCUGGGCACCUGCUGUCACUGAGAGAUCUUAGCCUGGGCACCUGCUGGCACUGAGAGAUCUUAGCCUGGGCACCUGCUGGCAUUGAGAGACCUUAGUCUGGGCACCUGCUGGCACUGAGAGAUCUUAGCCUGGGCACCUGCUGGCACUGAGAGAUCUUAGUCCUUGCACCUGCUGGCAGUGAGAGGGAAUGGUCUAUUGCACCUGGUGGUAAUUAGAUCAACUGUCCUGGGGCUCCUGCUGGCAUUGAGAAUAACUUGUUGUUGCACCUGCUGGCACUAAGAGUGAAUGGUUUGGGCACCUGGUUGGCUCUGUGUGUGUGGUUUGGGCACUUGUUUGGCACUGUGAGUGUGUGGUUUGGGCGCUUGGUCUGCACUGAGAGUGUGUGGUUUGGGCGCCCGGUUGGCACAGAGAGUGAGUGGUUUGUCCACCUGGUUGGCACCGAGAGUGUGUGGUUUGGGCACUCGGUCUGCACUGAGAGUGUGUGGUUUGGGCACCUGGUUGGCACUGAGAGUGUGUCAUUUGGGCACUCAGUCUGCAGUGAGAGUGAGUGGUUUGUCCACCUGGUUGGCACCGAGAGUGUGUGGUUUGGGCACUCGGUCUGCAGUGAGAGUGAGUGGUUUCAAGCACAUGAUGGCAUUGGAAAUGACUGGUCUGUGAGCAUGCUGGGGCACAGAGAUUAAUUAGUGCCACUGUGUUAGAGAACCUGGGUGGGCAUCUUCCUGCUUUGAGUGAGUGGCAAAAUAAAGCCAUGCGCCCACUGCCCAUGUGUGAUGGGUCCAAUUAGCCAGCCUGGUCGCCGUAUUGAUAGCAGCUGUUAGUGCAUUGAUAAAGCCCUUGGGAUAUUUCGCUGUCAUUUCACGCUGGCACCAUGGCACAGCAUCCAUCACGUUACCCUUCUAGCUCCUAUACAGGUAUGUCACAAUGUAAAGCCCUCUCCCAGUUCCACAUCCCAACACAUAUACCAGAUUACGGUCAUUACUGCGUAUCACAGCCUGGAUCUGUCAUGUAUAAUCAUUUGGAUUGAGAAUCGUAUUAGAUCUCAUUGCGGAAGAAUGUAACAUUUUUCAUUUGUGAUGAACCUGUUUGUCCUUAAAGGGUUAAAAUACAAUAUGAUUAAUAAACAGGUUUUACUAAAUCCAAUAAUCCAUCAAUACAUUGAUACUUUAUAGUAUUGUCAAUAAUCCUGAGAUUUUGGUUUUCUUGCCCCAAGAUACCUAAUUCUAUCUCAGUUCUUCUAGAGUCAGAUAGUCCCUUUUCCAGCCAUAGAAACGUUGCACAUCUGAUGAAUGAGGCUGGGUCCCAAAUUAACCCACUCCCCGCUGUAGACUGCCAUUUCUCUUGGAUUCAGGAUUAUUCAGGUGUUCCCUACCGCCUUGAUUGAUGCAUCCUAUUAGUGGCAAUGAUUCUCUGGUGAGUGGGACGCAGCGCGCAUGCUGCUGUUUGGGAAGUUGGACGAUUCGUGUUUCUCUCUCCAUCUAACUUGCAGCCCCCUUCCUAGGAGUUCUCAGGGAGAUUGGAAAUAAACAGAAUCUUAGCAUUCAGUCACCUCUUACUCUGCCGUUAACUCUUUAACUCCCGCCGCAGGGUUGGAGCUGCUGUGCCGUGUUCUGCAUAGCGCCAGUAGCAGCGAAGGGGUUAAUCGCGACAACUCGCAUUAAUAAUAAUUACAAAGUAAAUAAGGAUGUUUCUUUUUAUUGACAUAUUCAAGCUUGGCUUACGGGGUUUACCUGUAGCUUUUAUUUUCUUUAUUGCAGAAAUAUAUUUAGUUUUUUUUUUGUUUUGUUUCUUAAAUGAAUGGAAGUCAUUAACAUGUUAGCUGCUGGAGGAGUGAGUGGGCUGUUCUGGGAUGCGUCAUGAUGUUAGAUUUGCCAUGGGCUCAGCAUGUUGGAGUCUGAAUGGAAGGAGCCGAAUUGCUCUUGGCGUGUCAGUGGGAAGAAGGGAGCUCGAUCAGGCUCAGAGACCUGAGCUUUUUGUUGCUGAUCUCUAAACUGGAAUUUAAACGCCUUUUAUUACAUAGAGUGGGUUAACCCUUUACCUGCUGCACAGUCAGUAUUCCAGUCUGUCUCUAGUCUCUUUCUAAGAUGGAAUGUGAAGAGAAUGUAGCAUUGGAAAUAGUAGACACUUUGUGUGAUUUGUGUGUUCUGCCUUGUGUUUUUAUAUCUGUUUUUUUUAAACAAUAUUGGUGGCUGGAAGAGUUAAAUAACCCAGUGCUGUUUCUGCAGCAUCCCUGCGCCCCUGUGUACGGUCACGCCAAAUCUCCUUUCCCUUUUGUGUACAGCAAGGUUUUUGUCAAAUGGUGGCGUUCGUAUGAUUUGCAAGGGAAACAGGAGGUACAGCGCUGCGUUAAACUCAUCAGAUGCAAAUGCUAUUUGUCUGUCGCUGGAUCUUGCUUCGUGGUUUUGCCUUUUUCCAUCAGUCUCUGUGAAAAAUGACCAAAGCUCGGUUAUCUCGUGCAGACCUGGAGCCCACGGCAAAUCGACUGAAUAAAUGCUGUGUGUUCCUCUAACAACUCAUGAAAUUGGCGAACGCAGUUAAAAAUUAGCCACCCUCUCAGCUGUACGGUUAGACGCCGUUAAUAUACAUAUCACAUCGGCGAUAAACCUGCAAAGUGAGUCAAUGGACACUUGGAGAGAGAGCGCUCUGAAGGAUAUAUGUUUCUUGUGGGUUGCUCACUGGAUGAGAUACAAUUAGAUGUGACAAGUAGUUUAAAAGCUUGCAGUCCGGGGAGAAAUACCUCUCGUUUCCAGGCUCUGUGCACUGUAUCUACUAAACGCGUGUAAUAUCUCUCUGCAAUAAAACGGAUUGUUAUACAGGGGCAUCUCCCCAAAAUAUGACCAGAAAUUACCUGAUGUCUCAUUCAACUUCCAUUUAGAUGCUCAGAAACAGAAAACUUCUCAGAGUGCAACUGCUUUGGACUCCAACUCCAAGGACGCAGAGCCGUGUACUACCAUUUACCUCUAGCACAUGCCAGUAGAGUAUGAUAGCAAGGGUCGGUUUGAACAAAUAUUUUGACUUUUUAAUAUAAUUUUGGAUCUCAACUUGUUUUGUAUUAAGAAUGGAUGAACAAAUAUAUUGAAUCAAAGCAACAAUCAACGCUUCUCUCCCCAAUGAAAUAUUAGGAAUAAAAUGUUUUCUAGGGGAAAAGUUGUUUUGAAAGGCUAUUAAAUCUUUUUAAGUCAAUUAUUUCAUUUUUCUUUACUUUCUUUUCAGAUGAUUCUUUGAAAGCGCGUUACCCCUCUGUAUAAGGUUACAGUAGUGUUGGGAUUCUGAAUAAUCCAUGUGAGAUAAUAAGACAUCCCUUUCUCUGUGAUUUUAUUUAAUAUUAUACAAUAUAUAGAAUCAGGAGAUAACGCAGAGGAUUAUGGGAUAUAAAAAUCUGAUACCAUCUUUAAACAGAAAGUUUCCGUGUUUGAUUUUUUUAGUAUUACUGCUGAGAUGUAGUAAUUUUUCUUACGUGAGCUAAUCAGUGCUAUUAUUACGCUAAAAAGGGAAUUUAAUACAAACACAUAAAUAGAUUUCUGUGGGCGUUUUGCUCUUUUCAGGGGUUCUGUCGCUGAAGCUUUGCUCCCUCUUGAAAUAUCUGCAGCGUUUAAUGUGCUCUAGUCUGCAGAGGCUAAAACUGGCACCCAGGUUCUAUAUAACAUGUAUGGCCCUGAGACUGGCAUCCAGGCUCUAUAUAACGUGUAUGGCCCUGAGACUGUCACCAGGCAUUAUAUAGUGUGUAUGGCCCUGAGACUGUCACCAGGCAUUAUAUAACGUGUAUGCCCUUGACACUGUCACCAGGCAUUAUAUAACGUGUAUGGCCCUGAGACUGUCACCAGGCAUUAUAUAAUGGGUAUAAUCCUGAGACUGUCACCAGGCAUUAUAUAGCAUGUAUGGCCCUGAGACUGGCAUCCAGGCUCUAUAUAACAUGUAUGGCCCUGAGACUGUCACCAGGCAUUAUAUAGCGUGUAUGGCCCUGAGACUGUCACCAGGCAUUAUAUAACGUGUAUGGCCCUGAAACUGUAACCAGGCAUUAUAUAAUGUGUAUAACCCUGAGACUGUAACCAGGCAUUAUAUAGUGUGUAUGGCCCUGAGACUGUGAGACUGUAACCAGGCAUUAUAUAGCGUGUAUGGCCCUGAGACUGUCACCAGGCAUUAUAUAACGUGUAUGGCCCUGAGACUGUAACCAGGCAUUAUAUAGUGUGUAUAACCCUGAGACUGUAACCAGGCAUUAUAUAGUGUGUAUGGCCCUGAGACUGUCACCAGGCAUUAUAUAGCGUGUAUGGCCCUGAGACUGUCACCAGGCAUUAUAUAAUGUGUAUAACCCUGAGACUGUAACCAGGCAUUAUAUAGCGUGUAUGGCCCUGAGACUGUCACCAGGCAUUAUAUAACGUGUAUGGCCCUGAGACUGUAACCAGGCAUUAUAUAGUGUGUAUGGCCCUGAGACUGUCACCAGGCAUUAUAUAACGUGUAUGGCCCUGAGACUGUAACCAGGCAUUAUAUAGCGUGUAUGGCCCUGAGACUGUCACCAGGCAUUAUAUAACGUGUAUGGCCCUGAGCCUGUCACCAGGCAUUAUAUAGCGUGUAUGGCCCUGAGACUGUCACCAGGCAUUAUAUAGCGUGUAUGGCCCUGAGACUGUCACCAGGCGUUAUAUAGCAUGUAUGGCCCUGAGACUGUCACCAGGCAUUAUAUAGCGUGUAUGGCCCUGAAACUGUCACCAGGCAUUAUAUAGCAUGUAUGGCCCUGACACUGGCAUCCAGGCUCUAUAUAACGUGUAUGGCUCUGACACUGGCACUAGGCAUUAUAUAGCAUGGAUGGCCCUGAGACUGUCACUAGACAUUAUAUAGCAUGGAUGGCCCUGAGACUGUCACCAGGCAUUAUAUAGCAUGGAUGGCCCUGAGACUGUCACCAGGCAUUAUAUAGCAUGUAUGGCCCUGACACUGGCACCCAGGCACUAUAUAACGUGUAUGGCCCUGAGACUGUAACCAGGCAUUAUAAAACGUGUAUGGCCCUGAGCCUGUCACCAGGCAUUAUAUAGCAUGUAUGGCACUGAGACUAUCACCAGGCAUUAUAUAGCGUGUAUGGCCCUAAGACUGUCACCAGGCAUUAAAUAGCAUGUAUGGCCCAGACACUGGCAUCCAGGCUCUAUAUAACGUGUAUGGCCCUGAGACUGUAACCAGGCAUUAUAUAGCGUGUAUGGCCCUGACACUGGCACCCAGGCUCUAUAUAAUGUGUAUGGCCCUGACACUGGCAUCCAGGCUCUAUAUAACAUGUAUGGCCCUGUGACUGUCACCAGGCAUUAUGUAGCAUGGAUGGCCCUAAGACUGUAACCAGGCAUUAUAUAACGUGUAUGGCCCUGAGACUGUCACCAGGCAUUAUAUAGCGUGUAUGGCCCUGAGACUGUAACCAGGCAUUAUAUAACGUGUAUGGCCCUGAGACUAUAACCAGGCAUUAUAUAAUGGGUAUAACCCUGAGACUGUCACCAGGCAUUAUAUAGCAUGUAUGGUACUGACACUGGCAUCCAGGCUCUAUAUAACAUGUAUGGCCCUGUGACUGUCACCAGGCAUUAUGUAGCAUGGAUGGCCCUGAGACUUUCACCAGGCAUUAUAUAGCAUGUAUGGCCCUGACACUGGCACCCAGGCUCUAUAUAACGUGUAUGGCCCUAAGACUGUAACCAGGCAUUAUAUAACGUGUAUGGCCCUGAGACUGUCACCAGGCAUUAUAUAACGUGUAUGGCCCUGAGACUGUCACCAGGCAUUAUAUAACGUGUAUGACCCUGAGACUGUCACCAGGCAUUAUAUAACGUGUAUGGCCCUGAGACUGUCACCAGGCAUUAUAUAACGUGUAUGACCCUGAGACUGUCACCAGGCAUUAAAUAGCAUGUAUGGCCCUGAGACUGUCACCAGGCAUUAUAUAGCAUGUAUGGCCCUGACACUGGCAUCCAGGCUCUAUAUAACGUGUAUGGCCCUGAGACUGUAACCAGGCAUUAUAUAGCAUGUAUGGCCCUGAGACUGUAACCAGGCAUUAUAUAGCGUGUAUGGCCCUGACACUGGCACCCAGGCUCUAUAUAACGUGUAUGGCCCUGACACUGGCACCCAGGCUCUAUAUAACGUGUAUGGCCCUGAGACUGGCACCCAGACAUUACAUGAAAAGAUAUUCUGUAUCAGAGUGUUAAAAAUAGAGCAAUCAGCAGGAGUUUUACAUCGGUUUCCGUGGCCUCUUUUAUGACUUUGUACUAAUACUUUUCUGUGUGUCCCCAUGUGGUGGAACCUACCGCCAAUUUCGUAUACUUUGCCCAUGUUUGUGUGUUUUUCCCUUUUUCCAUUCGGGAGUUAUUAUAUACGAAUGCCAUCUAUUCGUCUCUCGAACGAGGACCACCCCUAUAACCCAUUAGAACGUUUACACCAGCAACUUAAGUGCAAAACCACAAGGGAAGUAAUUAAUGAAUGCUGCCCCUGCCAUCUGGUCUCCGAACGUGGGCAGCGACACUUGAUCGUCAAGUGCCUGGAACUCUUUUCGGCUAGGCACUCACACGAACCCCGGUAAAGAUUAGACUGCUGCCCGUUCUAUUUCCUGACCACCUAUACGAACGAUGUUCGGGAAAUAUGAACUACCGAAUAGGGGGAGCAUUCGUACCUGAAACUAAGAGAUUCCUUUGCAUGCUGUUCGCACAGGAACCCCCGAACAGAGACCGUACAAGGCACCUAUUUCUCUGGAAUUGUUUUGGGCUAGCGCCUCGUGUCCGGACAAUCAAAACUUUACAGAGGUGGCAUCCCAGUUUUACUGAACUGAUCUGAGUUAUAUUUGGAUAUGUUAUACACUCAGAUCAGGGCUAUCCGAGGAUAUGACUUUUGUUGGGUUCCUAGUUAUAGUGGGGCACUUUUGGGGUACUCUAUAUUUUGUAUGGAUUUUCUGUACCUAAGAGAUAAUUGGAUUGUAGGUUGUUCCUCAAGCAAUUAUCUCUCAGGCACAGAGGAUCUUGGGAUUGGAACCACUGUUUUACUGUAUUGGAGACCCCAUGUAGGGGUCUGUGCAUAAAAGACGUGUGUGGCCAGAAUAAAAUCAGUUGACUCCCAAAACUAUGUUUCGUCUGGUUACUGGGGGAAUGGAAGUCUGUGUAUUCUAAUUGUUCCAGAGUGGCUAAAGGAAGGAAUUAGCGAAGGUAACCAGUCGAGUUACCCGUGGUCCGCUACAUCCCAGAGUCCUUAAAAGAGUCAAUGUGGUUUUGUCAAGUAAAAGUAAAUAUAUAUCAACAACAUUAAAACCAGUGAAAGGUGAAGUAAAUAACAUUGAUCAUAUUGGUACAAUGGUGAAUGUCAAGGGGUGAACAGUCAGUUCUUGAAUUCCAUAUGUUGGAAGCAAACAAAAAUGGGCAAGCGAAAAGAUCUGAGUGACUUUGACAAGGGCCAAAUAGUGAUGGCUACACUAGUAGGUCAGAGUAUCUCCAAAAUGAAAAGUCUUGUGGAGUGUUUCCGGUAUGCAGUGGUUAAUACUUACCAAAAGUGGUGCAAGGAAGGAUAAUGGUGUCUCAGCAUCAGGGUCAUGGGCGCCCAAGGCUCAUUGAUGCACGAAGGUUGGCCGUGAUAGAAAGGUAUCAAACACACAGUGCAUCAUUGUUUGCUGUGUUUGGGGCUACAUAGCCGCAGUUCAGUCAGAGUGUCUAUGAUGACCCCUGUGCACAACUGAAAAUGCCUUUAGUGCGUGUGCGUUGUUUACCUGGGGAAGAGAUUGUAGCAGAAUACGCUAUUGGAAGAAGGCAGGGCGUCGGUGGCAGUAUUAUGCUCUGGGCAAUGUUCUACUGGGUCCUAGCGUUCAUGUGGAUGUUACUUUGACAUGUACCACCUACCUAGAGAUUGUUGCAGAACACGUACACCCCUUCAUGGCCAUGGUGUUCCCUGAUGGCAGUGGCCUCUUUCAGCCAGAUAAUGCACCCAGCCACACUGAAAAAAAUGUUCAGGAAUGGUUUGAGGAACAUGACAAAGAGUUCAAGGCAUUGCCUUGGCCUCCAAAUUCCCUAGAUCUCAAUCUGAUUGAGUAUAUGUGGGAUGUGCUGGAACAACAAAUCCAAUCCACAGAAGCCGCACCUCACAACUGCCAAUGUCUUGGUGCCAGAUAGCAUGGGACACGUUCAGAGGUCUUGUGGAGUCCAUGCCUUGACGCAUCAAAGCUGUUUUGUCAGCAUGAAUGAGACCUACACUAUAUUAGGCAGGUGGUUUUAAUAUCGUGGCUGAUCAGUGUAUAUUAUCAGCCAAGAACUCUCUGAGUGGUAGAAACGUGUCAUACUGUGCAAGGAAACAAAAUGUCUCUCAUAUUAUUUUAUAUUUAUUUAAAGGUACACUAUUGUACCCUGAGGGUGCCCCCACCCUCAGGGUCCCCUUCCCUGGGUGCUGAAGGGGUUAAACCCCCUUAUUAAAGGGACAAUAUUAAAGGGACACUAUAGUCAGCAAAUUAACUUCAGCUAAAUAGAAUGGUUUUGGUGUAUAGAUCAUGCCCCUGCAGUCUCACUGCUCAAUUCUCUGCUAAGGAGUUAAUUCACUUUGUUUAUGCAGCCCUAGCCACACCUCCCUGCAUGUGACUUGUACAGCCUUCCUAAACACUUCCUGUGAAGAGUCAUCUAAUGUUUACACUUCCUUUAUUGCACUUUCUGUUUAAUUUAGAAUUUCUUAUUUCCUGCUCUGUUAAUAGCUUGAUGUUCAAUUUGCAGAGUAGUAGAUAAAAACUUGUAAAGUAAGUUGAAAAUGAAACCAUUUUGUUUUCAUGCAGGCUGUGUCAGUCACAGCCAGGGGAGGUAUGGCUAUGGCUGCAUAAACAGAAACAAAGUGAUUUAACUCCUAAAUGGCAGUGAAUUGAGCAGUGAGACUGCAGGGGCAUGACCAAAACUGCUCCAUUAAGAUAAAGUUGAUUUGGUGACUAUAGUGUCCCUUUAAGAGCCUGGCUGAGGUAUAAUUCUUGGUGCCAGACUAUAGGGUUAUUUGCUGAAGUAAGAUUUCAAAGUGAAUUUCAAGGUUAAGGACAGAAUAGCCAAAUCGAGUUUGGCUGCUUUGAAAUUCACGUUGAAUUCUCACCUUAACGAAUAUCCCUGAUAGUGUUUUCAGUAUUUCAGAAAGAGCUGACUCUGAAUUAUAUUUACACCUUGAGUGAGUGAGUAUCAAUUCUGUGGGCAAAGACCUUGUUAAAAAUAAAAUAGUCAGGUUUCUCCUUCUAAAUAAACAUUCUUUAUAUCUGUGUAUGUCUUGACACACUAUUUAUCAAAAACUGAAGCAGAGUGAAGGCAAGAGUGGAAGAAUACUUUGGGAAACUGAUUACGAGAUUGCAGCUCACAGAUGAUCACCAAGCCUGGAUGAAGAUGACUAUCUGAUCAGAUCAAUCUUUAUAUCAACUGAGCUCCUUUGGAACAGGACGGUGUUACCCAGACAGCUUGGCCAAAACCUUGAGGAAGUGUUUGCAGUCCUUGUGGAAUUCAUAGAGAACAUAGAAUGCUCAUGUUGCAAAAGGAGGUCCUAGCUAGGGAUGUGCAUGGGCAAAAAAUUUGGUUCGGAAAUUCGGGUAAGUAAAAAAAUGUGUCUGCUUCGGCAAUUCGGACCAAUGGCAUGCGGUUCGGUUCGUCACUUCGGUAUAAAAUUCAUGCAAAUGUACAUUCGAUACAAAAUUAAUUACACUUUGUCUACUUUGUCUAUCCUAUGUAAUAAUUGGAUAAGGAUGUUUGUCCAAUGCAGUCAUGCGCAGUAGAGACUGCGCAAGACUGCAUGGUACAAAUAUCCCAUACCAGGCGGCGAGGGAGCAAAGUACUUACUGUGCUCUUGCAACACAGCUCCCACGUCCUUCAGGAUCUGCUGGCAGCUGCAAUGUGACGCGUACAGAAUAUGACGUCAUUGCACAAAAGAAAUUAGCUUAUUGGUCAUGAUUCAUGUCAUCAUUCACAUAAUUCUCCCCCCCCCUCUUGUUUAGCCACUUUUCAGAAAUCCGAAUCGCUUCGGCACUUCCGAACUACUUAACUUUUUCACUUUGGGACUUUGGACAUUCGUAAGCAUUCGAAUGUCUGAGUGGCAUUAAAUUCGUACGAAUUUACAUUCGGAACAAAACUAAUCACGCAUGUCUAGUCCUAGCUACAUUGCGUCCCUCACCAACAAUUCCUUUAAAUUGUUAUAUGACCUCACCGGCUUAUUCUUCACAUUUUACAUGAAAUAAUCAUAAAUAAAUUAACAUAGAAUAACUCUGGGCAAUGUCAGAUAAAGGAGAUCACACAUAUAUUCUUCCUCUGGCAUUUCCUCUCUGUUUGUAACACCGAGAGUAAAGACACGUACAGAUACAGAACUCCUUCUAUUGGUCCAUUUUUAGGAAAAGACGUUUGGGAGCUCAUAUUGAUGACUUAUAGUUUUAUGCAAAGGUUUGGACUCUCCGAAUAAAAUAACACAAUUUAAGUAAAAGAAAAUGAACCGGCAGCUCACAGAUACUGCUAUUAAAGCGCCAUAUUUAUUGAGGCAAAUGUUAGUUCGCCAGAAACAUUGACGUUUUGGCCAUAUCGUUAGCCAUUACUAUUUAAAACAAUAUGCAAUGUGUACAAUACAUCGAAAAAUUCUAAUAUGCGAAGGAUGAAAAAUACACAGACAGAGGAAGUAAUACCUUUAACAGUGGCAUACAUUAAAGUGACGGUUCCCAUUAUUACUCCUGGAACACUUUGCAGAGCUACGUGGAGCCAGGGGCCCAUUUUCUGCGUAAAACAUUCCCUUCUUAUUUCCUGCACUGUUCGGCUGCGCGGUGUAUGGUUGCACGGUGUUUGGCCGUGCGGUGUAUGGCAGCACUGUGUUUCGCUGCACAGUGUAUGGCAGCGCGGUGUAUGGCUGCGCGUUGUAUGGCAGCACAGUGUUUGGCCCUGCGAUGUAUGGCAGCGCUGUGUUUGGCAGUGCGGUGUAUGACAGCGCUGUGUUUGGCCCUGCGAUGUAUGGCAGCGCGGUUUUUGGCUGCGCUGUGUUUGGCUGUGCUGUGUAUGGCAGCGCGGUGUUUGCCCAUGCGGUGUAUGGUAGCGCGGUGUAUAGCUGUGCUGUGUUUGGCCCUGCGAUGUAUGGCAGCACUGUGUUUGGCAGUGCAGUGUAUGGCAACGCGGUUUUUGGCUGCGCUGUGUUUGGCUUUGCUGUGUAUGGCAGCGCGGUGUUUGCCCGUGCGGUGUAUGGCAGCGUGGUUUAUAGCUGUGCUGUGUUGGGCCGCAUGGUGUAUGGCAGUGCAGUGUAUAGCUGCGCUGUGUUUGGCAGCGCGGUGUUUGGCCCUGCGAUGUAUAGCAGCGCUGUGUUUGGCAGAGCGGUGUUAGGCCCUGCAAUGUAUGGCAGCGUGGUUUUUGGCUACGCUGUUUGCCCGUGCGGUGUAUGGCAGUGCGGUGUUUGCCCAUGCGGUGUAUAGCUGUGCUGUGUUGGGCCGCACGGUGUAUGGCAGCGCGGUGUAUAGCUGUGUUGGGCCGCACGGUGUAUAGCUGUGCUGUGUUGGGCCGCACGGUGUAUGGCAGCGCAGUGUAUAGCUGUGCUGUGUUGGGCCGCACGGUGUAUGGCAGCGCGGUGUAUAGCUGCGCUGUGUUUGGCUGCGCGGUGUAUCACUGCACAUUUACUCCAGUGUUCCCCAAAUGUUUCUGUAGUUCCUUGUGUACAGGGUUUGGAGGUUGUUGUAGCAGGGUUUUGUUUUGUAUUCCUGUCCACGUUUCAGGUAGUUCUAUUAAUGAUUUUUCUUAGUCUUCCAGACCUGGACUUGACUUCACAGUUCAUCUUCACUCCCAUUUCUUUUCUUUUUUGAAAUUCUUUAUUUGUCAUUUUUGUUUUUCAAAUAUCAUAAAAGUUCAUGGAAUGGUGGUACAGUAAAUGUCAUAGAAUACAGAGUUGGGUAUGGUAGGUUGACAUUGGCUCUCUGUACACAGCACGCCUGUUUAAAGCAGUAUUCACCAUUACAUGUUGCCCUUAUUUAAGAGUGUUCCAGGUGGUAUUGUGGUAUCAUUCUUGUGUGGGAGUGUUAGUUGUGUCUGGCUGUUUGAACUUGCCGUCCGUUCUCGGGUAUAGGGAUUUGAGAGAAGCUCCGUGUAGGGUUUAGUCGCUCUUUAGUCGUGGGUUUCACUCCCAUUUCUUAAUGACAUUCCAAGCAGGACUCAUUGAAUUGUCUUUCUAUAACCUGCCCCUGCUUUGUAAGAGUCCGUUAUCUCUAUUUUCCGCCCUCAGAAAGGUUUUUAGAGACCUGUCUGUGUCAGUUUAAAUGCUUAAAUGGUCAGUGAGUGCGAGCACGGCACCCAGACAGGUCCACAGAGAAUUUAUUAAGCUCUGGAACUGUCUCUGGUGGUCUAACGAGUUCAUUUAGACAAUUACGGUUCUGAGACCUUACAAAGAAAUCCCAGGUGGAUUAACUGAAAGGGCGUCCAUACAUUUAAAUGUGCCACAUUUUUAUUGUUUUUUUUUUAAUAGUUAAACUUCACAAAUUAACAAAAAGUGGGCAUUAAAAUUACCGACUUGGAAUUGAUGCCAUUUUACUGCAGAGGUUGUGUUACCAGCCUUUCAUGUAAAACGGAAGUCAUGCAUUUUUUAAUGGAGGGCAAUAUCCGGCUUUGGUACUCGAUUGCUUGGAGCUUUAUUUUACUGUUUGGUUUUGGGCUGUCAGCUAUUUGUUUGGUUUUCGCAAUGCAGCCACUAGUUUGCAAACUGCUGUCCUCCAUGCGGUCUGGUUCACUGUGGGAGUUCUGGGCUGCUGGCCGCAGUCCGCAGUGGGUCAGCCCUGCUUUGUAUUGACUAAUGAUUUGAUGCCACAAGUUGCCGGCUGAUUACAGAAUCCCUAACUGGACUCCUCGUUCCCAGAGAUAGGCUGUCCUCUGGUUCUAAUGUAGAAUACCAUAAUUCCAAAAGCUUUUUUAGUUUUAGAUGAUAGAUUCCCUUAGAAAUGAAAGUUGGAUAGAAAAAUGCUUUUGUUAUACGUACAAUGCAAAGCAAACAUUUAUGUUUUGAAACGGUUUUAUUUUUGAAGGACUGCAAAGUGUUUUAACCUUUGUUUCAAUUUGCUUGAUGAAUGUGCUUAGUUCUCAAACUAAUUAUAACCCCUUUCUUUAUUUAAUGCUUAACCAAUUUUAAUGCCAGGGUAACGUCACUUGUCUGUGCUGAGUAAAUGCAAAAUACGGGCAGGAGACGGGCAGAACAGAUAACACUGUCUCAUAUACUCACACAGUAAAAUGGCCUUUUUAAUUAACCGUAAUUAGAAAAGAAAUUGUAAAGAUUACCAGGAUCUGACGGGCAGGUUUCCUUUACCUGGGGACACUGUUAAGAAACUGGGCAAUGCAGGGCAGCAGUAAAUUAUAGAAUGUAUAUCCUUCUCCGAUAGUGGCAGUUCCUUAUCUGUUCAUCCCAGGCACUUACAGCAGUAAGGAGUGCAGCCGUUAGACGUAUAAAACAUAAUUCGGUAUCACCCUAUGAGAGGCAAUGGAGUAGAAAAUGAGAAUAUGAGCACGCGUGCGCUAGGGCAAUCCUUCUGAAGUCUUAUAUAUGCAUGCUCCCUCACUGAAUCAGCACGCACAGAACCAUGGGAAUUUAAUUAAUUUGCAUCCUGUGCCCUGGCAUAAGAUAUGAAUAAAAAAAUAAAAAAUAGCACAACCCAUAGCUAUCUUUAGAUUAAAUACGGAGUUGUGGGAACCAGCCGAGAUAAGGAAAUUCUGCCAUUAAUUUAUUUACACCAUCACAAUAUCGUUUUCAUAAGAGCUUCCGAUUAGAAGAAGUAAAACGACCUGAUUUAUUCAGAGCGUGAUCGAAGAUCAUCAGAUUUAUAUAUUGUGUAAUGAAGUGAAAGAGAAAAAGAGAAUUAAACACAUCAGGUUUGUUAAGAAACCAGCAUUUAAGUUGACAUUUCAUUUAAAGGGAGCAGUCACGUCCCAGGAUUUAAAUAUAGAUAUUCCCUGUGAAGUCUUAGAAUAAAAUGAAAUGUAGAAAUCAGCUCCUCUGUAUUUUGACCUAUUCUGUAACUGGGUACCUCUAUCUUGGUUCUCUGCCUGUCAUUGGUGUAAGCUCUGUCCUUUGCACCUGUCAAUCUGCAUACAGGGAGUAUAAAGAGACAUUAGAGUGCGUGCCUUGCCGGUGCCUGAACUGAACUGGGCUAAAAUAUCACUUGCUGUAUUGCAAUAUACAUUUAAAGAAACAUGUAUAUUACAAUACGCGAGCAACGUAAAGGGGCACUAUAGGUACCCAGACCACUUCAUCUCAUUGAGAUCUCAUUGGAGGGUUCAGGGUACAGUGUCCUUGUCCCCUUUUUUAAAAAUUCUUUAUUUUUGAUGUGCAGGUGGUUUCAGGGUAUCGACAUCCGCCACAACAGCGUGUUUCAAGAUUUACAAUAGUUAGGAAGUGGCAUGAAAAUUCGCACAUUUUUAUAUUUGUAUAUCAGGCUUGGUUGAAUGCUAUACUAUGCACAUUUUUAUGUCAUGAGUGUUAGUCGAUUAAACAUCUGUAUAAACUUAUUGCUUUCAGGAAGAGUGGGUCAGUGGCUUAAGUCGGUCACCCCAAGCCCUCAGUAGCAGGAGCCCCUGCGUGUGUAUAAGAUUGAGUGGUCAAGCAGUCUGCCGCGACGUGUGUCUGUGCAGAGCCUCGUGUAGGCGUUUGGUGUAAGAUGUGCCCUCUGGACUGUGUGUGCUUGCGCGGACAUGUCUCUUGCGUGAGGGUAUGGUAGUGGUUGUCGGUGGUAUGAGGAGCGCUAAAGAAGAUGAUAGAGAAAGUAACAACGAUAAUAAUAACCAUGAAAAUGAAAGUAAUAACAGCUCCCAAAUGUUCAGUGUCACCAGCAUAAUUAGGUACACCCGAACACUGUAGUUAAUAAAGGAUAGCUAGCGUCUCUGUGUGUCUCUGAUCUAGCCCAAGACAGUUGGUGUCAGUAUAUAUGGCCUCUCGGCCGCGGCUGGGCCUGGGGUAGUCCCGAUUAAUGGGCCGGUGGGUUGCCUCAUCAUGAGUGUGUUGGGUGAGGUUGGGUUGUAGAUGAUAUGCAAUUCUCUUAGGUCUACUUAGCGUUGUUGUUAGCCAGUGCGGGGGCUGUAUGUCUGCUCGUCUUCCCCUUGUGCAGUGGCUCGCUCCGUGCCUCCUGUGGGGACUUCACUGACCUGUUGCACGUCCACAGUCUCGGGGUGUCAUUUCUGAGGUACCGUUGGGUGGGUGGUGCUGUUUGGUGUGUUGGAGUGGGACGCAGCAUUGUGCCUCGGGCUCCGUCCUCUUAGCUCUUUCAUUAGGUAAGUAGUUCGGUGCAUGGCGCCGGAAGCGAUGGUUGUGGUGCCGCCAUUUGGGCCUACGCCACGGCCUGGUGUGAUAUGGCCUCCGGGUAUGGCUGUGGGGUGAGGACCGGGACCAGGGGGGGGGGACCGGGUCCACACAGAUGCAGUGUGGCUGUCGGGCUACGUUUGGCAGGAUAGCGGAGCGACGGCCAUCCACAUCCGCCAGGAAGGUCCUGCUGGUCAUAGCAGAGAUCUCCCCUCCGGGGGACUAGAACUUCAGGAGCAAGCCUUUCCCUGGUUCCGAUGGCCCCUUCCAUCGAGGGUCGCAGUUUUGGGUGAUGUAAGUACUCAAGAUCGUGGUUUGACAGGCUUAAAAAGCUGAUUUUGCGGGAGCUGAUUUCUCCUGCAACCGCUCGGCGGCCCGGCCCCACCCUCUGUCCUUGUCCCCUUUACCCUGCAAUAUAAUACAUUGUUUUAGAGAAACUGCUAUGUUUUUAUAUUGCAGGGUUAAUACUGCCUCUGGUGGCUAUCUCUCAGAGGGCAAUAUACUGUUAUGUAUACAGCUUUGUAUUUCUAACAGUAUCGUAUUCCUUUAACACAGUUUGUGAGGGAUAUCUGUGUUUUUGUCAAUGAAAAUAAAUAUAUAUUUUAUAAUAUUGAUAGUAGAUCUGUCCUGCUAAUUAAAGAUGGCAUUUUAAGGAAUUCUUCAAUGUGAAAAGGUUGAUGUAUCGUUAAUCUAAGCACUCUGCCUUAAAGAAGUCAUGUAAGUGCCAUAACCUGUACAGCGCACUGAAAUGGUUAUAGUGUUAGGAAUCUCCUUGCUGUGUCCCAAGCUCAGGAUUCGAACCAUUUACAAACCGUUUGAAACUUACAUGGUGCAGUCAGGUGCCUGUCGUGGUCUUUGUAUUUUGAAGAUUAUUCAUUGGCCAAAAAUUUAAGUUUUAUUUAUUUAUUUAUUUAUUACUGGUAUUUAUAAAGCGCAAACAGAUUCCGCAGUUGACCAAAGUCGUGUGUGACAGAACCAUCUGUCUGCUUGGAUUUUUACUACGUUCGUCUGUUUGUUCCCCGUUCGUAUGAAUGGCUGGUUUAGAUAGCCCAGCCAUUCGAAUGACUCUUUUUUCCGAACAAACCUGCCGAACGAUGGCCACCCAAGUGAGGAGUGUGCUGCUGGUUAACGAAGUGAUCCCAAUUAGAACGUUGUGGUUAACCGCAGACACUUCUCAAUUAAACCGAAUUCAGGGUGGUCGUCGUUCGUAUGUCGACCACGAGGCAGCGGCCAUUUUAAAUCAAGCGAACGCCAGCGGUGUUUGGCUCUAUUUCUAUGGAACUGAAAACGGACACUUUUUCUGCCGAACACCGCUGAAACAACGGAACGCCUGGCUGCCUCCACGAAAGCAUGCGAACACCGGCCGUUCGGGAGAUUGAGAGCAUACGAAAAGACUUAACCCAGAUAGCCUUCCCAUGGAGUCAUUCGUAUACCGAAAGACUGUAAGAACUUUGACUCCAUGGCGAUUGAACUAUGUGUGUGGGAUCUGAGCGCUAUUCGCUAAUAAUAUGCACUCAGAUCCAGGCUAUCUGGGGACAUGUAAUACGAAUGGAAAAUGUUCAGUUUUUAUGUAGUUAUAUAUUUUUAUGUCUUUUAUUAUUUUAUGUCUAAGAUGGCGACUGGCUUUGUCCUGGAGUUAAUUGAGUUACUUGGUAAUUAACUCCAGGGCAGAGGGGAGGGAAUCAUAAUGCACUGUGGGUAAAAUCUGUGACUGUGUGUCUGGGAUGUCCCCAGAUCUGUCUGUAAUUUAAGUCUCCCAUUUGGUCCCCUAGGGGAGUGUCCACCAAGUGGGAGACCUGCAUAAAUACGGGCAGGUAGCCCACAGUAAAGCCAGAUUCUGUUUGACCCUGAAUACAGAGCUUCUGUCUCGUUAUUGGGGGGAUUUCUUCUUCGCGUUUAGAGACUGCUGGAUGGAACGAAAGCCGCUUGGUGAAUAUUGCUGUUCGAUGGUUACCAGCAGUUCGUGUAUUGCCGUUCGGGAGUUUGGAGCCGUUCACGGAUCUCGAUCGGGAGAUUGCCGCUUCCCCUGCAUUUGGUUUGUGUGUUACAGAGUAAGCGAACGGAGACUGUACUGCAGCCGGGGAAGGUCUACUAAACGGCGGUUUGGCUUAACGACACUAGAGGUGUCUUAACAUCGUGCAAAAUUUAUAUUGUUGAAAUAAGAGUGUCUGGCUUAGCAUAUCAGUGCACAUUGGAAGGAUCACGAGAACCCAACAGAAACAGGUUAGACAGCGCCAUGGGUCUCAUGCUGCAGUGGUUAUGGUGUCUAGACUAUCCCUUUGUAGUGGUGGCCUUGUUUCCUAUACACCUGUAAUAGACAUUAUGUGAUUGAACCCGUAAUAGUAACUGUCUGUGCUGCAGAAUGGAAUCAUCGUAUAACGAUGGGUGAAAGUGUCACAUUUGAUCACUAAAUAUAUAUUUUAUCUCUUUUAUAAACAUUCAUAUUUGUUUUAUUUAUGAGCCUAUUCAGCUGUUUAGAUCAUUAAUAAAGUCACUCCUGGUCAGACAAGCUCACCAAUAAAAUGUCUCCUGGGCAACUAUGUAUGUCCACCUUUCUCAAGUUCUCAUAGAUUGUAAGCUUACAGGGUCUUCUUUACCUCCAAAUAUCCGCUUUCUAGAAUUAUACUGCGCUGCAGAAAAUGAUUAUUGUUAUUAUCACGCCAUUUAUAUAGCACCAACAGAUUCCGUAGCGCUUUACAAUAUUAUGAGAGAGGGGAUUUAACUAUAAAUUACAAGAAAACUUACAGGAACAAUAGGUUGAAGAGGACCCUGCUCAAACGAGCUUACAGUCUAGAGGAGGUGUGGUGUAAAACACAUUAGGACAGGAAAUAGCAAUCAAAUAAGGUGGGCUGCCCUUUAAGAGAGAGCAAGAGACAGGUAUGUGAGAUAAAGGUUACUCUGGGAAGCCAUAAGCUUUCCUAAAGCGAUGGAUUUUAAGGCACUUUUUAAACGAUUGAAGACUAGGGGAGAGUCUGGCAGUAGGCAGGCUAUUCCAUAGGAAGGGAGCCGCCCGCGAGAAGUCCUGCAAGCGUGAGUUGGCCCUACGGGUGCGAGCAACGGACAGGAGAAGGUCACGGGCAGAGCGGAGGCACAGAGAAAGGGCAUACCUAUUUAUCUGUGAAGAGAAAUAAGAGGGGCUCGAAUUGCUCAGUGCUUUAUUGGUAUGGGUUAGCACAUUGAAUUGACUCCUGUAGGAUACAGGAAGCCAAUGUACGGACUGACAGAGGGGUGAAGUGUGAGAGGACCAACUGGAGAGGAAAAUCAGUCUGGCAGCAGCAUUCAUUACAGACUGUAAAAGGCGCCAUAUGGCUUUUAGAAAGACCAAUUAGGAGUGGAUUACAAUAAUCCAUGCGGGAAAUUACUAGAGCAUGGACAAGCUCCUUGGUAGCAUCUUGUGUAAGAAAGGGGCGGAUGUGGGCUAUGUUUUUAAGAUGGAAUCUACGUGUUUUGGCAACAUACUGGAUGUGAGGCUCAAAGAUGAGGCUAGAAUCAUAUAUGACGCCAAGACAGCGCGAUUGCAAGGAUGGACUUAUGUGGAUACCACUGACUUGAAAGGAGAGCGAAAGAGGAGGAUCAGUGUUCGGAGGAGGGAAGACAAGGAGCUCAGUUUUAGAGAGACUGAGUUUCAGAAAACGGGAGGACAUCCAGUCAGAGAUGGAAGAAAGGUAAGCAGUGACACGUUGCAGGACAGCAGGGAAGAGGUCCCGGGGAGGAGAGAUAUAUCUGGGUGUCAUCAGCGUACAGGUGGUAAUGGAAUCCAAAUGAGGUAAUAAGUUUGCCAAGAGAGGCAGUAUAAAGAGAAAAUAGAAGGGGACCAAGGACAGAGCCUUGGGGUACAUCAACAGAGACAGGACGAGGGGAGGAGGUAUCAUUAGAAAAGGAGACACUAAAUGAGCGUUGGGAGAGAUAAGAGGAAAACCAAGAGAGGACAGAGUCACAGAGACCGAGUUAUUGAAGAGUUUGAAGAAGGAGAACAUGGUCAAUAUUGGCAUUAUAUCACUGCUACUAAUAAUACUGAGUUGUUGAAAAUUCAAACUGCAAACAUUUAUCCAGAAAACCCAUGCUGGAAUAUUUCACCAAUUUGGCUGUUUAGGAUAAAUAUAUAUAAUAUUGUAAAUUAGACACUUUUUCUGAUUUCACUCUUUGAGGAAUAAAUCCCGUGCUGAUAGUUAUUCUACAUUUUGCGGCUUUGCAUUGUAAAAGUUAGUUCCACUUGCCUAGUGACACAUUUUUUCUCAAAAUAAUAAUUCUUGGACUGAAUGAAUUCAGGGAAUAGUUACACAUAAUUUUUCUAAUUUUUUUUUUUUUUUAACUAAACAUUGAGAUACGUGGAUAGAUGUCAGGAGGAGUCGGAGCCCCCACGUGAAUACAUGCAGAUAAUUUAAACACAAGCAGGCUGAGUCACUUAUCUCUGAACUGUAGGAGAUGUAGGUAAAAAUAGCUGGUUUAGAAACAUUCUCCCGCUGAGACAAAGUCACAGUGUGGCUAUCGUUUGCCAUUUGGGUUGCAAUUUGCUAUAGUUUAGGAUUCCAAAAGUGAUACAGAACUAGUGUAGCCAGAGAGUGUGUCAGGUUGCUUAAAUAAAGUGGGGGCUAAGCCCUAACUGGAUAGGAAUAUUGAAACGGAGAAGGGAUCAGAGGCAGAUAAAUAUUAGCACCUCACAAUCCAGACUUUCCCAAGGCUAAAAAACAACCCAAAGGUAAGUAACUAAUAAAACAUAAACGCUAAUAAAUAUAAUAAAUAAAUAAAAUAUAAAUAGAUUUUUGGAGUAUACAUCUCAUAUUUGAUCAUAAAAUGCUAGCCAGCGCGAGGCUAACAAAACCAUCCAAGAAUAAGAAAAAAAGAAAUCGAAUGAGUCAAAUUAAAUACAAAUAAAUAAAAUAAAAAAUGACCAAGCAAGCCGAAGCAGACAGUAACUGCUUUCUGCUUCGGUAGGUAAAUAGAAUUAAACAAAAAAGAGAUACUAACAACUACACUAAACUGUCCCGAUGCACGUUUCGCCAAAUGAUGCCUCUUCCAACGAGCAUCUUGACAGUUUAGUGUAGUGGUUGGCGGAUAGAUUAGGGACGGUUCUCCAGCUUAUUAUGUCUCUAUGGAUAAACCACCACUCUAUGGUUUUAUCACACUUUUAUUUUCAUUUACUUUAAUUUUCUUUUACUAUCAGACAAUUAUGUGGCUGUGGGGGACGGGGCGGGUAGGGUUUAGAUUUUUUUAAGGGGUGCCCACGAAGGCACGUUAGGGAACUACUUGGAGCUACAGGUUAUCCUUAAUCACGAUUUACCUUUCUCCCCUCGAUGUGCUCGAUUUCUCAGGAGUUUAUCUCUCAUAGAUACGUAUUUAUUCUCACUUUUGUUACAUUUGUUCCCACUAAUAGUUAGUAUCUCUUUUUUGUUUAAUUCAAUUUACCUACCGGAGCAGCAUACUGUUACUUUCUGCUUCGGCAAGCUUGAUCGUUUUAUUUUAUUUUAUUUAUUUGUACUUAAUUUGACUCAUUUGAUUUCUAUUUUUCCUCUCUUUUUUCUCAUUAUUGGAUGGUUUUGUUAGCCUGGCGCUGGCUAGCAUUUUAUGAUUAAUUACAAGUUGUAUACUCCAAAAAUCUAUUUCUAUUCUAUUUAUUUAUUAGAGGUAAUGUUUUAUUAGUUACUUACCUUUGGGUCGCUUCCUAGCCUUGGGAAAGUCUGGAUUGUGAGGUGCUAAUAUUUAUCUGCCUCCGAUCCCUUCUCCCUCUCCAUUUCAAUGUAUGGGUUUAGUGACCAGCGACAUUGUGACCACGUUAGGAGUUCACACGAACUCCUAUAAUAAUAUCAAAGUCUGGCCAUGAUACAAUCUUAGUAAGUAAGAUAUAAUUUUCGUUUUUAUGAUGCAUCACUUACCUCACUGAUGGAUGCACUCUAUAAAGUGUCAUCUGCCGAAGGAAAUUGCAGUGUGAUUACGGCUUAAUUCAUUUACUUAGCGCCCCUUCUCUUUGCCUUGACAGUAAAGAUUGUGCUUUUUUUGGCAAACCGCAUAGAAAAGAGAAAAAAAUCAGCAAUAUGAAAAUGUCGAUCCUGACAUUAAAUAAAUAUCUGAAUCCUCACAGUGUGUGCGGAAAGAACAAGAUAACUGCCCGUAACGUCUGAGUGGCAAUCUGCUCGCCGCCGCAAUGGGGUUGGUAGGAAGGAAUUAACUCGGCUAUGAUUGUUGUUCACAAUACACAAUGGCAAGCAUUGAAAGCGCAAAUAAUAGAGGCAUCCUCUUUGCAACUUACGUGUAACAUUUUGAGUGUUGUUUCCAAGUCGUUACGUGAAAUGCAAAGGUAAAAAAAAAAAAAACAAUGGUUCUGUGCGUUUACAGAGUGUGUUCUGCAAUUACUGUGCAUGUGUUUUGCAAGAAAGACACGAUGGCACAGUAUAGAUAGAGAAUUAAAUCCGUACAUCUGUUGUGUGCCAAACAUACAUCAAAUGUUUAGAUAACAUUGUAGCAUCUUAUUGAAGCUGUUUUGGUGCAUAGAUCAUACCCCUGCAGUCUCACUACUCCAUUGGCUGCCAUCUGGGAGUUAAAGGAACACUAUAGACCCCUGUCCUGCAGGGUUAACAAUUUAAUAUAAAAGCAACUAGAGGGAAUUCCACAGAGUAGAGUAAAACGCUGCUAUUUUAGUCAGAUGCUUCUUUAGAGAGACCAUCUGACUGGUGCAGCACGGGAUUUUGCUGUGCAUGCGCACUAAUCUUCCGGAGCUUCCCUAUGGGAAAACGUUGGAUUGACUGAGAUCAUCAAGAUUAAAAGCGGCAGAGCUUUACCGAUGAGACCGGCACUGUGAGGGUGAUGGCAGCCCUUUCACCUAAACAUCAACUAGAGUUUUAGUACAUAUUUAUAUUCCUAAUGCUAUAGUGUUCUUUGAAAUCACUUUGUUCAUGCAACUUUAGUCAAACCUCUCCUGGCUGAGAAUCACACAGCCUUUCUACACACCUCUGGAAAAUAUCACAUUAGUUUAACUUCCUGUAUUGCACAGUCUGUUUAAUUUAGAAUGUAUUAUCUCCUGCUCUGUUACUAUCCUGCAGGAGACUCCUGUAUGUCAUUCAAGGUCAAUUGACAGAGCUGGAGAUAAACAGAAACAACGUGAUUUAACCCCUGAAUGGCAGGCAAUUUAGCAGCGAGACUGCAGGAGCAUGUAGAGUUUCCCUUCAAGUAUUGUCAGCAGGUAAGCCAUGUAUUGGAGCAUGUGGAGUUCCCCUUUAAGUAUUGUCAGCAGGUAAGCCAUGUAUUGGAGCAUGUGGAGUUUCCCUUUAAGUAUUGUCAGCAGGUAAGCCAUGUAUUGGAGCAUGUGGAGUUUCCCUUUAAGUAUUGUCAGCAGGUAAGCCAUGUAUUGGAGCAUGUGGAGUUUCCCUUUAAGUAUUGUCAGCAGGUAAGCCACGAAUUGGAGCAUGAUGGCAUGCACCCAUUGCAAACCCUGCAGUGCUAUGCAUUAUGAAAGUAUAUAGCUCAAACCAAAGUUACUGGAAGCAUGCAGUGUCUGAGAGCCGUCGUCUGGUAGAGGCAAAGUAAAUGUUAUUUAUUUUUUUGUACAAGUAUCUGCCUUUAACCAGUAGUUUCAUUCAUGGAGAGAAAUUAACAAAACCAUUUAGUAAGCUGCUAAAAGCAUGAGUUUAGAUGCGUAUGACCUAGAUGUUGGACCCAUCAGUCAAUGCCAAUUCUGCCAUCAGAACUUAACGGCUGUGGCUUUUAUUGCACAAUGAUUGAUCAUUUAGCAAGCUCUUCUGAAAUGGAUAUUCAGACAUUCUUCAUAUAUAAAUAAAUGAAUUAUAUGAAAUAUUCGUGGAUGCCCCUGAUUCCUGAUUUUCUCAAGAAUGUUCUUUAUAAAAGUAUCAACUAGGAUUAUCCUGCUAACAUUCUAAAGGGUCAGAUUUGGUCCCUUAUUAUGGUUUAUAGCUCUUUAAUUGCCGGCCAAGCAUUCAGGGGAUGUACAUACUGUCCUCAGUAAAUAUGAAUUCUUUCAUUUAAUUCCUUUCAUUCAAUUUGAAAUCUUGAAGCAAUGAUCAUCCUUUCAACACAUCAUGCAUUCUGUGAACAUAGUGACUUUCCUGGAUGGGAAUUUGUGCCAGCUCUAGUCAGCUUACUACAGUGUCCAUUCGGUAUAGUGUCCGAUCGGUAUAGUGUCUGUUUGGUAUAGCGUGCUUUCGAUAUAGUGUGCAUUCGGUAUAGCGUGCAAUCGAUAUAGUGUGCAUUUGGUGUUACGUGCAUUCGGUGUAACGUGUGUUCACUAUAAUUGCAUUCUCUCCAUCUAAGGUCUUUCCAUCUCUCCGUCACCUUUCUCACCACAUUCCCACUUUUCAUGUUGUUAUCUCCCCACCUCCCCAUCUCAUUAUGUCUCCUUUUCCUUGCCGGACCAACAUAACGCACUCAUACAGCUUGUCACGUGUAUUUAUUUUAUAUCCAAAAACAAAUAAAACCUAUUAACAUCGGUCAAUGAGCUGAAAGCAGGAUAAUAAUGCUCUGGAAAUGUGACUGCUGGUACCCACCCUGUUAUUUUGGGUGUAACCCUCGUUUGUUUCUGUGCGAUUGCUGGAAGAAAGAAGGUUUUUGUCAAGUAAUGGUGUAAUGUGUAUAAUCAUGUUCUCCGUUACAGUAUCCUAGUUAAUUCUCUCAUGUUUUGUCUUUUUUUUUUACUUCUUUCUGUUAGUGACCCUGGCGGUAAAUGAUGCCAAUUGAAGAUAAUGAAAGGUUUUUGUGGUUGGAUUCAUCGGUUCCCCGGUUCUUACAACUCCUUGAACUUAAUUAUGAUUCUUAAUGGCCCAAUAAAGAUUAUUAUAGUUCUGCAAUCCUGACAGACCCAGAUCUCCCAGUGAUCUCCACAGACGUUCUAGAAUUCUUUACUGAGUGAAUAACCGUAUGAUUUGGAGUGGGUCAUUUCAUCUGUAACUGUAGAGUAGUAAUAAUUCUCCUGCAAUCCAUCAUGCAGAUCGGGAAAUUGCAUCCGAAUUUCCUGUAGAGAAGGCAGCAUGUCCCCAAAGUAUAGUGAGGAUAGUGAGGAGUGAAUUGCUGUGUAAUUUGGAAGGAACGUGCAAUGCUGAAUGUUUAUUAAUAACUGGUAGAGCUACUUACCUUCUGUGCUGUAUUCUCUGUAAACCUUCAGUAUACCUCCCUCUCCGUUAUCAGAACUUCUGUCACUGGUCCUCGGUGAUACACAGCUUCCCCCUGAUUUUACACUGAUAGAGACAUUUUAACUAGUUAAAGGUUUCUCUAAUCCUUUAUGCAUAGUUGCUUUUUUAGUUUAUAAUGCCCUUCUGGGCACUUGUCGCUUGGUACUCCUUCCCGCUUCUUUUUAUUGAAAAUUUAUUUUAAAAGGACACUAUAGUCACCAAAACAACUUUAGCUUAACCCCUUAAGGACGGAGCCAAAUGUACACGUUGUGAAUGAAACAAAAUGUAAACAAAACCUGGCAUUUGCGCUACAUGUCUGUCCAACCGUAAUUCACCUCUUUCAUAUUAAAUACACCCACCCUUAUUAUAUAUCAUUUUAUUCAGGGGAAACAGGGCUUUCAUUUAAUAUCAAAUAUUUAGCUAUGAAACAUAAUGUAACAUGAAAAAAAUGGGAGAAAAUAAGACAUUUUGUUUUAUUUUUUUAGUUCUACAUGACAUUUUAACGGUCAGUGUCAUAAUACUGUUUGCUUUUACUGCAAUAAAAUACACAUAUUUGUAUUCAGUAAAGUCUCACGUGUAAGACAGUACCCCUAUGUACAGGUUUUAUGGCAUUUUGGGAAGUUACAGGGUCAAAUAUAGCACGUUACAUUUGAAAUUGAAAUUCGCCAGAUUGGUUAUGUUGCCUUUGAGACUGUAUAGUAGCCCAGGAAUGAAAUUUACACCCAUAAUGGCAUACCAUUUGCAAUAGUAGACAACCCAAGGUAUUGUAAAUGGGGUAUGUCCAGUCUUUUUUAGUAGCCAUUUGGUCACAAACACUGGCCAAAGUUAGCGUUAGUAUUUGUUUGUGUGUGAAAAAUACAAAAAACGCCAAUUUUGGCCAGUGUUUGUGACUAAGUGGCUACUAAAAAAGACUGGACAUACCCUGUUUGCAAUACCUUGGGUUGUCUACUAUUGCAAAUGGUAUGCCAUCAUAGGGGUAAUUUUUUUAGGGGUAAUUUUCAUUCUUGGGCUACCAUAGGGUCUCAAAGGCAAUGUAACCAAUCUGGCGAAUUUUAAUGUGAAAAAAAUGAAGCCUUAUAUUUGACGCUGUAACUUUUGAAAACACCAUAAAACCUGUACAUGAGGGGUACUGUUGUACUCGGGAGACUUCGCUGAACACAAAUAUUUGUGUUUCAAAACAGUAAAAAGUAUCACAGCAAUAAUAUUGUCAGUGUAAUGCUGUUUGUGCGUGAAAAAUGCAAAAAACUUCACUUUUACUGGCGAUAUCAUUGUUGUAAUACAUUUUACGGUUUUGAAACACUAAUAUUUGUGUUCAGCGAAGUCUCCCGAGUAGAACAGUACCCCCCAUGUACAGGUUUUAUGGUGUCUUGGAAAGUUAUAGGGUUAAAUAUAGUGCUAGCAAAUUAAAUUCCCUUUUUACUUUCGGCAUGGGUUGUCAGGCAGAUCCCGCUAAUUGUAAUUAAUUAAGAUACCUAAUUAUGUAAAAAUAUUACAUAAAUAUAUAUGUAGAAUUAAUAUAUGUAUAUAUAUAUACGUAUGUGUAUAUAUAUGUAUAUAUCUAUAUAAUUUUUAAAAAAUAUUUUUAUUUAUAUAUAGGUAUAUACAGGGAGUGCAGAAUUAUUAGGCAAGUUGUAUUUUUGAGGAUUGAUUUUAUUAUUGAACAACAACCAUGUUCUCAAUGAACCCAAAAAACUCAUUAAUAUCAAAGCUGAAUAUUUUUGGAAGUAGUUUUUAGUUUGUUUUUAGUUUUAGCUAUGUUAGGGGGAUAUCUGUGUGCAGGUGACUAUUACUGUGCAUAAUUAUUAGGCAACUUAACAAAAAACAAAUAUAUACCCAUUUAAAUUAUUUAUUAUUACCAGUGAAACCAAUAUAACAUCUCAACAUUCACAAAUAUACAUUUCUGACAUUCAAAACAAAACAAAAACAAAUCAGUGACCAAUAUAGCCACCUUUCUUUGCAAGGACACUCAAAAGCCUGCCAUCCAUGGAUUCUGUCAGUGUUUUGAUCUGUUCACCAUCAACAUUGCGUGCAGCAGCAACCACAGCCUCCCAGACACUGUUCACAGAGGUGUACUGUUUUCCCUCCUUGUAAAUCUCACAUUUGAUGAUGGACCACAGGUUCUCAAUGGGGUUCAGAUCAGGUGAACAAGGAGGCCAUGUCAUUAGAUUUUCUUCUUUUAUAUCCUUUCUUGCCAGCCACGCUGUGGAGUACUUGAACGCGUGUGAUGGAGCAUUGUCCUGCAUGAAAAUCAUGUUUUUCUUGAAGGAUGCAGACUUCUUCCUGUACCACUGCUUGAAGAAGGUGUCUUCCAGGAACUGGCAGUAGGACUGGGAGUUGAGCUUGACUCCAUCCUCAACCCUAAAAAGGCCCCACAAGCUCAUCUUUGAUGAUACCAGCCCAAACCAGUACUCCACCUCCACCUUGCUGGCGUCUGAGUCGGACUAGAGCUCUCUGCCCUUUACCAAUCCAGCCACGGGCCCAUCCAUCUGGCCCAUCAAGACUCACUCUCAUUUCAUCAGUCCAUAAAACCCUAGAAAAAUCAGUCUUGAGAUAUUUCUUGGCCCAGUCUUGACGCUUCAGCUUGUGUGUCUUGUUCAGUGGUGGUCGUCUUUCAGCCUUUCUUACCUUGGCCAUGUCUCUGAGUAUUGCACACCUUGUGCUUUUGGGCACUCCAGUGAUGUUGCAGCUCUGAAAUAUGGCCAAACUGGUGGCAAGUGGCAUCGUGGCAGUUGCACGCUUGACUUUUCUCAGUUCAUGGGCAGUUAUUUUGCGCCUUGGUUUUUCCACACGCUUCUUGCGACCCUGUUGACUAUUUUGAAUGAAACGCUUGAUUGUUCGAUGAUCACGCUUCAGAAGCUUUGCAAUUUUAAGAGUGCUGCAUCCCUCUGCAAGAUAUCUCACUAUUUUUGACUUUUCUGAGCCUGUCAAGUCCUUCUUUUGACCCAUUUUGCCAAAGGAAAGAAGUUGCCUAAUAAUUAUGCACACCUGAUAUAGGGUGUUGAUGUCAUUAGACCACACCCCUUCUCAUUAUAGAGAUGCACAUCACCUAAUAUGCUUAAUUGGUAGUAGGCUUUCGAGCCUAUACAGCUUGGAGUAAGACAACAUGCAUAAAGAGGAUGAUGUGGUCAAAAUACUCAUUUGCCUCAUAAUUCUGCACUCCCUGUAUAUAGGGAUAUAUAAGUAUAUAUUUAUGUAUAUAGAUAUAUAUAUUAUUUUGUGCUACGUGUAUUUUGAUAUAUAUAUAUAUAUUAAUUUCACAAUACAGUUAGAACGAAAUAACACACAUCUAUAUAUUUUUUAAUUAUUUAUUUUUAAUUAUUUUUUUAAUUUUAUUUUUUAACGUAUUUACAUUUUAAUUUUUUUUAUAUUAUUUAUAAAUAUAUAUAUAACAAUAAUUAUAUAUAUAUUUAAUCAGUAUCAGUCUACGUGUAAUUUGAUAUUAAUAUAUAUAUAUAAUUAUAUAUAUAUAUUAAUAGUAAAAUACACCUAGAUGGUGUACAUGUGUGUGUAUGUAUAUGUGUAUAUAUAUACUUAGAUCAUAUAUAUCUAAAUAUAUAUUUUAUUUUAUUUUUUUACACCAUUUUUUUUUUAAAUUUUAUUUUCAGCCAGCAGGGGGACCACCUGUCAUUACAGGCAGCCCCCUUGCUGGCAAUACAGAAGCCAGCUAUCCCCGGCCAUGUGAUUGUGGGGUCCUCGCAAGGACCCCACUCUCACAUGGCCGGGGGGCUUCGUGGAGGACGGAAGUGCCGCGGGGGGGCUCCCUGGGAGUCCCCCCCACCGCGAUCGCCGGCGUGGGACCGCCGGCGACCGGGUAAGUACCGAAAGACCGGAGGGCGUACUAUUACACCCGGCGGCGUUUAGAGCCGCCUAUAAUAGGGCGUAAUAGUACGCCCUCCGGUCUGAAGGGGUUAAAUAAGCAGUUCUAGAGUAUAGAUCAUGAUCCUGCAGUCUCGCUGCUCAAAUCUCUGCAAUUUAGGAGUUAAAUCCCUUUUGUUUCUGUCCGUGCAGCAGUAGUCACACCUCCCCUGGCUGUGACUCACACACCAUGCUUUAAAAAAAAAAAAAAAAAAUUGUUUCCAUUUCAAUUAGAUGUACCUUACUUUAAAAGUUCUUAUUGCCUGCUCUCUAAAGUGAACUUUAAUCAUACACAGAAUGCUUCUGUGGGGUUUAGCAAGCUAUCAACAGUGCAGGGGAUAAUACAUUUUUAAUUAAAUAGAAUUUACAAUGAAGGAAGUAUAAACAUUAUCUGACUCUUUACAGGAAGUGUUUAGGAAGGCUGGGCAAGUCACAUGCAGGGAGGAGUGACUAGGGUGCAUAAAUAAAGUGAUUUAACUCCUAAAUGGCAGCGACACUGCAUGGAAAUGAUCUAUACACCAAAACUGCUUCAACAAGAUAAAGUUGUUUUUGUGACUAUAGUGUCCCUUUAAAUAAAAUUAAAAUGUACUUUGAAUUCAGCACUGGUUUACGUUCUCCUCGAUUGUUGGUAUGUCCAAUCCGUCAUCACACCGUAUCACUGCAUAUGUAACAUCAUAUGUAAUGUCAGGUAUCCAGUUCUAAAAUCAACCUCCUACCACGCACUACACUUCAUUACACAAACUACAAAACCUACCACACACGACAUCAUCUACCUCACACUACACUCCUUUUGCAUACUAUACCACUUGUCAUACACUUCCACACUUACCACACUACACCACCUACAUACACUGCAGCUAUUACCAUACUACACUUCCUAUGGCACACUACAUCAUCUACCAUACAAUACACCCCUGUAGCAUGCUACAUCACUCGUCAUACACUGUACCUCCUACCACACUACACUACCUACCAUACUUUACAUCAUUUACCCCACACUACAACCCUACUGCAUACUACCCCACCUAUCAAACACUGCACCUCUUACCACACUACACCACCUACCGCACACCACAUCAUCUACCCCACACUACACCCAUACUGCAUACUACACCACUCGUCAUACACUGUAACUUUUACCACACCAAACCAUCUACAACACACUACAUCAUCUACUGCACACUACACCUCCUACCACAUACUGCACCUCCCAACCCUGCCACACAAAGCACCUCCUAUCGCACAUGACACCCUUUAAAGCACAUUGCCCCCUAGCACCGUACCACACAGUGUACUCUGCACCUCUACAUUGUUCAUAUUACUAUUCUAUAAAUUUGCAGUCCGUUUCACUGGCAAUACACAUUGAAAUAGGCAGAGGUGAGGGGUUUACACAUGUAAUAUAUCAUAUAUACCCGUGUUAUAUUUAUCAUAAUAUAUCAUUAUGGAAGCUGUUAAUCUCACCCUGGCAGGAUAACAUUAUCAAGGCUAUUUGCCAAAGUCAGAAUUCAAACAGAAUGAAUUUUAAAUGGCUGUCACUUUCUGGGGAAUUAUUCCCCAUGAUGACUUGUGGCCUCCUCGUGCCGGGGAAGAUAGUUUUUACUCACCUGAACCUUUCUCCUUCGGCCGUCAUGUUCUUCCUCUUGGUCCAUUUCAUGUUCUGGCGAUUCAUAUAUCAGAGGCCGACGGCAGCGCUGUACUAUCGCGCAUGCACAAGAGUCCAAUACUGGGGUCUAGGGAGGAUCCUGCGUGUCCCUACUUUGCCUUAUCAAUUUUAUCUAUUUUUGGAGAAAUAGAUUGAGAAAGAGGAAAAGAAAAACAGAUUAGGAUUGAGGAAGAGAAGAGGAACAUAUUGAAGUAAGAUAGAUAUUGGGGGACAGUCGCUUUAAGCUGGCUUAAAGAAUUGAAUUCCCACUUUAGUAAUAUAACCUUGUAUCUAAAACUGCAAGAUAAGCAGCCUUGUUUAUCAUGUUUAUCACUUAGCAAGUCACGUGCCGUACUCAGCGUACAGAUUAUUUAUUUUUUACUUUAAGAAUUUAGGUAAUUCUAUUCUGAGCAUUAAUGUACAGACUUGGCUCCAUCAGAUCCAUUGGCUCAUUAUCUUAAUGUCACAUGUGUCAUCCCACAUUACCUAGUGCACAGCUUACCCCAGGCAUUCAGGGGAGAGAGCUGUGCCUACUGCACCCAGAAGAGCCAUCUAAUCAUGCUUCAUUUAAAGGUUUACUUAUAGCUCACAUUAUAUGAAUUGGCAUCCCGAGACAAAUUCACAAGUUACCGCUGUUUUAGAGAACGCGGCUGGCGGGAGCUGCAGGGAGAGACCGUGGAAUGGAAAAUGUUUUCUGAUUGGCUGAGCGAUGUUUUAGAAUCUCUCUAGAAUGGGAAUCGUGGUCAAUGACCAGAAAGUGGUCAUAUAAUAAUUAAACGACCUCCUGUCUGCUGUACGAUGCAAGAAAACUGGGGCUAAUAUAAAACAAUUAAACUCUAGAACAAUUAAACUUAUAUAUAGUGUUAGAAUAUCAUUGCCUCUUUAGCCAUUCUGUCUGGUGAUCAGUUAGUCAGCAUAAUGUACAGAUUUAACAUUUGUAAAUGUAGUGUAGAAUUAUAGCUAGGGGUAAGUCGUAAGGUAGGUAGGAACAACCAAACAGCAAGAUUAAAGAAAUGGAUAGAUAGAUAGAUAGGCUUAUAGAUAGAUUUAUAUAUAAAUUUAUAGAUAGACUGAUAAAGAUAAAUCAAAGAUAGAUUUAGUGAUCGGUUUAUAGAUAGACUGAUAGAUCGAUAGAUUGAUAUAUACAGAUUGAUAGAUAGACUGAUAGAGAUAAAUCGAAAUAUAGAUAGAUAGACUGAUAGAGCGAUAGAUUGAUAUAUACAGAUAGAUAGACUGAUAGAGAUAAAUCGAAAUAUAGAUAUACUGAUAUACAGAUAGAUAGACUGAUAGAGCGAUAGACUGAUAUAUACAGAUAGAUAGAUUUAUAGAUAGACUGAUAGAGAUAGAUAGAUUGGUAGAGAUAGGUCGAAAGAUAGAUAUACUGAUAGAUAUAAAUCGAAAGAUAGAUAUACUGAUAGAUAGAUUUAUAGAUAGAUAGAUUACUCAUUCAGCCAACACUGGGCUACCAGUCACUCGAGAGUGACCCUUGCUCACAUUUAACCAAUAUUUAAACCUCCUCUGCCUUUGGAAGUACUUUAUUUGGCUGAGCCAUAUUAUUCCAGCUAUUUAGCAAUUAAACCAUAAUCUGAUCAAAUCCAUAAUUUAAUCUGCAGAUAUUUGCUGCCGCGGUUCCUCUGGUCGAUUCUGUGAGCGGCUUACUGCCAGGGUCGUCUGAUGAAAUGCACGAUAAACCAAUCUCCACUUGGCGCUUCGAACAUGCGGGUAAUUCAAGCACACGGUCUACUUGUUAUAUAGGGGGAUUUCCUACAUUGGGGGGGGUAAAAAAAAAAGGCAUCACUUUUAGCAGAUAUCUGAAACAGCCUGCAAAUCAAUAACAUGACUUAAGCAGACAUUUGGCCUUUUUAUUUCAUAUAUUCUAAUUGGUGACAUUUUAAAAUAUGACAAAAAGUUCAGUCAUUUAUACUUGGUGCAACAACCAUGGAAGGAGAUAAUCCCACCAUACCUACAGUUUAUAGUAGUAGUUAUGGUACCUCGAGCUAUGGCACCAUACCUUCACUUUCAUUCUGAUAAACUUGUAGGAAUCCCCAUGAUGCAUGACGCAGAGCUUCCACCCUCUUACCAUGUGAAGGAAUAAUACAAUCUAACUCCCUCAUCAUUGAUCGUUGUAGUGAGCAUGCGGAGGGCAUUUUGGCUGCACACAUAGAUUUACAGUACCAUAAGCACUGCAUGACAUGGUGUUUGAAGGGUCCAUCCAUUACACUUCUACGAUUGCAUCACCAACCCCAAUGUCUACUCAAAACCUAACCAGGAUGCAUUGACGUUUAAUACGAUCAUAUUCCUUUUUUCAAAGAGGAAAAUCAUUCUUUAGUGAUAAAAAAAGAGAAUGAAAACAGAAAAUGGCGCCUAUAUCACAAACUCUAAUUUCUUUCCACAUUCAGCAUGUGAGCAAAGUAUAACAUCAAGACCUUUAACUCUGUUACCCGCCGUUAAAGGGAGAAUAAGGGCAAUUUGGAUAAAAUGUAGAAAUAUCAGUGGCUGGAUGCAGUUUAUCUGCAUCUCCCACGCAACCCGGCGAAGUUUGCAACGCAGGUUCUGAAAAGCGGAUUUUAUGCAAAUCAUAUGACAUUCCUCACGGAUUAACAGGAACGAACUGAACAAUUGCUAUCCUGCCUGUCAGUGGCUUUUUGUGUUAUCAUACUGGGUUACAUUGGCACUGCGUUAAUGUCUGUGAAGUCCCUCUAUUCAAUCCAUGACUUCAAUUUAACACAAUAUUGCAAAUGCAGCGGAUACAAAAAAAUAACUGAAUGUAGAUGAGGGACAAGCUAAAGUGAUAAAAAAAAAAAAAGAAAAUCACUUUUCCUUUUUUCUCUAACAGCGAGAACCCUUUUUUUUUAUUAAAAAACAACAAAACUGCAGCUUUUCACGGGAACGCUACGCUACGAUUUAACUAGAGCACAACGUAAACCGGCAGAUCUGUUAUUUCCAGAUAAAUAGACAAGAUGUUCAGAUUGAUAUCUCAAUUGAAAAGACAGAUUUGACUUUGAGAUUGAUGGGGGGAACAAGGAAAUGUUUUAUUAAAUUCUCUGUCUCUACAUCCUUGCUUGCUUUGCAGCCGUUAAAGGGAUAGCGACGUCCCAAAGCAAAUAAAAAUGUGAUAAUGAUGUAUGUGUUUGUAUCCUAAAAAUAUUUAAAGCCAUAUAUCUAUUCAGGGGCAUCAGUGACAUCAUUUUAAAUCUGUUUGAGGUUCUCAGUGAAUUCUUUUUGUAUCUUGGAAUGUGUAGGAUAUAAUCGAUGGGUUUGGCAGUGAGAUCAGCGAGUUAAGAAAAACGUGUAUUUUGAUGUUGGGAUCUCUCUCUCAAACAUUCUUCCAUGAGCCAUCCCUUUUUCUGCCAACAAUAUUUACUUGGCAAAACAUUUUUACACAGGACUGCCUCUUUCCUUCAAGGCAGAAUUUUGAAGAAUAAAUUUUACCUCCUUAAACGAACUCCCUUUCUCUCACUUUACCAUAUAAACUUGGCAAAACCAGUCAGCUCCCCCAAGACGGAGGGUUUGAGAAAUAAUCAUGCAAAUUCUGUAUUUUGUGUGUAUAUAAAUUGAAACAAAAAUAGGAUUUUCAGGACUGCUAUGGAUGUUGAAAUAAUUGGUGCAAAUAUGAAAAUACUCAAAAAAAACAACAAUAUUUUUUGUAGAAAAUGUUGAGCCUACUUGAUGUAACAAGCGAAAGUAAGGAUCACCGGAGAGUGUGGUUAAGGAAGUGAUGCAUGUUGCCCUACACCAGGGUUGUCAAACAUGCGGCCCCCCAGAUGUUGCUGAACUACAACUCCCAUGAUUCCCUGGCUAUCUGUUUCAUUGAAAGAAUCAUGGGAGUUGUAGUUCAGCAACAUCUGGGGGGCCGCAUGUUUGACAACCCUGCCCUACACCAAAGAUGUCAUUGUACGUAGUCUAGAACUGGUGAAAUGUACUGGAUUGCGUUGAUAGAAUGUCCUAUGUUUGUUUUUGGUUUUCCUUACGUACUGUGCAUACAGUGAUUUUUUUUUUUUUUUGAAUUUCAUACAUCAAAGGAUCACCCUCCAGUUAAUUCAGUCUGAUCGUUUGCUUUAACACCUGAAUCAGUCCGGAAAAGUGUCUUUUAAUAUUUUGUGUAUCUGUGAAGUCGUUGUAAAUACUCUCUGCUGUCCGUGAGCACCAUAAAGCUAAUCCUUAGUGAAUGGAGUAUCUUGUGCCAGUUACAUUAUAUCAUAGGCUCUGGUCUGUCCUUUGUAUUAGCUCUACAAUCCUUAUAGUGAGUUAUUUAACGGAGGAGUUGGCAUAAUAGCAAAUACAGAGUUUACUUGUACCUCACUCUCAACCUUUCUUUGAUUACAAUUGUACGAUUCGAAUGGCAAUCAUGUCCUGUACCAACCAACAUGAAAAGUAAAUGUUUCAUUCACUGAUCACAAAGAUGAAAGUGUCAGGAAGUAAAAACAUCCAAACUGUAUUGGGCUUAAAUUUGUUUUCAGAUCCCUUGGCAGAGUACUGUGUACCAUCCUCUUUUGUAGAUAACAGUGUACACAUAUAUAGAUACAGGUGAGCGCGCAUGCAUAAACGUACAUAAUAUAGUUACAAUAUUUCCAUGACCUUAAGCCUAAAGCAGUUCAUAUUGCUUUUCAAACAUUGAGUGGAAAGCAGUGCGCUGGCGUGGAAGCAAGCAAAUUGUAUAUUGAAUUGAAUAUUUACACGGUGAGGAAAAUGGCCCUGCGCAAUGUGUUAACCUGCAAUGUUUGCAAUACACUUCAAAGACUCCAGAGAGACGUGCCAAUGGAGACAUUCAUUCCCCACUUUUAUGUGAGUUCUCCUCGCCACAUGCUUUAUUCUUUAAAGGCUACGUUACGCCUUGAUAUAGAAGGCUUUAUAUGGGAUAGCAGGCUGAGGCAAGCUCACAUACAUACACGUGUGAAAGUGUGGGUCUGUUUGUCACAUUGCUGCAUUCUACAAUCAGACCGCUGGGACAGAGGAGCUCAGACAGUCAGACGGCUGGGACAGAGGGGCACAGAGAGACAGACCGCUGGGACAGAGGGGCAUAGACAGUCAGACUGCUGGGACAGAGGAGCUCAGACAGUCAGACGGCUGGGACAGAGGGGCACAGACAGACAGACCGCUGGGACAGAGGGGCAUAGACAGUCAGACUGCUGGGACAGAGGAGCUCAGACAGUCAGACGGCUGGGACAGAGGGGCACAGACAGACAGACCGCUGGGACAGAGGGGCAUAGACAGUCAGACUGCUGGGACAGAGGAGCUCAGACAGUCAGACGGCUGGGACAGAGGGGCACAGACAGACAGACCGCUGGGACAGAGGGGCACAGACAGACAGACCGCUGGGACAGAGGGGCAUAGACAGACAGACCGCUGGGACAGAGCAGCACAGACAGACAGACCCCUUAGAAAUCAACGCUGUGUUGUUUUUUUUUAGACAAAAUAUAAUUUGGAUUUCAGAUCCAAAAAAUUGAAUGAAAAUACAGGCGGCAUUGCAGCAUGUGCUGAAUGCAUUUUAUAUUGUGCGCAAGCUGUGAGCAGUGCCAGGCAGUAUAUCCUCUGAGGAAACCCCCUCUUAAAUUGCACCACCACCUAAUUGGUCACACGCCGGCACGUUUGGCGGGGGGCACAUGUAAGGGCAAAUAAUAAUCUAUGGGGUGCAAUUGCCCCCCUGUAGUGACGCCCAUACAGGAGUAUGUCCUGCAUAGUUUCACAGAGUUACACUUUGUGUAAAUGCAGUAAACGUCUCAGUCACUAGACGCAGUCUUAACCCCACAAUUUCAAGGUUUGCAGUUAUCUUCGCCUACAAUCUUUUAGAUUGCGGGGUUAAGGGGACAUUGCACCAAGACCACUUCAAUGAGACAAACUGGGUGUCUAUAGUUUCCCUUUAAGCUAUAGAUUUGCUGUCAGUUUUUUCAGCGCAGUAAACAUAUACCAUUUGUAUACCUCCCUGGGUAGAGCAGUUUGUUAGUGAUGGAGAUCCUCUUUAAAUAGCUUCAGCGCUUCACACUUGUCAUUUGUUGAAGGGCUACUUGGCACAAAUUCAUUAAGCUUAAAGUUUGUGGGAAAGUGUCAAAAACACUCUUCACGCCACACAACAAACACAUCAAGAAAAAUGUUCACGUAUGUCAAUUAUUGUGUUAUUCCAGCUCAAGAUACUAUUAUUAUUAUUAUUAUUAUUAUGAUAUUUAUAGAGCGCCGUCAAAUUCCGCAGCUCUUUACAAUGGGUGGACGAACAGACAUGUAGUUGUAACCAGACAAGUUGGACACACAGGAACAGAGGGGUUGAGGGCCCUGCUCAAUGAGCUUACAUGCUAGAGGGAGUGGGGUAAAAUGGCACAAAAAGGUAAGGAUAGUAUUAGACUAAUGACUGUUGCAGAAGAGGAAUCAGUCAGGAGCUAUUAACAGUUUAAGUGUCUUCUUUUGUGAAGAAGUGGGUUUUGUAACGAUUUUUUGAAGGAAUGGAGACUGGGUGAGCAUCUAACGGAGGAGGGAAGCGAGUUCCACAGGAACGGUGCAGCCCUCGAGAAAUCUUGAAGGCGAGCAUCAGAGGUGGGAGUACGGACAGAAGAUAGAUGUAAGUCUUCAGCAGAUCCUAAGGGCCUAGACGGGACAUACUUGUGUAUAAGGGAGGAUAGAUAGGUGGGAGCAGCAUUAUGUAGUGAUUUGGAAGCAAGGACCAGAAUUUUAAAUUGAGCUCUAUAUUUUAUAGGAAGCCAGUGUAGGGAUUGACAGAAGGGUGAGGCAUGAGAGGUGCGGGCGGACAGGAAGAUGAGCCUUGCCGCCGCAUUCAUUAUGGACUGUAACGACGCUAGUUGGGAGCACGUAAGACCACUGAGAAGCGGAUUACAGUAGUCAAGGCGAGAAAGGACAGUGGAAUGGACCAACACCUUAGUCGCAUCUGGCGUUAGGUAGGGGCGGAUGCGCGCAAUGUUUUUUAGAUGGAAAUGACCGGAUUUGAUAGAUUGAACAUGAGGCUUGAAGGAGAGGUCAGAGUCAAAGAGAACACCUAGGCAGCGAGCCUGCGUGGUGGAGCUGAUGGUAGCACCGUUGACUUGGAGGGAAACAGACACAGGAGUAACAACACUUGAGGGAGGAAAGACCAGAAUUUCAGUUUUGGUCAAGUUUAGUUUAAGGAAGUGGGCAGCCAUCCAGCCAGUUAGAAACAGCAGAGAGGCAGUCAGAGACACUAGUCAAGAGGGACGGGGAGAGAUCAGGAGAGGACAGGUAGAUAUAAAGUGUUUGUUUCCACUUUUGAUGUUGACAUGGAUGGGCUUGUUUGUAUACCUACCUGAGCCUCUCUCCAUGACGUUACUAUCUUGUCUCUCAUUGUGGGGCUCACCAUGGGAGCUUCAUCUUAAAUUCAUUCAUAUGAUCUUCAGCAAAACGGGGUCUUCUUUUUGAUAGAUGUGCAGCAGAGCGAGAAAAUGGCUGAUCCCAUCCAAUAUCGCCAGUAAUGACUGAUGGGAAAUUGGAAAAUGGCGGAAGCUCUGCCUAUUGCAGCAUUUUCCCACCAGAGAGACUCUCUCAUAGUACCAGCUCGAAGGUGCACCCUAAAUGGCAGUCACUGGGUUUCACAAAUAUUUGUUAAGUAAAUGGCACGCAAACUAACUAAAACAACAAACUCGCUACUUACAAAUACGCACAGAACACUCCGCAACACACACGUAAAUGGAACCUAAACUAAAGUAACAAUCCCACUAUUUACAAAUAAACACAAAAUCCCAUUAAAUCGCACCCAUAGCAAGACUCCAUUACACACCAAGAACUUUCCAUAACGCAAGCCUCAGCUUUCCCAAUUUUAGGGUCCUGUCCCUCUGUCUGACACAAGGGAGCUUUCCCCCCAUAAAAUAGCAUAAUAAUUAGACAUGUUAAUGCUAGGGCUCUACAUUGCACGCUCAAAUGGUGUUAUCUGCACUGUGGACUGGCCAGAAUGAUUGACAUUCAGCCUUGCGUGCGUUCAUGUGUCUCCUUUGAGUACUGCAGGAGACAGGUGAUGUAAUAACUGUCUGUGUGUUUAUUUAGUUGAAUAAGUCUUUUAUAUAUAUAUAUAUAUAUAUAUAUAUAUAUAUAUAUUUCUUCUUGGGACAAAAAAUGCUCGCCACAUUAAUAUAUGUCUAUAUUAAUGAAAAGUACUAAUACGCAAUCUGACGUUCUUUAUAAAAAAAUAUGCAUUUAUUCUACUUCAACAGCAAACAAUAUUAUACUUAACAAAUGGUAUUUCUUAAAGGAACACUAUAGUCACCUAAACCUACUUUAGCUAAAUAAAGCAGUUUUAGUGUAUAGAUCAUUCCCCUGCAAUUUCUUUUUUUUUUUUUUAUUCUUUAUUUUUGCAACGGUAUGGAGUAGACAAUGCAAAGGGUUUGGCUCGUGCAAGAGCGUUUCAAUAGUCCAUAAACAUGCCAGGUACAUAUGAAGAGUUUUAACAUCUCUACUUUCAUCCGUUGUUGUUGUUGGUGUUAUUGUUUCAACAAGAACAGUAUGUGCAGAAAAACAAAAACAGAUAAUAACUGAACUGUGGGCCGGGAUACCGGUCAUCUCGGUCCAAACGGUCGUGGUCCGGGUGGGGGGAGAGAAGUUGAGGUAGAGUGGAGAGGGGCAAGGGGGGGGGAGGUUACUGCAGUCUAUCGUUCGCGGUUGCGACUCCUUUCUGCUACAUGGUCUUUAUUGGUCUUACUGGUCAUUAUAGGUCUCCCACGGUUCCCACGUCUUAGUAAAAGCUUUGGUUGUGCCCCUAAUUUGGGCCGUGAGUUUGUCCAUUAAGUGGCAUUCUUUGAUUUUAUUGAUCACCAUUGCUACUGAGGGGGUGUCCUGUUGUAGCCAGAUCUGGGCUACCGCUCUCCUGGCCGCUAAGGUUAUUUUGUUAAACAGAUGCUGGUUUGGUUUAGACCAAUUCUCCUGAGGUCUGGCCAGUAGGAACGUCCAUGGGUUCAGUGUCACUGGCCUAUCAAAUAUUUCAUGAAGGUUUGAAUGGCCGUCCAGUAAAUUUUAAUCUUAGGGCAGUGCCACCACAUAUGGGUAUACGUCCCUCUCUCCCCGCAAUUGCGCCAACAGAGGUCUGUGGGUGUUUUUUUCAUGUGGUACAGCUGAACAGGGGUGGUUUACCACCUGAACAUCGUUUUGUAGGCCUGCUCUUGCAUCGUGACGCAAAUAGAGGUUUUAGCAGUGGCCUGCCAUAUGUCCUGCCAGUCUAUCCCCUCUAAUGUUUCCCCAAGGUCGAUUUCCCACUUGUCUGUGUAGUGGAGGGUGCCCCAAUCCCGUGUAGUGGAGCAGAGAUGGGAGUACAAGAGGGAGAUCAAUCCCUUUUGGUAGCGUUCGGCCAGGCAUAUGUUUUCAAAGAAUGUUGGUUUAGCUAGUGCAGCUCUUUUAACAGAUUCUUGGGUAGCAUAGUGUCUUAGCUGGAGGUACCUAAAGAAAUCUGCGGGGGUUAGGGUUGUUCUGGUUUGUAAUUCAGCGAAGGUGAUUAUGUCGUGACCUGUGUAGAGUUGAUGAAUUCUUUGUAGGUCUGCAUUUUCCAGGCCUUUGAAAUCUCUGGGUCUCAUGCCUGGAAUAAAUGCCCUAUUUCUGUAUAUGGGGGUGAGGGGGGAGGACGAUGUUGUUAGUUCGUAUUUUGUGGCAUAUUUGUCCCAGAUGUGAAUCGAAUUUGUAAUAGCUGGGCAGGUAGUCCUUAAGAGUGCUCUGUGCUCUUUCGGGGUCCAUAUGUAAAACUGAGGAAGGUCCGAUUUCAUAAUCAGGGAUUCUAAGUCCACCCAUCUCCUGGUUUCCGGAGGGGUGUGCCACAUCGCUAUUUGUGUUAAGUGGGCUGCAAUGUAGUAGAAAUGUAUGUGUGGUAGGCCUAAUCCCCCUCUGGGCUUGGGGCGAUAUAGAAUGUUACGGGCCACUCUGUGCCUUUUGUUGUGCCAGAUAAAGCGGUCAAUGGCCUGCUGUAAAGGCUUUAAGUCUUGUUUCGUUAUGGGGGUGGGUAAGGCCUGGAAUAGGAAGAGAAUACGGGGUAGAAUGUUCAUCUUUACUGAGUGUAUCCUGCCAAUCCAGGAUAUGGGUUUAUCCGCCCAGGUCUCCAUGUCCGUUAUGAGUUUAGUGAUUAGUGGGGACAGGGCCGCCAUCAGGGGGUGACAACCGUGACAGUUGUCACGGGCCCGGCGGCCCUGGGGGGCCCGGACUGCUCUGGCAGUCCUGGGCCCCACUUUGUUUCUCUGCACACAUAGAUAGUGAAUCUCGCUAUCUAUGUGUGCAGCCGCGGGCCCCCGGCUCCCUGUUACCGCAGAGGGGGGGCCCAGGCAGCACACAGCUUCUCCUCUCUCUCUUCUCAUAACUCUCGCGAGACCCGGUUACCAUGGCAACGCUCCGCGGGUCUCGCGAGAGUUAUUAGAAGAGAGAGGAGGAGGAGAAGCUGCUCCUGUGCUGCCUGGGCCCCCUCUGCGGUAACAGGGAGCCGGGGGGGCCCCCACCGGACCACCACUGAUGGAAUCUCCCCCCUCCCUGGAUACAGGUAAGCAGGGAGGGGGGAGAAACAUUUAAUUAAAUUAAUUAAAAAUUAUGUUAAAACAGAUCACACAUUUACACACACACACACACACUGCAUACACUAACACAACACACACUGCAUACACUAACACACACACACACACACUGCAUACACUAACACACACACACACUGCAUACACUACACACAACACAACACACACACUGCAUACACCAACACACACACACACACACACACUGCAUACACUAACACACACUGCACACCUACACACACACACACACACACACUGCAUACACUAACACACAACACACACACACUGCACUACACCAACACACAACACACACACACUGCAUACACUAACACACAACACACUCUGCAUUCACUACACAUUAACACACUCUGCAUUCACUACACAUUAACACAUUCUGCAUUCACUACACAUUAACACAUUCUGCAUUCACUGCACAUUAACACACACUCUGCAUUCACUGCACAUUAACACACACACUGCAUUCACUGCACUAACACACACACUGCAUUCAUUACACUGACACACUCUGCAUUCACUACACACUAACACACACUCUGCAUUCACUAAACUAUGCAUACACUAUGGAUUCACUAUACUGACACACAAUCACGCAUUCACUACACUAACAUCCUGUAUUCACAGUACACACACUACAUCCACCACACAUUGAAACACUCUGCAUUCACUAUACACAGACACUGCGUCUAAUACACGCACUACAUCCACUAAACACAUUUCAUCUAGUACAUACAAACACUACAUCCACUACACAAACACACACUACAUCACUGUACACACUAUAUCCACUACUCAAACACACUCUGCGUUCACUAUACACACUGCAUCCGCUACACAAACACACACUCUGCAUUCACUGUACAAACAGUAUCUAAUACACACAAACACUACAUCCAUUACACAUAUUCUAAUUCACUUCCACUAUACACACCACAUUCCGUCCUGCAUCAUUGUCAGCGGACCAGGUAGGGCGUGUGCGGGCCCGGGAGGGAGGGAGGGGGGGGGGCCCAAACCUGGUGCUUUGUCAGGGGCCCCAAAAUUUCUGAUGGCGGCCCUGAGUGGGGAGUAGUUAAGUUGGUGUAGCUUCGUGAGAUCUGCCGGUAGUUUUAUGCCGAGGUAGGAGAGGUAGGUCGGUGCCAUGCGUAUGUGAUAGUCUGACGUGAUUUGGGUGGUCUCAUUCUGUGCGAGUAGUAUUGGGAGUGCGCUGGAUUUCUCCAUGUUAACUUUGUCGCCUGAUAUUGCACUAUAGUUUCGCAAGAGGGGCAUCAGUGCGCGCAUGGAGCGGAUGGGGUUAGUUAAUGUGAUGAGAACGUCAUCCGCGUAUGCGGAGACCAGGAACUCUUGGUCUGUUAUCCUUGCCCCCGUAAUUUCGGGGUGUUCUCUGUUCGCCUGUAGAAGGGGUUCGAGUGUUAGUGCAAAAAGUAACGGGGAUAGGGGGCAGCCCUGUCUAGUACCGUUAUAGAUGUUAAAUCGUGGGCUGUUUGAUCCGGUCAGCUGUAUUUGGGCUGUCACGUCUGUGUAUAGCGCCCGUAUUGCCGUGAUGAAGGUGGGGGGUAUGUUUAAGUGGUUUAGUAGUGUGAACAUGUACGGCCAGUUCACCCUGUCGAACGCUUUUUCAGCGUCUAGGGACAGGGCAAUCGCUGGUGUGUUGGUUGUAGUGAGUGUCCAUAUUACGUCUAUGUUCCGUCUGGUAUUUUCAAAUAACUGUCUGCCGGGGAUAAACCCGACCUGGUCUGCGUGGAUGAGUCGCGUGAGAUGCGGGUUUAGUCUUGUCGCCAGUAUUUUAGCAAAGAUUUUACUAUCAUGGUUUAUUAGUGAGAUGGGUCUGUAUGCUUCUGGUAGGGUGUGGUCCUUGUCUGGUUUGGGUAAGAGUAUGAUAUGUGCUUGUGUCAUGUCCUUGGUAGGAGGGGUUCCCUCGAGUAGUUCGCGGAAUAAGGUCUCCAUGUGUGGGAGUAGUACCUCGCGAAAGGUUUUGUAGUAGCUCCCCUCGUAGCCGUCAGGGCCCGGGGCUUUGUUGCUCUUCAAGGAGGAUAUGGCCAUAUUGAUUUCGUCUGUGGUGAUUGGGGCCAAUAAUUCUUCUAUGGCUGCGGUAUGGAGUUUGGGUAGGUUGAGGCGCGCUAAGAAUUCCGAUGUCCUCUGGCAGGCUGUCUGAGUGAGCAUAUGGCCUUGGGGGGUGUGGUUGUAUAGGGCUUCGUAAUAGGAGGUAAAAGUCUGCGCUAUCUCUGUUGGUGUGGUUUUCAUGGUGCCGUCGGGGGCUCGUAUGGAUGUAAUGUGAGGGCGUUGCGUUCUAGGGCGUAGUGUACGGGCGAGUAGUGUGUCCAUUUUAUUCGAUUUGUCGUAGUAUGUCAGUUUAGUCCACGUUAGUGCUCGCGCUGUGUCGUUUAUCAGUAGCUGCCUGAUAGCCAGGCGCGUGUCGUGGAGGUGUUGUAAUGUUUGCGGAUUUGGGUCUGUUUUGUGGCUCUGUUCCGCUUUACGAAGGGAAUCUAGAAGUUGGGUCAGUUUUGGGGUUUUCAAUUUCUUCUUAUGUGUCGCUAUUUUGAUGAGGUGUCCUCGAAUGACGGCUUUGUGCGCUGCCCAAAUUACAGUCAUCGGGACAUCUGGCAUUAGAUUCUCUGUGAAAUAUGUCUGUAGUUGUGUUUGUAUUUCAGUUACAACUAGUGGGUCAUUGAGGAGGGAGGUAUUGAGCUUCCAUGUCCACGGGGUUGGACUAUGUAGGCCUUCCAGAUAGAUGGCUAUGUCUGCGUGGUCUGACCAGGCUAUAGUGCCUAUUUCAGUUUUUUGGGUUUUAGUGAAGCCUAUUUGGUUGGUCAGAAAGAUGUCGAUACGAGAGUAAGUGUCGUGGGGGGCAGAGUAGUAGGUGUAAUCUUUAUGGCUGGGGUGUUGCGCCCUCCACGCGUCUAUGAGACCUGUUUUACGUAUGAAGUCGUUGAGUUGUUUGUCUUGUCCUCCUUUGCCGUGGGAUCUGGCUAGUCCCGGGCGGGAGCUUCUGUCUGCAGCUGGGCAGGGGGUGGCGUUGAGGUCGCCCCCUAGUAUCACCACUCCAUUGGGUAGUGACAGGACUUUAUCUGCCAAUUGGUUCCAGAAUUGUAGGGAUGGGGUGUUGGGAGCGUAAAUGUUGAUUAGAUGUAUGGUUUGUGUGUAGAUUUGGCCCGUCGCUAUGAGGUAUCUGCCCUCUGUGUCGUUGUCUAUGUGGGUGAGGCGUAUAGGGCAUCGUUUAUGAACGAGGAUAGUUACCCCGUUUCGUUUUUGGAAGGCACGGGCUUCUGCUGCCACACGGUAGGAAUGGUCGCGGAGGGAGACCUGGGCGGAUCUAGGUAAGUGCGUCUCCUGUAGGUACGCGAUGUCCGGAUUUAGUCUUUUUAGCUCCCUAAAAAGUGUGCGUCUCUUGCGUGGUGAAUUGAGGCCCUUAACAUUGAGUGAGGAUAUCUUUAGUGCCAUGAUGGUAGGGUGAAGGUGAUUCUUGUGUUGUCUAGCCGUGUGGGGCAUGGCGUGGGGGGCGAUCUACUCCCAUCUCUGCUCCCCCUCCCCUCAGCAGGAGUGGGGUUCCCGUGGGAGAGUAUUGUCGUAGCAAUUAGUGACCAAGGUGAUGGUAAGGAGUGGGUUGAUCUGCAGUUUGGAGAUGUGUAGAAUGGUGUGCGGGGGAAAGAUGGGGGAGGGGGGUAUGAAAUCUGAGGGGGGUACGUGUGAACCCGUCUGGUCUUAUGCCUUGCCAGACUAUGGGGGGGUACUUGGGUCCUUGCCUCCUUCAGGGCUCUUGUCGCCUGAGGGGUCUGGGUCAUGAACCAAGCCACCGAGGGUGACCCCUAUACCAUAAGGAGUGCUGUUGGUAUGAUAUGCCAAGCGUCUCUGUUUUGUGGAGCAUAUUGUGGGUGUGAAUCUCCCGUGUACCGGGGAUGGGGAUGUUAACUGAGGGGGAGGGGUAGGACCUCUUGGAGAAGGUCGGUAGUGAUUCCGCGUUCGAGGUGAUAAGUUGGAGAGGGAGGAUGGGAGGAAAAGGUCCCGUCUCGUUGGGCUCUCAGAGUUGUAUAUGGCCUGCGCAGGGUCCAGUAGGAUCCCUAAGGCGUUCCCGGCCUGGGUUCCAUAUGUACAUGUAGUCUAUUGGCUGGGGUGUAUGAUGGGAGCACCGGAGGGUGGGAAUAGUAGUCUAUUUACCUCACAGUCGAUGGUAGCGCAACGUGGCGCCCGCAAUGGUAUUGCAGAGGUGGGGCUGUCUAUAUAUGGAGCCUUGCUGUGUCUGGCCUGCUCUGAUCCCCCUCCCAAGCAUCUCUGUUCGGACUGUCGUCCCUUCCCUCAACGUAUGUUCUGGUAAUAAGCAAGUGAAUUAAAAGGGGGGCUAAGGGAUGGGGGCUACAUGAGUAGGCGUGAGUUUGGGCCAUUAGCAUACAGUUUGCAUUACAAUUAAACAUUUGCAUACAAUCAAACAUUAACAUCAGGUACUCUGGUGAGACAUCAGGCUGUCCGUAUACGGUGUGUGGCUUUUCUUUCCAGCUGUAUGUCUGGCCUACUGUGUCUCCAGUGUAACCCCUGGUUGUGCUGGAGAGCGUGUCUCGUGUAUAGAUCUUCGUCGUGCUAGUAAGUUAUGUGGGUGGUGUUUCCUUUUUUUUUGUUUUUUUUUUGUUUCUGUAAUAGGGAUGAAUUUCUGUCUGUCAAUCCUAUUGCGUUCCAUUUCUCUAAGUGUGUGUGAGAGGAGCUUGCGUGUGCUGUCUGUGCCCCAAAACCUAUAUACAUGAGUCCAGAAAUAUAUUACAGUUCCGUUGAGAGAUGUUGGGGGCCGCCGUGGCAGAUGCUAGGCUGGCCAUCAGUCCACUUGUGUCCUUCGCAGGUCGGGGUAGCGGCCUUGUUGUUGCAGCUGGAAAUGCUUGUCCCCAGUCCUGGUGCUGAUGUGGUUGGCGGGUGGUCUCAUGGCAGUUGUUGGUCUCAGCGCUGCUCCUUGAUGGGUUGCGAAAUGUUCUCCGGUGGCGUCUUGCAAGUUGCGUUCUGAGUUCUGAGAGUCACUGGUGAAAUUGUCUUGAAGGAGAACGGGUAAGUAAGACGUUGCGGGUGGCAGCUAGGGUGAGUGGUUUUUUUUUUUGGGUGGUUUGUUUUUGCAUUGCUGUUCGUUUGUGCCUUAUUGGCCCGCGGCCAUAUGCCAGUCUCUCGGUAGGGUGCGGAGUGCUGGGAGUGCGGAUGUAGGCAAUCUGAGGUCGUUGGGGGGCGCUAUCCCCAGGUCACGUAGAAACGGUAUAGGAUUUGCUCCUGGCAGGAGAACAUGAGGCCUACCCUGCUUGAAGACCAUCAGUUUGAAGGGGUGGCCCCAUGCAUAUCGCACUGAGUUGUUCCGGAGCAGCUCCGUGACUGGACGCCACUCUUUCCUGCGGUGGAGCGUGAUGGGGGCCAGGUCCUGGAAUAAGGUGAGCGCUGUGUUCUUGUAGGUGAUCGGGGUGUCCCGGGCCCUCCUGAGUACUGCCUCUUUUGUCCGGUAGUGUAAGAAGCGCACUAUGACGUCUCUGGGCCUUGCGGUGUCUUCCCGUCGGGCACGGAGGGCUCUAUGUGCCCUGUCUAAGUGCCAUUGGUCUUCUGGGACGUCUGGGAGGAGAGGCUUGAGGAGGGCAAGUAUUGUUGCUGCGAGCGGGCCCUCAUCAGGCUGUUCAGGUAGGCCUCUUACCCGUAUAUUGUUGCGGCGUGUGCGAUUUGCCAGGUCUGCUUCUGUUGCUUCUACACGCGCGGUAAGCGUGUUAAUAUGGUUUGUUGCUGCGUUAUGUGCCUCUACUGUAGCCUCCACCCGCUGCUCCAGCUCUGUUGUCCGCGCUCCCAGCGAGUGAAUCUCUGCCAUUACCGCUUUGGAGCUGCGUUCUAUCUCCCGGGCCAGAAAAGUUUUCAUUGCCGCCAUCUCUGUUGCAUCUGGGGUGUGCCAGCGUCUGUAGGGGUGGCGGGGGACCCGCAGGUCGUUUUCGGCGCCAUCUUGGGCCUCAUGGCGGCCAUGCCGCGAGGCCGCAAAUAGGUCACGCACUGUAGCUGCCGCAUCGGCAGUUUUUUUGGGCUGCUUCCUGGGCGUCCUCCUGUCCAUCCUCAAUGGUGGGUACAAGUACAGAGGGUAAAUUCACGUUUUCGUGGCGUUUGUUAGCUGUCGGUAGUGGGGUCGGUGAGGAGCGCUAGUGACUCGCGUCCAUCUUGGUUCCCGGUCAAGCCACGCCCCCCUCCCCUGCAAUUUCACUGCUCAAUUCACUGUCAUUUAGGAGUUAAAUCACUUUGUUUCUGUUUAUGCAGCCCUAGCCACACCUCCCCUGGCUAUGAUUGACAGAGCCUGCAUGAAAAAAAAAAACUGGUUUCACUUGCAAACAGAUAUAAUUUACCUUAAAUAAUUGUAUCUCAAUCUCUAAAUUGAACUUUAAUCACAUACAGGAGGCUCUUGCAGGGUCUAGCAAGCUAUUAACAUAGCGGGGGAUAAGAAAAUCUUAAUUAAACAGAACUUGCAAUAAAGAAAGGCUAAAUAGGGCUCUCUUUACAGGAAGUGUUUAUGGAAGGCUGUGCAAGUCACAUGCAGGGAGGUGUGACUAGGGUUCAUUAACAAAGGGAUUUAACUCCUAAAUGGCAGAGGAUUGAGCAGUGAGGCUGCAGGGGCAUGUUCUAUACACCAAAACUGCUUCAUUAAGCUAAAGUUGUUCAGGUGACUAUAGUGUCCCUUUAACGACGUUACAGACAGUCGUCUUUGUAUCAGCAACUCAGGCCAUCAAAGAGGAGAGUAAAACAUAUCGUAGAAGGAAGAGCGCGUGGUCCUUUGUCCUCUGCCCUUCAUAGCCCAAAUUAUGUCAUAAUGUUUAGUUUAGACUCUGGCCAUAUAAGGAAAUUCCCCAAAUAAAGACACCCCAAAUCUCUUAUACAGCAAAUUCCAUAGACCUCAUGGUACAGAAUAGCAAACGCCAUCUGUUCUGUUUAACCCAUUAGACAGCCACACCUUAAUAUGUAUUUGAACAGGAACAUAUAGAAUAUGAAAUAUUGUACAGGUGACCACCUUCAAUAUCUCCUGUAUUCAGUUCUCUGUGCGGUUCCCAUCAAUAUACUAAAUUUGUGUCAAAUGGACUUUGUUAGAAUUAUUUGCUUGUCUUGGUUUACCUGAGCUGCUGAAUAUGUUGGUGCUAUCUAAAUAAUAGUAAUUGAAGAUAACACUCCAUAGUGUUAUGUGCCAGCAUUAAUAGGGUUAAUAGUACCAUGUCACAAGUAAAGGAUUUUAAUAAAAGUAUAAAAAAAACCUGUGGGAGAAGAAUACGAUAAUAUUGAGACAUUGUCACUUGAUAAGAUCACACUAUUUGUAUUUGUCUCUGGUGUUUAUUCAUGUUCAUGUUUUGCUGUGAAUGUCUCCAGGAUGUGUUUUAUAGAGGUGUUAUGUCAUGGUACAUUUUACAUUUUGUACUGGAAGAGUACAAAAAAAACAUUUAAUUGAUUUUUUUACAUGCCUUCAUCUUGUAGUUUAUUGUUGUUUUGUCGUUUGUUUGCCGUACUGUAUCUACUUGUUUUGUGGUGGCGACAACUUUGUCCGAAACUUCUGAAAAAAAAAAACUCCACAGGUAGACAAGAUAUUCCCUUGACUAUUACUUGUCACAAUUGUUAUUAAUUAAAGGGUUACUUCAAGCACCACGACCAGUUAUUUGAAGCGGGAAUGGUGCCUGGACUCUGUGUGUGCUGUAUUUUUUCGUAAAGUUGCAAAUUCUGUAAAUCUUUGAGCGCUCUGAAGUGUGUUUGAACUCUCGCCGCUGCUCAUUAUUACUCUCUUGGGGACAAUGCUAUCAUGCAGUUACUCCUUGAGAUGCACCAGGUAUGGAGUAUUACGGAAAUCCAAGCUUUACCGCAGUUUCUGUCACCGUGGAUUAUGUGUCUGGUGUUUACGCAGCAUUAGACAUUGGAAACACUCACUAAUAGGCAAAUAAAACAUACACAGUGCCAAAAAGACACAAUAAUGUGAAGGUCACAAAACCAUGAACCUUUCAAAAAAUGCUUUGAGAGCUGCAGUAACAUUUAAAAAAGCAUCUCCCAGUAUUCUUUUAUUCAUCCAAAAAUCCCUUUCUAACUAUUUCCAUGAUAUUAGCGGCCCUUGCCUUUAUUCUGUGAGAAUACGCGGUUACUUUCUGCUUUGCUGUCCAGUUUCCUGCUCGGGCGCUGACUUACACGUUUAUUGAUGAAUAGGAUAUGACAGUAGUUAAGGACCAGUUGUUAUAUUUAGAAUGCACAUUUCACUUUGUAUUUUUCUCAAUUUAAUACCAGUUUAGUUCUUUUUUUUUUCCUGCACAGUACUAUGUUUAUUCAAUGAUUUUCUCAUUUUUUUUUUUUUUUGUGAAUAAAAGUUUCAUUUGUUACCAGAGAAAAAUCUGUGGCGUAUACCAAGUGAAUGCAGGUCACAACUGUAACAAUAUUUUUUGAAAAUGUACAAUAUCAGCGCAGUCAGUCACGCAGGGCUGAGCUGUAAUCGUCAAGGAAAAUGAAACUAACAAAACAGUGGGUUCUUCGACACUGAUCAUAAAAUGCCUAUAAACAAAUCGUACAAGUAGCAUACGAUGGUGUCUCGUUCCCAGAAGCCAAUUCAAAUAGCAUGUGCUAUACCCUAACCCGGGGCAAUUGGGCUAGACUAGAGCAAGUGCCCGUAGUCUGUCACCGCCAUGCACGUUAGUUUCUAAUCCCUCGUUCGCCAUUGGUCAGAAAUAAGGGAGUAUGAUUUUUACUCUAUUUACUUCUUAGUCUUUACCAUUUCUGCUGGAAUACUUUUCCUGGCCUCCACCUUCUCCUACAGAAGAAUCACUCUUCGAUAUGAAAAUGCCAUUUUAAACCGGCAUCUCAAAUUCCUGCUCACCAGAUGUUUUCAAACUAUAGCUCCCAUGAUGCUUUGGUAAUCUUUGCUUUCAAAGAAUUCUGGGAGUUAUAGUCCAUCAACAUCUAGUUGGCCAGAAUUUGAGUCCCCUGAUUUAAAGGAAUACUCCAAGCACCAUAAUCACUACAGCACACUGUGUCAUUAGUGUCUUGGUCCCCCCCUUGGUCCAUUCCAUGGAGUCCAAUUGUUUUCUAACAGUUUGACUUCUCAACGAGUGCUGCUCCCCGCCUGCACUACCACAGACCGAGAGCUGGGAAUUUCUAUCAUCUUUACUGAGCUACAUCAGUCAAACCGUUCACAUGGAGUGUUCUUUUAAAGGGACACAGUAGGCACCAUAAUGAUAUUAGGUCAUCAUUCUGCCAAUAACCAUUGAAUUCGGAAGCCCCCUGAAAUCGCUGAGCUACCACAAGUACUCAAACUGAAAAACAAAGACAUUCCCCUCGUUGAGCUCGGGUCGAACCUGGGGUGUCCAGUCCAUCGGCUUCAUCAUGGGUGGAUGCAUGUGGGGUACAGGCAUUCUGUGACAUCAGAGCUGGGAGUGCCAGUGGUGGGGGGAGGGGCAAAGAUGAAUUUAACAUACCUGAACCUGCCCCUCGUGUGCACUAUCAUCUUCUGGCAGACCUUCUUCUGCUCCUGGCGUUUCAGAGCCAGGAACCACGUCAUUGUUGUACUCUCGCACGUGCAUUGAGGUCCAAUGACACAGCAGGAUCCUUUAUAGGUAGCCCCAAUGUAGGGAAUAUCGUCUCCUUGUCACAUUUUAAAUCCUUGUGAUUUCAUGUUUACAUUACACUGACCAUUUCAUGUUUUGCUUGUUAUUUUUUACUGUUCCUUUAAUUGUAAUUAACAGGCCGUGCUUUUUAAAAUCACGUUACUUUUAUAAACCGUGUUUAGCCAUAAUUAUUGAAUGAACUCAUUACGUGCCAGUGCUGUAUGUACAGAGCAGGACAUUCCCAUACUGAAUCCUUUAGCUGCCGCUGUGUGCAAUGCUCCCCCAGUUCACUCGUUUGCCUUUUAAUAUCACACUAGAAUAAUCAAUCAGUCAGGCCUAUUGUAUUUUUAGCCAUAUUUGUGUUUAUUCAUGUUAAAUUAGUGUGGUGCGCAGGGAGAAUAUUACUGAGCUCCUCUAAAUGGAAGGUUUAGGCUUGUGACGGCAAUGAGGGGUCAUGGUGCAGGAUAGAGGGGUGAUAGGGCUGGAAAAACCUUAAAGAGGAGAUUGAGGGAAUGAAUCUGAUACAUAAGGUUUAAGAAGCAGCAAGGCUUGAAGGAGAAAUGAACGCUUUUGUAGUGAGAGCAGAAUAUAAUAGGAAGCCAGCAGAGAGUUCUCCAGAUGUGAGGCCGAUUGAAAUCUUAGAGUCCAGACUGAAUUUUUAAUAGAUUGAAUUGAGAGAAUGCUGGGAGUCCGAGGGUGCGUGGAGAACGGCUUGGCAGUAGUACAGACAGGAGCAGACGAGGGCAAUGUAUUUUCAUUUCAGAUGGAGAGCAUGUGUGUAAAAAGGAAGCUUCUAAAUUAUUAGUGUUGCAGAGAAUGGAAAAGGUAGAUAUAGUAAUCACAUUAAUAAAAUACUAAAAGGUUUGAUUUGUGAAACGUUAGAUACUAACGCAUCGCUGACAGAUAUCGGCAAAUUUUGCAUUGAUUUGGAUUGGAUUUUAAACCGCUCGAUCUGUGACUUAUUGAUCUUGAUAUUGAGCAGCGGUGUGUGCCUGUGUUACGAGAGGUUCGUUGUCAGAGCGUGAUUAUUGUUUAUGGCGCUGGAAUGUGAAUUAAGAGGCCAGCCGUCUGAAUAAACACCUUGUAUAUAUUUUACCUGCUUCUCCUUGUCUGCGUCAGCUUUUAGCUUCAAUUGUAUAUUAAAUUGGUCCAUAGUGUGUAAUGCCAGAUUACUGCCAAGACCGGUGAGAACAUUUAUGGCGCACACUUUCAGUUGCUGUUACAAGGAUUACAGGGAUAUUGUACUGACAUCCCUGCAACAUGUUUUCAUUUUCUCCACACCUCUGGAGCUCUUUAACUUGCAGACAUACUUUAUUUGUGAGGAGUGCGUCCUCUUUUUUUUUUUUCAUUUUGCAAAAUUCAAUAUUCAGAUUUCAAUAGAAAUUGGCACUUUUAGUAUUUAACCUUGUUUCACCAACCAACGGCUGUCAAUCAGACAACUGGUCCUGUUACUUCCUGGUUUGUUUAGCUCAGUGGAGAUAAAUGUAAGAGGCAGCAAUUGCCCAGAGCACCUGCCUUGCAAAGACUUGUCAUUGAGAUGCAUUGGGAAGUCUGUGAUUGGACAGCCACAGAAAGUCUGGGCAGGAUUAGAAGGGGAGGGCUUGUAAAGGCUGCAGAUAAGAGAUCUGCAGCUUUUGUAAGCUGUUUUCAGAUUAUACCCCAAUGAAAAAACUAAUAAUUUAAUGCAUGUUUUCAAUGAGUAUAUAUAUAUAUACUAAACAGGGAUUGGAAGGGGCUGUGGGGGGUUGAGAAGGGAUCAGUGGAUGGCACACUCAUUUAUAGUUUCUUUAAAUAAAUAACUUUCAAAUUAUGGCCUUUUUUAUAUUUUUGGAUAAACUUUUCAAAUUAUUUGAUAUUUUUGUGUAAACUUUUAAAAUAAUUCUUCCAAUAUAUAUAUAUUUUCCAAAUAUUAAAUCAUCUUAAAAUAUCAAAUCGUUUGAAAAGUUAAUCCAAAAAUAUUCAUUUAAGGCCAAAAUUUUAUAUGGUUUUCCUCUAACCAAACCAAAUGCUUUUUUUUUUGCUUUUUUUUUAUAGGUUUCGCUGAAAUUCUUACUGAAAGCUUGUUGGUAUGGAGGCAGACAUCUUGAAUUCCGAAAUAACUUGGAGUACUUUUUUCGAAGCAUUGGUGAACAUUACUGAUAAAAACGGACUGUAAAGAGCCUGUAAUGUCAGCAGCCAAUCGGCGUCUGUGAUCAUCUGAAUCUACAAGCUUCCGGCUGUCCAAUAGGUUAUUAAAAGGUAAUUUGACAUUACUGAUGAUGCCAAAUACCCACUGAAACAGGAAUCUUUUAUUUCAAAAGUAACAACAACGCAAAGUAUCAGCAAGGUUUAAAGUGAUGCAUGAAAAUAGUUUGAUGACAGAUGCAAAUUACUGUGAUUUUCCUAUUUAUGGGAAUUAUUUAUUUUUUGCAUAGUUAAAGAAAAUGUAAUUUCAUAAAUGUCAGCUUACUUUUCCCGUGUAUUCUAUCCCUGCUCAAGCUUACCUCUUAACAUAUUCCCAAACCGAGUCCCCUUUGAAGUCAGUGUAGAUUUGGGUCUUACAACCUUAUACCUAAUGAUAUCAGAUGGACAUGGUAUUCAGAAACAGAUCUGCAGAAAAACAAAGAAGAUUUGUCAUUUAAAAUGGUGAUUCCAGGAGACUGCAGGCCAUGUUAGGAUACAUGACUUCUUGGACAACCACAAUAAGUCGAUUCUCCCAUUUCUGCGAGUUCCAAUUUCUGACCUCGAUGUUCCUUUCCUUGCAUACCUCCAGACCCGCAAUUUGAUUUGCACUUCCUUCCACAUUGCAGCUCCCCGGAUUGGGAGCAUACCAUUAAUUGUUUACUCCAUUACACCAUUCCUUCGUACUCCGUUAGUUCCCUCUAUUCCCUGAUCCGGACUCACUUGGAUUAUUUAACAAUUGGAUUACUUAACAAAGCGUUUGGGUUUUUCUGCUUCCCUACAUAGACCCCUGUGUGCUCAUAGCAGCCACUGUUAACUUAAACUACUUCCAGUUGCAUCAUUAUCAGGAGAUGCGUUUGAAAGUUGCACACCAUGCCUACUGUUCGCCUAAAAAAUGGUUUUCUUUAAAAACUGAGAUAUACAGCUAAAUGUUUGAUGUGCAGGACCGACAGAGCAGACCUUUACCAUCAUUGGGGGUGCUAUCAAAACAAUCCAGUCAUAUUCCCAAAUUAGCCCAUAUGAUUCUGGUUACUGCUUGUUAAUGUAUAUUGGAUCAUUCCCUCGACUCCUCUGUUAUCACUGCUUCAUAGCAAAGUCUACUUUUUAUUUAAAAUGGCUUGGCUUGAAGCUUCAUUGCACAAGAGUAGUUUCACAAAAAGAGUUUCUCUAAGCUGACAGCAUUUCAAUAACUCUUUGGAUAGAUCUCUCCAGUCCAAAAUGAAAUCUACUUUUGAAUUAAUGGACUUGUACCUUGCUGGGGUUAUAGCGGGUCAACCCCCUAUGACAUAAUGAUGUGCUGGGACACUCUUGUUUACCACCCACCCAUGUUACUUUGGCUUUAUUUAUGUUAAAGGACCACUCUAGGCACCCAGACCACUUUAGCUUAAUGAAGUGGUCUGGGUGCCAGGUCCCUCUAGGGUUAACCCUUUUUUUUUAAUAAACAUAGCAGUUUCAGAGAAACUGCUAUGUUUAUAAAUGGGUUAAUCCAGCCUCUAAAGCCUCUAGUGGCUGUCUCAUUGACAGCCGCUAGAGGCGCUUGCGUGCUUCUCACUGUAAAAAUCCCAGUGAGAAGACGCCAGCGUCCAUAGGAAAGCAUUAUGAAUGCUUUCCAAUGAGACUGGCUGAAUGCGUGCGCAGCUCCUGCCGCGCCUGCGCAUUCAGCCAAAGAGGAGGAGAGGAGGAGGAGAGGAGAGCUCCCCGCCCGGCGCUGGAAAAAAGGUAAGUUUAACCCCUUUCCUCGUCAUCCAGCCCGGCGGGGGUGGGACCCUGAGGGUGGGGGCACCCUCAGGGCACUAUAGUGCCAGGAAAACGAGCCACAUUUUCUAUGUAAUGCAUGUUUUUGAUUUAUGUGUGUUGUUUCAUGGCUGCAUUUGUUAAAUUGGUCUCUUAUCCUGUUCUCUUUUCUUUGAAAAAGAAAAUGUCGUGCAAGAUAUAAGUCAUUAUCUUCAUAUAAAGUUGAGUUGCCUUAUUCUGCUGUACUUGUGACCUUAACGCUUUUCAUUUCCCAUUGAACCGCGACAAUAAGUGUUUAAAGCUAAAACGGUGCCGCGUAUUACCUGGUUCAGUCCGUAGAUUUAAAUUCAUCUUAUAUGCCAUGUGCUUGUUGUUUGACUAUAACACACGUAUUGCAAUGUCGCUUAAUGGCACAGGUACAUUAUUUGGAGUUGGCAAAUAAAUAAAUGAAAGUGUAACCCUAAAAAAAAUGAAAAAUACAUUGUUAAUGAUACAGGCAUUGCAAAUAAUUAACCUAUUCAGAUAUACCGAUGUUUGUAUUUGGGGGUUCAUUUUAUCUUAUAUCUGUUUUUGGGGCAGCAUUUUUUAAUUGGCUGGAUUCUUAAUGGGACAGAUUCCUUAUGAAAGAUUCAAAGUCCAACAGUAACAUUUUCUCCAGAUUGGUUCUAGAACAUUCCAUUCCGAUGAUUAUACUCUCACUAUUCCGGAUUACACGUGGACCUGCAUUCUCUAAGCAUAGCAGGUUUCUCUCUCUUUCUCCCUUUGCUGGGAGACGUAGGAGGCUAUUCCUACCUUGAAUGAAUACGGCGGUGCCUGCGGUUUUCUAUGAAUCCACUUGUAAUGGACCUUUUUACUGUUCGUACUCAACAUGCGCAUUUUAAAUUCGCCGUACGGGAGGGAAGGAGCCGGCUAAUAGCAGAUUGUGCUCUAAGUGCACUCGCUUUUAUGUUGUUGGUUUUUUGAUUCAUGAAUAUGGGUGUUAAGUUCCCUCCUACCUUCCCACAAACCAUUUUAGGACAGUGCUCUCUCUAAUGCUAUUUGUUACCAUCUAUUUAAACCUCGGCUUAUUUCCAAAUCCCUGACUGCUAAUAUUUUACUCUCGUCUACUAGUCAUUCUUUUUUUCUCUCUUCUUCCUUUUUACCAUCACUGUUUUCAUUAAGUCAGAAGAGCGAUUUCUAAGCCUAAUGAGUUUGGAAGCCAGCGCAGUUUGGGAAUUUUUAUUUGAAUUUUAUUAGAUACUUAAUAGUCCAGUCGCAGAAGAUAAGGUUAUCGAGGUAGCGACUCGCUUCUAAACAACAAUGUGACUAAUUCACAUGUAAAACAGCCAAAAUAUGCAAGCACCGUUCCUUUGCUAAUAUGAUUUGAGCAAAGAAAAUAUGGGUAUCUUCUUAUGUUUUAAUAGGAUUGUGAAAAAAUGAAAUCCGUCAAGUAUCUGUUGGCUCAGCUGUACGGAGAGUUGGCGCGGUAAAUCUUUCUCGUUCAUUCAUUCCAAACAGGCAAUGUGUCUGCACACGGGUUUAUAGGCUUUUUAAAAGGCCUUGUAGAAUUUAGGGUGAAGUGUUCUGGCUGUUCGGCUGCAUUAUGUAAAUUGUUUUUAAAAGCUGUUGCUAGGUUUGCAGGAUGUAGGUAAUGAUGUUAAAUGUUCGAAAAUCAUAGAAUCAUCUCCUGCUGUGAAAUUACCUUCUAGUAGUCAUCUGAGGAACCUCAAACUCUCUGCCAAAUUCAACCGUUUACCAGAUACGACGUUUCUCUAAAAUGUAAUUUAAUUAAACCCGUUUUAUGUCUUCAUCGAAUUUAAUGCAGAGCGAACGUACCUCGCCAUACGGAUUGUUUACCAUUCACUUCAAUAAGCAUUGAAUGAACACACCUCUGCCUUGUUGGAAGAUUAUGUAGAAUAAGAGUCAUUUUGAAUGGAAAAAAGAUUGUGUCGCGUUGAUCACUUUACAACUGCAAACAAUAUAUACAUAAUAAUCCAUUAUGGUGCAUACGUAAACAAUUAUCACCAUACUAGCCAAGGAUUAGCUAUUUCAAGGGGCACAAAUGGAAAACUUGUCACCCCUAGAAUCAUGGCCGUUAGCUUUAUGUGGAGGGAAAAUGUUAUUUUAGAGUGCUGUAUGGCACAAGCCAAGGGUUUAUUCUAGAGUGCUGUAUGAAACCCUUGGUUUAUUCUAGAGUGCUGAAUGUAACAAGCUAAGGGUUUACUCAAGAGUGCUGUGUGUAACAAGCUAUGGGUUUAUUCUAGAGUGGUGUAUGAAACCCUUAGUUUAUUCUAGAGUGCUGUAUGGAACAAGCUAUGGGUUUAUUCUAGAGUGCUCUAUGUAACAAGCUAUGGGUUUAUUCCAGAGUGCUGUAUGUAACAAGAUAGGGGCUUAUUCUAGAGUGCUGUAUGGAACAAGAUAAGGGUGUAUUCUAGAUUGCUAUAUGUAACAAAAUAGGGGUUUAUUCUAGAGUGCAGUAUGCAACAAGCUAAGGGUUUAUUCGAGAGUGGUGUAUCUAACAAUCUAAGGGUUUAUUCUAGAGUGCUGUAAGUAGCAAGCUAAGGGUUUAUUCUAGAGUGCUGUAAGUAGCAAGCUAAGGGUUUAUUCUAGAGUGCUGUAUGUAACAAGCUAAGGGUUUAUUCUAGAGUGCUGUAUGUAACAAGCUAAGGGUUUAUUCUAGAGUGCUGUAUGUAACAAGCUAUGGGUUUAUUCUAGAGUGCUGUAUGUAACAAGCUAAGGGUUUAUUCUAGAGUGCUGCAUGUAACAAGCUAUGGGUUUAUUCUAGAGAGGUGUAUGUAACAAGCCAAGGGUUUAUUCUAGAGUGCUGUAUGAAACAAGCUAAGGGUUUAUUCUAGAGUGCUGUAUGUAGCAAGCUAAGGGUUUAUUCUAGAGUGCUGCAUGUAACAAGCUAAGGGUUUAUUCUAGAGUGGUGUAUGGAACAAGCUAUGGGUUUAUUCUAGAGUGCUGUAUGUAAUAGCUAAGGGUUUAUUCUAGAGUGCUGUAUGUAACAGCUAAGGGUUUAUUCUAGAAUGCUGUAUGGAACAAGCUAUGGGUUUAUUCUAGAGUGCUGUAUGUAACAAGCUAUGGGUUUAUUCCAGAGUGCUGUAUGUAACAAGCCAAGGGUUUAUUCUAGAGUGCUGUAUGUAACAAGCUAUGGGUUUAUUCUAGAGUGCUGUAUGUAACAAGAUAGGGGCUUAUUCUAGAGUGCUGUAUGCAACAAGCUAAGGGUUUAUUCGAGAGUGGUGUAUCUAACAAGCUAAGGGUUUAUUCUAGAGUGAUGUAUGUAACAAGCUAAGGGUUUAUUCUAGAGUGCUGUAUGUAACAAGAUAGGGGCCUAUUCUAGAGUGCUGUAUGGAACAAGAUAAGGGUGUAUUCUAGAUUGCUAUAUGUAACAAAAUAGGGGUUUAUUCUAGAGUGCAGUAUGCAACAAGCUAAGGGUUUAUUCGAGAGUGGUGUAUCUAACAAUCUAAGGGUUUAUUCUAGAGUGCUGUAAGUAGCAAGCUAAGGGUUUAUUCUAGAGUGCUGUAAGUAGCAAGCUAAGGGUUUAUUCUAGAGUGCUGUAUGUAACAAGCUAAGGGUUUAUUCUAGAGUGCUGGAUGUAACAAGCUAAGGGUUUAUUCUAGAGUGCUGUAUGUAACAAGCUAUGGGUUUAUUCUAGAGUGCUGUAUGUAACAAGCUAAGGGUUUAUUCUAGAGUGCUGCAUGUAACAAGCUAUGGGUUUAUUCUAGAGAGGUGUAUGUAACAAGCCAAGGGUUUAUUCUAGAGUGCUGUAUGAAACAAGCUAAGGGUUUAUUCUAGAGUGCUGUAUGUAGCAAGCUAAGGGUUUAUUCCAGAGUGCUGUAUGUAACAAGAUAGGGGCUUAUUCUAGAGUGCUGUAUGCAACAAGCUAAGGGUUUAUUCGAGAGUGGUGUAUCUAACAAGCUAAGGGUUUAUUCUAGAGUGCUGUAUGUAACAAGAUAGGGGCUUAUUCUAGAGUGCUGUAUGGAACAAGAUAAGGGUGUAUUCUAGAUUGCUAUAUGUAACAAAAUAGGGGUUUAUUCUAGAGUGCAGUAUGCAACAAGCUAAGGGUUUAUUCGAGAGUGGUGUAUCUAACAUUCUAAGGGUUUAUUCUAGAGUGCUGUAAGUAGCAAGCUAAGGGUUUAUUCUAGAGUGCUGUAAGUAGCAAGCUAAGGGUUUAUUCUAGAGUGCUGUAUGUAACAAGCUAAGGGUUUAUUCUAGAGUGCUGCAUGUAACAAGCUAUGGGUUUAUUCUAGAGUGCUGUAUGUAACAAGCUAAGGGUUUAUUCUAGAGUGCUGCAUGUAACAAGCUAUGGGUUUAUUCUACAGAGGUGUAUGUAACAAGCCAAGGGUUUAUUCUAGAGUGCUGUAUGAAACAAGCUAAGGGUUUAUUCUAGAGUGCUGUAUGUAGCAAGCUAAGGGUUUAUUCUAGAGUGCUGCAUGUAACAAGCUAAGGGUUUAUUCUAGAGUGGUGUAUGGAACAAGCUAUGGGUUUAUUCUAGAGUGCUGUAUGUAAUAGCUAAGGGUUUAUUCUAGAGUGCUGUAUGUAACAGCUAAGGGUUUAUUCUAGAAUGCUGUAUGGAACAAGCUAUGGGUUUAUUCUAGAGUGCUGUAUGUAACAAGCUAUGGGUUUAUUCCAGAGUGCUGUAUGUAACAAGCCAAGGGUUUAUUCUAGAGUGCUGUAUGUAACAAGCUAUGGGUUUAUUCUAGAGUGCUGUAUGUAACAAGAUAGGGGCUUAUUCUAGAGUGCUAUAUGUAACAAAAUAGGGGUUUAUUCUAGAGUGCAGUAUGCAACAAGCUAAGGGUUUAUUCGAGAGUGGUGUAUCUAACAAUCUAAGGGUUUAUUCUAGAGUGCUGUAAGUAGCAAGCUAAGGGUUUAUUCUAGAGUAAGUGCUGUUUAUUCUAAGUAUGCAAGCUAAGGGUUUAUUCUAGAGUGCUGUAUGUAACAAGCUAAGGGUUUAUUCUAGAGUGCUGUAUGUAACAAGCUAAGGGUUUAUUCUAGAGUGCUGUAUGUAACAAGCUAUGGGUUUAUUCUAGAGUGCUGUAUGUAACAAGCUAAGGGUUUAUUCUAGAGUGCUGCAUGUAACAAGCUACGGGUUUAUUCUAGAGAGGUGUAUGUAACAAGCCAAGGGUUUAUUCUAGAGUGCUGUAUGAAACAAGCUAAGGGUUUAUUCUAGAGUGCUGUAUGUAGCAAGCUAAGGGUUUAUUCUAGAGUGCUGCAUGUAACAAGCUAAGGGUUUAUUCUAGAGUGGUGUAUGGAACAAGCUAUGGGUUAAUUCUAGAGUGCUGUAUGUAAUAGCUAAGGGUUUAUUCUAGAGUGCUGUAUGUAACAGCUAAGGGUUUAUUCUAGAGUGCUGUAUGGAACAAGCUAUGGGUUUAUUCUAGAGUGCUAUAUGUAACAAGCUAAGGGUUUAUGCUAGAGUGCUGUAUGUAACAAGCUAUGGGUUUAUUCUAGAGUGCUCUAUGUAACAAGCUAAGUGUUUACUCAAGAGUGUUGUAUGUAACAAGCUAAGGGUUUAUUCUAGAGUGGUGUAUGUAACACGCUAAGGGUUUUCAUUCUAGAGUGCUGUAUGUAACACGCUAAGGGUUUUCAUUCUAGAGUGCUGUAUAUAACAAGCUAAGGGUUUAUUCUAGAGUGCCGAAUGUAACAAGCUAAAGGUUUACUCAACAGUGCUGUGUGUAACAAACUAAGGGUUUAUUCUAGAGUGGUGUAUGGAACAAGUUAAAGGUUUAUUCUAGAGUGCUGUAUGUAACAAGCUAAGAGUUUAUUCUAGAGUGCUGUAUGUAACAAGCUAUGGGUUUAUUCUAGAGUGCUGUAUGAAACAAGCCAAGAGUUUAUUCUAGAGUGCUGUAUGUAACAAGCUAUGGGUUUAUUCUAGAGUGCUGUAUGUAACAAGAUAGGGCCUUAUUCUAGAGUGCUGUAUGCAACAAGCCAAGGGUUUAUUCGAGAGUGGUGUAUCUAACAAGCUAAGGGUUUAUUCUAGAGUGAUGUAUGUAACAAGCUAAGGGUUUAUUCUAGAGUGCUGCAUGUAACAAGAUAGGGGCUUAUUCUAGAGUGCUGUAUGGAACAAGAUAAGGGUGUAUUCUAGAUUGCUAUAUGUAACAAAAUAGGGGUUUAUUCUAGAGUGCAGUAUGCAACAAGCUAAGGGUUUAUUCUAGAGUGGUGUAUCUAACAAUCUAAGGGUUUAUUCUAGAGUGCUGUAAGUAGCAAGCUAAGGGUUUAUUCUAGAGUGCUGUAAGUAGCAAGCUAAGGGUUUAUUCUAGAGUGCUGUAUGUAACAAGCUAAGGGUUUAUUCUAGAGUGCUGGAUGUAACAAGCUAAGGGUUUAUUCUAGAGUGCUGUAUGUAACAAGCUAUGGGUUUAUUCUAGAGUGCUGUAUGUAACAAGCUAAGGGUUUAUUCUAGAGUGCUGUAUGUAACAAGCUAUGGGUUUAUUCCAGAGUGCUGUAUGUAACAAGCUAAGGGUUUAUUCUAGAGUGCUGUAUGUAACAAGCUAUGGGUUUAUUCUAGAGUGCUGUAUGUAACAAGAUAGGUGCUUAUUCUAGAGUGCUGUAUGCAACAAGCUAAGGGUUUAUUCGAGAGUGGUGUAUCUAACAAGCUAAGGGUUUAUUCUAGAGUGAUGUAUGUAACAAGCUAAGGGUUUAUUCUAGAGUGCUGUAUGUAGCAAGCUAAGGGUUUAUUCUAGAGUGCUGCAUGUAACAAGCUAAGGGUUUAUUCUAGAGUGGUGUAUGGAACAAGCUAUGGGUUUAUUCUAGAGUGCUGUAUGUAAUAGCUAAGGGUUUAUUCUAGAGUGCUGUAUGUAACAGCUAAGGGUUUAUUCUAGAAUGCUGUAUGGAACAAGCUAUGGGUUUAUUCUAGAGUGCUGUAUGUAACAAGCUAUGGGUUUAUUCCAGAGUGCUGUAUGUAACAAGCCAAGGGUUUAUUCUAGAGUGCUGUAUGUAACAAGCUAUGGGUUUAUUCUAGAGUGCUGUAUGUAACAAGAUAGGGGCUUAUUCUAGAGUGCUGUAUGCAACAAGCUAAGGGUUAAUUCGAGAGUGGUGUAUCUAACAAGCUAAGGGUUUAUUCUAGAGUGAUGUAUGUAACAAGCUAAGGGUUUAUUCUAGAGUGCUGUAUGUAACAAGAUAGGGGCUUAUUCUAGAGUGCUGUAUGGAACAAGAUAAGGGUGUAUUCUAGAUUGCUAUAUGUAACAAAAUAGGGGUUUAUUCUAGAGUGCAGUAUGCAACAAGCUAAGGGUUUAUUCAAGAGUGGUGUAUCUAACAAUCUAAGGGUUUAUUCUAGAGUGCUGUAAGUAGCAAGCUAAGGGUUUAUUCUAGAGUGCUGUAAGUAGCAAGCUAAGGGUUUAUUCUAGAGUGCUGGCAAUGGCAGCAAGCUAGGGGUUUAUUCUAGAGUGCUGGAUGUAACAGCUAGGGUUUAUUCUAGAGUGCUGUAUGUAACAAGCUAUGGGUUUUAUUCUAGAGUGCUGUAUGUAACAGCUACAGGGGUUUAUUCCUAAGAGUGCAUGUAACAAGCAUGGGUUUAUUCCUAGAGAGGUGUAUGUAACAAGCCAGGGGUUUCUAGAGUGCUGUAUGAAACAAGCUAAGGGUUUAUUCUAGAGUGCUGUAUGUAGCAAGCUAAGGGUUUAUUCUAGAGUGCUGCAUGUAACAAGCUAAGGGUUUAUUCUAGAGUGGUGUAUGGAACAAGCUAUGGGUUUAUUCUAGAGUGCUGUAUGUAAUAGCUAAGGGUUUAUUCUAGAGAGGUGUAUGUAACAAGCCAAGGGUUUAUUCUAGAGUGCUGUAUGAAACAAGCUAAGGGUUUAUUCUAGAGUGCUGUAUGUAGCAAGCUAAGGGUUUAUUCUAGAGUGCUGCAUGUAACAAGCUAAGGGUUUAUUCUAGAGUGGUGUAUGGAACAAGCUAUGGGUUUAUUCUAGAGUGCUGUAUGUAACAGCUAAGGGUUUAUUCGAGAGUGGUGUAUCUAACAAUCUAAGGGUUUAUUCUAGAGUGCUGUAAGUAGCAAGCUAAGGGUUUAUUCUAGAGUGCUGUAAGUAGCAAGCUAAGGGUUUAUUCUAGAGUGCUGUAUGUAACAAGCUAAGGGUUUAUUCUAGAGUGCUGGAUGUAACAAGCUAAGGGUUUAUUCUAGAGUGCUGUAAGUUGCAAGCUAAGGGUUUAUUCUAGAGUGCUGUAUGUAACAAGCUAAGGGUUUAUUCUAGAGUGCUGUAUGUAACAAGCUAAGGGUUUAUUCUAGAGUGCUGCAUGUAACAAGCUAUGGGUUUAUUCUAGAGUGCUGUAUGUAACAAGCUAAGGGUUUAUUCUAGAGUGCUGCAUGUAACAAGCUAUGGGUUUAUUCUACAGAGGUGUAUGUAACAAGCCAAGGGUUUAUUCUAGAGUGCUGUAUGAAACAAGCUAAGGGUUUAUUCUAGAGUGCUGUAUGUAGCAAGCUAAGGGUUUAUUCUAGAGUGCUGCAUGUAACAAGCUAAGGGUUUAUUCUAGAGUGGUGUAUGGAACAAGCUAUGGGUUUAUUCUAGAGUGCUGUAUGUAAUAGCUAAGGGUUUAUUCUAGAGUAAUGUAUGUAACAGCUAAGGGUUUAUUCUAGAAUGCUGUAUGGAACAAGCUAUGGGUUUAUUCUAGAGUGCUGUAUGUAACAAGCUAUGGGUUUAUUCCAGAGUGCUGUAUGUAACAAGCCAAGGGUUUAUUCUAGAGUGCUGUAUGUAACAAGCUAUGGGUUUAUUCUAGAGUGCUGUAUGUAACAAGCUAUGGGUUUAUUCUAGAGUGCUGUAUGUAACAAGAUAGGGGCUUAUUCUAGAGUGCUGUAUGCAACAAGCUAAGGGUUUAUUCGAGAGUGGUGUAUCUAACAAGCUAAGGGUUUAUUCUAGAGUGAUGUAUGUAACAAGCUAAGGGUUUAUUCUAGAGUGCUGUAUGUAACAAGAUAGGGGCUUAUUCUAGAGUGCUGUAUGGAACAAGAUAAGGGUGUAUUCUAGAUUGCUAUAUGUAACAAAAUAGGGGUUUAUUGUAGAGUGCAGUAUGCAACAAGCUAAGGGUUUAUUCGAGAGUGGUGUAUCUAACAAUCUAAGGGUUUAUUCUAGAGUGCUGUAAGUAGCAAGCUAAGGGUUUAUUCUAGAGUGCUGUAAGUAGCAAGCUAAGGGUUUAUUCUAGAGUGCUGUAUGUAACAAGCUAAGGGUUUAUUCUAGAGUGCUGGAUGUAACAAGCUAAGGGUUUAUUCUAGAGUGCUGUAUGUAACAAGCUAUGGGUUUAUUCUAGAGUGCUGUAUGUAACAAGCUAAGGGUUUAUUCUAGAGUGCUGCAUGUAACAAGCUACGGGUUUAUUCUAGAGAGGUGUAUGUAACAAGCCAAGGGUUUAUUCUAGAGUGCUGUAUGAAACAAGCUAAGGGUUUAUUCUAGAGUGCUGUAUGUAGCAAGCUAAGGGUUUAUUCUAGAGUGCUGCAUGUAACAAGCUAAGGGUUUAUUCUAGAGUGGUGUAUGGAACAAGCUAUGGGUUUAUUCUAGAGUGCUGUAUGUAAUAGCUAAGGGUUUAUUCUAGAGUGCUGUAUGUAACAGCUAAGGGUUUAUUCUAGAGUGCUGUAUGGAACAAGCUAUGGGUUUAUUCUAGAGUGCUAUAUGUAACAAGCUAAGGGUUUAUGCUAGAGUGCUGUAUCUAACAAGCUAAGGGUUUAUUCUAGAGUGAUGUAUGUAACAAGCUAAGGGUUUAUUCUAGAGUGCUGUAUGUAACAAGAUAGGGGCUUAUUCUAGAGUGCUGUAUGGAACAAGAUAAGGGUGUAUUCUAGAUUGCUAUAUGUAACAAAAUAGGGGUUUAUUGUAGAGUGCAGUAUGCAACAAGCUAAGGGUUUAUUCGAGAGUGGUGUAUCUAACAAUCUAAGGGUUUAUUCUAGAGUGCUGUAAGUAGCAAGCUAAGGGUUUAUUCUAGAGUGCUGUAAGUAGCAAGCUAAGGGUUUAUUCUAGAGUGCUGUAUGUAACAAGCUAAGGGUUUAUUCUAGAGUGCUGGAUGUAACAAGCUAAGGGUUUAUUCUAGAGUGCUGUAUGUAACAAGCUAUGGGUUUAUUCUAGAGUGCUGUAUGUAACAAGCUAAGGGUUUAUUCUAGAGUGCUGCAUGUAACAAGCUAUGGGUUUAUUCUAGAGAGGUGCAUGUAACAAGCCAAGGGUUUAUUCUAGAGUGCUGUAUGAAACAAGCUAAGGGUUUAUUCUAGAGUGCUGCAUGUAACAAGCUAAGGGUUUAUUCUAGAGUGGUGUAUGGAACAAGCUAUGGGUUUAUUCUAGAGUGCUGUAUGUAAUAGCUAAGGGUUUAUUCUAGAGUGCUGUAUGUAACAGCUAAGGGUUUAUUCUAGAGUGCUGUAUGGAACAAGCUAUGGGUUUAUUCUAGAGUGCUGUAUGUAACAAGCUAUGGGUUUAUUCCAGAGUGCUGUAUGUAACAAGCCAAGGGUUUAUUCUAGAGUGCUGUAUGUAACAAGCUAUGGGUUUAUUCUAGAGUGCUGUAUGUAACAAGAUAGGUGCUUAUUCUAGAGUGCUGUAUGCAACAAGCUAAGGGUUUAUUCGAGAGUGGUGUAUCUAACAAGCUAAGGGUUUAUUCUAGAGUGAUGUAUGUAACAAGCUAAGGGUUUAUUCUAGAGUGCUGUAUGUAACAAGAUAGGGGCUUAUUCUAGAGUGCUGCAUGAACAAGUAAGGGUUUAUUCUAGAGUGGUGUAUGGAACAAGAUAUGGGUUUAUUCUAGAGUGCAGUAUGCAACAAGCUAAGGGUUUAUUCGAGAGUGGUGUAUCUAACAAUCUAAGGGUUUAUUCUAGAGUGCUGUAAGUAGCAAGCUAAGGGUUUAUUCUAGAGUGCUGUAAGUAGCAAGCUAAGGGUUUAUUCUAGAGUGCUGUAUGUAACAAGCUAAGGGUUUAUUCUAGAGUGCUGGAUGUAACAAGCUAAGGGUUUAUUCUAGAGUGCUGUAUGUAACAAGCUAUGGGUUUAUUCUAGAGUGCUGUAUGUAACAAGCUAAGGGUUUAUUCUAGAGUGCUGCAUGUAACAAGCUAUGGGUUUAUUCUAGAGAGGUGUAUGUAACAAGCCAAGGGUUUAUUCUAGAGUGCUGUAUGAAACAAGCUAAGGGUUUAUUCUAGAGUGCUGUAUGUAGCAAGCUAAGGGUUUAUUCUAGAGUGCUGCAUGUAACAAGCUAAGGGUUUAUUCUAGAGUGGUGUAUGGAACAAGCUAUGGGUUAAUUCUAGAGUGCUGUAUGUAAUAGCUAAGGGUUUAUUCUAGAGUGCUGUAUGUAACAGCUAAGGGUUUAUUCUAGAGUGCUGUAUGGAACAAGCUAUGGGUUUAUUCUAGAGUGCUAUAUGUAACAAGCUAAGGGUUUAUGCUAGAGUGCUGUAUGUAACAAGCUAUGGGUUUAUUCUAGAGUGCUCUAUGUAACAAGCUAAGUGUUUACUCAAGAGUGUUGUAUGUAACAAGCUAAGGGUUUAUUCUAGAGUGGUGUAUGUAACACGCUAAGGGUUUUCAUUCUAGAGUGCUGUAUGUAACACGCUAAGGGUUUUCAUUCUAGAGUGCUGUAUAUAACAAGCUAAGGGUUUAUUCUAGAGUGCCGAAUGUAACAAGCUAAAGGUUUACUCAACAGUGCUGUGUGUAACAAACUAAGGGUUUAUUCUAGAGUGGUGUAUGGAACAAGUUAAAGGUUUAUUCUAGAGUGCUGUAUGUAACAAGCUAAGAGUUUAUUCUAGAGUGCUGUAUGUAACAAGCUAUGGGUUUAUUCUAGAGUGCUGUAUGAAACAAGCCAAGAGUUUAUUCUAGAGUGCUGUAUGUAACAAGCUAUGGGUUUAUUCUAGAGUGCUGUAUGUAACAAGAUAGGGCCUUAUUCUAGAGUGCUGUAUGCAACAAGCCAAGGGUUUAUUCGAGAGUGGUGUAUCUAACAAGCUAAGGGUUUAUUCUAGAGUGAUGUAUGUAACAAGCUAAGGGUUUAUUCUAGAGUGCUGCAUGUAACAAGAUAGGGGCUUAUUCUAGAGUGCUGUAUGGAACAAGAUAAGGGUGUAUUCUAGAUUGCUAUAUGUAACAAAAUAGGGGUUUAUUCUAGAGUGCAGUAUGCAACAAGCUAAGGGUUUAUUCUAGAGUGGUGUAUCUAACAAUCUAAGGGUUUAUUCUAGAGUGCUGUAAGUAGCAAGCUAAGGGUUUAUUCUAGAGUGCUGUAAGUAGCAAGCUAAGGGUUUAUUCUAGAGUGCUGUAUGUAACAAGCUAAGGGUUUAUUCUAGAGUGCUGUAUGUAACAAGCUAAGGGUUUAUUCUAGAGUGCUGUAUGUAACAAGCUAAGGGUUUAUUCUAGAGUGCUGUAUGUAACAAGCUAUGGGUUUAUUCUAGAGUGCUGUAUGUAACAAGCUAAGGGUUUAUUCUAGAGUGCUGCAUGUAACAAGCUAUGGGUUUAUUCUAGAGAGGUGUAUGUAACAAGCCAAGGGUUUAUUCUAGAGUGCUGUAUGAAACAAGCUAAGGGUUUAUUCUAGAGUGCUGUAUGUAGCAAGCUAAGGGUUUAUUCUAGAGUGCUGCAUGUAACAAGCUAAGGGUUUAUUCUAGAGUGGUGUAUGGAACAAGCUAUGGGUUUAUUCUAGAGUGCUGUAAGUAAUAGCUAAGGGUUUAUUCUAGAGUGCUGUAUGUAACAGCUAAGGGGUUAUUCUAGAGUGCUGUAUGGAACAAGCUAUGGGUUUAUUCUAGAGUGCUAUAUGUAACAAGCUAAGGGUUUAUGCUAGAGUGCUGUAUGUAACAAGCUAUGGGUUUAUUCUAGAGUGCUCUAUGUAACAAGCUAAGGGUUUACUCAAGAGUGUUGUAUGUAACAAGCUAAGGGUUUACUCAAGAGUGCUGUAUGUAACAAGCUAUGGGUUUAUUCUAGAGUGGUGUAUGUAACACGCUAAGGGUUUUCAUUCUAGAGUGCUGUAUGUAACAAGCUAAGGGUUUAUUCUAGAGUGCUGAAUGUAACAAGCUAAAGGUUUACUCAACAGUGCUGUGUGUAACAAACUAAGGGUUUAUUCUAGAGUGGUGUAUGGAACAAGUUAAAGGUUUAUUCUAGAGUGCUGUAUGUAACAAGCUAAGAGUUUAUUCUAGAGUGCUGUAUGUAACAAGCUAUGGGUUUAUUCUAGAGUGUCGUAUGUAACAAGCCAAGGGUUUAUUCUAGAGUGGUGUAUGAAACCCUUGGUUUAUUCUAGAGUGCUGUAUGGAACAAGCUAUGGGUUUAUUCUAGAGUGCUGUAUGGAACACGCUAAGGGUUUUCAUUCUAGAGUGCUGUAUAUAACAAGCUAAGGGUUUAUUCUAGAGUGCUGAAUGUAACAAGCUAAGGGUUUACUCAAGAGUGCUGUGUGUAACAAACUAAGGGUCUAUUCUAGAGUGGUGUAUGGAACAAGUUAAGGGUUUAUUCUAGAGUGGUGUAUGUAGCAAGUUAAAGGUUUAUUCUAGAGUGCUGUAUGUAACAAGCUAAGAGUUUAUUCUAGAGUGCUGUAUGUAACAAGCUGUGGGUUUAUUCUAGAGUGUCGUAUGUAACAAGCCAAGGGUUUAUUCUAGAGUGCUGUAUGUAACAAGCUAUGGGUUUAUUCUAGAUUGCUGUAUGUAACAAGCUAUGGGUUUAUUCUAGAGUGCUGUAUGAAACAAGCCAAGAGUUUAUUCUAGAGUGCUGUAUGUAACAAGCUAUGGGUUUAUUCUAGAGUGCUGUAUGUAACAAGAUAGGGGCUUAUUCUAGAGUGCUGUAUGCAACAAGCCAAGGGUUUAUUCUAGAGUGGUGUAUGAAACCCUUGGUUUAUUCUAGAGUGCUGUAUGGAACAAGUUAAAGGUUUAUUCUAGAGUGCUGUAUGUAACAAGCUAAGAGUUUAUUCUAGAGUGCUGUAUGUAACAAGCUAAGAGUUCAUUCUAGAGUGCUGUAUGUAACAAGAGUGCUGUAUGGUUUAUUCUAGAGUGGCGUAUGGAACAAGCUAUGGGUUUAUUUUAGAGUGCCGUAUGUAACAAGCUAAGGGUUUACUCAAGAGUGCUGUGUGUAACAAGCUAAGGGUCUAUUCUAGAGUGGUGUAUGGAACAAGUUAAGGGUUUAUUCUAGAGUGGUGUAUGUAGCAAGGUAAAGGCUUAUUCUAGAGUGCAUAAUGUAACAUUACCCUAUAGCACCUUUAUAUUACAGAUAUAUUUCUUUGUGGUAUGUAACUGUACCAUUCUUGAUUGCUAUUUGUAGAAUAUGAAGGACUCUAGAAAAUAGUUGCAAUAUAGGAUCAUUCUGCUGAUUCUGAAUUGGGCUUUGUGUCCAGAACCUUACAAUGAAAAAAAGUAUAAUAUUGUCACUGACUUGUCCUUCAGGAAUCAUACAAACAAUGCAUUGAACUUGUCUCACAGAGUGAGGGAUUUUGAGAUCAACCAAUUUAUAUAGAAAUACCUAUUGAAGAAGGGCCUUUAAUUGAAGCAUGUGGCUUUAAGUUAUAAAUCGAAUAACAAAAGGAAGAGACAUCUCGAGAGGCACAGUGACAUCAGAUUUUUUUUCUCAUCUCUUUUUCUCUACACGGGCAAUUAAACACCCUGAAAACCACAAUAUGUGAGACGCAUCACUCAGCCGCGCAAGGUUCUUGUAAUGAGGUGCAAGGUUCAACCCAGAAAUGUUAUUUGCAGUUUGAGAAUGCAGAUAUUAAUUUCUCGGAAUCUGGAGCAGGAUCAAUUCUGACCUGUGCACUCAGCCAGGGGUCAUCGAAUAAAUUGGAGGCCUGGGAUAAUUAUAGGAGGAACAAGCAAACACAGACACAUUUUUACUGUGUGCGUUUAUGAUCUCGGUUUUAUAUUAUUAUUUCGAUAUUCUACAGGGAAUGUGUUCCCUUAUCUGUUUGCCAUAAAGAAAAGGUUAUAAUCACAGUAUCCUUUAGUGAUUCAGAAUGAUCAAACUAUCUAAUUACAUUCAUUUUAGCUUGGAAAGGAUACUGUCGGAGAUGGCGGCCAGCUGUAGCCACCCAUGCAAUUUGGCAGUGUUUGAAGAGAAGAACCUGUAAAAUGGCAGGAUGCUGGGUGUCGAAGUGUUUGUUUUCCUAUAGAAUGAAGGUCCAGGAGAUAAUGCAGGAACACGAAUCAAGUCUGGUCUAUCCUGUCUGUCAUAAUAAACAACAAAUAUGGACCAGACCCCUCCAUGCAACAUUGCUCAAUCCAAUCACAAAAUGUCCUGUUGCUUGAGUUUCCAUUUUUCAAAAUACUGAAUAAUCUUAAAUAUCUUUCUAACGGAGCAAGGUCAUCACCAAGGAGAGGUCAGAAGAUAAAGACCCAAUGUGCGAAUACAAAGGCAGAGGAGCGCGCAGAUACAUUCCUCUUUUUGGCAUUUUGCUAAGAGAUUUUUAGAUUGUGAUUAGAGAUAAAUGUUUCUAUCAAACUGCAUGUCUUGUUUUAUUGCCAGCUCGUGUGUGUGUGUGUGUGUGUAUGUAUGCGAGUGUGACCCAUUCACUGAUGGAGUCUGUUGGAAUCUUUGCUUAAACUGUAUCAAAUCAUCUGGGAAUAGAACCUGGGGAGUCUUCUAUUCUGCUUGGAACACGGAGAAGUGAAUUUCGAAGUUACAGUGCACUCCCACAGUCAUAAGUAGAGGAAAUUUCCAAUAAAUGAAGACGUUAUGAGAAAAUGUUAACAGAAAGCUAAAUGUACAAAGCAGUAAAAAAACACGCUAAUAAACUGCCUGGUUUGCAUUUAUUCAUGUGUCCUUAGAAGGGAUAACUGGGAACAUCAGCCAGAAACCUUGUAGGAAGUUGUAGGAAAAUGUAUUGAAAAACACCUGUAAUGGCUCUGUAUAUUGGCGACUUACUGGGUUAUUUACUAAAUUGGGUAGGUGAUCUAAACCACGAGCAUCCUCUGAUGAUACAGUUAAUUGACAUUCCACACGGACAGGGAAGCUCUGGAGAUAUAACGUAGGGGAGAAUUGAAGAUCAGAGGAGGUUCAAUGGCCGAGAGGUGGGCCAUGGUUGGAAACAUUAUGUAUUACGGUAGUUAGUUUGGGGUGUAGUUGUGGAAAGCUGUGUAGGGGUGCAUGCUAGUACUAGGAUAUAAAUUAUAUAAAUUGAACCAAUCUAUAAACAUGAAAGUAUUAUAAAAUCAAGAAUUCAAUGUACAGAAAAAAAGGAAAAAAACGUAUAAAUCACCAAAGGUGGAUAAUAAAACAGUACAACCUGUAUAUAAAUGAUGGAAAGCAAUGUGGAAAUAUAUAUUAGAUUUAUAAAAAAUUCAGGUGUAUCUCCCUCUAUAGUGGGGUAAAACAGUUGAUGGAGAAAAUCUUCCCAGAGGUAUUCUUCAUAGAAGGGUAUCUUCUUAUAUUGCUCUAAUUGAGAAAGUGAAAAGAUUGUAUGAAAGUAACAAAUGUAUUAAUACAAAUUGCACUUACAGGAUGUCAAAUGACAGUCAGCAUAUCUCCACACAAAAGGUGGUAUCCAGGACUCCAACAAGCGGCAGGAAAAAUCCCAGGAUGGCAGAUGCAAUAAACACAAACAAAUAUUAAAACAUAAAAUAAUGUUGAUAUAAAGUCCUACGCGUUUCGUCCUGUCUGGACUUCCUCAGAGAUGUGUAGUAAUGAUCUGUCAAAUUCAUCUUAAAUAUCCGUUAGAUUGCGUUGAACUAGCGGCAGCUGAUGCUCGGAAUGGCAUGCGUUUCACUGUGGAACGCAUAACGGACUUCCGGGAGAUCUACGGCACCUCUGGUUGAUGGCAAUACUCUAAAUGAGUGCCGAUAUCACUUCAUAGGAUGGAAAGCAUUAUGGGGAAUGUGUUUUUCUCUCUAUCGUUUGGACAAUCAAAAAAUGAUUAUUAUAAAUUACAAUACGGUUGUGGUAAUAAGGAAAAACAUAUCAGUCGUAAAUCUAUACAGAAAUAUGAAUAUAAUUGAUGUAAUAAUUAAUAAAGACGUGAAUAUUAAAAAAGGGGGAAAUAUAUAUAUAUAUAUGAAAAUCAAAAAUUUAUGAUAUAUUGUCUGCUUUGUUGAGCCUUUUACAAAAAAUAAAUGUAAAAUAAGAACAUACAAAAAUAAAAUAAAUACAAAAAUAAAAUAAAUACAUGUGAAGCACAUUUAAAUGUGUGUGUGUGUAUAUAUAUAUAUCAAUAUUAUAUAUGUAGAAAAUCUUUUACACAAGAAAUGUGUGUUAAUAUCACACUGACCUGUAUAAAGAAACCAGGCAUUUAAAAAGAAAAAAAAAACUAAACAGCUGAAACUAAAUCAGUCCUGACAUAUCUAUUUCCUUAUUAAGAUCAUACUUCAAAGUUUAUAAAUUGAAAAUCCACUGGGCCUCUUUCAUAUUGAGUGGUCUCAAUGUUCCCCCCUCUCCAAUGUCUCUCUAUUUUAUCAAUUCCAAAGGCCAACAAAGUAUUCCACUGGAAUUGUGGACAGCUGGCACAAUGUCUGGGCACACUGGGGUCUGGUUUUUUUAUUUUGUAGAAUUGUUCUGCAAGUCUUACAUGCAAUUUGCGGGUAGUGUGACCUACAUAUUGUGCGCCACAACAGAUAUAUCAGGUGGGUUGUGGAUCACUGUAUGAAUUUCUGGAUAUCGUAAGUCUGGUUGGUAUAUAUCCUUAUAAAUGAAUUGAUGGGUUUCUUUUGAAAGGUGCAUGUAGAACACCUUCCACAGCGAUAAAAACCCAGGAAUAAUUCAUUUGAAGAGAUGUGUGUCGGAUGGUGUGUAUUUUUAUUAUCAUAUUGUAAUAGGCUAGGGGCCAGUUUAUUUUUAAGGUUUUCUUAUGUUUUGUAAAUUAUUGUUGGUUUAUAGGGUGGUAUCUUUUUUGAAAAUACAUCUUUUCGCAGGAUGUGCCAGUGUUUUUUUUAUGAUGUUUUCAAUUUUUUUAGCCUGCGAAUUGUAUUUAGUUAUGAAGGAAAAAUCAAAUGUGUUAUUGCCUUUAGAUUUAUUUUGUUUGGUCUUGGUUAGAUAAUAAAUUGUUUUCAUCUGAAUUGAUUAGAGAUAACUCUGCCUCCUCAAUUUGUUUUGUAUCAUAGCCUUUUUCAGUAUAUCUGUUUUUUAAUGAUUUCAGGCUGUAUUUUAAAAGAGGGUUGGUGGGAACUGGAUUAAUCAAUGGCAGUAUUGCAAUCUGUGUUCUUAAAGAACGUCUUAGUUUUUUAAAUUAUUAUCUUCAAUGUAUAUAGUUAAGUCAAGGAAGUCAAUUUUUUUAGAUGGCAGAAGGAUGUAAAUUGCAAAUUAUAUUCAUUGUGAUUGAUAUAUUGAAUAAAAUUAUUAAGACUAAUUUGGUCACCCUACCAAAUGAUAAGAACAUUGUCUAUGUGGCGUCGUCACAGGGUAAGGUGUCCCCCCAGCGUCUGACCCAACCUGACAUGACGAGAUUCCCAAUGGGAUACAUACAGGUUGGGGAAGCUGGGAGCGAACCUCGUCCCCAUUUGAUUCCUCCAUAUAAGGUUUUCGACAUUAUAACUGUGCCUCCUCCCUUGUCAGCUUCUUUGAUAGCUAGGUCAUAGUUUUUUUGUAGGGACUGUAAGGCUUCGUUUUCUGCCAUAGUUAGUUAAUUACUUCUUAUUUCCCUUUGUGUUUUUAUAUAUAAGUUUAUCAAAAUCCUCCUGAACUAACUCAUUGAAGACCUCAAGAUAUUUAUUGCGGUCUUACCAAGGAUUAGGAAUUGAGUAGGAAUUACAGAGCCAUCAUGCUCAGAUGGUUGUUGAUCUGGAGGGGGGUGAAUGCUAUUGGUAUCUUUAUUUCACUAUUUAUCCUUUCAAAUAAUCUUUUUCUGGUUAAUUUUCUUAAACAGAUUUAUUAUCUAAAAAUAACUAAGAAUCAUUGGGAUUAUUGGUCGGAGCAAAUUUUAUUGCUUUUGUUAGCAAUGAGAGUCUUCAUUAUUGAAACCAUUUCUGAUGAGUUGAAAAUACCUUCAGUAUGGGUUCGAGUUGUCUGUGUGGUAUCAUUGAAUGUGAUGUUUCUCCGUAAUCUUCCAUUUCUACAUGGGGUCUUAAGCUUAAGAACAUGUUCUGAGUGGGGAUAGAGUAUAGCGGACGAUGUCCUUUUGGUCUUGCCCACUUUCUCUAAAAAAAUGUUUUGUUUGUGGUUGAGAUGUGAAGGGGUGUGAGUGUCAGUUCUCUGAACACGGGGUGAAUCUCUAAAAGUGUUUUUUUUCUAGAAGGAAAUUGAUUCCUAUCAUGAUUCCUAGUCAUAUCGGUAUGAUAGUUGGAUUUAUAUGGCCUUUGGAAUGAGGAAUUAUUAAAACGUUCUCAAUGAUCGUUAUGGUGGUACUAUCGAAUGUACUAUCAGAAAUGUUGGUGCAAGCAAAUAGACUGUUUACAAAACAAAGAAACCCCACAUAUCAUAUCAUCUUUUAAUGCUUAAUGAGUUAAAAAGGACACUAUGACUUUAAACUGAAGACACUGGGAUUAAGAUAAGAAUCAUAUAUAUAUAUAUAUAUAUAUAUAUAUAUAUAUCUCACUAUUCAUUGCCGCCGCCUCCUGUCGAGACAAAGCCCCUGGGAAGUGGGUGAAACAUGUUGAUGGAAAGUGGCCUCCAAAGCUUAAGAAAACUACAGCGGUGUGCAGUGCGGGCAUCGUCCCGGCUUGUGGAAGCUCUGUCUGCAGAAACGACCGUCCAUCGCAGUGGUAACAUCUCCAUAAUAGUGUUACAUCGCUGUUUGUGUGGAUAUUGGCAACAGUACCAUAUCGAUUUUAUGUAAGGGUUCCAUUUGGGGGAUUGGAGAUUUAAAAUAAAGUGUGCAAUAUUAUACUGUGUGCAUAUUUUGUAACCUUUAAAGGUACCGAUAUAUCUGGAAAAUUACCAUUUGGAUACUUUGUGGAGCAAACAGGACAGAUAUCCCCAUCCACCUAGAUCUAUACUUCAAUGUAUUGAAUACGAACUGGGACUCUAUACAUAUAAGGUCGAAUUGAUUUCAUUCUUGGUACCCUAGAAUAUUUGUCUAAGGGGAUUAUUCACUAAGCGCUGGUACUUUUUUCGCACACUAUCUAUAUAUUUAGAUUUUUGAGGAGGAAACUCCAAAAUUAAAUGAGCGUGUGGUUUUUGUGUCAGGAGUCAUAAUAUUAAAGAUCAAAGGUCCCAUAAUAAAUGAUCUACAGUCAGGGCCAGACUUAGGGGUGUGCGAGCUGUGCGGCUGAACCAGCUCGCACAUGACCGGCCGGAAUUUAAAAAUCAAAUUUGUGACAGGGGGCGAAGCUUCCCGUGCGGCGGGGUGGAGCUUCCUGUGACGGGGCGGAGCUAAAGGUGCCGGAUAACUGCUGCAGGGGAAGCAGGAAGGAGUCCCUGCUUCCCCAACAACCAGUCUCCAGGAGAUACACUGCCUUUCUGCCUCCACAAUGGACUCCACAGGUAACUGUGUGAUUGUCAGUGUGAGUGUGACUGUCUGUGUGUGUGUCUGUCGGUCUGCCUGUGUGUGUGUGACUGUCUCUGUGUGUCUGUCUGCCUGUGUGUGUGUGUGUAUGACUGUCUGCUUGUUUGUGUGUCUGUGUGUAUGCGUGUGUAUGACUGUCUGUCUAUGUGUAUAUUGUAACGGAUCACCUGGCACCCCGACUGGGUACCUCCUUGGAACCGGGGGAUCUGGGUGAACCACAUAUCCAUAGGCGUGCGCACGGGGUGUGCUGGGUGUGCCUGGGCACACCCUAAUCCCCGUGGCACGCCUAUGGUUUGAGUCCUGCAGGAACAGUGUUCCUGCACUUUUUUUGAGCAGGAACGCUGUUCCUGCAGGCACUCAGCGCCCCCUGUCUCACCUCUUGCCCCUGUCAUGGGGAGGGCAAGAGGUGAUGAAUCCCCCCCCCUCUCUGCAGCUGAGCCGCGGCGAGGGAGGUCCCUGCUGUCUGCUGUAUGCUCUCUCUCGCCGUGCGCUGAUGCCGGGAGCCGGAAUAUGACAUCAUAUUCCGGCUCCCAGCUCCAGCAGACAGCCCGCGCGGCGAGAGAGAGCAGAGAGCAGACAGCUCCCUCGCCGCGGCUCAGCUGCAGAAAGGCAGGUGCCCGCCCCACUGGACCCCAGGAAAAAGUCCACGCCAGCACUCCAGGUUUUAAAUGAAAAUAUAAUAAUUUGUUCUUGUGUGUGAGUGUGUGUGUGUGUGUCUGUGUCUGUGUGUGUCUGUGUGUGUGUGUGUCUGUGUGUGUGAGUGUCUGUGUGUGUGAGUGUCUGUGUGAGUGUGUCAGUGAGUGUGUGUGUCUGUGUGUGAGUGUGUGUGUGAGUGUCUGUGUGUGUGUCAGUGAGUGUGUGUCUGUGAAUGUAUGUGUGUGUGUGUCAGUGAGUGUGUGUGUGUGUGAGUGUGUCUGUGUGAGUGUGUGUCUGUGUGAGUGUGUCUGUGUCUGUGUGUGUGUCAGUGAGUGUGUGUCAGUGAGUGUGUCUGUGAAUGUGUGUGUGUGUGUGUGUGUAAAUAUAUGAAAUCUGGUCUGCCUAAUGCAACACACAGAGAUGAGGGAGUCCGACUUGGAGUGAAUUGCUCAAAACUGAACUGAGACAGGGAUACACCUAAAACCUGUCUGGAGAUAUAAAGGACAGUAAUACCUACAAGGUAGUGCGUUCAGGAGCUGUGUGAGUGUGUGUCUGUGAAUGUGUGUGUCUGUGAAUGUAUGUGUGUGUGUGUCUGAAUGUGUCUGUGAGUGUGUGUGUGUACGCAUAUAUAUAUAUAUACACACACACACAAGCAGAGCUGGCGCUAUCUGAGUGCCGGCUCUGCUCUAAGCCUCCAUGGGCUGGUGGGGAGACCAAAGAUCUACCUCACCGGCCCACAGCAGCAUGGAGGGAGGCAGGAGAGGACCCAGGGAGCUCUAGACAGAAGCUCCGCCAGGUUCCUCUCGCGAUAUCUGAGUGUUGCUGCGGCAACGCUCAGAUCUCGCGAGAGUUAACUCUAGCCCUGCAGGCUAGAGUUCACUCUCCACUGGACCACCAGGGAUGGCACAUGGCAGCAAGGAUUUACUAAUCUGCCAAAUCCCUCCAAACAUACAGCACACACACAUACAGCACCUACACACAUACAGCUCACACACACACAGUACACUAACCGCACCCUCACAAACACACACAGCACCUUUAAAAAAAACGCAACACCCUCACACACAGCACACUAACAGCACCCUCACAAACACACACACACACACACAAACAGCACUCUCACAAAUACACGACACUCACACAAACAGCACCCUCACAGGACAAACAUACACACACAAACAGCACAGUCACAAACACACACAAACACCCUCACAUCACACUAACAGCACCCUCACAUCACACUAACAGCACCCUCACAUCACACUAACAGCACACUAACAGCACACACAGCAGUGUGUGUGUGUGUGUGUAUAUAUCUAUAUAUCUAUAUACAUAUAGAUAUAUAGAUAUACACACACACACACACACACACACGCGGCGUGUGUUUGUGCUUUAGGGUGCACACCCUAAUGCAAUAGGCUGUGCACGCCUAUGCACAUAUCCAAAAUUCACCCAGAUCCGUUCAUUACUUUGGAAGAUACAGUUUAAUGCAGAUUCUGCAGAACAUAUACAGGCUAAAUGAAAAACAAUCACUGUAUAAUGUGUCCCCUGCUGUAUAGUCCAAAACCACUGUACGAUGUCUCUGUGCACCAAAUACUGGCGAGAUGGCACCGUGUUGAAAAGUCCAAACAGUGUCUGUGAGUUAAAAUGGCCGCCAUCCAUUGUUCUCACCAUGUGCUUCAUCCAUUGUUCUGAUACAGGAAAUGGUGGCCACCCAGUAACUCCACAGUAUGUCCCCAGACGGUUCUUAAAGGGCCAGCAGCAGCACAACACAAAUCCAUUAUGCCCAAAUUAUGUCUUUAAAGGGCAAUACAUCCCAGGGGCCAUAGUCACAUGGCAGGUGGCUGGCAAUCAGUCUUCUCCAAUGCCCAGUGGCGAGGUCGGUUUUGCCAUAUACUGUGUGUGUGUGACUAUCUGCCUGUGUCUGUGUGUGGAUGUCUGCAAUGUGUGUGUGUCUGUGUCUGUGUGCCUGUGUGUGUGUGUGUGUGUGACUGUGUGUGUAUAUCUGCUUGUGUGUGUCUGUGUGUAUGACUGUCUGUGUGUAUGACUCUCGGCCUGUGUGUGUCUGUGUGUAUGACUGCCUACCAAUGUGUGUGUGUCUGUGUGUAUGACUGUCUGCCUGUGUGUGUGUGUGUGACUAUCUGCCUGUGUGUGUGUGUGUGUGUGACUGUCUGCUUGUGUGUGUGUCUGUGUGUGUAUGACUGUCUGCUUGUGUGUGUGUCUGUGUGUGUAUGACUGUCUGUAUGUAUGACUGUCUGCCUGUGUGUGUGUCUGUGUGUAUGACUGUCUGCCUGUGUGUGUGUGUCUGUGUGUAUGACUGUCUGCCUGUGUGUCUGUGUGUAUGACUGUCUGCCUGUGUGUCCGUGUGUAUGACUGUCUGCCUGUGUGUGUGUCUGUGUGUAUGACUGUCUGCCUGUGUGUGAGUGACUAUCUGCCUGUCGGGAUCCCACGGGCGGCUGCGAGGGGAGGCUGCACUCCGCUCGCGGUACUCACCCUCCAACCGUCCGCGGUCCCCUCCUCCUCCUGGGUCCGGCGAGCGGCAUCCUUCCAGCCUCGGAUGCCGCCCGCCGUUCCCUCCACGUCCCCCAGCGGCAGCAUACAUGACGCUGCACGCUGGGAGACCGCCCAAGUUUGUACACGCCGGGGUCAGUCACCUGACCCGGCUUUAAAGGCACAGUGCCUCAAUCACAGUGGGAGGUCUAGAUAUCUCCCACGUGUGAUUGUUAAUUCUGAUUGGAAAUUAUCCAAUCAGAAUUAACCUGAUGGUUUAAAUACUUACCUUUCCUGUUCCUCUUUGCCCUGUUGUGGUCUUUGCUUGCUAGUAUUGCUACUUACCUUGUGUUUCUGGUUACGUACUCUCUGGCUUGUUUAUCCGACUUUGUGACUUUCUCCUACCCUUUGACCUCGGCUCGUUUCACGUUAUUCUGUCUUCUGGUUCCCUUUACUCGGCUUGUUUCCUGACUAUUCUGUGUGUGCUUAGCCCGGCCACUCUAAGGUCCGGUACGGCACCUUUUGUGUGUGUGUGUGUGCCAGCGUGUUGGGUUCCCAGAAUCGUGACACUGCCUGUGUGACUGCCUGCCUGUGUGUGUGUGUGACUGCAUGCCUGUGUGUGUGUUGAUGUCUUCCUGUGUGUGUAUGGCCGUCUGCCUCUGUGUGUGUGUGUGGCUGUCUGCGUUUGUGCAUGUGUGUGGCUGUCUGUGUGUGUGUGACUGUCUGCCUGUGUGUGUAUGUGUGUGGCUGUCUGCGUGUGUGUUUGUGACUGCGUGUGUGUGUGUGUGUAAGACUGUAUGUGUGGCUGCAUGUGUGUGGCUGUCUGCCUGUAAUUGUGUGUGUUUAUCUACCUCUAACUGUGUAUGUGUGUUACUGCCUGUACCUGUGUGUUUCUGCCUGAUCCUGUGUAUGUGACUAUCUGCCUGUGACUGUGUGCAUGAGGUGGAUUUGACAGUGUAUAUGUAUAACUGUGUGCAUCUGACUGUGGGACUGUGUGCACAUAACUCUGCAAAAAUAUACACCUGCAUUCACACACAGGCCUAAAUGCAUGUUUUUAUCUGAAUUAAAUACCCAUCACACACAGCCAAUAAACCCAGCACAAAUAUCACAUACAACCAAUACACGCAUAUCACACACAGUUAAUCCACCCAUUACAAAUAUCACACAUAGCAUACAUAUCACACACAGUCAUCACAUCUAUCACAUACACAGACAACACAAACAUUACAUCAUACAUGGAUGACGGGGGGGAGGUGGGAGGGGGUGAGGGCGCUGUGAAGAUUUUUGACACAGGUCGCCUAAAGGCCUAAGGCCGGCCCUGUCUACAGUUAUUGAUUUUUAAAGGGUUACUCCAACUAUUGUCACCACAAUGAUUUGAGGUGUUUUUAACUGAAUUGGGGUAAACAGACAAAUGAGUGAAAAAUGUCAGGUAGAACAGCGAGGCUCGUAGAAUUCACAAUGUAGAAUUCUUCUAAAAAUAUCCAGAUGACAUUACUGGGGGACAAGACGCCAAAGAUUUACCUGUAAGAGCAUCACACGUGUUAUAACUGUGAUUUGACUUCACUGUGUGUGUGACACUUUAUCACCAGCAAUCAUUAAGGAAUAUUACAUCUAAUCAGUGCUAAAGUCACCGUGUCUAUUGUCCUCACUUACGAUCCCGGAUUACCUGUCUCUCUGUGUUUCAUUCCAAACAGAAGUGACAUUUUGAUUUUCUGUGACAGAUACACCUUUUGGAGAAUUGCUGUAUUUUGUAGAAUCCCAUUGUCUCUGUAUCUCGUACAUUAGAAAAUCAUUUAUUUUUCCUUUGUGUGGUUCUGCCCGGCUUCCCUCGUACCUCGGUUUAUUUGCAAUCAAUGCGUUGUUGUGUGCAAAGACAGGAGACAAGUCACUGGAGAUAUUUAUUCACAUUUUUUUUAGGCUCAAUCAAUUUUAUUUUUCCCGUGUAUUUAUGCUGAUAUAAUAAGCUGAUUUUGAUGUUUGUUUCAAUUCAGGGUAAUAUUUUGUUAGUUAAUACAAAAUUUGACCCCCGGCAUAUUUCAUUUGCGCUUAGUCCCGGGUUGCUUUAUGUUUUCCAGUGGGAGAACUGACUAAAAAAUGAGUUUUCCUGGUUUAUUUCACAGUAAGGAUGCUAGAGAUGUGGAAUUUACAAUCUGCUAAUUGGUUCAGACCAUGCCAGCAAAGAGUUAAACUCUGUAUUUAAUCAAAGAAACAUUAACUGGGUAAUUCCAGCAUGUUAAAGGGACACUGUAAGUGUGUAAAGUGCUAUGGCCUCCCGUGUGCAAGGUUAAAGAGACACUAUAAGCGUGUAAAGUGCCAUGGCCUCCCGUGUGCAAGGUUAAAGAGACACUCUAAGUGUGUAAAGUGCAAUGGCCUCCCGUGUACAAGGUUAAAGGGACACUGUAAGCGUGUAAAGUGCUAUGACCUCCCGUGUGCAAGGUUAAAGGGACACUGUAAGCGUGUAAAGUGCUAUGACCUCCCAUGUGCAAGGUUAAAGAGACACUCUAAGUGUGUAAAGUGCAAUGGCCUCCCGUGUGCAAGGUUAAAGGGACACUGUAAGCGUGUAAAGUGCUAUGACCUCCCAUGUGCAAGGUUAAAGAGACACUCUAAGUGUGUAAAGUGCAAUGGCCUCCCGUGUACAAGGUUAAAGGGACACUGUAAGCGUGUAAAGUGCUAUGACCUCCCGUGUGCAAGGUUAAAGGGACACUGUAAGCGUGUAAAGUGCUAUGACCUCCCAUGUGCAAGGUUAAAGAGACACUCUAAGUGUGUAAAGUGCAAUGGCCUCCGUGUGCAAGGUUAAAGGGACACUGUAAGCGUGUAAAGUGCUAUGACCUCCCAUGUGCAAGGUUAAAGAGACACUCUAAGUGUGUAAAGUGCAAUGGCCUCCCGUGUACAAGGUUAAAGGGACACUGUAAGCGUGUAAAGUGCUAUGACCUCCCGUGUGCAAGGUUAAAGGGACACUGUAAGCGUGUAAAGUGCUAUGACCUCCCAUGUGCAAGGUUAAAGAGACACUCUAAGUGUGUAAAGUGCAAUGGCCUCCCGUGUGCAAGGUUAAAGGGACACUGUAAGCGUGUAAAGUGCGUUGACCUCCCAUGUGCAAGGUUAAAGAGACACUCUAAGUGUGUAAAGUGCAAUGGCCUCCCGUGUGCAAGGUUAAAGAGACACUCUAAGUGUGUAAAGUGCAAUGGCCUCCCGUGUGCAAGGUUAAAGGGACACUGUAAGCGUGUAAAGUGCUAUGACCUCCCAUGUGCAAGGUUAAAGAGACACUCUAAGUGUGUAAAGUGCAAUGGCCUCCCGUGUGCAAGGUUAAAGGGACACUGUAAGCGUGUAAAGUGCUAUGACCUCCCGUGUACAAGGUUAAAGGGAAAUCAGAAAUUGUAAUUUACAACGUGGGAGAUAUAUAUAUAUUUUUACUUAAAAUAGUAUAUUACUAGUACUUAAGAUGUUACUGUUCCCAUAGUGACAUUUUGAUGGAUUGUAUUUAGGAAAUCGUUACUGUCAUGGAAUACAAUAUAUUCCUCACUGGAGGUUGCUUGAAGUUAGUCUGUUUUACGAGAACUGGUGGACUGUGGUUGGUAUUCGUUAAUACAAAGUGACUCUGCUAAAAGUGAAAAAGCAGGUUACAUUUUUAUUUAUUUAUUAUUUAAAACUUGUCUCCCUCUUUCUCUCUUGCUGUUUAUAUUCCCCUCCUUGUGGGUGCUGCUGCUGAGCUUAUUAGGGGGAGUGCCCCUUAAUUACCACCUGUGUGGGAUUUGUAUUGCCAAUAUAACCCCACUACUGACUCACAGAGCUUGCUUGAAAGUAGGAGGUAAAACAACAGGACUUUAACCCCUUAAGGACGGAGCCAAAUGUGCACGUUGUGAACAAAACAAAAUGUAAACAAAACCUGACAUUUGCGCUACAUGUCUGUCCAACCGUAAUUCACCUCUUUCAUAGUAAAUGCACCCACCCUUAUUAUAUAUCAUUUUAUUCAGGGGAAACAGGGCUUUCAUUUAACAUCAAAUAUUUAGCUAUGAAACAUAAUUUAAUAUGAAUUAAAAAUAAAAAAUGGGAGAAAAUAAGAAUUAAAAAACAAUGUUUAGUUCUACAUGACAUUCUAAUUGUGAAUGUCAUAUUACUGUUUGCUUUUACUGCAAUAAAAUACCCAUAUUUGUAUUCAGCAAAGUCUCACGUGUAAGACAGUACCCCCUAUGUACAGGUUUUAUGGUGUUUUGGGACGUUACAGGGUCAAAUAUAGCACGUUACAUUUGAAAUUGAAAUUCGCCAGAUUGGUUACGUUGCCUUUGGGACUUUGUAGUAGCCCAGGAAUGAAAUUUACACCCAUAAUGGCAUACCAUUUGCAAUAGUAGACAACCCAAGGUAUUGCAAAUGGGGUAUGUCCAGUCUUUUUUAGUAGCCAUUUGGUCACAAACAUUGGCCAAAGUUAGCGUUAGUAUUUGUUUGUGUGUGAAAAAUGAAAAAACGCCAAUUUUGGCCAGUGUUUGUGACUAAGUGGCUACUAAAAAAGACUGGACAUACCCCGUUUGCAAUACCUUGGGUUGUCUACUAUUGCAAAUGGUAUGCCAUCAUAGGGGUAACGUACCCAAUCUGGCGAAUUUUAAUGUGAAAAAAAUGAAACACAAGCCUUAUAUUUGACGCUGUAACUUUUGAAAACUCCAUAAAACCUGUACAUGAGGGGUACUGUUGUACUCGGGAGACUUCGCUGAACACAAAUAUUUGUGUUUCAAAACAGUAAAAAGUAUCACAGCAAUAAUAUUGUCCGUGUAAUGCUGUUUGUGCGUGAAAAAUGCAAAAACGUCACUUUUACUGGCGAUAUCAUCGUUGUAAUACAUUUUACUGUUUUGAAACACUAAUAUUUGUGUUCAGCGAAGUCUCCCGAGUAGAACAGUACCCCCAUGUAUAGGUUUUAUGGUGUCUUCGAAAGUUAUAGGGUUAAAUAUAGUGCUAGCAAAUUAAAUUCCCUUUACUUUCGGCAUGGGUUGUCAGGCAGGUCCCGCUAAUUGUAAUUAAUUAAGAUACCCAAUUAUGUAAAAUUAUUACAUAAUUAUAUAUGUAGAAUUAAUAUAUGUAUAUAUAUACGUGUCAGGUAUAGCAUGGCAUGUAAUUCAUCGCCGGAACCCACUUCCGGGUUCACGGCGCUCAGCCCCGCCCCUUUCUCUGACGCGGUCCCUCCACGAUACUUAGGAGGACCGCGCCAGAUUCAAAGGGCUGGAUUAUUCGCACAGGUGUUGCAUGAAGAUCAGCUGCUCUACUUUGAUCCUACCUGCUCCACUUCUAUACCUCGGCUAGUAAAACGGAUUUCUACCUUCUCCACUUCUCGACCUCGGCUAGUAAACGGAUUUCUACCUUCUCCACUUCUCGACCUCGGCUUGUAAACGGAUUUCUACCUUCUCCACUCCUGGACCUCGGCUAGUAACUCUGAAUUCUACCUUCUCCACUUCCAGACCUCGGCUUGUUAAAAUGGACUUCCCCACUCUCCACUCCUAGUUCUCAGCUUGUUGAAACGGACUUCUAAUUUCUCCUUCAUUGGGUGAAUUAACCCUUCCAGUGCCAGAACUGCCUUUAAGUUAAGUAAUACUUUUACCAAACAAGUCAAUUACUAUUAUUUAUAUUACACAGUAUCUAAAACUCACUAAAGUGUCACUUUGUCUAAUUAUUCCUCUUACUCAUAAGGGAUUGCUACAAAGCCUAAUUUUACCUUCAUGGAUAUUUAAAGGUACAGUGACCAUAGUUUCAUACCAAUAUAAAAGGAGGUGAACCUUAUUGUUGUUGCAACCAAGAAAUGCUGCAGUUGAGUUCCAAUUAAAGAAAUAUUACAAAAUAAGUAUUACAGAAUAAUCCAGCCCUAAUUCAAUGGAACCAGCAGAUAUUAACUCUCAAGUUUCUGCCCUAACCAAUAGAGUGGAUACGAUUGCUCAAGGGUUACAGGAACUGCAAAUUACAAAUGAGAGAAUAUUAACCUAUGUUAGAGACAUUCAAGGUCAUCUUCCUCAUGCCGCUCUUCAAUCGGCUGGUGAUCCUGCUGUCUGUAAUCCAGAAAAAUUUCAUGGAGAUAGAACAAAGUACAGAGAGUUUUUGAAUUCUUGCAAACUACUAAUAGCUUUAAAACCUAGAUCUUAUCCCACCGAAAGAUCCAAAGUCUGUUCAGUGAUCUCUUUUUUUAAGAGGUGAACCUAUGGCCUGGGCCCAUUCCUUUUUGGAAAAUGAUGAUCCCAUAUUAGAUUCAUUGGAUGAGUUCUUUGAAGCUAUGUCUUUAUUAUAUGAAGAUCCUUUUAAACAAACUACUGCUGAUUUAACCAUCAGAACAUUACACCAAAAGAAUAGACCUGUUGAAGAUUAUAUUGCAGAAUUCAAAAGAUGGGCUACAGAAACCCAAUGGAAUGACAUUACUUUACGCAAUCAAUUCCGUCUCGGAUUAUCUGAAGCUGUGAAAGAUGAACUCUCUCGUACAGAACUUCCUCCUACCUUAAAUGCAUUGAUUCAACUGUCUAUCAGUAUUGAUAGACGUCUAAAAGAAAGAAAAGCUGAAAGGGUUCUUACUAAUUCUACCUGGAGAAAACCUUUCACUACUCUAAAACUACCUGAAAAAAUUCCUCCACAAACUGAACCUAUGGAAGUAGGUAUAAUAAAAAGUCCUCUUACUUCUGAAGAAAGAAUAAGAAGGAGACAACUAAACUUAUGUAUGUAUUGUGCUUCGAACGAACAUCUAAUUUCCGAAUGUCCUCUACUUAAACAUUCAAAAGGUGGUAAGCUUCAUUCAUCUACCUCUAUAUUGAACGUUUUUCAAAAAAGAAAAGCAUCUACUUAUUUUUCUAUAUCUCUCAUAUUACAGUGGGAUACAAAAAGAAUCGUGACUGAGGCCAUCAUUGAUUCUGGUGCUAAUGGAACUUUUCUUGAUUUUUCUUUUGUUUCAAAAAAUAAAAUUCCUUGUGUUCAAAAAACCAAUUUUAUUCCAAUCAGAGUUAUUGACGGUUCAUUUAUAUCCUCAGGACCCAUCAAAGAUGAAACAAUCCCUCUAAGAAUGAUUACCAACAACGUACAUUUCGAAUUCAUUACAUUUGAUAUUAUUAAAUCUCCACUUUAUCCCGUCAUUCUAGGAAUUAAUUGGUUAAAAAAACCAUGAUCCUUUAAUUAAGUGGUCUCCCUUCUCCAUCUCCUUUGCUUCUGAUUUCUGUAAAAAAACGUGCUUACAACACAUUCCUAUUCUCCAAACUACUGUAGAACCAGUUAUACCUCCAUUCUACUCCGAUUUUGCAGAUGUCUUUUGUAAAAAAGAAGCGGAAACACUUCCUCCUCAUCGGCUAUAUGAUUGCCCAAUAGAUCUCAUACCCGGAGCUCCUAUUCCUUAUGGUCAUAUUUAUCCACUCUCUGAAAAGGAAUUAGAAAUUUUAAAAGAAUAUCUUAAUGAAAAUUUACGCAAAGGGUUCAUCAGACCCUCGACCUCUCCUGCUGCUUCUAGUAUUUUCUUUGUGAAGAAUAAAGACCAAACCAUCCGUCCUAUUAUAGAUUACAGAGCCUUAAAUAAAAUAACUAUUAAAAAUCGUUAUCCUCUUCCACUAAUAAAUGAAUUAAUUGAAAGGUUAAGAACUGCAACUAUAUUCACUAAACUCGACCUUCGAGGCGCAUAUAACCUCAUUAGAAUAAAACAGGAUGAUGAAUGGAAAACCGCCUUCCGGACAAGAUAUGGUCUCUACGAAUAUCUAGUGAUGCCUUUCGGGCUCUGUAAUGCCCCUGCAACAUUUCAACAUUUUAUCAAUGAUAUCUUUAGAGAUCUUCUGGAUGUAUGUGUUAUUAUCUACUUAGAUGAUAUCUUAAUAUAUUCUAACAAUUUGGAUGAACAUAGGAAACAUGUUAGAUGGGUUCUAUCUAGACUGAGAACUCAUAAAUUAUACGCUAAACCAGAAAAAUGCCUUUUUGAGGUUACUGAAUUCUCUUUUCUAGGAUACAUUAUUUCACCUCAUUCUUUGAAGAUGGAUAAUUCAAAAAUCAAAUGUAUUAUUGAUUGGCCUGCUCCUACUACUACAAAAGAAUUACAACGUUUUCUUGGAUUUGCAAACUUCUAUAGAAAAUUUAUUAGAAACUAUUCGGAUGUAUCACAUCCUCUUAACCUCCUCAACAGUAGUAAACGUCCUUUUAAUUGGAAUAAAGAUGCACAAACAGCCUUCGACGAAUUAAAAAAAAGAUUUACAACUGCACCUAUUCUACAACUACCUAAUCUAACAUUCCUAUAUGUUCUUGAAGUUGAUGCAUCAGAUGCAGCCAUCGGAGCAGUUCUUUCUCAACAAAAGACUCCACAAGAUCCACUUCAUCCAGUUGCCUUUUUUUCAAGAUCCUUGAGCUCUGCUGAAAAAAAUUAUCCUAUUGGUGAAAAAGAAUUAUUAAGUGUUAAAGCUGCCUUCGAAAAUUGGCGUCAUCUUCUGGAAGACACUUGGGAAGAUUCAUCUAAUGUACAUGCUAGGAGGUUAGUUACUGCCUUUCACAAACGCUACCCCUCCAAACCGAAAUAGUGCACCCAGAGGAUGCCCCAUGGGAAGGGGGUACUGUCAGGUAUAGCAUGGCAUGUAAUUCAUCGCCGGAACCCACUUCCGGGUUCACGGCGCUCAGCCCCGCCCCUUUCUCUGACGCGGUCCCUCCACGAUACUUAGGAGGACCGCGCCAGAUUCAAAGGGCUGGAUUAUUCGCACAGGUGCUGCAUGAAGAUCAGCUGCUCUACUUCUGAUCCUACCUGCUCCACUUCUAUACCUCGGCUAGUAAACGGAUUUCUACCUUCUCCACUUCUCGACCUCGGCUUGUAAACGGAUUUCUACCUUCUCCACUCCUAGACCUCGGCUUGUAACUCUGAAUUCUACCUUCUCCACUCCCAGACCUCGGCUUGUUAAAACGGACUUCCCCACUCUCCACUCCUAGUUCUCAGCUUGUUGAAACGGACUUCUAAUUUCUCCUUCAUUGGGUGAAUUAACCCUUCCAGUGCCAGAACUGCCUUUAAGUUAAGUAAUACUUUUACCAAACAAGUCAAUUACUAUUAUUUAUAUUACACAGUAUCUAAAACUCACUAAAGUGUCACUUUGUCUAAUUAUUCCUCUUACUCAUAAGGGAUUGCUACAAAGCCUAAUUUUACCUUCAUGGAUAUUUAAAGGUACAGUGACCAUAGUUUCAUACCAAUAUAAAAGGAGGUGAACCUUAUUGUUGUUGCAACCAAGAAAUGCUGCAGUUGAGUUCCAAUUAAAGAAAUAUUACAAAAUAAGUAUUACAAUACGUAUGUGAAUAUAUAUGUAUAUAUUUAUGUAUAUAGAUAUAUAUAUAUUAUUUCAUUCUAUGUGUAUUUUGAUAUAAAUAUAUAUAUAUUAAUAUCACAAAACAGUUAGAACGAAAUAACACACAUCUAUAUAUUUUUUAAUUAAUGUUUUUUUUUUUUUAAUUUUAUUUUUUAACGUAUUUACAUUUUUAUUUUUUUUAUAUUAUAUAUAAAUAUAUAUAUAACAAUAAUUAUAUAUAUAUUUAAUCAGUAUCAGUCUACGUGUAAUUUGAUAUUAAUAUAUAUAUAUAUAAUUAUAUAUAUAUUAAUAGUAAAAUACACCUAUACAGUGUACGUGUGUGUAUGUAUAUGAGUAUAUAUAUACUUAGAUCAUAUAUAUAUAAUAUAUAUGAUCUAAGUAUAUAUUAUUAUUUUUUUUACACUUUUAACUUUUUUAAACUUAAUUUUAUUUUUAUUUUCAGCCAGCAGGGGGACCACCUGUCAUUACAGGCAGCCCCCCUGCUGGCAAUGCUGCAGCCAGCUAUCCCGGCCAUGUGAUUGUGAGGUCCUCGCAAGGACCUCACUCUCACAUGGCCGGGGGGGCUUCCAGGGGGUCGGAUGUGCCGCGGGGGGCUCCCUGGGAGUCCCCCCAACUGCGAUCGCCGGCAUGGGACCGCUGGUGACCGGGUAAGUACAGAAAGACCGGAGGGCUUACUGUUACGCACGGCGGCGUUUAGAGCCGCUUUAAAUAGGGCGUAAUAGUACGCCCUCCGGUCUUAAGGGGUUAAACCAAGAGGGUAAAUAUUGUUUUUGCUCACUUGUGUUUUUUGGUAACUGGGGAUGAGUGCUAGCAAGAUUGCAGGUUUUACUCAGUGCACAUCCUGCCGCAUGUAUGCAUGCCUGGAUGAUUCUGUCCAGGGUCCAUACCUCUGUGGUGGGUUUGAGCGAGUGGCAUUUCUGGAAACUCAGAUUAGAGAUCUGGAGAGGCAAACUGUAACACUGAGGGAGAUUGACAAUCUUGAGAGGAGUCUGCUGCUCACUGAGCAGAGUUUAGUAGUGGAGAGGGAGGAGAUAAGACAGAUGGGGAACAGGCACGUAGCUGGGUGACAGUGGGGCGAGGAAGCAGAGGGGGAGGGAAGAGGAAAGGUUUAGCUAGUCCUGAUCUUGUGCAGCCCAACAGAUUUGCCCGUUUGAGUGAAGAUGUUGGGAGCAUCAGCUCAGGAGUAGCUGUGCUGCAGGAAGCUGUUCCUUCGACAGCCGUGGGACUAGCCCCUCUAGUACGGGUGGGGUUGAGAGGGUAAGGAAGUCUAGACAGGUUGUGGUGGUAGGGGACUCUAUCAUUAGGAGAGCAGAUAGGGUAAUCUGCCACUCUGAUCGGCUCACUCAGACAGUUUGCUGUCUCCCAGGUGCUCGGGUCCGGCAUGUUGCCGACAGAGUGGAGGGAUUAUUGGGAGGGGCUGAGGAUGACCCAGCUGUCAUGGUCCAUAUUGGUACCAAUGACAAAGUAAGAGGAAGAUGGAAGGUCCUAAAGAAUGAGUUCAGAGAACUAGGAAGUAAGCUAAAGAAAAAGGACCUCCAAGGUGGUAUUCUCUGAGAUAUUACCUGUGUAAUGGAUCACCUGGCACCCCGACUGGGUACCUCCGUUGAAGGAUGCUCCUAGCGCUUCCUGAGGGCUCCAAGCACUCCAGCCGACACCAUAACCACAGUGGACUCCUUCAGAGAGCAGGACAGGAACAAGCUCUUACAAGAGCUUAGCAGUGAAUAUAGCAAGAGAGUAUGCAGAGCAUAGCAAUCCCUUGUAGCAGGUUCCCCUAAUAAGAGACGGCACUCCAAAUUGAGGGUGAUGUAGAACUGAUUUACUGGGGCUACCUGCCCGGCUUUUAUGCAGGUCUCCCACCUGGUGGACACUCCCCUAGGGAACCAGAUGGAAGACUGGGAAACAUAUUGGACAAUGACCAAUAACAAACUUACAAUCCCACAAUGCAUCACAAUCCCUUAACUCCAUUAACCACAUGGCAGACAAUGGACAAAAAAAGACAUAAAAUUACAUAAUGUUACAUUUAUCACAUAGAACAUACACAUUCUACCUAUCCCCAGAUAGCUUAGAUCUGAGCGCACAUUAUUACCGAAUGGCGCUCAGAUCACAUACAUACAGUUCAAUCGCCAUGGAGCCAAAGUCUUUCAUACAAUCUUUCGGUAUAUGGCAUAGCUAUAUGGGGUAGCAUGGUUUAAAUAGUAAAGUACCGAAUGGACCGGUGUUCGGAUAAUUGACUGCAGGUAGGAAAAGGGAGGUCGGCGGCUCAGCGGUGUUCGUGACUUUAACAGUCCGCAGAGAGGCACGAACCAGCCUUUCUGCAAGGAAAAAGAACAGUGUUAAACAUGGGGCCAUAGUCACAGGGCAGGAGGCUGGCAAUCCGUCUUCUCCAAUGCCCAGUGGCAAGGUUGGUUCUGCCACAACCUGUGCCGCGCGCUACAGCAGAAAGGCAGUGGGAGAUUAGAGAGGUCAAUGCGUGGCUUAAGUCUUGGUGCAGGAAGGAGGGUUUGGGGUUUUUAGAGCACUGGGUCAAUUUUGCGCUUGGGUACAACCUGUAUAGUCGUGAUGGAUUGCACCUAAACUUUGUAAAGUAAUAAAAUGUGAGCAGGAUAUUGCUUUGCUGCAGAGGGAUUUGGAUAGAUUGGGGGACUGGGCACGAAAAUGGCAGAUUAAAUUUAACGUAGAGAAAUGCAAAGUUAUGCACUUCGGUGUAAAGAAUGCACAAGCAACUUACACCCUAAAUGGUAGUGAACUAGGGAUAACCACACACGAGAAGGAUUUGGGAAUUGUUAUAGACAACAAAUUAGGCAGCAAUAUGCAAUGUCAAUCUGCAGUUGCUAAGGCCAGUAAGGUUUUGUCAUGUAUAAAAAGGGGCAUAAAUACUCAGGAUGGAAAUAUAAUUUUGCCUCUUUAUAAAUCGCUGGUAAGACCACACCUUGAAUAUGCUGUGCAAUUUUGGGCACCUGUUCUAAAGAAAGAUAUCAUGGCACUAGAAAAAGUGCAGAGACGAGCUACAAAACUGAUAAAAGGAAUGGAGCACUUUAGUUACGAAGAAAGGUUAAAAAAAAUGUAAAUCUCUAUAGGUUGGAAAAAUGGCGCCUCAGAGGGGAUAUGAUAACAUUAUACAAAUAUAUUCAGGGCCAGUACAAACCUUUAUCUGGAAAUCUAUUAAUAAACAGGGCUAUACAUAGGACACAAGGUCACACAUUUCGGCUGGAAGAAAGAUUUCAUCUAAGGCAAAGAAAAGGUUUUUUUACAGUAAGAACAAUAAGGAUAUGGAAUUCUCUGCCUGAAUAGGUGGUUUUAUCAGAGUCUAUACAGAUGUUUAAACAGCAAUUGGAUAAAUACUUGCAAAAACAUAACAUACAGGGAUAUCAUUUCUAAUUAGUGGGGUAAUAGCUUCUUGAUCCAAGGAGACAUCUGACUGCUAUUUUGGGGUCAAGAAGGAAUUUUUUCCUAGCUUGUUGCAAAAUUGGAAGCGCUUCAGACUGGGUUUUUGUUUUCUGUCGGAUCAACAGCAAAAACGUGUGAGGAAGGCUGAACUUGAUGGACGCAAGUCUCUUUUCAGCUAUGUAACUAUGUAACUAUGUGACUUGUCCCUCUCACUCGCGAUAAAAAGUUCCUCACUUUUUGUGUCUGUGUGUAAUGUCAGUUUCGAUUUCCUCCCAGAAACAGGUGUUCCACGUUGCACCGUCUGAAUUGGGCUGAGAGCCCACUGAUCCUAAUUGCACAUGUAAUUAAUAUAAACAGUUUAAUGUUAAUCAUUUACAUGUUUUGCUUCAGGCUGACAUCUAAAAUUAGAGCGUUAAUUUCUUCAGCAAUUUUUUGUAAUACCAUUCUCAGGUUGUUAUAUUUGAAUACUAUUAUUUUUUUGUCAGAUAUCAAAGUCUUUGCCACGGAUUACUUGCCUAGUUAACGUUCAAACACAAGGGUCUGGAUUCUCAUUGUUCCCAUAGCCUUCAAUGGAGGAACUGCUAUUUACUAAGCAGGGUAAACUCUUACUGAGCUAAGAGAAUCCAGUCCAGGGUGUUAACGCAGUAAGUCAGGUGUGUUGUAUGUGGGGUAGGUAUGUUGUAUGUGGGGUAGGUGUGUUGUAUGGGGGGGAUGUAUGUUGUGUAUGUGGAGUAGGUGUGUUGUAUGUGGGGUAGGUGUGUUGUAUGGGGGGGAUGUAUGUUGUGUAUGUGGAGUAGGUGUGUUGUAUGGGGGGGAUGUAUGUUGUGUAUGUGGAGUAGGUGUGUUGUAUGUGGGGUAGGUGUGUUGUAUGGGGGGAUGUAUCUUGUGUGUGUGGGGUAGGUAUGUUGUAUGGGGUUAGGUAAGUUGUGUGUGGGGUAGGUAUGUUGUAUGUGGAGUAGGUAUGCUAUAAGUGGGAUAUGUAUUUAGUGUGGAGUUAGGUAUGUUGUGUGUGAAGUAGAUUUGUUGUUUUGGGAUAAGUAUGUUGUAAUUCAGGAAGGUUUGUUGUAUGGGGUUAGGUAUGUUGUGUGUGGGGUAGGUAUUUUGUCUGUGGGGUAGGUAUUUUGUCUGUGGGGUAGGUAUGUUGUGUGUGGGGUAGGUAUGUUGUAUGAGGUUAGGUAUUUUGUAUGUGGUUAGGUAUGUUGUGUGUGGGGUAGGUAUGUUGUAUGACGUUAGGUAUUUUGUAUGUGGUUAGGUAUGUUGUGUGGGUUAGGUAUGUUAUAUGGGGUUAGGUAUGUUGUGUGUGGGGUAGGUAUGUUGUAUGUGGAGUAGGUAUGCUAUAAGUGGGAUAUGUAUUUAGUGUGGAGUUAGGUAUGUUGUGUGUGAAGUAGAUUUGUUGUUUUGGGAUAAGUAUGUUGUAAUUCAGGAAGGUUUGUUGUAUGUGGGGUAGGUAUGUUGUAUGGGGUUAGGUAUGUUGUGUGUGGGGUAGGUAUUUUGUCUGUGGGGUAGGUAUUUUGUCUGUGGGGUAGGUAUGUUGUGUGUGGGGUAGGUAUGUUGUAUGAGGUUAGGUAUUUUGUAUGUGGUUAGGUAUGUUGUGUGUGGGGUAGGUAUGUUGUAUGACGUUAGGUAUUUUGUAUGUGGUUAGGUAUGUUGUGUGGGUUAGGUAUGUUAUAUGGGGUUAGGUAUGUUGUGUGUGGGGUAGGUAUGUUGUAUGUGGAGUAGGUAUGCUAUAAGUGGGAUAUGUAUUUAGUGUGGAGUUAGGUAUGUUGUGUGUGAAGUAGAUUUGUUGUUUUGGGAUAAGUAUGUUGUAAUUCAGGAAGGUUUGUUGUAUGGGGUUAGGUAUGUUGUGUGUGUGGGGUAGGUAUGUUGUGUGGGGUUAGGUAUUUUGUAUGGGGUUAGGUAUGUUGUGUGUGGGGUAGGUAUGUUGUAUGGGGUUAGGUAUGUUGUGUGUGUGUGGGGUAGGUAUGUUAUAAGUGCCUUACAAGAGCUGGCUGGAGGUGGCCCAUACUGAAACCCUAAUCUGGGGAAAGCGUAGAAUAAAGUGUAAUAUAUAAAACUAUUAUUGAUGUAAAAAAGAGAGCUACAUGAUGCAGACCCAUUAUCGCUCGUUUUUUCCUGUUUUUAUUACAUGCGAGAUCUUGCAGUUGCUGAUCUGGUGGAGAAUUAUCCUCCUACAUAUUGUAGCCGUGAAUUACGAUAAUAAUUAUAAUUGUUGUUCAGUGCAAUUGGCCACAUCCAGCGUUUUAAUUCUGUUCGAUGAUACUUGAGAAAAUGAUUCAGGAGAUGAGAAGAGUAACAGCCAGUAAUUCAGUUUCUCUCCAUUUUACAUGCACAUUAUUGAUAUUGGUCUUAUCACAGCGAGGACGUUAUAAAUGUGGUCAGUGCUUCGUAUACCAGCUCCAGGCUCCGGACCUCGUCGGGAUUCAGCAUAGCGCUUACAUACUGGUCUGUGAUACUCACUGCCAAUUUCAUGAUUAUACAAUAAUUAAAUUAGAAAUUGAAAAAAGAUGAAAACUUGAUUGGAUAAAUCAAUUGCGUUGGAGUGCAAUGCUGGCAAUGCUGUUUUAGUAAGAUUCCAUGUAAACUAAUGGAAUAACGAUUGUCCAAGGCCUGUGUAUUUGUUUGGGCUAGUGCAAUAUUUGUUUGGGCUAGUGCACAGAGUGCUCUUUAAAACUCGAAAUAUUCCUGUUGUCGCAGUCCGGCUGGGAAAGACUGACUAGUGCGGAGACAGUCUCUUCAAAGUGUGAAUAAGAAUCCCCCGGCGCGUUUCACUGUUAUAGAGAUUUGCCAGUGGCAUAAACGGGGUCCCUAACUCAAAAUGACUGCAGGAUCACAAAGAGAGACUCUGAAUAGAGAUGGAGUCCCAAAAACGAAUGAUCUGAGAAGCAGAAAAUGCAGGGGGUCUAUUACUACAUCAGCUGCUACGUUCAUACAGUAUAAGAGUCUAUUUUGUUUUGUUUUACUGAAAAACUGUUUAUGAGCGUUUUAAGCAUCAUUUUAACAUUCUUUUUAUAUUUUUGAAGUUUCGAGAUGCUCUGCCUUUUAACAAGAGAAGGGAUUUUCAAAUACUUUUAAAGAAAUGUCUUGCUUUUUUAUAAUCUGCAAGUGUGAAUUGAUCCUAUUUUGCUAAUAUUAAAGCACUUUUCAGUGUAUUUCACUCUUGUGAACCCUAGAGAGGGUUAAAGUGAAAAAGAAAAUGUAUAACUAUUUUGGAAUUUUACAAGAGAUUGGAAUUUAUUUAUUUACCCUUUACCAUUAGUUAAUAGGUGUGUUUAACCUUUUUAUGUGGCACUCUGUUGGGACAAAGGUUUAAAAAUAAUAUCAGGAAGUAUUACUUUAAUGAGAGGGUAGUGGAUGCAUGGAAUAGCCUUCCAGCUGAAGUGGUAGAGGUUAACACAGUAAAGGAGUUUAAGCAUGCGUGGGAUAGGCAUAAGGCUAUCCUAACUAUAAGAUAAGACUAGGGACUAAUGAAAGUAUUUAGAAAAUUGGGCAGACUAGAUGGGCCGAAUGGUUCUUAUCUGCCGUCACAUUCUAUGUUUCUGUUUAAUUUCUGGUUUUAUGCAAACUCCCGUAUACUUUGCAUUUUCUCUGCACGUUUACUAAAUUAAAUUGAUGUGGAACAAUAAUUAUCAUUACGCAUUAUGUAUUAUUGCCCAUCAAUUUAAUUAUUCUCCUUGACAUAUGAUGUCAUAGGUCACCAAUUAUGCAUUAUGAUGCAAUUUUGGUGCCAAAUUAGAAUUUCAAGAGGCCUUUAUAAGUAGGCAACGUCCAGGAGCUCUUUGAGAAGGUGAAACGUGUGAGUGUUUUUAUUCAAUAUAGUUCAUCGUAUUAUAUUUUAUCGUUUUUACUAGUCAUAAAUCAAGUUAAAGGGAUACUGUAAGUGCCAGGAAUACAAAACUGUAUUCCUGGCACUACCAAUCCCUCUGCCUCCCCCCUCCUUCCUCCCCCCCCUCCUCCCCGGUAAAUAAAGGGUUAAAAACCCUUUAUAUACUUACCUGAUAAUGGUGCCGAUGUCCCUCGGCGCUGGGUCGAAGCUCCGCCCCCUCCUCAGUUCCGUCCAUGAUAAUUGUCUCAAUUGUUUAACCCCUGAAGGUGUACCGUGGACUGGGCAUAGGAGCCUUCUGGUUCCUGUCAAGAAGUACCUCUUUCUCAGGUGUGUCAGGAAGGAACUGGAGGAAAUAGCUACAGACAGAAUUGUGGACAUCAGUUUAGAGAGAUCCUUAUGUGGAAAUUGGAUCUCAGUGGGCGGCUGUCCAAAUCCCUCAUUGGCUACUGUAGCUUAGAAUAUUUAUGUUUAAGAGAGGGAUAUUUCUCUAUUAGGGAGUUUUUUGGGGGUUUGCGAACCAUCUGUGGUAGCUUCAAGUUAUGAGGGGCAGCAUCCAAGCUGUAAAAAUUCUGUGGCUCAGAAGUCCACGUGUCUCUUAAAUUGAGCUUGUAGCUCUGAUUUUACAGUGAGCAUGGUAUUCAGGAAGCUAUUAAGAUUGGGAAUAUCUUUUCUUACAGAGCACAGCAUCCAAUGUGUUAUUUUAGGGGACAUUCGUGGCGAUUGUGGAAACAGUGAUCUGAAAUACAAGCGGAUCUCAGAGUCCUAAAUGCUCUUCCCCGCUCAUUCCCUGGGCAUAUCAGAACUUUGGGUCGUCAAGGUAUAUUCCUCAACUUUUGAUGCAAAUGGAGCAAAAAUUAAAGCUGGUGAGACUUUACCAACUAAACAAUCAAACAAAUAAAUUUGCCGCAACUACGAUUUCAUGGAAUAUCUUUGCCAGUUAUUAGAUGCAGAUCGUGUGGCUAGAAUUUAAAGGACCACUAUAGUGCCAGGAAAACAUACUUGUUUUCCUGGCACUAUAGUGCCCUGAGGGUGCCCCCACCCUCAGGGUCCCCCUCCCGCCGGGCUCUGGGGAGAGGAAGGGGUUAAACUUACCUCUUUCUCCAGCGCCGGGCGUGGAGCACUCCUCCUCCUCUUCUUCUCCUCUUCGGCUGAAUGCGCAUGCGCGGCAGGAGCCGUGUGUGCAUUCAGCCAGUCCAUAGGAAAGCAUUCACAGUGAGAAGCACGCAAGCGCCUCUAGCGGCUGUCAAGAGACAGCCACUGGAGGCUGGAUUAACCCAUUUAUAAACAUAGCAGUUUCUCUGAAACUGCUAUGUUUAUAAAAAAAAAAGGGUUAACCCUUGCUGGACCUGGCACCCAGACCACUUCAUUAAGCUGAAGUGGUCUGGGUGCCUAUAGUGGUCCUUUAACAUACACAUCCUUGGUGCUGGACUUGGCAAAAGUCCAAUAGAAAUGAUCCCUAAUGUACUACUAAAGUCUGAGUGUGCGGACAUUAGGGAUUGUUUGGGGAUAAGACUUGGAUAGCUACAUCUAAUAUACACAAACCCAUUCAUGUCUUUAGAAUGAAUGUAGCUAUUAUUAAAAUGAGCAUUUAAAUAGCACCAAUAGCACCAACAUGUGCAAUGUAACGCGGUAUAAAAAGGGUUACAAAACCAAGUAACAAAAAUAACGAACUGGAGACAAGAGAUUAUUAAAGAGCUUGCCCAAGUGAGCUUACAAUCUGACAUCACUUCUGCGUGGAUUCAUCACUGUCUAUUAUAGAACACUAUAAAGAAACAUUAUAAAAAUAAGUGGGUAUUUGCUGAGCAGUGUGUGUGCCCAGCCAGCACGUCGUCCUAGGGACUAGGUGGAUCGGGAAAUGGAACCUUCUUACACCACAACCAGUCCAAGGAGCACAAGCUGCAGAGAUUGAAGUGUCACUUUAAGCAUUUGCCUUACCCCAUCACAAACUUCUGGUUUGUGAGCUUGAUGGAAGGCAUGUCGAUAAUCUUUGUUUUCUAGUACAGACAUCUCGUAUCUCACCUCCAGGCCCAACAUGUAAAUCUGUCACUGAUCAUUGAUUAUCCAUCAUUUUCACUGAUUCACACUGUCUGCAACAGAGACAGACUCACUGUGAGGGAAAACUCCCCAAUAUCAGGGACAGGUUAACACUGUUUUAGUUGAACUUGAGUUCACUUUGAUUCCAGAAUUAGCAAACUUCCAAAUACUUUUCACUGAGAUAGAAUCCCUGUACCAGAGCUAAAUUGGAAUACUAUGUUAAUUUGCAUGAAAUGCCAUGUGAGUGCCUUUUCUCAAUGUUAAUGUAUGGAGUCAUUAAUUGAAAUAAAAUCCUACACAGCAUAUUAACCGGCAUGGCUAUUAGAUCAGCUUUAAGUACACCAUGGCUGCUACGAGGCCCUGGCAACGUUAAUCUGUACGCCACAUCCAUCGGUUAUUCACUGUAAUAUUUAUUUGCAGUGCUGAUAAUUUUGUAUUUUGCAAUGCACUUCAGGACUUGUCAUGGCACAAAUAAAUUAUAGCAAAGUAAUAAUAAAAAUACUGAUAACAGCAUUGACUUUUCAAGAUUUCGCACAAAAAAGGAGAAAGAGAAAAAUGUAUUUGGUAUUUUGAAACAAAUGUAGUUCUUUGUAUAAGAAACUGGUCAUUCAUUGCAUGGUAGCGUUUCAGUAACCCUCUGACUCCAGUUGACUAAUCCACUACGCGUUUAUUGUCCUACAUGCUGCUUGUAGAUGUGUUGUGAUGCUCUGCACUGAUUUAUAUUACAGCAUGGAGCAGAGACUUGCCUGCGCAGCGCUGCUUUCAAAUCUCGCAGCCCCACAUCUGCUUUUAUGUGUAUUUCAAAGUCUCUCCAUUCAUAUAUUAAAAAUUAUCUGGUUCAGUGGAUAUUUCGUAACAUCCAUCAGAGCUAUUGAAAUAAAUAAAUUAAUUUCUCUUUUGUGGGUUUUUCUUUCAUUUCUUUUUUUUAAUCUCCUUUUGGGUCCCUUUUUAUCUCCUCGACUCUGUCAGCAGUAGCAGACUAUAGACGUUUACCGCUAACGUUGGAUAGAAUUUUGCAAAAGUUGAAAUGGAUUAAUUUGUAAAGCUGGUAUCAUAGCUCAGUGGGUUACUAUACCAAUUGUAGAAUCCAGGUAAAAUUAUAGAAUGCAUGUCCAGUUCCUUCAAGGAUUACUUCAACCUUUCAUCAUUUGUAGUUUUAUCAAAUUAUUACCAUUGAGUUGGGUAAUACAAGUAUCCAUAAUCGAGGGCAACAAAACUGUCACAGUAUCCUCCUGCAAUGUAAGUAGGCAGCAAGGGUAGUGUCAGAGAUUGUGGCAGUCUGCAAAGGUAGUGUCGGAGAUUGUGGCAGCAUGCAGGGGUAGUGUCAGAGAUUGUGGCAGUCUGCAAGGGUAGUGUCGGAGAUUGUGGCAGUCUGCAAGGGUAGUGUCAGAGAUUGUGGCAGUCUGCAAGGGUAGUGUCGGAGAUUGUGGCAGCAUGCAAGGGUAGUGUCGGAGAUUGUGGCAGUCUUCAAGGGUAGUGUCGGAGACUGUGGCAGUCUGCAAGGGUAGUGUCAGAGAUUGUGGCAGCAUGCAAGGGUAGUGUCGGAGAUUGUGGCAGUCUGCAAGGGUAGUGUCAGAGACUGUGGCAGUCUGCAAGGGUAGUGUCAGAGACUGUGGCAGUCUGCAAGGGUAGUGUCAGAGAUUCUGGAAGCAUGCAAGGGUAGUGUCAGAGAUUCUGGAAGCAUGCAAGGGUAGUAUCAGAGAUUGUGGCAGCCUGCAAGGGUAGUGUCAGAGAUUCUGGAAGCAUGCAAGGGUAGUGUCGGAGAUUGUGGCAGUCUGCAAGGGUAGUGUCGGAGAUUGUGGCAGCAUGCAAGGGUAGUGUCGGAGAUUGUGGCAGUCUGCAAGGGUAGUGUCAGAGAUUGUGGCAGCCUGCAAGGGUAGUGUCAGAGAUUCUGGAAGCAUGCAAGGGUAGUGUCGGAGAUUGUGGCAGUCUGCAAGGGUAGUGUCGGAAAUUGUGGCAGCAUGCAAGGGUAGUGUCGGAGAUUGUGGCAGUCUGCAAGGGUAGUAUCAGAGAUUGUGGCAGCCUGCAAGGGUAGUGUCAGAGAUUGUGGAAGCAUGCAAGAGUAGUGUCGGAGAUUGUGGCAGUCUGCAAGGGUAGUGUCGGAGAUUGUGGCAGCAUGCAAGGGUAGUGUCGGAGAUUGUGGCAGUCUGCAAGGGUAGUAUCAGAGAUUGUGGCAGCCUGCAAGGGUAGUGUCAGAGAUUCUGGCAGCAUGCAGGGGUAGUGUCAGAGAUUGUGGCAGCCUGCAAGGGUAGUAUCAGAGAUUAUGGCAACAUGCAAGGGUAGUGACAGAGAUUGUGGCAGUCUGCAAGGGUAGUGUCAGAGAUUCUGGCAGCAUGCAGGGGUAGUGUCAGAGAUUGUGGCAGUCUGCAAGGGUAGUGACAGAGAUUGUGGCAGCCUGCAAGGGUAGUGUCAGAGAUUGUGGCAGUUUGCAAGGGUAGUGUCGGAGAUUGUGGCAGCCUGCAAGGGUAGUGUCAGAGAUUGUGGCAGUCUGCAAGGGUAGUGUCGGAGAUUGUGGCAGCCUGCAAGGGUAGUAUCAGAGAUUGUGGCAGUCUGCAAGGGUAGUGUCGGAGAUUGCGGCAGCAUGCAAGGGUAGUGUUGGAGAUUGUGGCAGCCUGCAAGAGUAGUAUCAGAGAUUGUGGCAACAUGCAAGGGUAGUGUCGGAGAUUGUGACAGUCUGCAAGGGUAGUGACAGAGAUUGUGUGAGUGCCUGAUUAAAAUAAAGUGUACCCUUCAAUUAGUGUUUUCCUCUCGUAGGCAUUUUUCCUUUGCAAAGUUAAAAGGUAUGUAUUAAUUAUAUUGAUUUCUGAUCUAUACCAGGAGGUUUUAAUGGGUGCUACAGAUAUUUGGAAUGUGUUAAAGUAUGGCAGAUGUAAAAUGAGUUGGAUUAUUAACGCUAUGUGAAUGGUAAACCAAUCAUUAAUCUUCCCUCUUUGGGGUUUGGGGUUGGACGGGACACAAAGUGAAGUCAGAAAUGUACAUACACUGCAAAAACACCAGUAGUUAAACACAACAGCAGCAAUGUCUUAUUGAAAUAAUGAAUCAUGAGGAUCUUUCAUUUAUUCAACUAUAUUACCACGUUGGCUCACCUUGCAUCAUCUAAUAAUACGUCAUUUCUUCCUUUAAAUGAAUGGAAAUCGAUAAGGGCACUUAAUUCCAGCUUGUGGCCACUUAAAGGCCCUACAGAGUUCGGUGCUGGAAAAUAAGGGCACUCACAAACAAAUAUGAAAUCAGGCUUCUCACCCUCCCAAGGGUAGCAAUCUUAUGAAUGGACGAUCCUCCGUGGGAUAUAUAAAAAAUAAAAAAACAAAUAUAGUGAAGCAUGUAAUUAAAUUACAAAAUUACAUUUAUUGGUCUCACUUACAAGUGAAGAAGAAUAGCAGGCAUAUCUCCAUAUAACAUGGAACUCCCAGAACGAUGCAGAAGAGAGUCCAAUAGAAGAUCCAAUGAGGCAGGCAGAAUACAAAUAAAAUAAAAAUAAAAACUUCAUACAAAAUUACAUUAAAAAAAAGAAUAAAAUAUAAUAGCAGCAUACAUAAACUGAAAGUGUCUAUCCAACGCGUUUCGUCCAACAAAAGGGGACUUCCUCAGGGAUAUAGAUGUGAUGAUACUUCCAGAUAUAUAUAGAGCGAUAUCCAUAAUCAAAAACCCGGGUAUCCGGCGUCCGACUGUGGCGUGCGUUUCAUUCGUGGCACGCAUAAAACAAGAUACAGUCCUUACGUUCCGGAAGUACUGUCAUUUCCGGUAAUGUGGAACGCAUAUGCGUAGUUCGAGCGCAUGCGCAUAAUAGACGCGCAUGUGUGUCAUAAACGCACCUAUAGGGGACAAAAAAGUAGAGAAAACGGGCUGAUAAUCCGCCCAAAAGGCUAAGAACCAGGAUGAACAAAAGUUAUAUAGACAAAAAAAAAUAAAAAUAAAAAUAAAACAUAAAAUAAAUUGAAUAAAAAAAAUUUAAUAAAAAAAAUUUAAUAAAAAAGCAAGUACACAUGUAAUGAAUAUGUAUAUAAUGCCCAGUACACUGUAUUUAAUAUACUACACAUAUAAAACACAAUCAAUUGGUUGCAAUUAUUAGACCAGAAACAUUUGCUUAGACACACAAAAACCUUGAAAACCCCAAAUAUUCUGAAAUGAGAAGAAAUUCAUAUUACUCUACUUAAAUGUGUAUAGAUUAAAUUAGUCUAAUUCAAAUUAAACCUUGUAAAUCAAUUUCCUGAUUGAGUCCGCUUUUUUGACGCAAUAUAAUUCUCAAGCAAAUAAGAUAGAACAGAUACUUUAAAAACAUUAGCACAUCCUGAAGAGGGAUGAUGUCUUAAAACAUAUGUUACCUGAAUUCCCUAUAGUAAUUUACAAAAAAUCAGCCAAUAAAAAAUAAAUUGGCACCUAGUUUGUUACCGUCUACCCCUUCUUGUAAUAAUGUAUUAAAAACUCCAAUAUUAGGUUUUUUCAGUUGUGGACGUUGUUCCACUUGUAAAUAUCAAAAAAAGAAAAUUGUGAAUUUUACAAGUACAUAUACUAAUAACACCUAUAAUAUUAAGAAACAUAUUCACUGUUCUUCUUCCUUUGUGGUCUAUUUACUACAAUGCGGUUGUGGGGCUCAAUACGUGGGCCGUACUUCUAGAAAAUUACAUAUCAGAAUUUUGGAAGACUUUAAUAACAUAAAGAAAAAGAAAUUUGAUCAUAGUGUCCCCAGACAUUGCAAUACAUGUCCGUUAUUUAAAUGGAACACCUUUCAAGCAUUCGGUAUAGACUCCAUCCAUUUAGGUUGGAGGGGAGGAGACAAAUUACAUGAGUUAAUUAAAAAAGAGGCGUUUUGGAUUUUUAAUCUGAAAACUUUACAUCAGGGACUUAAUCAGGAAAUUGAUUUACAAGGUUUAAUUUGAAUUAGACUAAUUUAAUCUAUACACAUUUAAGUAGAGUAAUAUGAAUUUCCUCUCAUUUCAGAAUAUUUGGGGUUUUCAAGGUUUUUGUGUGUCUAAGCAAAUGUUUCUGGCCUAAUAAUUGCAACCAAUUGAUUGUGUUUUAUAUGUGUAGUAUAUUAAAUACAGUGUACUGGGCAUUAUAUACAUAUUCAUUACAUGUGUACUUGCUUUUUUAUUCAAUUUUUUUUAUUCAAUUUUUUUUUUUACUUUGUUUUUGUCUAUAUGACUUUUGUUCAUCCUGGUUCUUAGCCUUUUGGGCGGAUUAUCCGCCCGUUUUCUCUACUUUUUUGUCCCCUAUAGGUUUCCGGUAAUAACAUCUGCGCAUGUGCGUUUUUGACACACAUGCGCGUCUAUUAUGCGCAUGCGCACAAACUACGCAUAUGCGUUCCACGUUACCGGAAAUGACAGUACUUCCGGAACGUAAGGACUGUAUCUUGUUUUAUGCGUGCCACGAAUGAAACGCACGCCACAGUCGGACGCCGGAUACCCAGGUUUUUCGAAUUCAGGAUGAUUAUGGAUAUCGCUCUAUAUAUAUCUGGAAGUAUCAUCACAUCUAUAUCCCUGAGGAAGUCCCCUUUUGUUGGACGAAACGCGUUGGAUAGACACUUUCAGUUUAUGUAUGCUGCUAUUAUAUUUUAUUCCUUUUUAUGUAAUUUUGUAUGUAGUUUUUAUUUUAAUUUUAUUUGUAUUCUUCCUGCCUCAUUGGAUCUAAUAUUGGACUCUCUUCUGCAUCGUUCUGGGAGUUCCAUGUUAUAUGGAGAUAUGCCUGCUAUUCUUCUUCACUUGUAAGUGAGACCAAUAAAUGUAAUUUUGUAAUUUAAUUACAUGCUUCACUAUAUUUGUUUUUUUAUUUUUUAUACAGGGAGUGCAGAAUUAUUAGGCAAGUUGUAUUUUUGAGGAUUAAUUUUAUUAUUGAACAACAACCAUGUUCUCAAUGAACCCAAAAAACUCAUUAAUAUCAAAGCUGAAUAUUUUGGAAGUAGUUUUUAGUUUGUUUUUAGUUUUAGCUAUGUUAGGGGGAUAUCUGUGUGUGCAGGUGACUAUUACUGUGCAUAAUUAUUAGGCAACUUAACAAAAAACAAAUAUAUACCCAUUUCAAUUAUUUAUUAUUACCAGUGAAACCAAUAUAACAUCUCAACAUUCACAAAUAUACAUUUCUGACAUUAAAAAACAAAACAAAAACAAAUCAGUGACCAAUAUAGCCACCUUUCUUUGCAAGGACACUCAAAAGCCUGCCAUCCAUGGAUUCUGUCAGUGUUUUGAUCUGUUCACCAUCACCAUUGCGUGCAGCAGCAACCACAGCCUCCCAGACACUGUUCAGAGAGGUGUACUGUUUUCCCUCCUUGUAAAUCUCACAUUUGAUGAUGGACUACAGGUUCUCAAUGGGGUUCAGAUCAGGUGAACAAGGAGGCCAUGUCAUUAGAUUUUCUUCUUUUAUACCCUUUCUUGCCAGCCAAGCUGUGGAGUACUUGGACGCGUGUGAUGGAGCAUUGUCCUGCAUGAAAAUCAUGUUUUUCUUGAAGGAUGCAGACUUCUUCCUGUACCACUGCUUGAAGAAGGUGUCUUCCAGGAACUGGCAGUAGGACUGGGAGCUGAGCUUGACUCCAUCCUCAACCCGAAAAGGCCCCACAAGCUCAUCUUUGAUGAUACCAGCCCAAACCAGUACUCCACCUCCAUCUUGCUGGCGUCUGAGUCGGACUGGAGCUCUCUGCCCUUUACCAAUCCAGCCACGGGCCUAUCCAUCUGGCCCAUCAAGACUCACUCUCAUUUCAUCAGUCCAUAAAACCUUAGAAAAAUCAGUCUUGAGAUAUUUCUUGGCCCAGUCUUGACGUUUCAGCUUGUGUGUCUUGUUCAGUGGUGGUCGUCUUUCAGCCUUUCUUACCUUGGCCAUGUCUCUGAGUAUUGCACACCUUGUGCUUUUGGGCACUCCAGUGAUGUUGCAGCUCUGAAUUAUGGCCAAACUGGUGGCAAGUGGCAUCGCGGCAGCUGCACGCUUGACUUUUCUCAGUUCAUGGGCAGUUAUUUUGCGCCUUGGUUUUUCCACACGCUUCUUGCGACCCUGUUGACUAUUUUGAAUGAAACGCUUGAUUGUUCGAUGAUCACGCUUCAGAAGUUUUGCAAUUUUAAGAGUGCUGCAUCCCUCUGCAAGAUAUCUCACUAUUUUGGACUUUUCUGAGCCUGUCAAGUCCUUCUUUUGACCCAUUUUGCCAAAGGAAAGGAAGUUGCCUAAUAAUUAUGCACACCUGAUAUAGGGUGUUGAUGUCAUUAGACCACACCCCUUCUCAUUACAGAGAUGCACAUCACCUAAUAUGUUUAAUUGGUAGUAGGCUUUCGAGCCUAUACAGCUUGGAGUAAGACAACAUGCAUAAAGAGGAUGAUGUGGUCAAAAUACUCAUUUGCCUAAUAAUUCUGCACUCCCUGUAUAUCCCACAGAGGAUCGUCCAUUCAUAAGAUUGCUACCCUUGGGAGGGUGAGAAGCCUGAUUUCAUAUUUGUUUGUGAGUGCCCUUAUUUUCACUAAAUAUCACUCACUAUUCAGUACUGUAUUACGCUAUGUUAGUCUUUUAAUUUUCUAUACCGAUUCCGUUUAUCAAUCACGACCUAUAUCUCAGGUUAUUUGUAUUUGUUCUUAUAUUAUCACGUAUUUGGGAGGUGUUUCCACUUUGGUUUUCAAUCAUUGAAGUGGGAGUCACUCACCUAAAAUCGGCCUGGGAGUCCAUGCCAGCCCACUGCUGAGGGAUAGAGAGUAAUGAAUCCACACAAGAUAAACAAUUGGCAGUUGUGAAGCCCACACUGCACUGACAGGACACCCUCUUCAUGUUCACAGUAAGAAGGAAGGACGACGCCGUCAAUGCUAACCUGGUGCCUUGAAUACUGUGUCAUGGUUUAGUAGAUAGAGCCCCAAACAUAUUAAUUGGCUGAGAGUGUCCGCAGUGAGGUACAGGUAAAGGUACGGCAGAAGCGUUGUCAUGCAGUCAAUGGGCCAGGUCAGGAAGCACAGGUUCAUACAUGGAAGACCAGACAAAGGUCAGAUAUAGGAUAAUCAGACCAGUUACAAUGCAGCGACUGAGCGUAGCAGGGAGCACAGAAUACUGAGCACAGGUAUCAGGUAUAAUCAGAGUACUAGUACUGACAGGUAGGUAAUAAUCUGAAUACUAGUACUGACAGGUAGGUAAUAAUCUGAAUACUAGUACUGACAGGUAGGUAAUAAUCCGAAUACUAGUAAUGACAGGUAGGUAAUAAUCAGAGUACUAGUGCUAGUGCUGACAGGUAGAUAAUAAUCAGAAUACUAGUACUGACAUGUAGUAGUGACAUGAUUGAAUCUACCGAAAACCGGGCAGAAAAGCACGAAUAAGUCUUUUCUGCAGGGGAAAAGAAGUCUUGUAACAUGGGGCCAUAAUCCAAAGGUAACAGGCGAGCAACCAGGCUUCUCCAGUGCAAUGUGGCGAGGUUGCUCUUGUCACAGUAAUAAUCUGAAUACGAGUACUGACAGGUAGGUUAUAAUCCGAAUACUAGUACUGACCGGUACGUAAUAAUCCCAAUACUAGUACUGACCGGUAGGUAAUUAUCCGAAUAUUAGUACUGACCGGUAGGUAAUAAUCCGAAUACUAGUACUGACAGGUAGAUAAUAAUCAGAAUACUAGUACUAGUACUGACCGGUCGGUAAUAAUCUGAAUACUAGUACUGACCAGUAGGUAAUAAUCUGAAUACUAGUACUGACCGGCAGGUAAUAAUCAGAAUACUAGUACUGACAUGUAGGUAAUAAUCUGAAUACUAGUGCUGACAGGUAAUAAUCUGAAGACUCGUACUGACAUGUAGGUAAUAAUCCGAAUACUAGUACUGACAGGUAAUUGUAACGGACCGUUUCAGCACUCAAGUGGUUAUAACCGUUUAGGCGAUCGUCCCCUUUCAGAGGUUUGGUGUUGCACAGCUACUGUACAACACCAAACUCCCGAACCGCAAACAAGGGAAUACUCUAAUCUCCCGAACUGCAUACAAUAUAGCACUCCAAACUCACGAACUGGAACCAUACGAAUAGCUGCUAGCAGACAAAUAGGAAAAGCAUCCAAGCGGCUUACACUCCUGGCAAUCAGUCCUUAGCAGCAUACAGUAAAUCCCCCCCAAAGACGAGACAAGGCUCCGUGUUGGGGGUCAAGCAGUGGUCUGGUUUAUUGAGGGCUACCUGCCCAGUAUUUAUGCAGGUCUCCCACCUGGUGGACACUCCCCUAGGGGACCAAAUGGGAGACUGUGACAAAAGACAGACAAUCAGAAAAAUAGGACACACAGUCACAUUGUAUUCCCACAAUGCAUCCUGGCUUCCUCCCCUCUGCCCUGGAGAUAAUUGAGAAGUAAUUCAAUUAUCUCCCAGGACAAAGGCAAAUCACCAUUAUGCACGUGGGGAUACUAAAACAAGAAUUACUAUUAAAAUACACUAUGUAAGACACGUUACAAUAAAACUAUACAUUUAACAUAUCCCCAGAUUGCUCAGGUCUGAGCGCACAUUAUUAAGCGAAUGGCGCUCAGACAACACGAAUACAGUUCAAUCGCCAUGGAGCCAAAGUCUUUACAAAGUCAGUUCUCAUACGAAUGAGCUCCAUGGGAUUCCUAUCUGGUGUAUAGUUACAGCUACCGAAUACCGGGCUGUUCGUGUACUUCCACCGAACAAGAAGGAAGGUCGGCGGCCUCAGCAGUGUUCGCGCCAAACUGUGUCCGUUUUUAGUUCCAUGAGUUUAGGCGUCGAACACCGCUGUGCGUUCGUGUGUUUAAAAUGGCCGCGACCUCGUGUUCGUUAUACGAAUGGCGGCCACCCAGUAUUCGUCAAUUAAGCUGCGGUUAACCGCAGCUUCUUGUAGGUUAAUUGCCGGCACUCUCCAGCUCCCAGGUGGUCCAGUCAUUCGUGCGGUUGUUCGGUAGAUUGAAUCUACCGAACACCGGGCAGAAAAGCACGAAUAAGUCAGUUACAGCUACCGAAUACCAGGCUGUUCGUGUACUUCCACUGAACAAGAAGGAAGGUCGGCGGCCUCAGCGGUGUUCGCGCCAAACUGUGUCCGUUUUUAGUUCCAUGAAAAGCACGAAUAAGUCUUUUCUGCAGGGGAAAAGAGGUCUUGUAACAUGGGGCCAUAAUCCAAAGGUAACAGACGAGCAACCAGGCUUCUCCAGUGCAAUGUGGCGAGGUUGCUCUCGUCACAGUAAUAAUCUGAAUACGAGUACUGACAGGUAGGUUAUAAUCUGAAUACCAGUACUGACAGGUAGGUAAUAAUCUGAAUACUAGUACUGACAGGUAGGUAAUAAUCCACCUACUAGUAAUGACAAGUAGGUAAUACUCCAAAUACUAGUGCUGACAGGUAGGUCAUAAUCUGAAUACUCGUACUGACAGGUAAUAAUCCGAAUAUUAGUACUGGCCGGUAGGUAAUAAUCCGCAUACUAAGACUGACAGGUAGGUAAGGAAUCUACGGUACUGUAAGAGAAAAGCUAUGGAAUGACCGAAUGUUAACACCGACAUAUAUAAUGAUCCUCUAAAUCAUUGGCAAACACUGGACACAAACGGAAUAUAAAUCAUGUUUCAGGUUUAUGUCUAUGUGGCGAAACCAACCUCGCCACUGUACACUGGAUAAGCCUGGUUGCUCGCCUGCUCCCUUUAGACUAUGGCCCGGCAUUUAAAACCUUUUAUUUUCCCUGCUGAAAGGUUUAUUUAUUCCUUUCUGCCAGGGUGUUCGGUAGAUUCAAUCUACCGAACAAACUACCGAACGAUGGACCACCUGGGAACUGGAGUGUGCCGUCAACUGACCGCCCAGAAGCUGUGGUUAACCGCAGCUUAAUUGAUGAAUGCUGGGAGGCCUUUGUUCGGUUGCCGAACACGUGGCAGCGGCCAUUUUACCUCCCCAACGGCCAGCGGUGUUCAGCGCCUAAACUAUGGAACUGAAAACGGACACUUAUUGGCGCGAACACCACUGAGCCGCCAGCCUCCUUCCCUUCCCAUUCGGGAGCGGAAACGAAUGACUGUUCAUUCGGUAGUUUAACCGGAUGAACAGCAUCACCCAGAUAGCUAAGCCAUGGAGCCUGUUCAUGUAACGAAAAAACUAUGUGAAGGACUUUGGCUUCAUGGCGAUUGAACUGUAUGUAUGUGAUCUGAGCGCCAUUCGGUAAUAAUGUGCGCUCAGAUCCGAGCUAUCUGGGGAUAUGUAGAACGUAUAUGUUUUAUGUACUGAAUGUAACUGUAGGUAAUUUUGUCUUUUACUGUUUGUUUUUUGCCAUGUGGUUAAUGGAGUUUUCUUUGGAGAUAAUUGGAUUACUUCCCAAUUAUCUCCAGGGCAGAGAGGAGGGAUUGUGAUGCAUUGUGGGAUGGUUGAAAUGUGUAAGUCUGUGAUUGGUCCUUUUACCCUUUGUGUCCCAGUCUCCCAUUUGGUCCCCUAGGGGAGUGUCCACCAGGUGGGAGACCUGCAUAAAAGCCGGGCAGUUAGCCCCAGUAAAUGAGUUCCUGCUUAACCCUCAAAGUGAAGUGUCGUCUCAUUAUUGGGGGAGGAUUUACUGUAUGCUGUUAGAGACUGAUUGCCAGGAGUGUAAGCUGCUUGGGGGCUUUUCCUGUUCGUCUGCUAGCAGCUAUUCGUGUGUCUCCAGUUCGGGAGUUUGGAGUGCUACUUGGUAUGCAGUUCGGGAGUUUCGAGUAUUCCCUUGGUUGCAGUUCGGGAGUUGGUGAAUUUGUGGGUUUGCAGUUCGGGAGAUUGGUGCUUGAAGUAGCUGUCGGUGCAGCUGAAAAGGGGGAAUAUUACCUAAACGGUUUUUAACCUCUUGUGGGCAAAACGGUCCGUUACAGUCUAACAAUUUUUCCUCCUGAAAAAACGCAUAAUUACACGUUAUAAUGAGAACAUUUGUUGACUUAGAUAUGAAGUUGCCAUGUGUGGUCUUUUACUGUAUAAUAAUGAUUCAGUAUUGUACAUCUAUAUUGACUGAGUGUAAAACCCACACAUGAAUUGAGCGAAUGUCCGUUAUAUACAUGAAAGAUUUCCUUUUUUUUCCUUAGCUUAGCAAAACAAUAAUGAACCCCUAGAGGAGGACAGGAGCAGGACUCAUGAGCCUUUGCAGGCCUAUGGGCACUUGGGCAGCCAUCCUCAACUGCAGCAACAUUUGCGGCAGAAUUUGACGGAACAGAUCCCAAUAGGAUGACAUUCUGCUGUAAUGCAACCUCCGAGACAUGUCCUUCUUGAGGACGGAGAGGAAAAUAAAUAAUUCUAUGAGGACUGAACCUCGUCUUUAUACAUGCCGGCGCUACCGUGGCUUAUACAGUAAUGCCACCAGCCACCUACAUGUCCUUGGCACCAUUAGGAGCUGCAGCAUUUGUAUCCCCAGGUCAGUGGUUAGAUGUAUAGAGAGCCAAGAAUACAGAAUACUGUUUUGAAUAUUACAUGAUCGCAAUCCCAAGUAAACGGCUGACAAGGUUGGUCCCGGAUGUGUCGAAUCUCACUCACCAGCUCCAGCUGCAAGCACUCUCCACAGGUUCUCCUGCUGUUUCCUCAUCCUCCAUACUCACCUCUGUUCAGGCUGUCCCAAUUCUUGUUUAGUCCACACUUAGUAAGAUAUCUGGCCACGAAAAAAGCCAGAGAACCCCUAGAUCGUGUGGCGAUUAGUAUAGUUUAAAGAUGGUGGGGUACUGACCCCGACUUGUUGGGCAAUACCCAUUCAACCUCAUGAGAAGCCAUGCCAUUAACCAAAACAACUGUAUCUCCAGUCUUCAAUAAAGGGGGAGAAUGGAAACUGCAGAUAUUAUCCGGACAGACCCACGAUUUUUCUAACACACUUAUUAGUAGUCUGAGCCGCCUGAAACAAAGAUAAUUAAUUUCUACCUCUCCACCCAACUUUAAGGUACGGACGGAAAUUUGGAAGAUGCUCCACGGGAUUUAUUUUACCUUUGUUACCACGUUAUUCAUUUACUAUAACAAUGCUGCCAUUUGUAUCUGUGGUUUUACUGCUGUAUUAUUUUGUACUUGCAUUGAUAUAUAGUUAUUAAUAUUUUGUAUAAAACUAAUGUUUGUUUUGUUCUACCUUCCCCCUGGCACUGCUUGCCCCUCCUAGCUGUAGAUUCCUUCAGAUAAGGUUAUCUCUGUUCCUUAAGCCCAAUUCCACAAACCAACUGAAUGAAACCCACUUCUUUUUUUUUUUUUAGUAAGCACUACGCGCCCAACCGGCCCUCUUAUUCUCACCUUAUGUGUGAGUUUAAGAUCUUUGUGAGGGUUUACUGGGAAAUAACAGGAAGAUUUUAUGAAGAAUAAGAUUUAAUUGUCACCAUAUUCACAUGAAAACACAAUUGUGAUAUGUGUGGUAUGUCUUUAAUAGGUUAAUGUUGAGACUCCUCAAGUAACGUUAUCCCACUUGGCUCCUUUGGUUUUCACAUUUGAUGAUAGUUUAGAUCUGGUUUUCCUGAGACACCCAUCACAGGGGCCACAGAAUAAAAACUAGCGGAGCUUCUUAUCGAUCGCUGUGUUUUCUGCGUCGUACCGAUUAGAAUUCGCUCCGUUUCCCUUUGUGUCUUCAUAGUGUGCAUCCCAUGAUAAGGUUUCCAUGGUGACUGUUUCAUUUUUAACACUCUAUACAAAAACAUUAUUACGUAUAAUGUCCUGUAUAUUUUGGGGGGAGAAUGAAAAAGCUUGUUUAAAUUAACUAGAAGACUAGUUUCUCCAGCGACUGUAAACCCAGACUUUUCCAUCUGUCCUGAACAUUGUCCAAUCAGAGGAUCUUGUUGAAAAGCCUUGCGGGCAUGUUGCACAUGCGCACGAUUGGCCAAUCAUGCAAUUCUCAGUGAGUUGUGUUGUGUAUUAAAAUAUUUAAUGUAGGGGCGUGGCUUGGCGCCGGACGAGAAUGGCCGCCUAAUCUCCUCGCUCCGCUCCCGACCGCCCAAUAAGCACAUCUAAACAGCGCAAUCUGGUACCCAUGGGACGCACCAAGCAAGCCCAAAUGACCCCCUCCACGCCAAGAACUCAGGGGAACAACCCGCACCCCUCGAUCAGAAGCUACCUGAACACCCCAGGCGAUCUUCUCACACAGGAGGAACUAUCCAAUAUGGCGCCCUCCUCACCGAGCUCCACACUAUCGGAAGAAGUCCCCAACACUGGAAUGAGCGGAACUGCCGCGCCAGCACCAGACUGGUAUGCCCUUUAUGCAUCCCUACCUAAGAAGGAGGACUUCCACUCCCUCCUGGAAGAGGUUAAAACCACGCUGCACACAGAAAUAUCAGCCCUGGGCUCCUCCAUUACAGCACUAGAGACCAGAGUGCAGGCCCUGGAAUCCCGACGCCCCGACCUGCACUGCCCGGCGCUCGCAGCCACGACGGCACAGGCUAAACAGAUCCAGGACCUACGCCUACACAUUGAAGACCUGGAUAAUCGCAGCCGCAGACACAAUAUACGGGUAAGAGGAUGCAGGGAAACAGACGCCCCAGAAGACACGAGGGCCAUUUUGACACCACUCUUUAACCGUAUCCUAAACCGGCCAAGAGACGCCCGCAUCCCCAUAGACAGAGCACACAGGGCCCUGAGGCCUAAGCCCCCGCCAGGUGCCCCUCCUAGAGACAUAAUUUGCCACAUACCAGACUUCCAACUUAAGGAAGAAAUUAUGAGGAAAGCCCGGACGGAGAGGUCCUGGAGGCAUGAGGGGCAGACGGUCGAACUAUAUAACGACCUCUCCCACCUCACCCUACAGGCCCGAAGAGCGCUGCGGCCCCUUACCACCGCCAUGCAGGAGGCCCAAAUACGCUACCGCUGGCAAUUCCCAUUUGCCCUAACAGCCCGGCGAGAUGACACCGAAGCCACGAUAAGAUCACCACAAGACGUACAAGCCUUCCAAGAAGCCCUUGGCCUCCCACAAAUGCCCAUCGCAGACUGGACAAAUUGCCCGAUGAAUGAGCGCUUCACAGGGCGACCAACCCGCCGCCACAUCCAGCAGGGACCAAACGCUGAAUUUACCUCUCUACAGCAAGCGAGCCCAGAGGAAUAAACCUACCCCGUUUGCCUGAGAAAUCGCUGAAGACUCCACGCUGACAUUUUUUCUGGGAUCACGGGGCACCCCCCUCUUUUUCUUUCCCUUUUUUUUUUUUUUUCUCUUCUUCCCCUCCUCUCUCCUCACUCCAUCAAGGAACGACGAAACAUGACCGGAAGAAACAAAGCUAUGGACAACUACACCAGCCGUCCAACAGGCCCAGGACACUCGUACAAAAUAAAUGUGGCCACCAGCAAACAUCUACACCACACUCGCCACUCCUCGCACAAGGAGCCUGUCAACGGACUAAGCUCACCCCUACACGACCAGAGAACAUGAGCCCCCGUCGAGAAGGACCCAACACUGCACAAGAACCCCCACGGGCAACUGAUAAGUGGCCUAACACUGCCACACAAUGGACUCCCUCCAGAAGAAGAGAGAACUCAAAAGCGCAAGUACUAUGCCAGGGGUCACAACGCCCCAAGACUAUACACCAACCACACACUUUACAUAAAAUACUACUCACGGUGACGCAAAAACAACCCCACCACAUGGGGCACUCUCCCACUUACAUUAGCACGCCACACAGCCACACACCAUACAAAGGCAACAUACUGAAGCAGGGACACUCGUGAUAUGCUGAAGAACACCUGCAGCACUAGUGUUCCUGCUCUGCUGUUCCCACACCACAGAUAGACAGCAUACACGGCAUACAGGCAUUUACCACUCAUGAGUACAACCACCACGACACAGACACUAAUACACAGGCACUGGAGGCGGCAGAGCCCGCAAUGCUAAAUACAGACUAUUCCAAGUCAAAGCUACUCGAAGUCAAAGCUACUCAUCUAUGUUCCUCUAUGUAAUCUGUGGGUAUUGAAAUGUAAACGCAAACGCGACGGACAGACACCACGUCACGUACCUGCACAUCACAUGCAGGAGACAAGACAGCGACACGGACGAUAGGGACACGUGUAUUGUACCGACCGAUGACUGCAAGGCUAACUCAGGACUAGGCCUAUAACAGUUAGGUGCCCUCCCACCUACCGGAACACAAAACGUACCUAUCACAUAACACAUGGACUAUCAGCUAUCAGAGAAGACUGACCACGAUUUGGGGAGUCACUUUGAAGACGGUAACAUCUCUAGCUCCUGACAUACGACAGCCGACUGCUCACACGAAAGACAGAUAAGCAAUCCCGAACUGAUUAUCCAUGAUGAUCCCUACCGAUUAAGUCUUACUGAACGACCACACCAGCUACCACCUUAUGGUGACAAUAGACGAGGCCUGACACACAAUGACUCUCACAUGACUAUACGGAAAGCCGAAUCUCCCCUUGGAAGAGACAGCUAGAAUACGAACUAAGGCGAGUCUGAGCUGACAUACGUGCCCUCCCCGCCCCACCCUCCUUCCCCCGACUUGACCGAAUACCGUAAGACCCCGAGUGACCCACAGAACGCAAUCUCAGGACGACUAACACGGGAUGACCCCCACCUCAUCAGGGCAUACUCAAACUGUACGAAUUAGUUGAAUUGAAUUGAAUUGCAUUGAAUUGUUUUUGAAUGUUACAAAUGUUCUCUUAUACAAUGUUGAUCACUGCAUGUUCAUAACCUGCAAGUUGUUCUCCCAUAGGCCUUAACUCACCCUCAUCACCCGUAUCACACGGUAAGAACCAUACAAGGACCACCACUAAAACCCGCUCGCAUGCACCUUAGAUUAAACACACGACCUACCCUCAGAUGGGUGCCACACCGUCCUACACCCUAACACUUUGGGGCGGCGGAGGCCGGAUGAGAACUGGACUUGACACCAACCGGCGACACAGUCACAGACGGGUGACCUACCCCCUCACCGGCGCCACCAACCCCACGGGUACACUGCCUACGACCUGCUAGGUAGCUACGGGAAGCAACUCCCCUAGACUUCUACCUACCAGCGGCACAUUGCCCCUUACUACUAUUACCCCGACGAGUUACAAAAACCUAAACUAGCUGCCCCACUACACACACCCGACUACCUUACACCCCUUCUUCCACCCCCUCCUUCCCUCGUAGACCCCUCCCUCCCCUCUCCCCUACACCCACCUACACCCCCCCCUGACCCUCGCCCGCCCUGGUCCACCAGCCGGCCCGGCCCGGGGGCGACACCCACAGCAUGGGCCCACCCCACGCCCCCUACGCGGGCAGACCCAACUGGGACCACCUCAAACUCUACACGCUCAACGCGAGAGGCCUCAACUCUCCUCAUAAACGUGCCAGAGCGUUACGGGAACUCAGAGCACUGGGAGUGUCGAUAGCCUUCUUCCAGGAAACCCAUUUUCACGCACCCCAGGCCCCGAAGUUCUCCAACAAACACUACCCCAACGGCCACUUCGCGCACAACCCCUCGACCAAAUCUAAGGGAGUAGCCAUACUAUUCUCAGCAAACACCCAGUUCCACCUGGAAGCAGAAGUAAGAGACACGGAGGGCAGAUAUCUCUUUAUUAAAGGGAAAAUAGGCAACUCCACACUCACGUUUGCGAACCUGUACCUCCCAAACAAAGGCCAGAAACCGUUUCUGGCCUCUGCCCUCAGAACCCUAGAAGAAUUCGGUGAAGGCACAAUCAUACUUGGAGGAGACUUCAAUGCCCCCCUAGACCCCAAAAUGGACACGUCCAAAGGCGCAUCUACGAUACCAGGACACAUCCUCAGAGGAAUGAGGACUCUCCUCUCAAAUCACCAAUUUACAGACACCUGGCGCAUCCUACACCACACAGACAGAGAUUUCACCUACUACUCAGCACCACAUAGAUCCUACUCAAGGAUAGAUUAUUUUUUCACCCAACACAGAGACCUAGACACGCUGCUAGCAGCCCAAAUAGCGCCUAUGACCUGGUCAGACCACGCACCAGUAAUCAUCACCAUAGAACACCCCAAGCCCUUAAAACCGCAAUGGACGUGGAAAUUAAAUGAAUCGCUCCUGGAAGACCCACUAAUCCAAACAGACAUACGCUCCGCUCUAGAACACUUCUUCCUCACCAACAAGACACCUAACUCCACGCCACCUACAAUAUGGGAGGCGCAUAAAUGCGUCGUUAGAGGGAUCCUUAUCAAACAUGGCACCCGCCUGAAAAAACAACGUACACAAGAAAUUGCACACCUUGUCACCCAGGUGGCCCAACUGGAAGCAAAACACAAACACACCCUCCAUGACGCCACCUAUAAACAACUUCUGGAUACUAGAGCGAAACUCAACUCUCGGUUACAAUCAAAGAUCCAAUUCCAGUUCCAACUCGCAAAAAAAACAUUCUACGAAUUCGGAAACAAAAGUGGCAAACUAUUAGCCAGAGCACUGAGAGCGCGCAGGCAAAAAUGCCACGUCCAAAAGAUCACAGCAGCAGGGACACACAUGCUCACACCCAAAGCCAUAGCAGACGGCUUCCGACAAUACUACUCCUCCCUAUAUUGCUUACCUCUACACACUUCGCGAACAAACUCCACAGAAGCAACCUUCAUAGCUCGUCAGAAAGAAUAUAUAGCGCAGAACCUGACUUCCAAGCUCCCGCCCCGGGCCGUAACCGCACUGGAGGAAGACAUCACUGCCGAAGAAAUACAUCUAGCAAUCAAACUGGCCAAACAGGGGAAAAGCCCAGGACCAGACGGGUACACGGCAAAAUACUACAAGACGUUCGCAGACGCUCUCACCCCACACCUGCUUACCCUGUUUAACGCCAUCCAUAAGGAGAACCCACUGGAUCCCAACACGCUCCUGGCCCAUAUCGUGGUGAUACCGAAGGAAGGAAAAGACCCGUCCUCAUGCACCAGCUACCGACCAAUAUCCCUGCUGAACACUGACCUCAAGCUGCUCGCCAAGAUACUGGCACUCCGCCUCCAACCCUUACUACCGGACCUCAUCCACCCUGACCAAGUGGGAUUUGUGGAGGGAAGAGAGGCCAGGGACAACACCGUCAAGGCACUCAACCUAAUACACGCAGCUGGACGAGGACACAAGCCCGCCCUAUUGGUCUCGACAGACGCCGAAAAGGCGUUUGACAGGGUGGACUGGUCCUUCUUAUUCUCCACCCUAGAGCACCUUGGGAUGGGACCGCACAUGCUGGCCCGGAUAUCAGCCCUAUACACCAACCCAGCUGCCCGAGUACAAGUAAACGGAAUUUUCUCGGACCCAUUCGAAAUAAGAAACGGCACGAGGCAGGGCUGCCCACUAUCGCCCCUGCUAUUUGUCCUCAGCUUGGAGCCGUUCCUAAAUGCCAUCAGAAACCAACCCAACAUCGCAGGGAUCGGAGGCGGGUGGGGAGUCAGCAAGGUUGCGGCAUACGCGGACGACCUCCUGUUUACCAUCACCGACCCAGCAUCCUCCCUCAGAGAAUUAAUGCAUCAAUUUGACACUUAUGGCAUACUGUCAAACCUAAAAAUCAACUUCACCAAAUCAGAAAUCCUCAAUGUGGGUUGCCCCCAACCACUGGUAAAUACACUACAAAACGACUUCCCUUUCCACUGGUGCACAGAAGCAAUCAAAUACUUAGGUAUCUGGCUGUCGGCAGACCUCACAGCCAUUUUCCGAAUCAACUUCCCACCCCUUCUUGACCAGAUUAAAAAAGACCUGAACGCAUGGCAGCUGCCACACAUCACAUGGCUGGGGAGGAUCAGCGUACUCAAGAUGAACAUACUCCCACGACUCCUGUACCUCUUGCAAACCCUACCCAUACACAUUCCCACCACCUUCUUCACCCAAGCCCGACAGAUAAUGACAGAGUACGUGUGGCAUCGCCAGAGGGCGAGAUUGAACUUCGCCACUCUCACGAGACCCAAACACCACGGGGGACUGGGCCUACCCGAUCUGACCAAAUAUCGGCGAGCCGUCCAUCUCCAGCGUCUGAUUGAAUGGACACACAACCCGGAAAACAAACUUUGGAUCCCGAUUGAGGCAAGCUUCUCACAGACCCCCCUAUCUCUUCUCCCUUGGCUACCAAAAGCUAUGACCAACGAACUACCACGACAACACCCAACCAUAAACGCUACUCUGGCGGUCUGGAGAGGCUUAGCGCCACACAGGGACAUGGCCCCGGAGCUAUCUCCCCUCUGCCCUAUCUCCCACAACCCCAAAUUCCCCCCGGCGAUGGAACCUCGCUACGUCACAACCCUAGGGCUGCCAUAUCCAUGCAGACUAAAGCACAUAUACAAACAAGGCACGAUUACCCCUCUGAGAGACCCGGUCCCAGAUACCACGCACAACUGGCCACUCCGCUUCAGAUACUACCAGCUUACGAAAUUCCUGACGCACAUGCCCGAACUGAAAUCGGCAACACGAACACUCUCCACCUUCGAAACCCUUUGCACAAGCCCCUUGAUCCCACCACACGCAAUCUCACUCCUAUACACACUACUAAUCACACCUCCCACCGAUGCUCCCCUCCCUUACUUCACCAGAUACUGGGAAAAAGAUCUAGGACACCCACUCACCAGGGAACAAUGGACCACAGUGUUUACGCUCAUACACAAAGCCUCUAUAGCCACCAAAUACCAGGAAGCAGGAUAUAAAAUGAUCUCGCACUGGUACCGAACACCAGAGAAAUUGUCGGCAAUGAUGUCCACCUGUGAACCAGAAUGUUGGAGAUGCAGGAAAGAACUGGGAACCCUCUUCCAUAUAUGGUGGACCUGCCCACUCAUCAAACCAUUCUGGACGGAAAUCCACAAAGUCCUAGAGACCGUAACGGAUGCGAAGCUACAACUUACACCCGAAACCUAUCUGCUCCACCUGACCCCGCUUCCCUUCAACAGAUACAAAAAAUCUGUAAUCCCGCAUCUCCUGAAUGCGGCUCGCAGCCUCAUUCCGGGACACUGGAAACAACCUACGGCCCCGACAAUCAAUGAAUGGAUGAUCAGAGUAGAAGACAUCAGACGUAUAGAGGAGCUCAUCCUCUCGGCGACGGGACGCAUACAACGCUACCACGACACCUGGUAUCACUGGUCACAAUGGCUCACCUCUGCCACAGCGCCGGGAGACGGGGACUUACAGCCCUCAGAUACAGAAGUGGAACUGUCCCCCCGGGUCGAGGCCGGAGGAGCUGGACCGAGACCUGGGCCGUCCCCCGCCUAACCCACCACUAACUCCCUAUACCUCAUCCCGCUUAACCUGAAACCACCCACACCCCCCGGUCCCCAUUCUUCAUCACCCCCCCUUACCCCCUCCUGAGCGACUCCGCCCACCUACAACCCUUCAGAGACAAACCAACACAGAGACGAAUAAUCAUGACACAAGACAAACAACGCUCACCCCUCACUCCCCCCCCCAAACACAGAUCGAACGACACGCACCGUACCCAUGACACACGACAGAGACAUACACAAGACAGCACGCCAGAGACAACACUCACGCUACACACAACACGACAACUACCGGGCCAGAAACCCCCAGCUUUCUCCCCCAGCUACCAGACGGCUCUGAGCGUAGCAACACUUAGACACACAAACCAAUGCUGCCAGUAAACCCCACCCCACCCCCGUUCAUAACACUAACGGACCGGCUCCGAGCUCCAUACCCGAAGCCCCAACAAAAGACCCACCCCACUGGACCCCACCAACGCAACCCAGGGCAUAUCCCCACUAAAUAAGACCUCCACAUGUACACUCAUCCAACCAAUGAAACCCCACAUACUAAAGCAAUAUGAGCAGUACAACCUGCUAGGUAUACCUAACCCACCCCCAAGAUAAACACUGAAUCACAUCCCCCACUAAAACUCAUAAAUCUGUAACUUACCGCAAAACUACCCACACCAUACCACAAAUGUUGAAUGAUUCAAAACACGCAACUGUUUCUAAAAACUCUGUUCAUUAUAUGCGCAUGGCCCGAUCUUCAGUUGCCAUGACGAUGGGAUCAACUCAGUGAGUUACCAAACCCCACGGCACUGGAAUACCCACGUACAUAUUUUAUAUUUUAUACUUUUAAUGCCUAAACCAUUACCUGCUCUGUAAACUAACUGUUACCAUGCUAUAUUAAGAUGCCCAUGUACCUUCUACCUGCUGUAUCCUUCUUCAAACUGGAUUGUUACGCGAAUUUAAAUCAAAAUAAAAACUUUUUGAAUACAAAAAAAAUAUUUAAUGUAUAACAGCUUAUUAAGAAGUGUAUGGAUGGAAAGCACCAAGAUCGGGGCAGGCCCUCACUUUGCUUUGAACUAUAGUUCAAAGCCAACCCUCCCAGCUAUGUGACUGAUGGUCAGGAAAAUGUGACAAAGGUGUUUAUAAAAUUGCAGAUUUUUCUUGAAGUCAACACUUUUAUAAAAUAAGCCUGCGGGGAAGACCGUUUUAACAUCACGCACUGCAGCCAGCUCCAAUAUGGCUUCCUCGACAGUCCGCCAUCACCAAGGAGCUGUUGCUACAUUAGAAUCCGGUUUAUAGGUUAUUACGUAGCCAGAGAUCUGAAUAUCUUGAAUACUUUUACUUUUCUAAGUGAUAAUGAAAGAAAAAUCCAAAGAAAAGCAAUCUGUAAAAAACAAAUGCAUCGUUCUGGAAGUGACAAUUUUAUGAAGCCUGAAUCCUACAUCUCUUUACAAAUUAACUUAGAAUAAUUUAAGCUUUGUUAGGAGAAUGGAUUUUUUUUUUUUACACGAGUAUGCAUUUAUUGAAAGCAACCAGGUGCACACUAUGUGAUCUGUAUCUCCUGUAAGCAAAAUGGCUGCAGACUUAUUGUAAAGAAUGCUGCAUUUUGCAGAUAUAUUUAAUUUUGCCGAUAUUUAUGUUUGUAGCGGAUGGCAUUGGGCUGUCCUCAGAAUUAUGUGUAUUUGUAUGUGUUCGGUUAAUUUUUGCCAUAUGCAUGUAAAGUGUAUGCGGCAUUCGCCUGAUUGUUCGGUAAAAUCACUCCAGUUAUUAUGCGAGUGAAACUACCGAACAAUCAGACCACCCCAGGAAUAAGUGUGCCUCCAAUUACCGUUCGCAACAAUGUUGCAAAUGGGUAAUUGGCAAUCAGUGCAGUGUGUGCUUUGUCCUCUGGGUGGCCGCCAAUCGGGAGACGAACACGUGGCGGCGGCUAUCUUAAACUCCCGAACAGCGGUGUUUUGCCGCCGAGUGUCUGGAACCCAAAUCGGACACUCGGUUAGGCAAACACCGCUGAGACCUCCACACUGCCGUCAAUUCGUUUAGGAACUACCGAACUGCUCCCCGUUCGGUAGAAAGAACCCCACAAACAAGGGGGUUUAUCCGAAUCCUCCCCAGUCUCCAUAACCCAAGCCGUUCGUGUAUUUUAUUCCCUUUUUGUGUGACCGACCGCAGGGCCAAAAUGUAUGGAACCCCUUUCGGCUGUUAACCUCAGCGCGGUCGGUCUUUUUAUUACCUGCAGGAAUUUCCCGAUCCCCUGGUCCGAUCUGGGUGAUUUUUGAAUAUGUUUCUCACCCAGAUCAGGGCGACCAGGGGGAUGUAAUAUUUAAAGGGGUACCCCUAUGUUUAGGGGUACAUCCAAAAAACCAGGGGAACUGUGUACUGCAUAAUGGGAUUAUGUGUCACACUAAGGGGAGGGGAUGUGUGGGUGGCAUCUCGUGUAUGAUUGGAGUAUUGUAUAAUUACUGUAAAUCCCUCCCUUGCAUGGGAGAAUGCUUUAAAAGAAGGUUGUGUGAUUAAAAGUUCAGUUCUGUUCCUGAUGAUGUGUGUCGUCCAGUCAUUGGGAUCUGUAUUGGGAUAUUAUUGGAUUGUCUUGCCUGCUGGAAUUAUUGCCUUAUGGAUUUAUAAUACUUGUUCCUGAGCCUCACUGGGAUCUUGAGUGGAGAUAACCUGUGGAAUAUCAACUCUCCGCUACAAUGUUCAGUUUUAUAGCUAUUGUGAAUAAUGUUUAUUUAGUUUGACUUAUUGGCAAUAAACUUUAGUUUUGCACGUAUACUGUUAAUCCAGUUUACCUGUGCAGGCAUAUUGUAAACUUGUUUUUUUUGUUCACAUUUUAAUGCAUGUAGCUCUUGCGUCUAUAUAGUAAAUCCAGUUUAGCAUUGCGGCAUAUUGUAAAUACUGGGGGGAGUGAUACAGUGUGACAUUAUGUCUUACAGUCCUGGGGGGAGUGAUUCAGUGUGACAUUAUGUCUUACAGUCCUGGGGGGAAUGAUACAGUGUGACAUUAUGUCUUACAGUGCUGGGGGGAGUGAUACAGUGUGACAUUAUGUCUUACAGUGCUGGGGGGAGUGAUACAGUGUGACAUUAUAUCUUACAGUGCUGGGGGGGGAGUGAUACAGUGUGACAUUAUGUCUUACAGUGCUGGGGGAGUGAUACAGUGUGACAUUAUGUCUUACAGUGCUGGGGGGAGUGAUACAGUGUGACGUAUAUGUCUUACAGUGCUGGGGGAGUGAUACAGUGAGCGUAUGUCUUACAGUGCUGGGGAGUGAUACAGUGUGACAUUAUGUCUUACAGUGCUGGGAAUUGACAGUGUGACAUUAUGUCUUACAGUGCUGGAGGUGAUACAAUUGUGACAUUAUGUCUUACAGUCCUGGGGGGAGUGAUUCAGUGUGACAUUAUGUCUUACAGUCCUGGGGGGAGUGAUACAGUGUGUCAUUAUGUCUUACAGUGCUGGGGGGAGUGAUACAGUGUGACAUUAUGUCUUACAGUGCUGGGGGGAGUGAUACAGUGUGACAUUAUGUCUUACAGUGCUGGGGGGAGUGAUANNNNNNNNNNNNNNNNNNNNNNNNNNNNNNNNNNNNNNNNNNNNNNNNNNNNNNNNNNNNNNNNNNNNNNNNNNNNNNNNNNNNNNNNNNNNNNNNNNNNUCUUACAGUGCUGGGGGGAGUGAUACAGUGUGACAUUAUGUCUUACAGUGCUGGGGGGAGUGAUACAGUGUGACAUUAUGUCUCACAGUGCUGGGGGGAGUGAUACAGUGUGACAUUAUGUCUUACAGUGCUGGGGGGAGUGAUACAGUGUGACAUUAUGUCUUACAGUGCUGGGGGGAGUGAUACAGUGAGACAUUAUGUCUUACAGUGCUGGGGGGAGUGAUACAGUGUGACAUUAUGUCUUACAGUGCUGGGGGAAGUGAUACAGUGCUUGACAUUAUAUGUCUUACAGUGCUGGGGGGAGUGAUACAGUGUGUCAUUAUGUCUUACAGUGCUGGGGGGAGUGAUACAGUGUGACAUUAUGUCUUACAGUGCUGGGGGGAGUGAUACAGUGUGACAUUAUGUCUUACAGUCCUGGGGGGAGUGAUUCAGUGUGACAUUAUGUCUUACAGUCCUGGGGGGAGUGAUACAGUGUGUCAUUAUGUCUUACAGUGCUGGGGGGAGUGAUACAGUGUGACAUUAUGUCUUACAGUGCUGGGGGGAGUGAUACAGUGUGACAUUAUGUCUUACAGUGCUGGGGGAGUGAUACAGUGUGACAUUAUGUCUUACAGUGCUGGGGNNNNNNNNNNNNNNNNNNNNNNNNNNNNNNNNNNNNNNNNNNNNNNNNNNNNNNNNNNNNNNNNNNNNNNNNNNNNNNNNNNNNNNNNNNNNNNNNNNNNAUUAUGUCUUACAGUGCUGGGGGGAGUGAUACAGUGUGUCAUUAUGUCUUACAGUGCUGGGGGGAGUGAUACAGUGUGACAUUAUGUCUUACAGUGCUGGGGGGAGUGAUACAGUGUGACAUUAUGUCUUACAGUCCUGGGGGGAGUGAUUCAGUGUGACAUUAUGUCUUACAGUCCUGGGGGGAGUGAUACAGUGUGUCAUUAUGUCUUACAGUGCUGGGGGGAGUGAUACAGUGUGACAUUAUGUCUUACAGUGCUGGGGGGAGUGAUACAGUGUGACAUUAUGUCUUACAGUGCUGGGGGAGUGAUACAGUGUGACAUUAUGUCUUACAGUGCUGGGGGGAAAGUGGGAUACAGUGUGACAUUGUGUCUUACAGUGCUGGGGGGAGUGAUACAGUGUGACACAGCCCUUUACAGUGCUGGGGGAGUGGGAUACAGUGUCACAGGUCUUACAGUGCUGGGGGAGUGAUGGCAGUGUGACAUUAAGUGUCUCUACAGUGCUGGGGAGGAUACAGUGUGACAUUAUGUCUUACAGUGCUGGGGAGGAUACAGUGUGACAUUAUGUCUUACAGUGCUGGGGGAAGUGAUACAGUGUGACAUUAUGUCUUACAGUGCUGGGGGAAGUGAUACAGUGUGACAUUAUGUCUUACAGUGCUGGGGGGAGUGAUACAGUGUGACAUUAUGUCUUACAGUCCUGGGGGGAGUGAUACAGUGUGACAUUAUGUCUUACAGUGCUGGGGGGAGUGAUACAGUGUGACAUUAUGUCUUACAGUGCUGGGGGGAGUGAUACAGUGUGACAUUAUAUCUUACAGUGCUGNNNNNNNNNNNNNNNNNNNNNNNNNNNNNNNNNNNNNNNNNNNNNNNNNNNNNNNNNNNNNNNNNNNNNNNNNNNNNNNNNNNNNNNNNNNNNNNNNNNNGGGGUGAGAAAGAGAAAUUGCGAGGAUAAGAAGGAAAUUGGAGCGGGAGGAGAGAUUGACAUUCAUCACAUACACACAAUGCACCCCUUGCACACAGAAAAACACACAGACACACAUACACAAGCAAUGCAAACGUUACACACAAUGCAUCCCUUACACACACAGAAACACACAAUGCAUUCAUUACACACACUCAAUGCACCCCUUACACACAUUCAAUGCAUUCCAUACAUACACAGAAACACACCUUGCAGUCCUUACACAUACAAGCACAAUUUCACACAAUGCAUUCCUUACACACAUAUCAGGACAUCCCCUACACACUCCACCCCCUGUGAACAAACUCAUUGGUGGAACAUGAAGGUGGACCCUGGGACCCAGACCUUGAGCUGUGUAAAGGACCCCAAAAAAAUGGAGCUGCUUCCCGUUCUCCCAGAACAUUGAUUUUUGUGACCACAGUUACAAACCGCCUCCAGAGAGCCUGUUCUGCACCAGACCAGUGGAGCCAGACUGCAGCUAGAGCCCAUCAUCAUCCUCAUCUGGUUGUAAGUAGGCAAUCUAGUAUAUUAUUCGUGGCACUAAGCUCUAAUUUACCUCACAUUAAAGAAACACUAUAGUCCCCAGAACCACUUCAGCUUAAUGUAGUGGUUCUGGUGUCUAUAGCCUGUCCCUGCAGGCCUUUUAAUGUAAACACGGCGGCACUGCAGCACUGGCGUUAGUUAACAUGGCAAAUCAUAUGGCUGGGGCAUUGUGAUGUCACAUGGGGGGGCGGCAAACUUUACUUUUGCCUUGGGCGGCAAAAAUCCUUGUACCGGCCCUGGCUGGAGGGAGCUGUGUGAGCUGUGGCCACACAGUGUCCCAUGGUAGUUAGGGUGCCGUGCGGCCAGUACAGCUCGCUCAAGCAAACAGCUGAUAAACUGGCACAGAGGAAAUGUGUAUGUGUGACUGUCUGCCUGUGACUGUGUGUGACUGUCUGCCUGUAACUGAGUGUGUGACUGUCUGUCUGUAACUGAGUGUGUGACUGUCUGCCUGUAAAUGUGUGUGUGAGGCUGCAGGGAUUUUGUAGAAGGGGUAGGGGGUUUUGUAUUGGGACAGGAGUCUUUAUAAGGGGGGAUAAGCAGGGGAUUUGUGGAAGGGGGUUGCGGGGGUUUUGUAGAUGGGCAGUACAGGAUUUGUAGAAGGGGCAGGACAGAGGUUUUGUAGGAGGGGCAGGGCAGGACAAGGGUUUUGUAGGAGGGGCUGACAGCGGUUUUGCAAAGUUUACAAAUUGUAAAAAUAAAGAAAGAAAACCUUUAACAUUUUUUACAGGUUUUUUUUUUUUGGGUGGGGGGGGGUGCCAAGCACAGGAUCCGCCCCGGGUGCCAAAUGCUCUAGGUACGCCCCUGUGUGUGUGAUAAAAGUUCAAUUAACAGGAUAGGAGAAACAAACUGCUACAGUAAACAUACUGUGCUAUAAGAUCUGAUUGAAAAGAAAUCAAUUUUUCACACAUUUUUCAGGCUGUGAGAGUCACAGCCAAGGGGGACGUGGCUAGGGCUGCAUAAACAGAAAUACAAGUGAUUUAACAACUAAAUAGCAGAGAAUUGGGCAGCAAGACUGCAGGGGAAUGAUCCAACAGCUUCAUUAAGCUAAAGUUCUUUUGGUGCUUAUUGUCCCUUUAAUUAUCUGUAAAUACUCUGGCUGUGCUUUUUUUUACAUGGGACACAGACCUUGCUAUGGAAUUGCAUCUUCCAUCAUACUCAGAGCACAUGGUCAUUUAAAGGAACACCAAGCACCAUAACCACUGCUGCUCAUUGCAAGGCUUAACUCAAGAGAGCUAAUGGAAGCUCCUGCUUAGGAAAUUCCAGCUCGCUGGCGUUGGUGUUAGAGGCGAUGAGCUGCUCGUAGUGGAUCUCGGGUAAGACAUAAGUAUAAAUGUGCAGGGCUGGAUUUCCCAUAAGGCAGCAGAGGCCAUGGCCGUUUGGAUGGCACAUGGGAGUGGGGCAGCAGUGAUGGACCCUCUAUCAUUGGUGGUACAGCAGGAGUGCUGUUAACAGUUAUUUUUCUCGCCCCAUACUAACGGUGGUAGGUCAUCACUUUGCCGGCAGCAGAAGAAAUUGCAGGAGAGCAAGCGGAGAUAACAUUAGCAAGAUGAACCCUCGCGAUCUCCUGCGGGGGGAGAAAAGAGAUGCAGCGAGCAGGGGGACAGAAGAGCGGGUCCAGAUAUUAUAAGGGAUAGAAGAGGAGACUCAGUGAGGGAUUGGGAGAAUGAAGAGGGAAACAAGUGAGGAACAGGGAAAAUUGUAAGAACAUUUGGAGAAAUGGAGGUUAUGGGGAGAGGGCAUAAUUUAGGAAAGGGAAGAGGAACACAUGUGAGGGGGAGAUAAAUGAAUAGAGGGGCAUGGAGAAAGAGGGGUAGAUGGGAAUUGGAAACACAGUGCACUAACACACACUUUGCACACUAAAACAUCACACAAAAUGCUCCUGAAUGCACACACAGGCACUCUAUAAAAACACACCACUACAUUCACACACUAGCACUCUACACAAAUACACCCGUCAUUCACAUGCAUUCACUGACAUUAUACACAAAUAUGUGUAUACAUAUACACAACAUUGCUGUAUACUCUAAACUGAUCAUAUUCCCCUACACACCAAGUCAGAUAAUCCUAUCUCAGUGCCCAGUCAUACCCACUCCCCCUUUCACAUUCACACUUACACGCAUAACAUGUCACCUACACCCACCAUCCACUUAUUGCCAUCCAGCCACUAAACAAGCCGUACAGUCAUGCUCCUAAUUACUCGCAUUUAUCAAUCCAACCACGUAUCCAUCCAACCACAUACCCCAAACUCGUCACAUCUAUCCAACCACAUACCCCAAACUAGUCACAUCCAUCCAACCACAUACCCCAAACUCGUCACAUCCAUCCAACCUCAUUCCCCAAACUCGUCACAUCUAUCCAAUCACAUACCCCAAACUAGUUACAUCUAUCCAACCACAUACCCCAAACUAGUCACAUUCAUCCAACCACAUACCCCAAACUAGUCACAUCCAUCCAAUCACAAACCCCAAACUAGUCACAUCCAUCCAACCACAUACCCCAAACUAGUCACAUCCAUCCAACCACACACCCCAAACUAGUCACAUCCAUCCAACCACAUACCCCAAACUAGUCACAUCCAUCCAACCACAUACCCCAAACUAGUCACAUCCAUCCAAUCACAUACCCCAAAUUAGUCACAUCCAUUCAAUCACAUACCCCAAACUAGUCCCAUCCAUCCAAUCACAUACCCCAAACUAGUCACAUCCAUCCAACCACAUACCCCAAACUAGUCACAUCCAUCCAACCACAUACCCCAAACUAGUCACAUCCAUCCAACCACAUACCCCAAACUAGUCACAUCCAUCCAAUCACAUACCCCAAACUAGUCACAUCCAUCCAACCGCAUACCCCAAACUAGUCACAUCCAUCCAACCACAUACCCCAAACUAGUCACAUCCAUCCAAUCACAUACCCCAAACUAGUCACAUCCAUCCAAUCACAUACCCCAAACUAGUCACAGCCAUCCAAUCACAUACCCCAAACUAGUCACAUCCAUCCAACCGCAUACCCCAAACUAGUCACAUCCAUCCAAUCACAUACCCCAAACUAGUCACAUCCAUCCAAUCACGUACCCCAAACUAGUCACAUUCAUCCAACCACAUACCCCAAACUAGUCACAUUCAUCCAACCACAUACCCCAAACUAGUCAAAUCCAUCCAAUUACACACCCCAAACUAGUCACAUCCAUCCAAUCACGUACCCCAAACUAGUCACAUCCAUCCAACCACGUACCCCAAACUAGUCACAACCAUCCAACCACGUACCCCAAACUAGUCACAUCCAUCCAAUCACGUACCCCAAACUAGUCACAUUCAUCCAACCACAUACCCCAAACUAGUCACAUUCAUCCAACCACAUACCCCAAACUAGUCACAUUCAUCCAACCACUUACCCCAAACUAGUCACACAUCUUCCCUUUGGGGGAAGACUAAACAGGUACCUGACCUUCUGCCGGUCAGUACCUAGAUUAGUCGGGCAGCCCACCCACAAAGAAAAAUACGCAGAGUAACCCCCCACAAUAAAUGGUACUGGCCUGUAGGUUCAAGUUUGUAGUGGGACAGCGCAGCACUCUCGGUCUCUCUGGUGCAGCUAGGCAAACUGCUGGUGUUGCUUGGGGGGCAGAGGCCAGCGGCGCUCUGCCCUGCUGCCAGCUCUUCCACUGGGGUAACCCGUGGUAAGUCAGGCUCUGAUACAGGGGAAAAGGGGGGGCAGAGGCUAACAGAGCUCUGCCCAGAUGCCAGCUCUUCUGCUGGGAGGGGGUCAGUGGGUAUCGCAGGCUCAUCCACUGCCCCCAGGACCUGGUUGGGAUGUAGCUGGGGAGGGGAAGUUUCGCUUACCUCCUCCUCCUGGCAUCCCUGCGGGGUUGGUUGGGGAUCUGGACCGCCCGUCCAGCCUCCCUGUAAUACUGGCACAGAGACUGCGGUCCCAUCUGCGCCAGUAUGGUUAGGUUUGUCUUCCCCCUCUCCCGGUAUCUCUGGCUGCUGUUGGAGGGGGAGGCUGGUUGCCCCCACUCCCCAGGACGCUGGUUGCUGUAAGGUGGAGGGAUCGACCAUCACCUCCUCCUGGAACUCAGGCCGCCGCUGGGGAGAGAGACCAGUUGUCUCCUCUCCCUGUAUAUUAUACUGCCGCUGGGGACCUGGGCUGACUGCCCAGCAUCCCUGUAGGGCUGGCAGAGACUGGGAGUCAAUACCACCAAACUCCACAGUUGGUACUCGUAGUUCCGUGCGUCUUGGUUCUCAGCACUCAAUUGGCGCAUCACUUGAUGGACCACCUCAUCUGAAGGGUUUGGGCCAAACCAGACUAGCCGCGCCUUUACUUCCUUCAUGAAAUCAGCACCCUCAUAGCACUGUGACAGGCGGAUUUGCAAUUCACUGGCUGCUGUCCAGGGUCUUGCUAGCUCCAUGUUGCUGUAGGUAGGGACGCUGCGCAGAGGCUAGCGUUGCCCUCAAUUAUAAAUCCGUAUCUCCACACGUUACCAGUGUCUCCAAGCUGCUGGUCCUUGCACUAGGACGCCAUCCCACCACUGCCACCAAUUGCGACGGAACGCUGGCACUCUGACUGAGUACCUCCGCCAAUUGAUGCUCCUAGUGCUCGCUGAGGACUCCAAGCACUCCAACCGACUCCAUCAACACUGCAGACCCCACUUCCAGCGAUGCAACUGCGCCGGGGUCUCUGCUGUCUCCACCCACCCUGGACCCAAGGCCAGGAUCCAGCUUCCAGUGGGUGAACCUCUCUUUGCCCAGAGAGCAGGAACAGGAACAAGCUCUUAGCAUAACUUAGUGAUCAUACCCUGGGAAAUAUAGUGAUUAUAGCAAUCCCCAGAGUGUAUUUCUCCAAUCCCCCAAACAUGAGCCAAGGCUUAAUGCUGGAACAAGACCGAUUUACUGGCACACAGAACUCACAAUUUAUGCAACACAAAACUCCUCCUCUGGGCCAGGCUAGAUAAUUGAGUUUCUACUAUACACAAAGCUCAAUUAUCUGCUGGCCAGAAAUAAUACAGUUUUUACAGCAUAUUCAUAACUUCUAAAAUAUACAUCACAUUCGCAUAAAAAUUAUAUAUUCACAAUCAAUCCAUUCAGGGAAACUGAAAAAAAAAUGGCAUGAAUCAGACCAGGGGUUAAGAAGUUAGUAAAGUAUCUUUUGGGGCCUGGCUGGCAGCAUGGCUAUCUGGCCCAAACUGGUUUUACAGAGCUCUCUAGCCUGGAGACAAUGGGGAAAGUAAUCCAAUUAUCCAGGGAUAGAAGCAGACUCCAUUGAGCACAUGUUCCCAGUAAAACACAAAAGGAUACAAAAAUACAUAACUCCUAUCCUACAGGGAAUUGAACAGGACAAAUCUCAGAGGGUCCAUAGUCACAAGGCAAGAGGCGGGCAAGCAGUCCUCUCCAGGCACAAGUGGCGAAGGGCACUUCGUCACAUGGCUGUCCGAUAGACAGCCACUAGAAGAGGACUUAACCCUGCAAGGUAAUUAUUGCAGUUUAUGAAAACUGCAAUAUUUACAGUUCCAGGGUUAAUGGUAGUGGGAGUUGGCACCCAGACCACUCCAAUGGACAGAUGUGGUCUGGGUGCCUGGAGUGUCCCUUUAAGUACACCUGAGCACUCAAUCAUGUUAUAUGUUGUGUUUGUCAUUUUUAAAAUAAAUUCCUGUGAAUUUGGUGAGUAGUAUAGAAAAACUACUACUGGCAACUUGCACAGGAGAUCUCAUGCGCUGAGUGAAACUUUUACAGAAUCUUGGUGGAAUUGUUAUGGCGAUUAAUCAAUGUACGUCCAAUUUGCAAAAAGGUAAACUGCGGGUGUUUAAUUUUAGUAUUAACCAAAUCUAAUGGCUGCUUUUUUACACCACGAAAUGUAAGUGAAACUGUUGCACAUUAAACUAUCGGUAUUGGUGCUUGGGACGCAGAAAGGGCUGUGACCAACACUCUGUAUGCGUUACCAUGUUGUGUUUCUGUUUGUUUGAUUCUUUUUUUCCUGAUUUGUUUGCGAAGGGUCGGCACUUUCUGUUUAUUUAAGUUUUAAUAAUUACAGCUUUUUGAUUGAAAUUACAGCCCAGAGCGGCGAGCGAUUAUCGUGGCCUUAUCAGGACAUAGCGGUUGAUUCCAUUCUAGUUAGGACUUAGAAUAGGCUUAUCCUCCCAACCUGCUGUUACCAUUUGAUUGCGCCUAUUUUCUGAGAUAAUGGCUGCUCUGAAUUACCCUGCAAUUAGGAAACCAUGUCAGUAAAUACACAGAAACCUUUAGUCUUUUUUACACAAGUUCUCUCCGCAGAAAAGUGCAACGCAUCCUUACCCUGACCCUUUGGUUAACUCCUUAAGGGCCGCUGCAAUAAGUAUGCUGCCAUAUUCUUGUUUAGGCUGUCCUCAGAGUUUGGGAAGAAUUUGGAACUGUGAAAGACUAAAGAAUGGACAAAACCUAGAUUUAUUUCAUUCAGCAUUUUAUGUGCCUUCAUACAAAUGAAAAAUCAUUUGUCACCCAAGUAUUGUUGUUCCUGACAUAUAGAAAAUAAAAACAAUAGCGAAUGCAGAAAUUAAAAAAAACUACAAAUCCCAUCAGCAAGGCAUUAUUGUCACAGUAUAUAUGUGGAGAUUAACACAAUUGAUUUGAGCUCCUUGAUAAGAGCGCUUUCUGCCUGCGCGUGUUGUUAGCGGAUUCUCUUUUAUCAGACUCGGGUUUGCAAGUUGCACUGAGAGAUCUUCAAAGCCGUGUCUAUAUGGAUUAUUGAUAUACUGCUAGAGCAAUCAGAACCCAGGUCACAUGCAACAUGGAGACCUGUCACUUUAUUAAGUGCCCAUAUUUUGACCAAGAAAAAACACUGCUUCUCGCUUUCAUUCUCGCUGUCAUUUUCAUUCCUUCCCCGGCAACAAACAGCGGAUAGCAGAGUUAGGGUUUUGUACUAAACAAAUACGUCCCCUCUUUGGGCAUGUAGUGCUCCUCGGUCUGUAGGAACCUCCCUGAGGAUCCCAGUUACAGAUGUCAGUGUGUCAGACUAACCGGCUGCGUUCCUGGGUAACGUUGCUUUAGUGCGACGUGUAUAUAAAUAAAGGUAUUUAAAAACCAGAAAGAAAAGGUUAUUUUAACCUUGUAAUACCAAUAGUGAGAAAUAGCGGCAUGCAAGUAGGAUUUGGCAGGUGGCCCCACUAACCGCUGAUUAUACUAUAAGGGAAUCAGGAGAGGCUGUUAGUGGCGACUCUCUCUCCCAGCAAUAAGGGACACUUGUAUUCCAAUGAAGGAUCCCCAGAAUUAGUUACAAUCGUAACUGCAGGGGAAUGUAAGUAAGUGUCAGCGACCGGCUCACUCUGCGUGCUUUGUAUUGACAUAGAAAGGGUUAAAGAUAGCAUGUAUCAAAAAUGUUAUACCAUUUGUUUUAAAUACAAUUUUUUUGUGUGUGCACUUUCUGAUGUAAUGGAAAAAAGCACUUUAUUCUUGUCUUAAGGAAAGUCCAAAAUACAUGGAAUAUCUGCAAGACAGUUCUUAAUGACAUCAAUUAAUUAAUCCUUUAGCCACAGUUUUUGAUCCAGAUUUUAUCCCACCAACAGAUUUUUGAAUCCUGUGGCCGUAUUCAUCAAGACUGUGACAGCAAACCUUGCAAUGUGCGUGUUUGUGGACUGCAUCUCCCAUCAUGCUGUGCAGGCAAGCCUGGCUAAGCGUAAUGAGAAAUGAAUUUCACAGUCAUCUGCAUUACUGGCUGAGCAUUGUGAGNNNNNNNNNNNNNNNNNNNNNNNNNNNNNNNNNNNNNNNNNNNNNNNNNNNNNNNNNNNNNNNNNNNNNNNNNNNNNNNNNNNNNNNNNNNNNNNNNNNNGAAUAUAGUAUACAAGCACCUUCACGGGAAAGGCUGGCUAAGCAUUGUGGGUAAUGUAGUGUACAAGCCAUUCUGGCUCCGUCAUUCAGGUGUGCAGUAAUGUCACAUACAGGGUAGUAUCAGUAAGUUAACAUAUAACACUGUGACACGUGGCAUUAAACACAGACAGAGACAUACAUUUGCAACAACAUAGGGUUCACAGCACCCAUAGAAAUGUGUAUAAAUACUAAAAAUUGGUAACUGUAAUUCAUAAAAUCUCUCGUUCAUAUCUUAUUAUUCAGUAUUUUAAAAGCGCCAACAUAUACAGUAUCGCUGCUCAAUCUUUAAAUUUGUUUGGUAUAGGGACAGUAUACGAUCUCUGUCUGAAUUUCUGUUUCUAAUUUAGAGAUUUAUUAUAACAUGUUCUACCCAUGUUCUGAGUCUUCACACACCGGGUAGCCUUUAUCUCUCUGUGCCAGGGGCCCUCACCCAGCAUGCUUUGCACAAUGUCCCAGAAUGCUUUACUGAGCUCUAUGUACCAGCUAAUUUACUGGUGAUUUACAAUCAUCCUUCCUGCUCUGUCUGCUUGCACUCAUUUGCCAUUUUCUUCCCUUUCUCGUUAUUUUAAAUCCGUUACUUUGAGUCGCUAAACACUCUCGUUAUCUUACUCUGUUACCUGCUUUGGCAUAAACAGAAUUUAUGGGGCAAUUUGUGUAAUCAUAUUUACUUUCAGACACAGCCAGGUGGCUUGUGUCUCCUAUAAAUAUCAUUAGAUGUGCCGUAGAUUGUAAUGGGAGGGAAAUUAAGAAGAUCUGUCUUUUUUCUUAUUUUCUGCUGAUUUCUUGUUGACAUAAAAUCUAAAUAAAGCACUUUAUUCGGCUUGUGAUUGGGCUGUAGUGGAUAAGCAGCCAAAGGCCGCACACGCAGCAUGCGUCAGACACCGAGAAUUAGCCCAGGAGAAUCCCUAGAAUCACCCACAAUCUAACUAAUGUUAUUUUAUCCCAGGCUGCUAUUUUUAUAGCGCUGACUAUGUAUUUCUGCAAAUCCUGCAGGUCAGUCACGCUGGACCCCUUGGGGUUAUAAAUGACCGUUACCCUCGGAGACAUUUUGUAUCCGGAUGUUUUGGGAGUUCAGGCUCGUUGGACCCUCUGAUAAGUUAUUCCACUCAAUCUACACUCCGUGGCUGAAACAUAGCGAUUUACCUGUAUCCAGAGCUGGGCAUUAAAUCCUUCCUGACUCCAACACCUCUGCAAAUAUUCAUUUAUUGUAAUAAAAUGGGCCGGCUUAAGUGAGAUUUUCAGCUUUUCCUCAUUGAGGUCUUCACUUUCUCAAACAGAAUUUACUGCAGUUCAGUGGAAAUCUUGUCUGGAGGUCCGGAGAAUAAAAAGUAAACGUAAAUCUUUUAUUUCUCUUUUAACCAGCUUUCACGUCUGUCCGAUUUACCGUUCUUUAAAAAUCUCUGACAGGCGCGCAGAAUAUUGCUUAUGUUAUAUCUGUUAAUCCUAAUAGCUGGACUUAAAAACAAAAACAAAAAUUUCAAAACCCUUUUUCUUGCCUUUCGUGUAGCCAUGGGUUUGGAGUAACCCCCUGAUCAGCGACAGGUUACAAUAUGGCUGAAACGCACACAGCGUUCAAUACCCGGGAAAGGUGAUAGGGAAGGAUUUUGCUAAUUUGCAGCUGCCCCAGGACAGAGGGAAAGUGCCAUCCAUAGACGCUAUCUGUGGGUGGUCUGCGGUCACCAUUCCCAAUUUAUCUAAAAUAGAUCCCUGAACGGGCGUAGCCAGUUUUGGGUUUCUGUCAGAAUUACUCCAAGGGUUAUGGGCCAGGAUGAAAGCUCCAGAUAUCAGUGUUUGAGAAAAUUCCAAAUCUAGAGAAUAAACCAAAUCCUGACACAGUGCUGGAGAAAUGACGGGAAAACAUAGAGGAUUAAUGAUGUGAAUUAGUGAUUUCUAAAUAAUCGCGGCAGACCAGCGAGAAUGUAUUGACAGUGCGGUCAUCCUUCAAGUCUGUUACUAAUUUGGUGGGUGUUGCAUUCACAAAAUCUUAUCUGUUUUAAUGUUCAUCAUCACGUGCCGAAAUGUAUUCACCCAACAAAACACUGGCCCGGAGACUGUAUCUGUGUGGUUUUCAUAAAGAGAGAACGGGAUGCAUUGUCACCAUAAAAAAAUCACCUUUUGACCAAACAGUUCCAUUAUCACCCAAGUAACACUCGAUUCAGCAUCACUUAAUAAACUUUUCAAACAAUUAGCAAAUGCAUUACUUUCAUUCCAUUAAGUCUUGCAUGCAUUGUGAAUAAAUUAUACAAAGCUAAUUGCGCGGUUAAAUGGCUUGGAUAAACCUCGAAGUUCCGAGCCGGCCAGCAGAGUUCCUGCUGUCGCUAUUACACAGCAACUCCCAACGCACUGAGCCAACUGCUGCAAUUUACAUAUUUAUUAUGAAUACUUGUAGUGAUAUUGAGGGAACAAAUUGGGAUGUAGGUAUAGAAAGGGUAGUAGAUACCUGGAAUAGCCUUCCAGUGGGAGCAGUAACAGUGAUAUAGAAAGGGUAGUAGAUACCUGGAAUAGCCUUCCAGUGGGAGCAGUAACAGUGAUAUAGAAAGGGUAGUAGAUACCUGGAAUAGCCUUCCAGUGGGAGCAGUAACAGUGAUAUAGAAAGGGUAGUAGAUACCUGGAAUAGCCUCCAGUGGGAGCAGUAACAGUGAUAUAGAAAGGGUAGUAGAUACCUGGAAUAGCCUUCCAGUGGGAGCAGUAACAGUGCUAUAGAAAGGGUAGUAGAUACCUGGAAUAGCCUUCCAGUGGGAGCAGUAACAGUGAAAUAGAAAGGGUAGUAGAUACCUGGAAUAGCCUCCCAGUGGGAGCAGUAACAGUGAUAUAGAAAGGGCAGUAGAUACCUUAAAUAGCCUUCCAGUGGGAGCAGUAACAGUGAUAUAGAAAGGGUAGUAGAUACCUGGAAUAGCCUUCCAGUGGGAGCAGUAACAGUGAUAUAGAAAGGGUAGUAGAUACCUGGAAUAGCCUUCCAGUGGGAGCAGUAACAGUGAUAUAGAAAGGGUAGUAGAUACCUGGAAUAGCCUUCCAGUGGGAGCAGUAACAGCGAUAUAGAAAGGGUAGUAGAUACGGGAAUAGCCUUCCAGUGGGAGAAGUAAAAGCUAACAGUGAUACAGAAAGGGUAGUAGAUACCUGGGAUAGCCUUCCAGUGGGAGCAGUAACAGUGAUAUAGAAAGGGUAGUAGAUACCUGGAAUAGCCUUCCAGUGGGAGCAGUAACAGUGAUAUAGAAAGGGUAGUAGAUACCUGGAAUAGCCUUCCAGUGGGAGCAGUAACAGUGAUAUAGAAAGGGUAGUAGAUACCUGGAAUAGCCUUCCAGUGGGAGCAGUAACAGUGAUAUAGAAAGGGUAGUAGAUACCUGAAAUAGCCUUCCAGUGGGAGCAGUAACAGUGAUAUAGAAAGGGUAGUAGAUACCUGAAAUAGCCUUCCAGUGGGAGCAGUAACAGUGAUAUAGAAAGGGUAGUAGAUACCUGAAAUAGCCUCCCAGUGGGAGCAGUAACAGUGAUAUAGAAAGGGUAGUAGAUACCUGAAAUAGCCUUCCAGUGAGAGCAGUAACAGUGAUAUAGAAAGGGUAGUAGAUACCUGAAAUAGCCUCCCAGUGGGGGCAGUAACAGUGAUAUAGAAAGGGUAGUAGAUACCUGGAAUAGCCUUCCAGUGGGAGCGGUAACAGUGAUAUAGAAAGGGUGGCAGAUACCUGGAAUAACUCUAUUGAUUAUAGCUUAACAGGUAAUUGGAGGCAUUAUUGUUAGCAUGUUUUACCAUAAUAAAAUUGUUAUUUCUCAGUUUUCAGUGAGUCUGUCAGUAUUAGUUACAUCAUCCUGUUCUGGAAUAGUUCAUCCAUUAAGCGUUUCUAGGAGGGAGUAAUCACCUUGUAAGAUGUGACUUGACGUUUAACCCCUUCAGGACGGGUGACGGACGAGGUCCGUCACACAGGGGAGACCCUUAACGACGGGCGACGGACCUCGUCCGUCACGCGGUAAAAUUAACCCCGGAUCGCCGCUAUCGCGGCGAUCGCGGGGUUAAUGGUGCUCCCGGUAUGCCUCUGCAUUGGAGGCAUACCGGGAGCACCCAGUCAAGCUGCCCAGCACAUGUGCUUGCUCUGACCACAAGUCUGAGCGAGCACAUGUGCUCUCUAUACUCACCUACCGGCUCCCUGCACUUCCGGGUUCUGUGUGAAGUGCAGGGAGCCGGAUCAGUGCUGAUCCUGCCCCCUGCUGGAAAAAAAAAUAAAGUUAAUUUAAAGUGUCCCCCCCCUUACCCAUUUUAAUAAAAAAUUAACCCAUUCCCUGCCAAUUGAUCACUGACCACAGUGAUCAAUUGGCAGGGAUUACAUUUUACUAUGAUCUGAUUUUUUUUUUUUAACCCCUGAGGGUUAAUUCUUUUUUUUUUAGCCCUCAGGGGUUAAAUUAAUUAAUUAAAUUAUUUUUAAAUUAUAUAUUUAGAUAGCUGGGGUAGGUGGAAGUUAGUGGGGAAUUGGGGGAUUUGGCGUUAGGCUAACUAGGGGUUAACGUUAAAAAAAAGUUUUAAAAGAAACUUUAAAAAGUUAAAAAUUAAGCUUAAAAAUGUUUUAAUAACAUUUAAGUAAUAAAAACAAAAAAACACACUUUACCUAGUCCAAAUAAAAAUUAACCCCUUCCCUGCCAGUCGAUCACUGCCUACAGCGAUCAAAUAGAGAUCACAGUAUUAUACUGUGAUCUAAUUUUUUUAACCCCUGAGGAUUAACUUUUAUUUAUUUUUUUAACCCUCAGGGGUUCAAUUUAUUUAAUUAAUUAAUUUAAAUAUUUUAUAACUAUAUAUUUUGCUAGCUGGGGUGGGUGGGAGUUAUGGGAAAAUGGGGAAUUUACUGUUAGUGCUGCGCACUGCUAGUUAGGGGUUAACAGUAAAAAAAAUAGCUUAGAAAAAUGUUAAAUCUGUAAAAAAGUUUUAAGAAAGUUUAGGAAAGUUUAAAAAAAUUUAUAAGCAAAACAAAAGUUUAAAAACUAGUUUUUAAAAGUAAAAAAGUUAUAAAAAGUAAAAAAAUACAUUUUAAAAACGCUCAUUACCACUACACCUGGAACAAACUAGAGAAAAAAUUAUCCCACGCCAAGGUUCAAAAUAUACCUUUUGAAUUACCCCAGGGUGUAUUCUUUAAUAAAUAGUAUGUGUUUGUGGGGAAGUUUCAAUAACCAACCGUCUAAACUACUCCAAAUUGGAACAUGGACACAGCAUAAAACUUCAAAGUUAGAAAAAAACUGAAUGGCUGCGUCUCAAAUGCGCCCCUUCAACAUCCACAUAUACCUGGCAAAGGUACAUACGGGGGUAUUGCUGUACUCAGCCGACAUAGCUGAGCAACAUAUGAAGUAUUAUACAGUCAUAGUACACAUAAGGUUUGCAAAAUAUGCUGCGCAAACUCACUUUGUAUGUCAAAAAGGCAGAAAAAAUGCUUAUUACCACUACACUUGGUACAAGCUAGCUGAAAAAUGAUCCCACACUAAGGUUCAAAAUAUGCCUUUUUAAAUACCCUGGGAUGUCUUCUUUAAGAAAUGGUAUGGCUUUAUGGGGAAUUUGGAUUAUAUAGCCUGGUAAAAUACUCUAAAAUGGGACAUAGGCACAGCAUAAAAAUUCAAAGUUUGAAAAAAAAUGGAAUGGCUGUGUCCCAAAUGUGCCCCUCCCAUGUCCACACAUACCUGGCAAAGGUACAUACGGGGGUAUUGCUGUACUCAGCCGACAUAGCUGAGCAACAUAUGAAGUAUUAUACAGUCGUAGCACACAUAAGGUUUGCAAAAUAUACUGUGCAAACUCACUUUGUAUGUCAAAAAGGCAGAAAAAUGCUUAUUACCACUACAUCUGGUACAAGCUAGCGGAAAAAUGAUCCCACGCUAAGGUUCAAACUAUACCUUUUGAAACACCCUGGGGUGUCUACUUUAAGAAAUGGUAGGCCUUGUGGGGUAGUUUGAAUUUAAAACCUGCGAAGAUGCUUGGAAAUUGCACAUAGGCCCAGCGUCAAAAUUCAAAGUUUGGUAAAAACGGAUAUGGCUUGGUCUCCUAUAUGGCACUGUAGCUUCACAAAAUAGUGACAAAGACAUUCAUUGGGGUGUAUUUUUACUCAAAAGACUUAGCUGAGCAUAAUUUGGGAGGUUUGAACUUAGUGGCACAUAUGAAAUAUACAAAACGCCCAGCAAAAAUGCAAUCCAUAUGUAAAAAAUGCACAAAAUAAUUUUUUACCACAUACUUUGGCAUAUAUUGGUGAAAAAAUGGGGGUAUGUUAAGGCACAAUAUGCACCUUAUGAGAUACCCUGGAGUGUCUACUUUUACAAAUGGUAGGCCUUUGUGGGGGUUUUUUGAACAGUCAAACUGUUAUAAUACCCCAAAUGGAAGCUAAGGCUCAUUAAAUCCAUCUCUCAAAAUUCUACUGUGAAUACUGUAAAGGACAGGUCUCCUAUAUGGCACUGUAGCUUCACGAAAUAGUGCCAAAGACAUUCAUAUGGGGUGUCAUUUACUCAGAAGACUUAGCUGAGCAUAAUUUGGGGGGUUUGAACUUAGUGGCACAUAUGAAAUAUACAAAACGCCCAGCAAAAAUGCAAUCCGUAUGUAAAAAAUGCACAAAAAAUUUUUUUACCACAUACUUUGGCAUAUAUUGGUGAAAAAAUGGGGGCAUGUUAAGGCACAAUAUGCACCUUAUAAGAUACCCUGGAGUGUCUACUUUUACAAAUGGUAGGCCUUUGUGGGGGUUUUUUGAACAGUCAAACUGUUAUAAUACCCCAAAUGGAAGCUAAGGCUCAUUAAAUUCAUCUCUCAAAAUUCUACUGUGAAUACUGAAAAGGACAGGUAUCCUGUAUGGCACUGUAACUACACGAAAUAGUGCAAAAGACAUACAAUGGGGGUGUCAUUUUACUCAGCAGAUGUAACUGAACACAAAAUAAAACUUUGUACAGGAAUAGCACACACCAACUUUACAAAAUAUACACGAGAAUUUCUCUGUUAUAAGUUUGUGUGCCAAAAACCAAAAAGAACACAAUUUUACUCCAAUAUUUAGCAGAGGUUGGCGGUGAAAUGGCUACGUAGAAAGUGUCAAAACAACCUUAGGUAAAUAGCCCGUGAUGUCUACUUUAUAUAAAUAUAUACUUUUGUGUGGCAAUUUUGUUUUCUUUUAUGGCUAUUAAGCUUACAAGACAAACAUACCAAAUUCUAAAAUCGCUCCACAUUAAAAGUUUAUUUUACUCCUUGUGCUUUGUGACCUGUAACUACCAAAAAAAACUUAAAAUCCCAGACACAUUAUAUAUUCUGUAAAUCAGAACAAAUAAAUAAAUUUAUUUUUAAUUACUUUCCUUAACCUGCACUAAUUAUGCACACAUUAUUAUUGCAAAAACUGUAAAAAAAAACAAUAUUUUUCAUUUUUUUUGCAUUUUUCUGUAUUUUUUUUAUAAUAAGUAAGCAUUUAUAUAUAUAUAUAUAUAUGUUAUAUCAAAUUAAAGCCCUUUCUGUCCUUUAAAAAACAGUAUAUAAUAUGUGUCGGUGCAAUAAAUGAGAGAGCUGCAAAUUGCAGUUGAACGCAAACAGCAAGAAAAUGCAAAAAUUGCUUGUGUCAUUAAGCGUAAGUCAAGCUUCUGAAGCUGUGUCCUUAAGGGGUUAAAAGAUGGCAGCUUCGUUAAGGGAGCCGGCAUUGUUGUUGAUGCCUGACUGUUGCUUAGCAGCAAUGCGUUCGAUUAGCACAUUGAAUGCUACGGUUUAGCAGCAGAUUUUAAAGCAAGCAGCCAUGUUUAACAUGCGUGUUUUAUGUUCAGUCCGUGUAUUUUUUUUUUGUUCUGACUGUGUAAGUUUAACAUGCGUGUUUUCUGACCAUGCGUAUUUAACGAUCAGUCCAUGCGUGUUUUACGUUCUGACCAUGCGUAUUUAGUGAUCAGUCCAUGUGUGUUUAACUCAGUCCAUGCUUGUUUUACAGUCAGGAUAUGCUUGUUUUACAGACAGGACAUGCUUGUUUUACAGUCAGGACAUGUUUGUUUUACAGUCAGUACAUGCUUGUUUUACAGUCAGGACAUGUUUGUUUUACAGUCAGUACAUGUUUGUUUUACAGUCAGGACAUGCUUGUUUUACAGUCAGUACAUGUUUGUUUUACAGUCAGGACAUGCUUGUUUUACAGUCAGGACAUGCUUGUUUUACAGACAGGACAUGCUUGUUUUACGGUCAGGACAUGCUUGUUUUACGGUCAGGACAUGCUUGUUUUACGGUCAGGACAUGUUUGUUUUACAGUCAGGACAUGCUUGUUUUACAGUCAGGACAUGCUUGUUUUACAGACAGGACAUGCUUGUUUUACGGUCAGGACAUGCUUGUUUUACGGUCAGGACAUGCUUGUUUUACGGUCAGGACAUGCUUGUUUCACGGUCAGGACAUGCUUGUUUUACGGUCAGGACAUGCUUGUUUUACGGUCAGGACAUGCUUGUUUUACGGUCAGGACAUGCUUGUUUUACAGUCAGGACAUGCUUGUUUUACGGUCAGGACAUGCUUGUUUUACAGUCAGGACAUGCUUGUUUUACGGUCAGGACAUGCUUGUUUUACAGUCAGGACAUGCGUGCUUUGUAUCCUCACUAUACAGCCCUCUAUAUAUAACGAGAAUAACUCUGUGUUGCUGGGUGUCUAGACAAAUGAUCUUUUUAUUGAUCCUAAUUAUUAUAUAACUUGUCCCAUUAUUUUAUAAACUAAACUUGCAGUGACUCCCGUUUGGUUCUUCUCCCCCUCCACCCCAAGUAGCUGGUGAUGGAUGUGGGAUGAAGGCCACUUACAUGCUGUAAUAUGACUUUGGAUGAGGUUUUGGUGACGUCAAUGAGAGGUCAAGUAAUGGAAGUGACUGCAAGCAGAUUAUGCACUUUGUCACAGUCUGGCAGUGAGUGUGCAUCAACCCCCAUUAUAAGGCUCAGCGAUGCCUUCAAAUUUUCACAGAUAUAUUGGGCUGGCUGCUGUUUGACACCUACUGGAGCAGGACUCCUGGGAUCAUUUGGCGUGGAUUGCCUAUAUAUAGUGAUGUCCCGAACGGUUUGCCGAACGGUUCGCCGUGAACGGUUCGCCACGGACUCAUCAUUGAGUAAACUUUGACCCUGUACCUCACAGUCAGCAGAUACAUUACAGCCAAUCAGCAGCAGACCCUCCCACCUCCUGGACAGCUCACUAAGAAUGCAGCUUCAAAAUGGAUGCUGUCCAGGAGGUGGAAGGGUCUGGGAGGGAGGGUCUGCCUCUGAUUGGCUGGAAUGUGUCUGCUGACUGUGAGGUACAGGGUCAAAGUUUACUCAAUGAUGAGUCCGUGGCGAACCGUUCGCGAACCGUUCGUGAACUGUUCGGCAAACCGUUCGGGACAUCACUACCUAUAAAUAGAUCUGCUGCUUGUGAAGUGGUUUACUUGUGUUCCUGAUAUCUUAGAGUUAUAUUAUUUACAUGAUUAUAUAUAUUAUAUACAAACGUAUUCCUAUUGCUAUCAUUUUUAAUCUACAUAUACUAGUGCCCCCUGCCGAGUGAGGGUUUGAAAGGUGAGUGUUACUUACCUUUCAGACUCCAUGGCUCCUGUCUCCACGACCACACUCCACCUCUUUGGCUGAAAUUAUCAGUGUCGAUUAUCUCAGCCAAUCCAAUGUUUCCAUUUACCAAAAACAUUAGAAGGCCAAGAUACAACACGGCACCAAUCAGAUGAUAUCGCCUAAAUAAAUAGACCAGUUUAACUUGGCCAUUGAGGGCGUUAGCACCCCUACUGGCUUUUAGAAAGAUUGCCACUAGAAACAUGUUACUCUGCACUUUAUCUAAUAAAUAGCAAUGUUUUCAGACAGGGCCAUGGCUCCCAGGACACUUUGUUGAUAUGGUCUGGGUGCCUAUAGCAUUCCUUUAAAAUCUUCCCUCAAACCCCAUCCAGUGAGAGCGAGGAAUUAGACCUUAACUUCACCUACAAAGUGGUGCUGCAAGAUAUCAAAUAUUUACUGAUAGAUCACUGUUAACAAGUGGCCACAAAUAACGUGAUAGUUUCAUUAAAAUAAAUGGCGUAACAGCAGUUUAGUAAAACUUAAAGAAUAUGAGGCAUUUCACCCCAAAAAAGUGGAAUAAUUGUGUCAGGUGUCUUUAGUUAUAUUUUAUGUAUUUUUACCUGAUUUAUUCACAGAGUUCGUGUGAUGUUAAUCUGUUAUUUCACUGUAAUAAUCUAGUAGCGGUUAUGGGAUUUUAUCAGUACACAGGUUAUUGAUAAGGUGUAAAAUUGUUCCAAUUAGACAAUUUUGGCUAAAGUCUGCAGUUCUGUGUCAGUGCCUUGCUAAUCACGGUUUGGUGAAUAAGACUGCUUUAUUUUCUAAACAAUAAGGUAUGAUGACACCGGAAAAAAUUACAAAAAUAACAUUUCACUGGAAUUUCAAGAUAUUGUUCUCUGCAAUUUUAGAUUGCAUUUUCUCUUUUUCCUUUUGAGAGCACGUUGCUUGUUACACCACUGGAACAUCUGUAAACAGGGAUUGAAACAUUUGACAGCGUUUGCAGUUUCUGAUGGUGCUAAAUUGCAGUCCAGCGCCCGUUCCAGUGUCACGUUGCUAUUAGAGGAGCCCAUAGCAGCUUUUAAGAAGAUAUUGUAAUAAUUGCACUGUAUUAGAUCAGCAGGUUAGCGUCUCCUUCGUGACAUUCUCCUCGGCUGCCUACCAUUUACUAUCCUUGGAGCGCCGAUGCCUAGAUACUGUAAUUGAAAAAUGCCAAAUACAGCAGAGAGCAAUUCUAAAUAAUGUGCCUUUGUAACGGCACUGACUUUGCAUUUAUAACAUAAUUGUAAUCUCUGUUUGCAUUCAUUUAUAAUUGGUGUAAGUGAACUUAAAGCGCCUGUGUGUGGGUUGUUUUUAUAUGGGAAGCUUACGGAUGCUUCGAUUUUAUGGUGUCAUUUCACACUAUUUUAACUGGAUUCUUAUUAGCCUGGAAUAUGGGUUUUCUUUAUAUAUUCUACUUCAUUUUUCUUUUUCACACUGAAAAUGUCAGGUUUGAUGCCCUCCGAAAGGAAACUGCCACGGAUCUCCAACGUCUAACAGCAGAUCGUGCUGAACAAGGCUUUUCAAGGACUGUUCUAAGAAAACAGAAAUUGUGCUUUCUCUUGUUUGUCUCUAACUACCGAUGGCAAUAAAUCAAUAAUCCCCCUCCAUCCUCGCAAUGCCAUUUUUGGUUAUUUUAGAUGUCGUUUCUAACCUGUUGUUUGGUUUAACUUUAAUAACUAAAUGUUAUUACUUUGAUGUUCUUUGUAUAGUUUAUAUUCCUAGUAAAAUAGCCACAAAGUAUAUAUUUUGUGUGUUUGAUCUCCGUCAAGUGUUUUUCAAGCGAUUUCGCAAUAUUCCCAUCUCAUUGCAGGUGUAACCUAACACAAAUAAAUGGACGCGUCUGUUGGGCUCAUUAAAACCUUUCCCACUUCUGGUCGGAUCCUUCGUUUGUUUAAAGCUGACAAUGAGUUGUAAGCACGUCUUACUUGGACAAAAAAACAGAAGUAUUUUCCAAACAUUUUCUGAAGCAGAGUUUAGUUUGUUUUGCACAGAGAAGCUAUUGUGGGUGAGAUGGCACAUCGAACAGGUUUUGGAUCCAUUUACAGCAAAUCUAGAAUAAAUUUUAUUUUAUUUUGUCAAAUAUCUUAAAACAGGGUAAUGGCUAUUAGACUUUUAAACAGAGGUGAUACAAUUCUAGCUUGAAGAGUCUAACAAAUAGCAAAGGUAAAAGGUCUCAAUUCUUAAAGGAACACUAUAGUCACCUAAAUUACUUUAGCUAAAUAAAGCAGUUUUAGUGUAUAGAUCAUUCCCCUGCAAUUUCACUGCUCAAUUCACUGUCAUUUAGGAGUUAAAUCACUUUGUUUCUGUUUAUGCAGCCCUAGCCACACCUCCCCUGGCUAUGAUGACAGAGCCUGCAUGAAAAAAAAAACUGGUUUCACUUUCAAACAGAUGUAAUUUACCUUAAAUAAUUGUAUCUCAAUCUCUAAAUUGAACUUUAAUCACAUACAGGAGGCUCUUGCAGGGUCUAGCAAGCUAUUAACAUAGCAGGGGAUAAGAAAAUCUUAAUUAAACAGAACUUGCAAUAAAGAAAGCCUAAAUAGGGCUCUCUUUACAGGAAGUGUUUAUGGAAGGCUGUGCAAGUCACAUGCAGGGAGGUGUGACUAGGGUUCAUAAACAAAGGGAUUUAACUCCUAAAUGGCAGAGGAUUGAGCAGUGAGGCUGCAGGGGCAUGUUCUAUACACCACAACUGCUUCAUUAUGCUAAAGUUGUUCAGGUGACUAUAGUGUCCCUUUAAUUCUAAGAUUUUUUUCUUUUUUUGAAUUUUUUGAUAUACGUACCCAUUAAAGAGCCUGCUGGGUAGUUUAUCUGUUUAGCCCCAACUCGUAUCUAACUGGGAGCUCAUUGUAUGCUCUGUUGAAGAUUGCGUUACCUCUCCAUGAUAGUGACCACGUUCUGUGGUUGUGACCACUCUCUAUAGUAGUGACCAAUUUCCACAGUAGUAGCAUGAGUAUGAUAGUUAUCAUUUUUUUUUAGUAGUUACCGGGCUAUUUUAGUGACCUUUUUAAAUGGCAGUCACAUGUCUCCAUGGGAGUGAUAUAUAACUUCCACCUAAUCACCCGUGGAAAGUAUCAAUAUAAACUUAGCUUUUCGGAUACUUGCUUCCCUUAGGUUACCUCCCAACUUGGUAACCAUAUAAAACUAUUACAAAAUACAAAUCGACCAAGGAUCCAGCUUGUAUCACUAGAAUGUAAACAUAAAAUGCAGCAUAGUGUAAUAAAGUUACAAUUUAAAUAUUCAUUUCAUGUUUCAAGGUUGCACUCACAAAUUGAUGGGUUUUUUUCAAGCCCUCAGGUUGCCACCCCUAUGGUUAGGGGGGUUCCUCCUGUUGUUUGGUUACCACGCCAAUUCCAAAGUUAGGAAGUCCACACACUCCCAAUGGUUAGUAAAAAAGACAAUGAAGAGUUCCUAAAUAAAUGGGAUGAGGUUUUGUAUAAUUGCUCAUUUCAAUUGAUGGAGUUAAUUGUUAAACAUUCUAAAGGAUCCAAAGAAAGAUUAGAACAAGAGUUAGAGGAACUAGAAACCAAUUAUACAUUGAAUACAGAUAAAGAGGAAAUGAUGCAAAAAAAAGUUAAAACAUCUCGGGAUGAAAAAAUUGCAGACACUAAAAACUAAAAAAUACAAAAGAGAUAAGGAAGAUAAAAUAAAAUAUUUUUUUCUACUAGGCUGAAAAUUGUAAAUAAAAGAAAAUAAAAAAAUACCUUUUCCAGUAAUUAUAACCAUAUAGAACCCUGGAAAAAAGGGUGAGGAGGAAAACAGGAGAUAGUCGAAAAGAAUUUAAUGAUAAUAGGAAACCAGAGCUAACAAGGGGCGCUAAUUAUACUCCUAUUAGGAGCCCUAGACAUAGAUAUAGGGAAAGGAGUCCACCAAACUAUAAAAGGAGGAGUUUAACAUAUGCCCAAGUAGCCAGUGAAGAUGCUGAAAAUAGUAGAAGGAAUUCAUCCAAUGAGGGGAUGAGAGAAAUUUUAUGGGGAGAACAAGAGUCCCCAAAGAGAGAUCUAUAACCAAUUACUUCAAACCGAGGGAGGAGGUGAUUACACAUUCAAAUCGGUUUGCCCCUCUCUCAGUGGAAACACCACCAAAGCGGAAAAGAAUGGAGGAGUACACCAAUCCCUUAAGAAGGGAACAUACCUCCCCUCACAAGUGGUAGAGAAGGGUAUUUUCAAUAUCUCAGGGAAGCCAUUAUCUAAUCAAGAGAUUAAUUUGUUAGAAAAAGGCAUGAAAUUUGCCCCAAACCAAAAGGUCAAUGAUUUUAAUUUGUAUAUUGAUCUGAAAAAAUACGUUAGAAAUCUUACAGUUAAAAGAAAUUUUUUUGAAACAUCCAAUACAUUAUCAACAGGGAGAACCAAAGGAUUCUAGUAAAUCGAAUUUUAAACCAAAAUCUCACUUCUGUCCUGUAUAUACAGGGCCCUCUAUAACAUGAAUAGGACCCCGGGCAAAGCCUUUUCUUGGGCCCCCUGGGCCCUGUCACUGCACCCUCCCUCCCCAUUACGCCCAACCCGCAAUCACACUGACAGACAUACUGACACAUACACACACAGACAGAGACAUUAAAACAUUCGCAGAUACAUACUGACACACACAUACACUGACAAACAUUGACACACAUUCAGACAUACUGAUACACACACAGACACAUACAUACUCACAGACACAUAAACUGACAAAUAUAUUGACACAGACACAUACACUGACAGGCGUAUUGACAUACACAGACAUACUGACAUACACACACACACACACUGGAACACAGUGAGACAUACUGACAUACAUACACAGACAUACUGACAUACAAACACACAGACAUACACACAGUAUGUCUGUGUGUGUUAGUAUGUCUGUGUGGUGUGUUAGUAUGUCUGUGUGUGUAUGUCAGUAUGUCUGUGUAUGUCAGGGCCUCCUUAGUUGGCGGGCCGGUGUGGCUGCACCGCCGGCCGCCGGGUACAUGGGGGCUGCUGAAAUCGCGGGGCCCACGGGGCAGCUGCUCUGGGGCCCCCCCAGGAGCAACUGGGCCCAGGGCAGCUGCCCCGUUUGCCCCGCGCUAAAGACGGCUCUGUGUAUAUAGCAAAGGUCCACAUUUAGAAACCUUUGAACAUAUGGUGGAAAAAGAUCUAAAGAAAUCAACACAAUCACAUAAGAAUUCGAAAUUUCAGAAGAAUCAUAAUCUAACUAGGGCGGACAGAGAGGGUCUUAAAACCCUUAAAGAAAGAGAUGAUAUUAUUAUCAAAGAAGCGGACAAGGGGGGAGGGAUAGUGGUAAUGUCCACGGAAUAUUAUAUGAAAGAAAGUAAUAACAUUUUACAAGAUAUAAAAACAUAUAGAAAAUUGGACAGUGACCCCACUUCAAUAUUUAAUUCUAAAUUGAACGAAUUAUUAGUGGCAGGAAAAAAUGAUGCAGUUAUUUCACUUAAAAAAUUUUCAUUUUUAUUUAAUAAACAUCCCACGAUUCCAAUAUUUUAUUUUAUUCCUAAAAUGCAUAAAAAUCUGCCCACUCCCCCAGGAAGACCUAUGAUAAGUGGGAUAGACUCUAUAACGGCCAAUUUAUCCGCCUUUGUUGACUCAUAUCUUCAACCAUAUGCUCAAAAGAUACGAAAGAUACUAAAUCAUUUUUGCAGGAAAUAGAAAAUUUAGAGUGGCAGGAGGAUUAUAGUUGGGCCACGUUGGACGUGGCAUCUCUGUACAUGGUGAUAAGUCACACUUUGGGGCUAGAAGCAAUCAACCAUUUCAAGAGUAAAGAUACAGAAAAAAAUUCAUUUGGAAAGCGGUAGAAUUUAUUUUGAAACACAAUUAUUUUUACUUUGAUGGGUGUUUUUAUUUACAAACCACGGGGACAGCCAUGGGCACCAGGUUUGCCCCCAGUUAUGCUAACACAUACAUGAGAAGAUGGCAAGAUCUCUUCGUGUGGUGUGGUCAUGACUUGGUGGCGAAUCUGGUCAUGUGUUGAUUAUUUGGAGAGGAACACACACGUCAUUAGUAUCUUUUGUAGGUUAUCUAAACGAUAAUGAUUAUAAUUUACGAUUUUUUACCAAUUUGGAACAAGAAAGAAAUACACUUUCUAGAUUUAACUUUGUUUGGAGAGGGGAGUGAGAUAAAAACUAAAUGUUAUUUCAAACCUAUGGAUGGGAACAGUUACGGCCACAAAAAGAGUUGUCACUAUCAACCCUGCCAGAGGACAGUUGACAAGAGUGAGACGUAACUGUUCCCAUCCUGGAGAUUUUAUACAACAAGCAGAACAUAUCAAGAAAAAGUUAGUUAAAAAGGGUUAUAACAAGAAUUCAAUAGAUAAGGAAAUUAGAAUUAGGUCAGGAAGAGAACGGGAUGAAUUACUACAAGAUAAAGUAAAAGUUAAAGGACCAUUAUAACAUACUCGUUUUCCUGGCACUAUAGUGCCCUCAGGGUCCCACUGCCGCCCGGCUCUGGGGAGAGGAAAGGGGUUAAACUUACCUUUAUUCCAGCGCCGGGCGGGGAACUCCUCUCCGCCUCCUCUCCUCCCUUUCGGCUGUAUGCGCACGCGCGGCAAGAGCUGCGCGCCUAUUCAGCCGGUCUCUUAGGAAAGCAUAUAUAAUGCUUUCCUAUGGACGCUUGCGUGUUCUCACUGUGAUUUUCACAGUGAGAAUCACGCGAGCGCCUCUAGCGGCUGUCAGUGAGACAGCCAAUAGAGGAUUUGAGGGCUGGCUUAACCCAUUUAUAAACAUAGCAGUUUCUCUGAAACUGCUAUGUUUAUAAAAAAAAUGGGUUAACCCUAGCUGGACCAGGCACCCAGACCACUUCAUUAAGCUGAAGUGGUCUGGGUGCCUAGAGUGGUCCUUUAAGCAAGAUGGAGAAAGAUUUCGCACUGCUUUUAUAACUCAAUAUAAUACGGAUCACUUUAAAAUUAAGAAAAGUUUGGAAAGAUAUUGGCCAAUCCUGUUGGAAGAUCCCUUUUUGGGAGAGAUAUUGCCGGAAAAAAACCAACAUUAAUAUGAACUACAAAAACUAGAACUACAAAAAAAGGAAGUGAAAGGGUUUAAAGGAUGCAAUAGAUGCAAAACAUGUUCUACGAUUAAUUUGGGAAAUAAUACACAUUUUAAAUGUAAAAUCACAGGGCAAAAUUUCCAGAUUAAAAACAGUACUGGCUGCCUCACGGACUAUGUGGUCUAUUUACUACAGUGUCCAUGCGGUAAGCCGUACAUAGGCCGGACAAAAAGGGCUUUUAAAAUCAGAGUAAUGGAACACAUUAAUUAUAAUAAAAAAGAUUUGAAGUCCCAUUCAGUACCGACCCAUUGUAAUUCCUGCCCUUUGUUUGAAUUAAAAAAAAUUAACUUGUAUAGCCAUAGAAAAAAUGUCCCCGUAUUGGAGGGGAGGCAAUAGGGAUCAAAAACUGGCCCAGCGAGAAACAUACUGGAUCGACAAAUUACAGACACUUGGCCCAAUGGGGCUGAAUGUCGAUGUGGAUUUAGUAUGUUUCCUGGGCUAAUAAAUGGAUAUAGGGUAUUUAUCUGGUUUGAAAAUAAUUUUCUUAGAAUUUAGAGAGUAAGACUUUUAAUGGUAGAUUUUCGGAGUUAAACGGAGGUUAAAAAGAAAAAAGAUUUUGGUGAAGUUCCAAAGGAUAUAUAUGUAAAUAAUAAUAAAUAAUAAUAAGUUCCAAAGCAUAUAUAUGUAAAUAAUAUUUUUUUUGGAUUCUAAAAUAGACAAUAAUACAACAAAUUUAUUUAAAAUAAGCACUUUAAAGGAGAAAAGUAUAAUAUAUAUAAAAAAAAAAGUUUAUUUUGGGAAAAUUAUAGUUUUUAGAAAGGAAGAAUAAAAACACUCACAAUAACAAUUGUAUAUGAACAAAAUCAUUUAUAAAAAGUAUUAUACAAUUAGGAGAUAAGGGGUUAAUUUUAAAUUAUACCAUGGCUGUUAAUUGUGAUAACCAAAAAUAUUCAUCACUAUACAAUGUGAUGAAUAUAUAUAUAUAACGAAAAACAUGGCAUAGUGUGGAUAUAGUUGAUGAAAUAUAUUAAAUUUUUAUAAAAAAAAAUGUUAUAUAUAUUUUUUGAAGGGGUUAUUAAUAAUAUACAUCAAUGUUUAAUAUUAAAAAAUGGAAUGAAAUGAUAACAACAAAAGGACAAUUGUAAGCUGCUGAAUUGAAUGGAAAGGAUGGUUGAAGGUAUUUGUAGCUUGAAAAAAAGAAUGUAAACCAGAUAUAUUGUUUUCUUUCGUUUAUCUUUUCUUUUAUAUGUUAUAUCAUGGACUGGAACGUCAUGUAAAUCCAUGACAUUACCUCUGGCGACCACCAGAGGGCAAUAAUUUAAACAUUGAUCGCUGAAUUGAAUGGAACGCACGGCCAUUUUAAUGGAGCCGCAGUGGAACGCACGGAAGUGCGCCGAACCGGAAGAAAAGUCCGGAAAGAAGAUCUCAGCGCGAAAAGAAGAUUGAACGGAAUGAAAACAGCUGGGACCCCUUUCAACUGUCGAUAGGAAGCCCAAUUAGAAGAGGACUAUGUACCAACGCCCACCACACCACCAAUGGACUCCCAGCUCGAGUAUAUUUAAGGGUUUGAGGGGGGAGGGGGAAAUAGGCUCAUCUGUACACUUGUUGAUUUUUUGGCAGGGUAUGUGAUUGUAUGUUUUAACUAUAGCGAUUUAAUAUUUGGUCCCUGAGGAAGUUUCCUAAGGGAGACGAAACGCGUAGGACCAGUAAUAGUAUUUUAUUAUUUUAUUUUUAUACUUUAAAGCCAAUAAAUUCCUUUUUUUUAACUAACCAUUGGGAGUGUGUGGACUUCCUAACUUUGGAAUUGGCGUGGUAACCAAACAACAGGAGGAACCCCCCUAACCAUAGGGGAGGCAACCUGAGGGCUUGAAAAAAAACAUCAAUUUGUGAGUGCAACCUUGAAACAUGAAAUGAAUAUUUAAAUUGUAACUUUAUUACACUAUGCUGCAUUUUAUGUUUACAUUCUAGUGAUACAAGCUGGAUCCCUGGUCGAAUUUGUAUUUUGUAUGUUAGUGAUCCCUUUAUAUGGAAGUGACUUGUCUCUAUGGUAAUGAUCCCUUUAUGUGGUAGUGACCUGUCUCCAGGGCCGGUGCAAGGAUUUUUGCCGCCCUAGGCAAAAGUAAAGUUUGCCACCCCCCCCAUGUGAUAUCACAAUGCCCCACCCAUAUGAUUUGCCAUGUUAACUAACGCCAGUGCUGCAGUGCCGCCGUGUUUACAUUAUAAGGCAUGCAGGGACAGGCUAUAGACACCAGAACCACUACAUUAAGCUGCAGUGGUUCUGGGGACUAUAGUGUUUCUUUAAUGUGAGGUAAAUUAGAGAUUAGUGCCACGAAUAAUAUACUAGAUUGCCUACUUACAACCAGAUGAGGAUGAUGAUGGGCUCUAGCUGCAGUCUGGCUCCACUGGUCUGGUGUAGAACAGGCUCUCUGGAGGUGGUUUGUAACUGUGGUCACAAAAAUCGAUGUUCUGGGAGAACGUGAAGCAGCUCCAUUUUUUGGGGGCCCUUUACACAGCUCAAGGUCUGGGUCCCGGGGUCCACCUUCAUGUUCCACCAAUGAGUUUGUUCACAGGGGGUGGAGUGUGUAGGGGAUGUCCUGAUAUGUGUGUAAGGAAUACAUUGUGUGAAUCUGUGUUUGUAUGUGUAAGGGCUGCACGGUGUGUUUCUGUGUAUGUACAGGAUGCAGUGUGUGCGUGUGUAAGGGGUGCAUUGAGUGUGUGUAAGGAAUGCAUUGUGUGUUUCUGUGUGUGUAAGGGAUGCAUUGUGUGUAAGGGCUGCAUUGUUUGUGUGUGUGUGUGUCUGUGUGUGUAAUGCAUUGUGUGUUUUUCUGUGUGCAAGGGGUGCAUUGCAUGUGUGUGUGAUGGAUGUCAAUCUCUCCCCCCUCCCUUGUCACUCUCUUCUCCCCCCUCUCCCUUGUCACUCUCUUCUCCCCUUCCCACUCUCAUUGCCCCUCCCUCCCCUGUCACUCUCACCCCCCGUCAAUUUCUUCUCACCCCUACCAAUUUCUUCUUCUCCCCGCUCCCCUACCAAUUUCUUCUUCUUCUCCCCCCUCCCCUACCAAUUUCUUCUUCUCCCCCCUCCCCUACCAAUUUCUUCUUCUCCCUCCCUCCCUCUUUCUUUCUCCCCCUCCCCCCAUUCUUCUACCCCAUCCCUCCCAUUUUUCUUCUCCCUCCCUACCACUUUCUUUCUUUCUCCCCCUCCCCUGCCAUUCUUCUCCCACCUCCCCAACCAAUUUUUUUCUACCACCUCCCAUUUCUUCUCCCCCAACCAAUUUAUUUUUCUCCCACCCUCCCAUUUCUUCUCCCCCCCUCCCUCCCCAUUUCUUCUUCUCCCUCCCUCCCUACCAAUUUCUUUUUUUCUCCACCCUCCCAUUUCUUUCCUCCCCCAACCAAUUUAUUUUUUCUCCCACUCCUCCCAUUUCUUCUUCCCCUCCCUCCCAUUUCUCUUUUCUUUCUACCCUCCCUCCCCAUUUCUUCUUCUUUCCCUCCCCUACCACCUCUUUCUUCUCCUCCCCAUUUAUUCUCCCCCUCCCUGCCAAUUUCUUUUCUUCUCCCACCUCUCCCCAUUUCUUCUUCUCCCUCCCUACCACUUUUUUUCUCCCACCCUCCCCAUUUCUUCUUCACCCUCCCUACCAAUUUCUUCUCCUCCCCCUGCUACAAUUUCUUCUUCUCCCCAAGCAAUUUCUUUCUCACCCCCUCCCAAUUUCUUCUUCUCCCCUGCCAAUUUCUUCUCACCCCCCCUCCCAAUUUCUUCUCCCACCCUCCCAAAACUCUGUGUGCACUUCCUGUUAGUCCUGCCGGGUACAGGAGAUAGAUGCUCCCUGUACCCGCGGACCAUCAUGAUGCAGGGCUCGGCCACGUUACAGUGAGGGAGUGACAAGAGGGAGCGCUGAGCGCUUCCCUCCUGUCAGCCCCUCUCCUCAGGCUGCGCCCGGGCGGUGCGGUCCGCCCUCAUGGACGCACUGUCCGGGCAAAGCUGCAGCCGCCUGAGGCUCUCUACAGAGCGCUCGGGCAGCUGCAGCAUUAGGGGGGCCGGCGCUCCUGGCUGCCUAGUCCGCCUAACACAGGGGUUCUCAACCCAGUCCUCAGGACCCCCUACCAGUCGAGGAUUUGGGGAUUACCUGGGUGUGUCUCAGGUGUUUAGAAAAAGGGAAAAAAACACCUUAGACUCUAAGGUGUUUUUUUUUUCUUUCUUUUUCUAAACACCUUAGACACACCCAGGUAAUCCCUAAACCCUGGACUGGUAGGGGGUCCUGAGGACUAACGUUGAGAACCCCUGCCCUAACAGGUAGCGCCGGCCCUGCCUGUCUCCAUGGUAGUGACCUGUCUGUAUGGUAGUGACCUGCCUCUGUGGUAGUGAUCCCUUGAUAUGGUAGUGACAUUAUUAUUAUUAUUAUUAUUAUUAUUAUUUAUAAAGUGGCAACAGGUUCCGUAGCGCUGUACAAUGGGUGGACUAACAGACAAGUAUUUGUAACCAGACGAGUUGGACACACAGGACCAGGUGAGUUUACACGCUAGAGGGAGUGGGGUAAAGUGACACAUAUAGGUAAUGGUAGGGUAGAAUAGCAGGUUGCUAGAAUAGUAUUCACUGAGGGCUUAGUGUUUUGUAUUGAUGACAGUUGAAGGAGAGGAAUCAGGGUGCGGGGAGGGAGAGCUAUUAACAGUUAUAUCGUUAAAUGGCUGAAAAUAGACCUGUGUCCAUCAAGUUCAGCCUUCCUCACAUCUGUUUUUGCUGUUGAUCCAAAAGAAGGCAAGAGGCUAUUAUCCUACAGUUUAAAAAUUAUAUCCCUGUAUGUUUUUGCGAGUAUGCAUCCAGUUGCUGUUUAAACAUCUGUACAGACUCUGUUAAAACCUCCUCUUCAGGCUGAGAAUUCCACUCAGGGCAAUUGUCACUCUGGUAAAGGGGGUAUGGAGACCCCCUGGUUGCUUAUUUUGCCUUGAUGCGUCCUGCACAUCAAGCGCCUGAUUGGGAGAUACACUGAAACACUUUGGAGCUGUUAGCCGGAUGGGGACUGUGCCAUGAUCCGGUGAAUCUUUGGUUAUCACUCAUUUCCCUGAUCACCAAACAAGGCGCUAUUGAGACUGUAAGGGCACUCCGUUAUACCCUCUUUAUGGUAGUGACCCCUUUAUAUGAUGGUGUCAGGAUCCUAUCCUGACAACUAAGUCUGUUUCUUUUAUUCUGUUACUUUAAAACAAGUUCCAGCUCUCCACCACUAGUGGCCUCCCUAACCUCUAGGUACCUUCAUCAUUCCUCACCUGCCUGGACUAAUUACAGAUCCUACUGCUUUACAACCCUGCUAUAUCCUGCCAACCAGCUUUAUACCAAUUUGCGCCUAACCAGCCUAACCUACGCUACUAACCAGCUUUAUCCUGCCAACCAGCUUUAUACCAGCUUAACCGAUGCUACUUACCUGCUAUAUCCUUCUAACCAGCUUUAUACCAACCUGCUCCUAUCCAGCCUAACCUACACUUCUAACCUGCUAAGCAGCUUUAUACCAACUUGCUCCAAACCAGCCUAACCUAUGCUACUAACCAGCUUUAUACCAAUCUGCUCCUAACCAGCCUAACCUACGCUACUAACCAGCUUUAUCCUACCAACCAGCUUUAUACCAGCCUAACCGAUGCUACUAACCUGCUAUAUCCUGCCAACCAGCUUGAUACCAACCUGCUCCAAGCCAGCCUAACUUACACUUCUAACCUGCUAACCAGCUUUAUACCAACCUGUAUAACACCAAUCUGGCCUUGGCUUCUAAUAUCGCAAGGUGUCCAUCAGGACUCCUUCGAAGAGGGGACUGAUUCACUAAAGUUCUGCUUUACCUAUUAUCCUGAAACCUUAUUGUUCUUUUUUUGUUCUAUCCUGUUGUACUUGUCCCUCUAUAUUCAACUUAUCCUUCUAUCUAUAGGUUCUCUUAUUAUCUACCUGCAUCUGGUUUAUAAUCUAUAUAGGGCAUAUUGCCUAAAUCCCUUUAUUUCUGUUCAUUCUCUCUCUCUCUCUCUCUCUCUUUCUCACCUGCUCAAGAGCAUGACAGGUGCUGAUAGAUCUCUAUCAGGGUUAUUCACUAAAGUGAGAAUUGUUGGGAAUUUAAAGUGAAUUUAAGGUAAAAUAGCUAAAUUGCAAAAAUUCCCCAAGUCUGCAAUGUUUCCAGUUUGGAAUUCCCAUCAAUUCUCACUUCAGUAAAUAACCCUGUAUGGGAGUGUCCUCUCAGUGCUCUCUACAAGUAGGGCAGUUUGCCGGUGCCGGAUUUCAUACAGGUCCAUUCUCGCUGAGAUCCCCGGACGCCCCAUUGUUUAUAGCUAUAAUCAGGAAAUAGCAGAAAAUGUAAGGAUCCAUGGAGUAAGAUGGAAUAGAAAUGUUUGUGUUUUACUCUCUCCCCUCCUUGAUUUGGGAGGAGGAUCUGAAAUUAGUUUUUUUGAGCGAGGUUACAGUGAGUCAUUAUGGAAGAUAUACGCAGAACGAGGACUUGGCUGGAUUCCACCGGGGCUUUCUUUGUUUGAGUGGAGAUUUUAAGUAGCAGUUUAUAUUCGGGAUUAGAUUGUAAACAAACAUGUUGGAACAAUGGCUGGGAAUUCAUGCUACACUUAAUGCGCUCCAGAACCGCCUGUGUUUGCUGGCACCGAUGAGCGCAGAAGGCUGUGUCUGACUGCUAACCAUUAUACUUUGCUUUUGUCAGUAACAGUCCUGUUAAUGGGUUUCUGAGAUGUAAACCACCCAAAUUCACCUUCAUUGUAUCCAUCUCUUUCUUUUCUUGCAUGUUAGUCUUGUAUUACACAUUAAAUGUGGGAGUAGAAGUGAUCAGUGACGUCAUUAUCUCCAUAACUAAAAUGCUCUAUUACUUUUAUCAAUUUUGUAGCUCGUCUCUGGAAUUUUUCUAGUGCCAUGAUAUCUUUCUUUAGAACAGGCGCCCAAAAGUGCACAGCAUAUUCAAGGUGUGAUCUUACCAGCAAUUUAUACAGAGGCAAAAUUAUAUUUCCAUCCUGAGAAUUUAUGCCCUUUUUUAUACAUGACAAAACCUUACUGGCCUUAGCAACUGCAGAUUGACAUUGCAUAUUGCUGCCUAAUUUGUUGUCUAUAACAAUUCCCAAAUCCUUCUCGUGUGUGGUUAUCCCUAAUUCACUACCAUUUAGUGUGUAAGUUGCUUGUGUAUUCUUAACCCCGAAGUGCAUAACUUUGCAUUUCUCUACGUUAAAUUUCAUCUGCCAUUUUAGUGCCCAGUCCCCCAAUCUAUUCAAAUCCCUCUGCAGCAAAGCAAUAUCCUGCUCACAUUUUAUUACUUUACAAAGUUUUGUGUCAUCUGCAAACACUGAUACAUGGCUUUCAAUGCCCAUUUCAAGAUCAUUUAUAAAUAUGUCAAAAAGAAGCGGUCCCAAAACAGAACCCUGAGGGACACCACUUACCACUUUUGUCCAGCUUAAAAAUUUACCAUUAAUGACAAGUCGUUGUACUCUAUCCUUAAGCCAAUGUUUUACCCAAGAACAAGAAUAUUCAUCUAGACCAAUUUCUUUUAGUUUGAAGACUAACCUAUUGUGUGGAAUUGUAUCAAAUGCCUUGGCAAAAUCCAAAUAGAUCACAUCCACUGCAACAUCCUGAUCUAUACUUCUACUUACUUCUUCGUAGAAUGCAAUUAGGUUAGUUUGACAUGACCUAUGUUUCAUAAAACCAUGCUGAUUAUUGCUAAUAACAAAGUUCUUCCCAAUGAAUUCCUGAAUAUUAUCCCUUAAUAGCCGUUCAAAUAUUUUCCCAGUUACAGAAGUGAGGCUCACAGGUCUAUAAUUUCCAGGCAAGGAUUUUGAACAUAGGAACAACAUCAGCCUUCCUCCAAUCCUCCGGUACAACACCUGAAACAAAAGAAUCUUGAAAAAUUAAAUACAGAGGUUCACUUAUUUCCCCACUUAGCUCCUUAAGUACCCGUGGGUGAAUACCGUCAGGCCCCGGAGCUUUAUUUACAUUAAUUUUCUUUAAUAACUGUAGCACCUUGUCUCAAGUUAUCCAAUCACAAGUUAUUUGCAAGUUUUUUUUCAGCAAUCAUUUGCAUAUCUCUUGCCAUAGGAUCCUCAUUAAUAUAUAUUGAAGAAAAUUAAUUAGUUAACAUUUCUGCUUUUUCCUGGUCUUAAUAAACCCAACUCUGUUUCCAGUUUACCUACACUUUCAUUUUUUAUUUAUUUUUUUAAAUUGAUGUACUUGAAAAAAAUUGGGGGGUUGGUUUUGCAUUCUUUAGCGAUCAAUGUCUCAUUUUCUAGUUUAGCCACUUUAAUUGCCUUUGCAAGCGUUAUUGGCUUCCUUAUAUCUUACAUAGGAUGCCUCUGGUUUUUCUUAUUUUUAAUCUCUUGUUUUACUUCUCUACUAAGCCACAUUUGUUUUGAGUUGUUUCUUUUAUAUUUAUUACCCAAUGGUACAUACUGUGAAAUGUACCUUUCUAAUAUUUGUUUGAAUAGUUUCCAUUUAUCCACAGUGUUUUUGUCACUAAGGAGUUUAUGCCAGUCGAUAUGUUGUAGAGCUGCCCUAAUCUUAUUGAAAUUGGCUUUUUAAACAUUAUAUGUUUUAGUAUACCCCACUUGCUUUUGCUUUUUUGAGUUUAUUUCAAAAGUUACCAUAUUGUGAUCACUAUCUCCCAAAUGCUCCCCUACUUGAAUGUUGGUUAAAAGAUCAACAUAUAUAUAUUUCUAUUCAUACCACAAUAUCAACUCAUUGGAGAAUUUUGUAGAUAUGUUUGUGUCCCCUUGACCUAUUUAUGAAUAUAAUUGUUCCCACUCUUCUAUUCCCAAAAUCUGAGUUUGAGAUUAAAACUAGGUUUAACCCUGGUGCUGCUCCAAUGCAAAAACACUCAGGAUUAUUUACUGGUGAGAUUUCAAAGGGAAUUUCUGACUUUGAGAAUUUUCCGAGUCCGGCUAUUGUGAGCUUCAGGUUAUUUGGGACUCCUGUCCCUUUCACAGGGUGUUAUCCAUUUCACUGGCAGAAGAUUAAACUCGGCAUACAUUAACCUGCUGCGCAUGAUGCUGAUUGUUGAACAUUACAUGUUCAGAUCUCUCUCUGUUGGGCUACACAUGAGUGGUUAUACUUCUCUCCAGGCAUUUUCUUUGCUGGAGUGGAAGUGGAGUGGUCUUGGGCACGGUGCUGUCCACGGAAUAUCGAUCCGAGAAGGAAAGAAUGAACGAGUUCUCAAUGGAGGAGACACUAUAAAGGAGUUAAAGAGGGAGGUAAUAAACGUAACACCGAUUAAAGCACAUGGACAGAGAAUACACGUCUCUAGCCUGACAGCCUCACCGACUAUUAUACACUGAUAGCCAGGGCCACCGGACACUAAACGGCCAAAAACGUACAGUGGAGAAACAGGGACAUAACAUAGGAAAGCUACACUAAAAGUGAUUAAACUAGCUACAUAGUUAUAAAUCUCAUACUUUAUAUAAUUUGUAUAUAAUACUUGUGUGUCUAAACACACAAAUUGAACUAUAAAUGUCUUUACCGUUAGUAUGAUUGGGCAGUGCGUUAAUGAAAUACAAGGUGCAAAAACAAAGAAUGGAAGAGGAGAUGGCGAUAAAACACAUCAGGAAACAAGGGAGCACGCCACACGCAAGGACAAGAGACGGCAAAAAUGGGUCGAGAACAGGAUUACAAAAUGAAAGUAAAGGUACACAGAAAAGAAUCAAUAAGAAAACAGGGAGCGGGUGGAAAGGUCAGAGGGUUUUAGUGGAACGAGGGCCGAAGAGAGAGUGAGAACAUUAAAAUGGGUCAGACAUGAAAAGGGCAGGACGGUAAAGAAGUGAGUGAAGCCCCUUAAUGUCUGGUGCCAGCUCCAUGUUCUGUAUGGAGGGGGACGCAAUGUUCAGAUGGGUUUCCAAAUUCUACGUUUCUAGAUUCCCAAUUUAAAAUGUUACUGUGCUUUGUAGAACCCGGAAAGCUGUGUGAGAUUUCCAGAUCUCCUUGAAAAGGUUCAUCUUGUGUUGAUCAAGUAGCUUCGUACAAAACCAAGACAAACUAGCAAAAAGAGAUAAUGUCAACUCUCCCAGUGUGAGGCUUUCAUGGCUCUGUCCGUAUAUUCGAGCUCCAUUUUACUCUCCUGAGCAGCAUGAAAUCAGGGUCAGGACAUUUAGCUUCGUUUGUACUCCCUAACGCUUUAUAGUCCAAGGUGGCCCAAGAGAACUCGUCUUUCUGUGACCCCCGACUGGCCGUGAGAGUUCAUAGUGCGCUUUGACUUUCAUUUCAUCGUCCAUUGUGUGAGAGUUAAAAGGAAUAUGUUCUAGGCAAAGCACGUGCAGUCUGGUUUAUACAGGGUCAGCACAGAGUGGGCAGCAAACUCCUCAACAGAAUGAAAAUAUUUAAAGCUACGGACAAUGUACCGCACAGGAAUUACAUGUAGAUACUCCAUAAAGCAUUAUAUAUCAAUGUGACGGCAGUUUGUGCAUAUAUAUCUGCACUCUACAACCUGUGCUUGGCUGCAAUACACAGCAUUGUGGGAGGAUGCAGACCCAUAUACGUCACCUCAGGUACCAUAAAUGCUGCAUGGUAGGUAUAUUAUUUAAUCUAUUUAUGUUAGGCCAAAAUUUACAAAUUGAAGCAAUUAUUCGACUCGGCUAUUUUUCCUGCUAAAUAAUUUUUUUCUUAAAUUCAUGCAUUUCCCAUAUCAUUUGUGCCCAGAUCCCAUCUGAGCAGGAAAGACCCAAAGAUUCAAAGAUACACUGCCGGCGCCAUAGGCCCCCGCAGACACAGUAUGGUGUUAAAGGGACUCUAUAGAUAGAUUUACAUUGAAGGCCUCGAGAUGCAGUCUUCCUGACAGCCACUAGAGGCACUCCUGCCCAUAUAGCCAAGUUAAUCUCUGCUAUUCAGUCAGAAGGUCUCAUAGGGAGCGUUUGAUUGGAGCAGCUCGACGUUUUGCCGCAAAUGCGCACAAGACUCCCAAUGUUUCCCUGUGCAGAAACACUGCAUUGACUGAUAUUAUCUCCACUGAUGAUCUCAGCCAAAGAUUAGGAGCUUCAUCAUGGAUCCUGGCACGGCGAGGGCUGAAAGGUAAAUAAAUCUUGCCUUUCAAACUCUCACACGGCGCGCGGGUGGAAUAAAAUAGGUAGUUAAAAUGUAUACCGUUAGGUAUGCACGUUUGUAUUCCUAACAUUAUAAUGUUCCUUUAAGGCACAGUAAGCUGAAGGCACUCAUUAUCACCCAUCUCCCCCUUGCGAGUCUCUUAUAACAGCCUUUUCUCAUCUGCUGGUUUGUCAGCUAAUAAAAUCGAAUUAGAUGCAUCUGUGCAAUACAAAUAAAAAAGAGUCAUAUGAGAGAUCUGGUCUAGAAAUACUGGGUUGAGCAGAUCAAUAUUGCUACCGUGUAACACUAACUGCUUCCAGGAUGGAUACAGCUGUGACUACAAAACCUGAGCAUUGGAUUUCUGCACUAAACAAAGGUGGUCUAUCAACAUAUUGAUAACGGGCAAUUUGUGCCAAAAUACAAACAAUUUGCAGAUGUCUACAUGCAAAUAUUGCUAUAUCUUGUGAUGGGCCUGCUCCUUUUUAAUCAAGCUUCCCCUGCAAUUUGUAACACUGAUUAAAUAAGGUAUUUACAUAGCAAGUGCUAGAAACACAGAAGCAUAGAACGUGACGGCAGAUAAGAACCACUCGGCCCAUCUGGUCUGCCCAAUUUUCUAAAUACUUUCAUUAGUCCCUGGCCUUAUCUUAUAGUUAGGAUAGCCUUAUGCCUAUCUCACGCAUGCUUAAACUCCUUUACUGUGUUAACCUCUACCACUUCAGCUGGAAGGCUAUUCCAUGCAUCCACUACCCUCUCAGUAAAGUAAUACUUCCUGAUAUUAUUUUUAAACCUUUGCCCCUCUAAUUUAAGACUAUGUCCUCUUGUUGUGGUAGUUUUUAUUCUUUUAAAUAUAGUCUCCUCCUUUACUGUGUUGAUUCCCUUUAUGUAUUUAAAUAUUUCUAUCAUGUGGCAGACCGCCUGGCACCCCGACUGGGUACCUCCACCAAUCAUGCUUCCUUGUGCUCACAGAGUACCAUAAGCGCCACACCGGACACCAUAACCACCGUAGUCCCCGUAGCCGCCACUGCUUUGCUGGGGGCUAGCCAUCUCUUCCCACCCUGGACCAAACACCUGGAUCCAGUUCCCAGUGGGAAGACCUCUCCUCCAAACGAGUAUUGCUGGAUAGCCAAUUAAAGAGCAAGUGAUAUAGCUGUUCCCCUCACACAUGAUCCAAGGCUUAAUGCUGGGAGUCUUCUUUUUAUUAGAGGCCACACACAGNNNNNNNNNNNNNNNNNNNNNNNNNNNNNNNNNNNNNNNNNNNNNNNNNNNNNNNNNNNNNNNNNNNNNNNNNNNNNNNNNNNNNNNNNNNNNNNNNNNNACUUUUAUGCAAACCCCAUGCAAGGGGUGUGGCAAACCCUGCCACUUGGACUACUUAUUCUAUGCGAAUGGGUGAAUUUCACCAAGUGAAUAACUGCACAAACUCCUUUAAUGUUAUUUUACGGUUUUUAUGCGAAUGCCCAAACCUACCGAACGGGAGACCACCCCGGGGUGGUCGUGUGUUUCCAAUUAUCUGAACGAUACAAUGUUGCGAAGGUAAUUAAGUACCUGUAUGUGUGGCCAUUUCGCCUACCGAACGCAUGGCGGCGGCCAUCUUACGCACGAACAGCGGUACUUGGUCGUCGAACGCCUGGAACUCAAACCGGGCAUUCGACUAACCAAGUACCGCUAAGACCUCCAGCAUGCUCCGACAGCACGAAUUAAACACACUAAUGCCCCUGCGUUCGGUAGAUAGAUUCCCCUAAACGAGGGGAUUCAUACCAAUGCUAGCAGUCGCAUGGAUGGCUAAGCUGUUCGGGAUUUUUCAUUCACUAAAAUAGACCGACCGCAGGGCCAGAAUUCAUUGAACUGUUUUCGGCUACUGAGUCCCUGCGGUCGGUCAAAUCUUUAACUGUCUCUAACUCCCGAACCCCUGGUCUGAUCUGGGUGAAUUUCGAGUAUGUUGCUCACCCAGAUCAGCCCUACCAGGGGACCCCUUAUUUGUCCUUGUACCCCCUGUAUUUAGGGGACAUCCAGAAAGUGGGGAAAACUCUGUCCCCACUAAUCUGUUUAAGUGCUAAUCUAAGGGGAGGAGAGAGAGGGGAGGUGACCGGGUUACAAUUGGCUACUGUAAUAAUUAUGAAAGUUACCUCCCUUGCAUGGGAGAAAUGCAUAAAAGCAGACCUGUGAAUAAAGCUGACAAUUGACUCCCAGACUAUGUGUCAUCUAGUCCUUGGGGAGAUGGAUUAUGCUGUGUUCCUGUGACUUUGUAUGCUGAAUCUUUGUUCCCAGCGGAGAGCUAUUGGAUUAACCCCUGCUCCUCCGCUACAAGGGAGUUCCUAUACAACACAACAGGGUGUGCCUGAGAGAUAAUUAAGUCAAGAACUGUACAAACUCAAUUAUCUCAAGGCACAGAAAAAAACAUUUUACAGACACCCCAAAAGUAACCCCAAAACACCCGAAAAACCCCACAAAAGUCACAUCUCCUGAUAGCUCCGAUAUGGGUGACCAACAUAUCCAAAAAUCACCCAGAUCGGUUCAGGGGUUCGGGUUUUCCAUGGAAAUAAUUUGACCGACCGCACACAAGGCUCUUGGCCAAAAUAGUUCCAGGGGAAAAGUUGUAGCGGUCAGUCAAGUUUGGUAGUUUAAAAAUGAACAAACUACUGAACGUAGUCAAUAGUCAUACCUUGGAGCUUGUUCCCCUAAUCCACACAAACGAUUCCACCGAACAGUGCCUUUCCAGGUGGUGUAGGAACGAAGGCAGGCGAUGAUGGAAAUCCAGCGGUGUUUGAAAGUUUCCGUGUCCGAUUUCAGUUCCAUAAGCUCGACACCCAAACACCAUUGCCUGCGUUUGCGGGAACAAGAUGGCCAUCGCCUCGUGGUCGUUCAUACGAACUGCGGCCGCCCAGAUGAACAAUUAGAACACUACGGUUAAAAUCAUUAAGAGGUGAUGAUGGGGCUUAACAAGCUCCUGGGUGGUCCAUAGUUUGUGUGUCUGUUCGGUUCCAGAACAGCCAUGGAGAAAUGGCACAAACACAGUCUUUUAUGAGUCUUUUCGCAUGGCCCAUAGUCUUGAGGCAGGAGACUGGCAAGCAGGCUCCUCCAGGAGCCUGUGGCGAGUUUACUUUCGCCACGUCCCCCCUGUCUCAUCUUUCCUCCAAGCUAUACAUGUUAAGGUCCUUUAACCUUUCCUGGUAAGUUUUAUUCUGCAAUCCAUGAACCAGUUUAGUAGACUUUCUCUGAACUCUAUAAAAAGUAUCAAUAUCCUUCUGGAGAUAUGAUCGUACAAUACUCCAAGUGAGGUCUCACCAGUGUUCUGUACAAUGGCAUGAGCACUUCCCUCUUUCUACUGCCAAUACCUCUCCCAUACAACCAAGCAUUCUGCUAGCAUUUCCUGCUGCUCUAUUACAUUGUCUGCCUACCUUUAAUUCUGAGAAUGUGUUCUUGAUAUGUUCUGUGUGAGAGCGUUCCGUGCAGCAUGUUUAAGACUUGUUCAUGCUUUGGUAAUCACUCGCAUGGAUUACUGUAAUUAUCUCCUAGUUGGUCUCCCCAAAAGCCGAACUGCCCCGCUACAAUCAGUAAUGAAUGCUGCCGCCCGUCGCUCCUCCCAUACCUCGCCCCUCUGUCGAUCUUUACACUGGCUUCCUGUAUCAUAUAGGGGUCAAUUCUAAAUACUAACCCUUACCUAUAAAGCUCUAACCAACUCUAGCCCCACUUUCUUCCCUGAUUCAUAGAUAUGCCCCUUCUCGGUCUCUCUGCUCUGCCGGUGACCGUCUCCUGUCCGCUGCUCGCACCCUUACUGCUAACUCGUGCUUGCAGGACUCCUCGCAGGCGGCUCCCUUCUUUUAGAACAGCCUGCCUGUAACGAAAUCCCCUAUUUACAGACUAUACGAACAAGCCUGUUCGGUUAUUUGGAGGCUUACAGCAGGAUUUCGUGGAAAUAACAAUAAAUGCGAAUGAACUACCGAACCACCGACCUCCCACUGAGGUCGUGUGGCGCCUAUUGACCACCCAGACUGUUGCGGUUAACCACAGACUAAUUGGGAAUAGCUGGGGGGUCUACGUUCGUCUACCGAACACGUGGCAAUCGCCAUUUUGUUUUGUCGAACGCACAGCGGUAAAUGGCACGGAUUCCCUGGAACUGAUUUCGGCUACCUAUUUUGUCGAACACCGCUGUUAACUUCUCUCAUCCUCGUUCAUACGGUAGAAAACACACGAAUGAAGGGGAUAAUCCUUCAUUCGUCCGCUGAAAGUAUGCGAACGUACCGACCCCAGAUAGCUAGAAUAUGGAACUUGCAGUCGGCUACAAACACACGAACGGCCGGUGAAAAGCAAACUUCAGUCGACGAUUCUGAGACCUGUGUUCGUGGGAUCUGAGCGCUAUUCGCCUAGAAUAUGCACUCAGAUCCAAGCUAUCUGGGGUUAUGUGGUCCGGGGACCCCUGGAUCUAGUGCGAGAACAUUGGGAAGGUGAUAUGGAACAAGCAGGUACCCCUAUAGUCUCCUUUGUACUAGAGCUGAGGGACAGUUCGAAACAGUUCGGGAGAACCUGCAAGCCGCCCAACAACGGCAGAAGUACUGGUAUGACAAAGGAGCUAGAGACAGUAUAUUAGAAGUGGGACAGAAGGUCCUAGUGCUUAAACCUAUCAAAACAGAUAAGUUGCAAGCAUCCUGGCAGGGCCCCUACACUGUAAUAGAGCAGAUCAGUGAUACCACGUACAUUGUGGCAGACUGUUCCCAUGAAAGGAUCUGGCGAUCCUUUCAUGUAAACAUGCUCAAGCCAUAUCUCGAGAGACCAGAGGAGGUCUCCGCGGUAUGCGCUCCAGCAUAUGAAGAUAGCGAGGGUAUCUCUUUACCAUAUAUGCUUUCCCAGAAACCCACAGGAUUAGACCAGGUACAGUUGGGGCCAGCAUUAGGUUCCGAGGAACAAGCUCAGGCUUCCCAACUGUUAAAGGAAUUUGGGGGCAUGUUUUCAGCAGCCCCAGGGUAUACGACCCUGGCAGUCCACCGAGUGGAGACCUCAGGCCAGUUACCCCUUCGGCAGCAGCCUUGCCGAAUUCCAGAGGCAGUACGGGAAAGCAUGCUAAUGGAACUCCAGGACAUGCUAGAACUGGGGGUCAUAGAACCGUCCCAAAGCCCCUGGGCUUCCCCAGUAGUCCUGGUUCCUAAAAAAGACGGUACCACCAGGUUCUGCGUGGACUACCGUAAGUUAAACGAUCGGACCGUUACCAAUGCCUACCCCAUGCCUAGAGUAGACGAGCUGCUAGACCGUAUGGCUGGGGGGGAAUUAUUUGACCACUAUUGAUUUGUGCAAGGGAUAUUGGAAAAUCCCUUUGGAGCCUGAGGCCAUUCCAAAAUCGGCAUUUGUCACCCCAUUUGGUCUAUACCAGUUUAAGGUUAUGCCAUUUGGGAUGAAGAAUGUCCCAGCUACGUUCCAAAGGAUGGCAGACCGGCUCCUAGAGGGAUUUCAGGGCAUCGCUUGUGCUUACCUGGACGAUAUAGCUAUCUUCAGUGGCACUUGGGAAGCCCACCUGGAGCACAUCUCAGUAGUGCUCAACCGAAUUCAGACCGCAGGGCUAACCUUGAAGCCUGAGAAAUGCCACGUGGGCAUGGCGGAAGUCCAAUAUUUAGGUCACAGAGUAGGGUCAGGAAAACAGAGACCAGAGCCCGCUAAGAUUGAGGCCAUCACCCAGUGGCCUCAACCCCGGACGAAAACCCAGGUCAUGGCGUUCUUGGGCACCGCAGGUUAUUACAGGAAAUUUGUAGCGGAAUACAGUGCCCUUGCCAAACCCUUGACAGACCUCACCAAAAAGUCCCUACCCUGACAAGUAGUCUGGUCCACUGAGUGUGAGGAGGAGUUCCAGAAACUCAAGGCUGUGUUAAGUGCAUCUCCUGUGUUAGCGGCACCUGAUCAUACUAAAAGGUUUCUCGUCCACACAGAUGCCUCAAUGUUUGGACUGGGAGCAGUAUUGAGCCAGGUGGGAGACGAUGGCAUGGAUCACCCGGUGGCGUAUCUGAGCCGAAAACUAUUACCCCGCGAAGUCAGCUAUGCCACUGUGGAGAAAGAGUGUCUGGCAUUAGUCUGGGCCCUUAAGAAACUGCAACCCUACUUGUAUGGGCGCUCCUUCACAGUGCUGACGGACCACAACCCUUUAAUUUGGCUUAACAGAGUGGCUGGCGAUAACCCCAGACUACUCAGAUGGAGCUUGGCGCUGCAACCAUAUAAUUUUACAAUGCAGUAUCGCCCCGGGAAACAGAAUGCCAAUGCCGAUGGCCUGUCCCGGCAAACUGAACUGGAAAAGUAGUAUUUUUGUUUGUUUUUUCUAUGCUACCAGACAUCCCUUAGCCGACCCGUUAGGAUCUAAGCAGGUAUGCCGUUCCAUGGGACUAAGGGGGAGCUGUGUAACGAAAUCCCCUAUUUACAGACUAUACGAACAAGCCUGUUCGGUUAUUUGGAGGCUUACAGCAGGAUUUCGUGGAAAUAACAAUAAAUGCAAAUGAACUACCGAACCACCGACCUCCCACUGAGGUCAUGUGGCGCCUAUUGACCACCCAGACUGUUGCGGUUAACCACAGACUAAUUGGGAAUAGCUGGGGGGUCUACGUUCGUCUACCGAACACGUGGCAAUCGCCAUUUUGUUUUGUCGAACGCACAGCGGUAAAUGGCACGGAUUCCCUGGAACUGAUUUCGGCUACCUAUUUUGUCGAACACCGCUGUUAACUUCUCUCAUCCUCGUUCAUACGGUAGAAAACACACGAAUGAAGGGGAUAAUCCUUCAUUCGUGCGCUGAAAGUAUGCGAACGUACCGACCCCAGAUAGCUAGAAUAUGGAACUUGCAGUCGGCUACAAACACACGAACGGCCGGUGAAAAGCAAACUUCAGUCGACGAUUCUGAGACCUGUGUUCGUGGGAUCUGAGCGCUAUUCGCCUAGAAUAUGCCCUCAGAUCCAAGCUAUCUGGGGAUAUGUGGAACUUAAAGUUUAUGUUGUGUAAAAAGAAAGUUAUGUAUUUUUAUUCUGUUUUGCUAACUAAGAAAAGCCAUCUUUCUUCCUGGAGAUAAUUAAGGCUCUCUUUGCUACCUUAAUUUAAUUAUCUCCAGGAUGUAAAAGAGGGAGUGAUUUAGGUAAAAGGGGAGUGCUUAUGCUAUAGCCACUGUGAUUGGCUACUGUGUUACUUUUGUCCCAGUCUUCCAUCUGGUCCCCUAGGGGAGUGUCCACCAGGUGGAAGACCUGCAUAAAUACCAAGCGGGUAGCCCACAGUAAAUCAGAUCGUUUUACCCCUUCAUGAAGUCUCGACUGUUUGGGGGAUUGGGAGUUAUAAUCACUGCAUUUCAGUUGGAGUUCGGGAGAAGCUGCAAGGAUCAUCGCUGCACGAAUGCAAGGAUCCUUUACACUGCCUACCCCCAUCAGACUCUCUCCUAGUCUUCAAUCGUUCAAGNNNNNNNNNNNNNNNNNNNNNNNNNNNNNNNNNNNNNNNNNNNNNNNNNNNNNNNNNNNNNNNNNNNNNNNNNNNNNNNNNNNNNNNNNNNNNNNNNNNNAAGUCCCUUAAAACACAUCUGUUCAGAAAUCCUAAUGGACUCCCAGAAUAACUUAUCUAUACUUCCCCAAAUCUGUUUCUUGCUCUCCUAAAGAGCCACACUCUCACCUGCAGCUCUGCUACUUUUCCACCUUGUUUGGUGGCUGUCACCCUUGCUGCCCUGUUGUGUAUUUGUACCCCACCUCAUCUAGACUGUAAGCUCGUUUGAGCAGGGCCCUCCUCUUCCUAUUUUUCCUGUGUCACUGUGUAAUUGUCUAAUUUAUUGUAAAUUUCCCCCCCUUUCAGAAUAUUUUAAAGCGCUGCAGAAUUAGUUGUCGUUAUAUAAAUACCAAUAAUAAUAAUAAUAAUAAUAAUAAGAGAGGGAUCAUGUAUGUCACUCAGGACUUUCUGGGCAGACUCUGUUUCCUGUUGGAUGACGUUACUGCUGGUUAUUCUGGGCCAUAUAGUUAGGUUUCCCCACAAAGCUAAAACAUCAACAUCCAGCCCAGAUUUUCAAUGAUGCAAAUGGUGCAAUCGUCAAGAUAUCCUGAGCAGAGAAUCCAAUGUCUGCUGCGGCUAUGUACAUCGAGUAGCUCUAAUCAUAAUGUAUCAUUGUUUCUGAACUUUCACUCUCUGUGCUGUUCUUUGAUAUUGUGACCCCUCCACAUCUGCACACAAUGCCUCUACAAUAAGUAACGAGGCGCUUUGAUACGUCUUCCAUGGAUUUGUGGAUAUAAUAAUAUACGAGAAUGAUGUUGCUUUAAGAUAACUUUGUCUCCUCUGCGUUCAGAAUGGGUUAAGUUUCUUCCUCACUACUUGCCGUAGACUUGUGCAGUCACACACAGCGCCGGGAUCAAGGUGAUUCUGGAUAUACCGUAACAGGAAAUUUUAAUUACUUUUAUGUGACAGUUCACAUUUAUUUCGGUGGAUUUUUCCCUCCCUGUAUGUUCUUUUACAAAUUAAUUUCCAAAACCUUCCUCUGGUACAAGUCUAUUUGAUUUUUCAGCUCUGGCAGUAUUUAGUAGCAGUAGCUGUAAACUUAAUUAAAUGCUUCUUAUUCUUUUUUUCUCUGUGACUCCAAGUUAUUCCCGGUCUGUUUACAUAUUUGGAGGAAUUUAGAAUAGAAUGCACUUACAGUGUACUGCACCUGUCAGAGUAUACUACGUGUUCAUCCAGAGUAUACUGCGUGAUUAUACAGAGUAUACUACGUGAUUAUACAGAGUAUACUACGUGAUCAUCCAGAGUAUACUGCGUGAUUAUAUAGAGUAUACUAUGUGAUCAUCCACAAUAUACUACAUGUUCAUCCAGAAUAUACUACGUGUUCAUCCAGAAUAUACUACAUGUUCAUCCAGAAUAUACUACGUGUUCAUCCAGAAUAUACUACGUGUUCAUCCAGAGUAUACUACGUGAUUAUAUAGAGUAUACUAUGUGAUCAUCCACAAUAUACUACAUGUUCAUCCAGAGUAUACUGCGUGAUUAUACAGAGUAUACUACGUGUUCAUCCAGAGUAUACUACGUGAUUAUACAGAGUAUACUACGUGUUCAUCCAGAGUAUACUACGUGAUUAUACAGAGUAUACUACGUGUUCAUCCAGAGUAUACUACGUGUUCAUACAGAGUGUAACGAGACCAAUCUCGCCACAUUGCAUUGUAGAAGACUGGUUGCUCGCCUGUUGCCUUUGGAUUAUGGCCCCAUGUUAAAAGGCUUGAUUUUCCCCUGCAAAGACAUGAAAGCCGGGUCAUUUGGUGCUUGCCCUGUUUGAGCAGUGAUACCCCAGAUGUACCUGUUUUGUGCAAUGGCUGCACAGUUAUAUGUUUUUAUGUGUUUUAUUGUCUUUUGCUGCCAUGUGUUCAAUGGAGUUUUGCCUCUGUCUUUGGAGAUAAUUGGAUUACUUCCCAAUUAUCUCCAGGAUAGAAGACUCUGUGGAACUGGUUUUGGGCAGAAAAGCCAUGCUUCCUUUGGUCACAAAGGACUACGAUCUAUCUUUUGAACCACUGGACUAAUUUGUAUGAUUUUGACAUAUGUUUGUAUUUGUAUACUACGUGAUCAUCCAGAGUAUACUACGUGUUCAUCCAGAGUAUACUACGUGAUCAUAUAGAGUAUACUACGUGAUUAUACAGAGUAUACUACGUGAUCAUCCAGAGUAUACUACGUGAUCAUCCAGAGUAUACUACGUGUUCGUCCAGAGUAUACUACGUGAUCAUCCAGAGUAUACUACGUGAUCAUCCAGAGUAUACUACGUGAUCAUCCAGAGUAUACUACGUGUUCGUCCAGAGUAUACUACGUGUUCGUCCAGAGUAUACUACGUGUUCAUCCAGAGUAUACUACGUGAUCAUAUAGAGUAUACUACGUAAUUAUACAGAGUAUACUACGUGAUCAUCCAGAGUAUACUACGUGUUCGUCCAGAGUAUACUACAUGUUCGUCCAGAGUAUACUACGUGUUCAUCCAGAGUAUACUAUGUGAUCAUCCAGCAUAUACUAUGUGAUUAUACACAGUAUAUUACGUGAUCAUCCAGAGUAUACUACGUGAUCAUCCAGAGUAUACUUCGAUCAGGUGUUACAUUCGAGACAUGCCAUAAUUAACAAAUCCUGCGCUCUGUGGUCCCUUUUAAUUAUUUAUAGUCAAUUGUUCAGUAUUAAAAACAUUUUUAUAACCUCUAUUUUUAUAAAGCCAAUUUUUUAUAAACCCUUGGGUGUACAUUGAGCAUGUUUGGAACUUACACAUAGUUGAUAUAUCUAAACAUAUCUCGUUACUAAUAAUAUUCCGGGCGAGCUGCUGGGGAGAGGGAGACACUGUUUAUUUAAUAACCUUACUCAUGCUAUAACUUGUUGUAUAUCUUUGACCCAUACAUCAGUGUCUGUGUUUUAUUGGGUUGGCACUAUUGGGGUUAUUUCCACCUGCCUGUAUGGCGAUGAUGCGCCUGCCAAGUGUAUGAGUAAACAGAUAUUGAUUGACACGAUUCGUCGGAAUAAGAUUCCUUUUACCAGAAUGAAUUGAUUCCGAAUCUGCCUCACCUGUAGACUCCACCAGCAAAGCUAAAGGAAAUGGUUCAUAAUAGAUUUGUUCAAUGAUUACAAGGGACUUUAUUUGGAUGAAAUUCCCCCCAAAUAUUUUUGCACAGUGGGUCCUAACUGCCUAGAUAUGCAUGACUAAAUAAACAAUAAUAAAACACACACAGUACUUACCUGCAAGAAAGGGGCAGAGGACUUGGAGCAACUGCCUGCAGGGACCAACUGAAACAAAAAGGAAAAAUGGAAAAGGAACGGGUGUGGCAACAAAAAACAAACAUUUAAAGGAAUCCAAGAGACUGGGAAUUCAAGGAACAGAAUAAAGGAAUGAAUCCAGAAAACCCAGCAUAAAGAAAACCAGACAUAGAAUAGAAAACCAGAAAAAAACAAGAAUUGUAAAAAGAGCACUGGAUACCAGAAGCCAAGGCCAGACUGAUCCGCAGAACAGAACAGGAUGUGACAGGAACAUUCCGUAGAAUAGCAGGGAACAAUCCAUGGCAUCCCAGUUACUCUGGUUCAAAAUUCGAUAUAAAAUAUGAAAAAUAACUAGUGUGUGUUAUGCAGAAAUUGCCAUUUCAGGGUUCUGGAAACCUGACUUUUUGUCAUCUGGUUUAUAUGGUCCAGAGCCCCUCGGAGGGUUAUAUUUACAUCUUAAUUGCAGCUAGUAAUUAGUAUAUGGUUUCAUAAAGCAAUGAUAUUUACUAAAUGGAGAACAGGGAGAGAAUGAUCUCCAGGGAAGCAUUCUAGGUUUUUUUAUAUAGAGACUGUUUAUCUGUUUCUUAUCUGAGAUAUGUUUGCAGUUUAUUCACCAUUUUUAUUUAAUGAAAUGAAUUGUCUCUCGGCCGUUCCUUGUUUCCUGCAGAAUAUCUGUCUGCAUCUUAAUUAGCAGAAUCCUUCAUAGACUAUAAUAGCAAAGAGCAAAUAAUGGGAAUUUCAAUGCGUGAUCUUGUCAAGGAGUGCGCAUGGAACCAUAUGACACAGAACUUAUCACCUCACAGCUUCAAUCCACUCACCCAUGAAAAUACCAUUAGAUCCAGCCCUUAAUUAAUGCCUCCCUGACCCUUCAUCAAGAAACCCUGAGCUCUGCCCUUCACUUCCAAGUUGUAUGUCUGUAUGGGGGAUGGAGUAUAAAUUCCUUGUGUGAUUUGAACACUUUACUUGCAAUGGUUUGGGUUGGGACUGACUUACGGCUGCGGUGCCAAAGCUGGUGCUGCCUGUCUCCCCCAUUUACCCUGGUCUCUUCCGUCUCAUUACUGAGAACACAGCGCUCGGCACUGAUUGGUCAGCUGGGCUCACCAAAGCGCAAUGUGAUUGAAAAGCAUAAUGGACAUAAUGCAAUAAAAAGAUGCAAAGACAAACUUUAAAAAGUUGAAUUAAAAAAAGACAAAUCACUUCUGAACUUUGUGUGCUGUAAAUCUCCACCCUGUGCACUGAGCAGGAAGUGAGGAAGUGACUGGAAUUUCUGGGCCAGUCCUGGUUCUCUCAUUGUUCUCUCAUUCUGCGUAAAUCCCAUAAACCUUUUGCUCAGCAGAAUUUUAGAGAAUGUAGUGCAGCCGCCAUCAUAAGAAAAGGCUUUGGCAUGUGUCAGCUUGUUCUAUUCAUGAUUAUUAAUGAAUGAAGCUGUCCGCAUUGCUGUACUGUCACUGUCUUAGAACGAGGCCUGGACAUGUCGUACAGUAAUUUCAGUGUCCGAUAUGGGAUAUUACACAGCGGACGGUGCUAUAAUGGUCGCCUAUCACUGGUGCUGUAAUAUGUAGGGUGAGGGCUGAGGAGAUGAGAAGAUCCAUUGCACUAUCACCAAUGCAAUAUGACGUUUCUAGGCUUUGCUUAUUCCCUUAAACACUAUUACCGGUCACCCCAAUCCUCUCCAUUAACAGAUUGCAUUUUAGAGCAUCUGACAGCCUCACAAUGGGGUGGAGAUCUGUCCCUCCAGACGCAGUAUGUUCGCUUUCUCUUUUGCCUUGUGAAAUAAUUGCUAGCGCCCCAUCCACACAGGCCGCAUAACAAACGCAGAGUGCUAGUUAAAUAGGGUGUGAAAUUAUUCAGUCAGGGUCAUAUCCAUAGUUCUAAAAUUACUGGAUCAUGGGCCGCGGUUGUUUUCUGGUGGGGAUUGUGAGUACCGUUAUAUAAAGUAGUUUUCAUUUUUUACUUUAUGCGCUGCACAUCCUGUUGCUAAAAAUAUAAGCAUCUCAUUUUAUACCGUGGCACAGACCAUGGAAAUAAAGCUUGCUUAUUGUGAAUAUUCUCUGGGUUUUUGUAGCAGCGGUUUGGACAUUCUGAGUCGUCGUUUGCUGCAUUCAUCGUGUAAUGAUGUAUCCUGCUUGAGACGGAUCCAUCGCUGCUCCUCUCACCUGCACGGUGAAGAGAUGUCUUCUCCAAUUAUUGCCACCACCUGCAGCAUCCUGCGCUGGGUACAGGAAGGAAGAUAUUUAUACUGGAGAUAAUAGCUUCGGCAGCUUGUUCCUCCCACUUUAGCAUUGUGUUUCUAAAUAUCUCACAGACAUAACCUACGUUGUUGGUUAGUUUUUUUGAAUAAUAAUAAUAAUAGCGGUGGAAAUGGAUCGUUUUUGUGCCAGCAGUUAUGUAUACCGUGUUUUUUUCUUCCAAGCAUGGACACACGGUGAUUAACCUUGUGUUCAGGGAUUCAAGCUGGGAAACAAAGAUAAACUGUAUUCAGGUGAUCUGUGAUGGCUGCGAAUGGCAGCCAAGCAAUCGUCGCUGACAAGAUUUAUGAGUUUUUGUGGCUGAGUAAUGGCGAGAGGAGAAUUGAAGAUACAUUGAGCACGUAUUCUGUGAGAAUUGGUGAACUCCAGCCAGGCAGGUCAGAAGCAGGCCAAAUUUAUAGGAACCGUGGAAUAAAAAUAAAGGAGACUGAUGAACCUUUGGCUUUUGGGCUGAUGUGCAACGCCUGGAGACGGACACCUUGCCAGCUAAUUAAAGAAAUUAAAAUUUCCUGGUAAUUGGAAAAAAAAUCUACCUUUUCCUUGAAACAUCUCAGAAAUAUAAACUAAGGCACUCCCUAAUUAGGCCGUGGCUAACUGUCCCUUCGUAUAGACGUGGAGCUCGUUUAAUGAUUAUCUUUUUCUUUUCUGUGACCAGUCGCAUAAUAAAUGUGAAUAAUUGAAUGGAUGGAGAACAAUAUAACCAAGUACGUCCGUUACAUAUAAUCCGGUGAGAAUAUAAUCCUAAUUACUGUAUAUCAUUUACAGGAUUAUUCAGUAAAGUGAGAAUUCAUUUUAAAAUUUAGGCAAAAAAAUACAAGUUAGAAAAAAUCUCCAAGUCAUGUUUCUAUUUAGAUUAUUUUGGCUUUAAAUUGGAAAUUCACUUUGAAUUUUCACUUUAGUGAAUUAGCAGGCUUUGCAUUCCAGAGUUAAGCUAAUAGCCAUUCAGUCCACUCAGAGUCCUUUAAGUGUUUACCAUACGAUGAUGUCCAUACGAAACGAUUUACCAUACGAUAAACGUUCCUCGUUCACGGACUCACUGCUUGCCAGUCUUUUCCAGAUGAAAUCCAGAACUGCCACAACAAAAAGUAAAAAUCUGCCGUCAGAUUUCCAAAUCUGAGACACGUCCCCAGGAUCUAUAUUUGCUGGGACAGUACCCUAAAAAGCGGGACUGCCACAGCAAAUAUGGGACUGUUGGCACAUAUGCAUUCAGUGAGCACAAACAUUUAUUGCGUUUUAGACUUCAAUCUGGGUUUCUGAAGGUACCCUUAGCAGUGGACGCUGUUUUAAACACAGAUUUUUUUUUUCUUCAAAUCUGAGCAUUGGUUGAAGAAUGAGGUAAAACUUUGUCCCUUGACAAUAAAGUAAAUUUGCUAAGAUAGGUGAUUUUAAGUUGCCUUGUUAAAUGUAAAGCCAUUUUUGUUUGUGUGUGCUGUUCCUUUAAAUGUAUUUUUUGUUUAUAUGUUUUGGUUUUUACAGCAGCCCCACUGCUUAGAGAUGCGUGUUCUGGGUGUACCCCCCAUUAUAGAGGGAGAAGGGGCAGGGACAUAGUGACAGUGUGUUAUUUAAUUACAUCUUAAAUUGAAAUAAAAACAGUUUUUAUAUAUUUGGCAGGAUUUUGGCUAAAACAUAUAUUGAUUAAAUGUGUUGCUCUGUUGGGUAUAGCCUUGUCAGACUCGUUUUUAACAAAUAUUGACAAUUACAGCUUAAUUUACUGGAGCCGAGACGCCACAUUAAAAAAUCAUUAUUGGAGAAAAGUUAGACCAAAAUAGUAUUUAAUAAUGUGUGUAGCUCACUGGUUACAGCAAUAAUAACUCUGAACGAGUUGUAACACUCCCAUAGGGGUGAAGAUAGAUCAUAUUCAAUAGAUGGACGUCGCUCUAUACUCUCAAAAAUGAUUAAGGCAUAUGGGUCAGAACAUGACUUAUUUUAUACGGGAAUUACACCCUAAAUACGUUUGUUACUUUUAUUUUCAUUAUUUAUUAUUGGAUUUUCGGGGGGGUUUGGAGCUCAGUGACAAGUUACGAACAUUCCAUCCCUUAGUGCAAUGUAUCGAACAAAUGGCAAUUGUACAGACCACUUGUCAGGUAUACAACUUCCCCCAAAUAAAUAAAUAUAUAUAAACACACUCUCUCUCUCUCUCUCUCUGACACUUUUAUAUAAAAACAAUAAUCUAACGCCUCACACAAAUAUUUUCAAAGCAGUAAUGCAAAAAACAACCCACACACAGCUUAACCUACUCAUUGCAUUUACACAUCACAAUGAUUAAACAUACGCUCUUAUUAAAGAAUAGUUUAUAUCUUAGUAAAUAACAAUCAAAUUCAGGCAAAGCUAAAGUUCCCCUAAUAACCUCAAUAAUCAAUACACACAGACUGCGUAAUUGUACAUUAAUUGAUCAUUUAUAAUCUGAAUUAUAUGCUGAAAGUUGUCACUGGAAAUUAAAAGAUCACUCAUGUUAUCAAUACAUAAAUGUAUGAUGAAUUUAUUUUAAAACGCUGAUGUGUUUGUGUUAGUUUAGGGUACUGGGCCGACUAAAAAAAAAGGUUUACCAAGCGAUUCAUUUACCUGUAAUCUGUCUCUGGGGCUGUCUCAUAUAUGCUGUCUGAUAACAAUAUGCUCAUGCCAUUAUACAGAACACUGGUGAGACCUCACUUGGAGUAUUGUACACAGUACUGGAGACCGUAUCUUCAGAAGGAUAUUGAUACCUUAGAGAGGGUUCAGAGAAGGGCUACUAAACUGGUUCAUGGAUUGCGGGAUAAAACUUACCAGGAAAGGUUAAAGGAUCUUAACAUGUAUAGCUUGGAGGAAAGACGAGACAGGGGGGAUAUGAUAGAAACAUUUAAAUAUAUAAAGGGAAUCAACACAGUAAAGGAGGAGACUAUAUUUAAAAGAAGAAAAACUACCACAACAAGAGGACAUAGUCUUAAAUUAGAGGGACAAAGGUUUAAAAAUAAUAUCAGGAAGUAUUACUUUACUGAGAGGGUAGUGGAUGCAUGGAAUAGCCUUCCAGCUGAAGUGGUAGAGGUUAACACAGUAAAGGAGUUUAAGCAUGCGUGGGAUAGGCAUAAGGCUAUCCUAACUAUAAGAUAAGGCCAGGGACUAAUGAAAGUAUUUAGAAAAUUGGGCAGACUAGAUGGGCCGAAUGGUUCUUAUCUGCCGUCACAUUCUGUUUCACUCCAGUUCCCAGGUGGUCGAUCGUUCGGUACUUUGUUCGGUAGAUUGAAUCUACCGAACACCCCGGCAUAAAGGCACGAAUAAGCCUUUCUGCAGGGAAAAUCAAAGGUUUUAAAUGCCCUGCCAUAGUCUAAAGGGAGCAGGCGAGCAACCAGGCUCCUCCAGUGCACAGUGACAAGGUUGGUUCCGCCACAUUUCUCCCCUUUAUCAAUCAGACUAACAGGGUAUCUGACCUCCUGUCGGUCAGUGCCCUGGUUAGUCCAGCAACCCACCCACAGAACACAAUCAGCAGUACAGCACACCCACAAUAAAGGGUUACUACACCUGGGGUAGUGGGUCGCUUGUCCACGUCCAGGAGCUCCACCUCGGCUCUGGGGGGUACUAGCACUCCAGAUCGGUGGGUUGCUGAGUGGGCAGAGACCAGCAGUUCUCUGCCCUGUUGCCCGCGCUACCACGGGAGUAGCCUGGUUGGAGCCCAGUUGAGGGGAUGGUGUAGUAGGCUCCUCACUCCGGCCCUGGUACUGCUGCUGGAAGGGAAGACAGGCCGUCUCCCCUUUGGAUAAAUAGCCCUGCUGCUGGGGGACAGGACCGACCAUCCCUAGCCCCUGUGAGGCAUGUGCAGAGACCAUGGUCCCAUCUGCACUGGUGUGUGGCUUCUCAUCUCCCCUUGGUGGGCUAGGCUGCCGCUGGGGAGAGGGGGUAACAAGCUCCUCUCCCUUACACACUUUCUGUCGCUGGGGAGAGGGGGUGACAAGUGCCUCUCCCUGCUGCUGGGGAGCGAGACCGACUGUCUCAUCUGCCCCGUCUGGGAGAAUAGGGUCUCCCCUUUGUGAAAUAAGCUGCCGCUGGGGAGAGGUGGUCACCGAUUCCUCUCCCUGGAACACUUUCAGCCGCUGGGUAGAGGGGGUAGCAGGUUCCUCUCCCUGACACUCUCUCUGCUGGUGGAGAGGGAGACCGACUGUCUCCCCUUUCAAUAUAGUGCCCUGCUGCUGGGGAGCGAGACCGACUGUCUCUGUUCCCUGCAGAACACUCUGCCGCUGGGGAGGAAGGACGGUACCUUCAGCUCCCUGUAACACACACUGCCACUGGAGAGGAAGGAUGGCACCUUUGUCUCCCUGGACUGCUGGGGAGAGGGUCCCACUGUCUCCUCUCCUAAGGAGACACACUGCCGCUGGGGAGGAAGGACGGCACCUUUGUCUCCCUGGGACUCAUUGGACUCCUGGGGAGAGGGACCCACUGUCUCCUCUCCUAAGGACACACACUGCCGCUGGGGAGGAAGGACGGCACCUUUGUCUCCCAGGGACUCACUGGACUGCUGGGGAAAGGAACCCACUGUCUCCUCUCCUAAGGACAAACACUGCCACUGGGGAGGAAGGAUGACACCUUUGGCUCCCUGUAACUCACUCUGUCGCUGGGUAGGAAAGACGGCACCUUUGGCUCCCUGGGGCUCCUUUUUGACCAAAUCUGCUUUGAACUGCAGGUACUCUGCCACUAUUUUCCUCCUGCUCUGCACAUAUUUCUCCUCUGGAUUGGGUCCGAAGAAAGCCAGCCUUUUCAACAUAGUGUCAAACUCCUCUUGACUGUAACUGGGUGCCAUGCUUGCGCUGCUGAAGUUGUUUUUUUCGUAGGUAGGGGCGCUGUACAGGUACUAGCGUUGUCCUCAAUUUGUAAUCCAGGAACUGGUGGUACCUUGUAGCUGUCCUUCUGGGCUGUGGGAAUGAUCCCACCGCUGCCACCAAUUGUAACGGACCGUUUUGCACACGAGGUUAAAAACCAUUUAGGCGAUAUUCCCCUUUUCAGAUGCACGGACAGCUACUGCAAGCACCAAUCUCCCGAACUGCAAACUACACGAAUCUUCCAACUCCCGAACAGGAAACACACGAACACUGGAAACAGCCGAACAGGAAAAGCAUACAAUCAGCUUACACUCCUGGCAAUCCGCAUACAAUCCAAUUCCCCCCAAGAACGAGAUUUGCAUUGUACGAACAGAGAAUGCAUGGACGAUCACUAUAUCCUCGUAACGAACAUAUGGCGUUCUGUCCUUUAUCUCGCAUCGACCUAUAGCAAAGACCUAACCUGGGAACAUUUAAUGGCGUGCAAUUAAUGGCGUGCAGGAGACGCUGAAACCAAGUCCAGGCGUACGACAUAACAUCAUUCACUCCGGACAUAAACACUCUGCAAAAAUCCAUCUGUGAUUAAUCUGCCAAAAACUUACUAAAAGGAGGAUGUUAAAUACAGACUGAUAUCAAAAUAACCAUAUAGCUCAGGUAGCCAGUGUAAAAGGAGCACUCUAAAAAUAAUAUUUAUAUUUUUUAUUAGACGUGUUACUUUACUCGAGCCACAAAAACUCUCUAAGAGAAUGAAACCUACGUGUAAUCCAACUGCAACAGUGUCUUCACUGCAGCCUGAUCCAACCAGCGGGAAGAUGUCAAUCGUGGACUUUUGUCCAAUCAGAUGCUUCUCAUAGUGAACCAUGAGGACAUGUGUGCAUGCGCAGCAUUCACUGCAAUCCACCAAUCACAUGCUUCUCGAUGGGAAACACUGAAUACAAGGAGAUACAUUUUGUAGUUUAGAAUGAAUGAUCCUGACUAAAUUGAGUAUCCAUGAUCCAUGAUCGUGAUUCAUGUCUCAAGGAUUCAAACUGUAUGAAGUGAUGUCGCACAUGUUCGUUUAUGUUAAUAGUGGAAUUAUUAAUGUAUCAUAUUUACCGGUCAUCUCAGGAUAUUUCCCCUGUAUGUUACCAUUGAUGGUGAUGACAUACCUGCCAACAUUGACAGUUAUGGAAUCUGGGAAGGUGGGUGGGCCUUCAGUGGGGCCAAAGCGCAGCUUGUGUAACUGGCGAUGCCCGUAAUGGGCUGAUCUACCUAUUGAAAGGCCGUGUAAGCCUGGUGACCUCCUGGCUUGCUCCCGUCCCACAGGACCUUGCAGAGAAGUUUAAAGCUUUCUCUGCAGAGUCCUAAUGCUUACUGCACAGCACUAGCGCAUCUAAUGACUGGUGAUCUGCAGUCCGAGUACAGUUCCCUAGUGUCCCGCAUAUGGAGAUUAAACGAAGGAGCGAACCCCAAAAUAAGGACUAUCCAGCUGGGACGUCUGUGACUGGUGUUGCUACAAAAUUGAUGUGCACGAUAUAACUUAAUUUAAAUAGUACGAACAACACAGUAUUUUAUCACACACACAGACACUUAGUAAAUAUAACCAUGUUUCUUGAAAUGUACAUAUUGAUGGAUAAGAGAAUGGUGAGUUUUUCAUAUUGUUUUGGAGAAUACAGUGACCAAUUUAAUCCUGGCCUCACUCAAUGCAGGAGAAUCUAACAGUCAGUCUUUCCAUUUUUGGCAUGUUUUCUGUUUAUUAAAUGACGUUUAGUUUGAUUUGUCUGUUACUUCUUUAGUGUUUGUCAGCAAUGCUGCAGCGUUAAUGUCAGUUUAUCACACACAAAAAGUCUUCUGUUUUGCUUCUCAUUUUUUUGGUCUUUUCGAUUACAGAUUUUCUGCAAAAAAAUAAAGAAAAAAAUAACGGAAAAAAGCCGACCAUUUGUAAAAUAAUGAAAUAAUUACAAACAGACUUGAGAAUAAAAAAAAAAAAUACAGCAAAUCUCCUUGUAGGACAUUGAUAAAUCUCCCUCAUUGUGUCUGGGAGAAAUCAUUAAUAAUUGGCUCAGCUGGCGCAUUGUGCUCCGGUGUUAGAAAGCAGAAUAAACAACGACAUUACAAUGUUUUCAUAAACGGACAAGAGGAAAAUACACACAUAACUGCUUUAUUACAAUUAUUAAAAUAAGCAAACGUUUCAAACUUAUUAAAAUAUACUUGUCAGAAAAAUAAAGUAUAUUAAGUAUUCGGUAAUAUAUCGGAUUACCAGUUGUAGCUCCAGUAUUUAUCGAUGGAAAUCAAGUUGUGAAAUUGGGUCUAAAUUGGACUAAAAUUGAGACGAUGGCUAGUAAGUAAUACGGACUGAUUGUUGGAAUAAUCAGAGAAAGGGAAUGGUAGAUUAAAGAAGGGGUAAAGAUGAGAUAUGUGGAGUAAUGAGGGAGGGGUGGAAUAACUGGGGGUGGGGGGACAAGGAUGUGAAGAGAAAAAAUGGAUUUAAAUGGAUUAAAGAGCAAUCUGAGAGAAGGAUAGGGGUUAAAUAAUGUGGGGGAUCUAGAGUAAUGAGGAAGGGGUACAAAGAACGGGAUGAGACAUAAUGAGCAUACAAAGGGAGGAAUGGUGUAUGGGAGGGAUAUAGUAUAAUGAGGGAGAUGUAGAACUUUGCUGAGGACUAUUGAUGGAGAUACAAUAAUGAGGAGGGAAAGACGUGAAAUAAUGACUUGGAGACGACAUGGAAUACAGAGCCGGGUGAAUGAAAAGCUGAGGACUGGGAUAGCAAUAACAAGGAAGGAAUAAGGAAUAAGAGCCAGAUGGAUUAAUGAGAAUGGAAAAUGGAAUAAGAAGGUCGAUGAGUCGCCUAGAUGUGGACCUGCUGGUGUCCCUUGCUGCCAUUUAAAUCAGGGUAUGCUUUUCUGUGUCGGUUUUGGUGGCUUGUUUUAUGGUUGAGAAACACCAUAAACACUUUAGAUCUGAUAGUCGCAUUUCACGUGGUUUCACGUGGUUAUCACUAAAAAUGGUUCUACUUUGUGAUAAAUCUAAAAAAAGGUUAACUUUAAAAAGUAUUUUUGGGUGUCUACUCCAACGAAAAUUGCUAUCAUGAGGAGAAGAAAAGUAAAAUAUAACUGGGGAAGGAGAGAGCGAUGAUGGAAUUGUGGCUGUCACUUACACUCUCAAAACGCUCUGUAUAGAGAUGUAUUGACUCUCUGACAAGUGAUUGGCGCAGCGCAUGCACGUUAGCCUCUUAAUGCUUCGCAAGGAUGUGGUGCUACCGCCGCGAGGUCAGCACACUGGUAAACUAAAGGUAAGUAAAUCUAGUUAUUUAAUUUGGGGGGGGGGGGAACCAUAUUUACACAAAUCUAAUGCACCAUCAAAUCUAAUGCACCUUCGAAUUCUGAAUUCUGGAAGCCUAAAAUAUUUUACGCUGGCGAAUGUAAUGCUCCAUUGUGCUAGAAGAUACCGCUAUACAACAUGUAGGUCGAUAAGUGAGGGCUGCCCUCUGACUGUGGCAAAACUUGGUCAUGUGAAAUUUGCAUUCACAUUGCGAUAAAGAUGUGAGGUUCAGCUUUAGAGUACACAGAAACCAAGUCUUGCAUUCCUGUUGGAGCGAUGUGAAUUUCGUGACAACUAAUUUGCGUCAUAUGCCUGUCGUAUCUACAGCACCGUACGUAUUUAAAUCUAAUGCACUUUCAAAUUUUGGAGACUUUAUUUUUCCAAUUAAAGGGACACCAUAGUCACCAGAACAACUACAGUUUAAUGUAGUUGUUCUUGUGAGUAUAAUAGUUACCUUCAGCCUUUUUUCAUGCAAACACUGCCUUUUCAGAGAACAGGCAGUGCUUACAUUGCCUCUAAGUACACCUCCAAGUGGCCACUCCUUAGAUGGCCACUGGAGGUACUUCUUGGGUCAGUGCUGCCGAAAAAUCAGCCCUGACAUUCAGCGUCUCUACCAGGCCCGGACUGGCCAUCGGGCAUACCGGGCAAAUGCCCGGUGGGCCGCGAUGGCCAGGGGCCGAGGCCAGCAGGAGAGAUCACAGGAUAAAUCUGAUUUUAUCCCACAUUAUUUUUAAUUAUAAUAAUAAUUUUUUUUUAAAGAAUCAUAAAUUAACACCUUGCUCCCCCCACACACACAUUCCCUCCAGAAAUAUCUACACACACACAGCACACACAGCGCCCUCAGACACACACACAGCACCCUCAGACACACACAGCACACUCAUCCACACAGCAACCCUCAGACACGCACAGAACCAUUAGACACACAAAGCACCAUUAGACACAUACACAGCACACUAACAGCACCCUCAGACACACACACACUGCACCCUCACACACAGCACCCUCACACACAUACAUCACCAUCAAACACAGCACACUCACACUAACAGCACACUUACACACACAGCAACCUUACCCACACAGCACCCUCACACACACACAGCACGCUCAAACACACAGCACGCUCAAACACACAGCACGCUCACACACAAAGCACACUCACAAACACAGCACAUUUAGACAAACAUACAGCACCCUCACACAGCACACUUACCCACACAGCGCCCUCACGCACAUACAGCACGCUCAAACACACAGCACCCUCAGACACACACACACAUAUAUACAUAUAUAUGUAUUAAGGCAGUUUUGCCUGUAUUUGUGGGAGGGGCUUAAAUUAAUUCACUCCCCUACAUAAGGGACACCCCUUACCUGACUCAUAUCGCUUGAGGUCAGCAUCAGAAUGAUUUCCACUUCCGGGUCAUCCAGACGCCAUUUUACCUGAUUACUCCAUGAGGUUUUCUAAGCAGAGCUGUGUCAGGAAUCCAGCCACAGGCUUUUCCGGCCUACCACCUUCUUUCUUCAAUCCAUCGCCAUGGAUGGUGUCCAAGUGACUCACAAACAGUAAGUCGACCUACCCGUUACGCCAGGCAUCAGUCCCACGGCACCAUGCACGGGUCAGGUCCUCACUUUACGGCUGCAUUUUGUCUAUGUCUGUUCUAAAACCAUUGCAUGUUCAUGCAUAUCAUUCGUUUAAACCCCCUACCGGUCUUUGGGUGUACUACAGGCUUCUUAGACAUUAUUGCAUUUCAUGUACAAACCAACGAACCACUGCAUUUUCGCCUACACACUGACCCCUACCGGUCUUUGGGUGUACUACAGGCUUCUUAGACAUUAUUGCAUUUCAUGUACAAACCAACGAACCACUGCAUUUUCGCCUACACACUGACCCCUACCGGUCAUUCGGUGUACUACCGGCUUCUCAGACAUUAUGGCAUUUCAUGUAAAAACCAACCAAACACCGCAUUUUCACCUACACACUGACCCCUAUCGGUCAUUCGGUGUACUACAGGCAUCUUAGACGUUUUUUGCAUUUUCAUGUACAAACCAAUAAACCACCUCAUUUUCACCUACACACUGACCCCUACCGGUUUUUGGUGUACUACAGGCUUCUUAGACAUUAUCGCAUUUCAUGUACAAAUAAACGAAUCACUGCAUUUGCGCCUACACACUGACCCCUACUGGUCAUUUAGUGUACUACAGGCUUCUUAGAUAUUAUCGCAUUUCAUGUACAAAUCAACGAACCACUGCAUUUGCGCCUACACACUGACCCCUACCCGUCAUUCGGUGUACUACGGGCUUCUCAGACAUUAUUGCAUUUCAUGUAUAAACCAACAAACCACUGCAAUUUUCACCUACACACUGACCCCUAUCAGUCAUUCGGUGUACUACAGGCUUCUUAGACGUUUUUGCUUUUCAUGUACAAAACCAUAAACCACUGCAUUUUCACCUACACACUGACCCUUACCAGUCAUUCAGUGUACUACAGGCUUCUCAGACAUUAUUGUAUUUUAUGUACAAACCAACGAACCACUGCAUUUGCGCCUACACACUGACCCCUACAGGUCAUUCAGUGUACUACAGGCUUCUCAGACAUUAUUGCAUUUCAUGUAUAAACCAACUAACCACGGCAUUUUCGUCUACAUGCUGACCCCUACCGGUCAAUCAGUAUAUUACAGGCUUCUCAGAUUUUAUUCCACUUCAUAAGCAAACAAACGAACUACAGCAUUUUCGCUUUUAUACUGACUCCUAUCUGUCAAAUGGUAGCAUUAACCCCUUAAGGACACAUGACAUGUGUGACGUGUAAUGAUCCCCUUUUAUUCCAGAAGUUUGGUCCUUAAGGGGUUAAAGGGUAUUUUAACAUACAAUCAGCAUUUCUGACCCCUACUGGUCAACAGCAAAACUGUCUUCACAUGUCAUAUACAAUUUACCAGCCAAUAUAAAUUACACAUAAGAUUGUUUUAAACAUAACUAUAGACCAUAAAUUAAACUCCAGCACGGGCUCAACUUCAGGUUUAAUUCACAAUAAUUUACAUUUCACAUCAAGACCAACAGUGGUUCUAUCAACACUGCCACCUACAGGUCUGUCAAGUACAUUGACAAUUUUCAUGGGGUUUUACAAACACCAAAACACUGACACCUAUAGGUCAACAGACAAACAACAUUUCACAUACCAAUCAGUAUCCAACUACACUGCCACCUAUAGGGCACUCGGCAGAUCUCCAGUGCACUUGCAUUUUGCAACACCAUGUUCACUGACCCCUACCAUUCAAUAAGACAUACAACAAUUCACAUAGCAAGCACUAUGUCAACAUCUGGUAUAAAUACAUAUAUUAUUACACAGUAGCAGACACAUCUGUAUAUAUGUAACUGGUAAUAUAGUUCACAUACAUUUUUCACAGCACGCUGCUCCCGCAACAGACUUCCCCUAGCAAGGGGACAUACAACAUACAAGGUGGGGACAGACCACAUUUUCACUUGUACAUACGGCACUUAAUGGGUUAAGAUUGAUACAUAUUUAACCAGUAUGGCUACGAUGUUUAAUAUUUACACAUCACGUCACUUUACUUUUCACAUAUACUGUACGUAUUAAGAUAAGCUUGGUCUAUGCCAUAUUUCCUUAUGCCAUACGGUUUUAUCCAUUCAGGUUACAGUUACUACUAAAAAACCUAUACGGAUUGUCAGGUUCAAUACCAUACUACCAGGUACAUACACCUGCUCACGUAGUUAUCCAUCUCUUACCUUCCCUGGAAUAGUAAUAGUGUACUGGCAAUUAGGGUUCUAGGGCCCAAUAGGUAUUACCCCCUUUUUUCUCUGCAUUAUGCUUCGGUUAGUGGUCCCGCGAGGCCAACACCCCGCCUCACACUCGGAGGCAUACACCCCUCGGGCCACUCGUGAGCUAGCCGCCUCGCAUUGUAUCAUAGAGAGGACCUCACCUGUCACUCCCCUUCCUAUUUUCUGGUUACUGUCACCGAGAGGCCAACAUCCUGCCACAACGUUCGGUGGCCACACAAAAUCCCCUCGCGCCAAGCAUAGAUAGAGCCUCUCAAGCCACUUGGCAACUAGCAGGGCCUCACCAGUCACCAAAAAACACCAAGUCUAAUCGUUUCGCCUUACGGCUUAGCUAGCAAGCCAGUACAAGAACCCUGGGUACAAAUAAUAAUUGCAAUCUUUAUGGUUAUUUAAGUAUUUCUCAAAAAGAUGGUGAAGAAUCACCUCUUCCUAGCACCCCGGCUAGAAUUGAUACACCUUCAAGCAGAGGAGAUGUUGCUAGUCCAGCAGCAAUCAGAUCCUGGACGAUCCCACACAUUACCACCGACCUAAGGAGGUGACAAAUCCCCUACCCUGCUACAGCAAGGAAAGCAGUUAUUCAAACUCCUCCAUACAUCAACGGACAACACGGAGGCAGGGGAAGGCCCAGCUACAUCAACUCAGGUGACACCCAGGCUAUGCUAGCUUCACUCAUAAACUCAUGAGCCAAAAAAUUUAUGACAGACUGGCAAUCUCGAGUUGGUCACCACAGCCCUCACAAGGCUGGGCCUCACGCUACUGUACAACCAGCACCAACCGAAACUUGGUUACCUGGUACAAUCAAUUCUUAUGACACACAAGAUGUUAAACCUGCACGUAUAAUCCCAGCACAUUGGGGAAGCAAGGCAUAUAUAUGUAUGAUGAUGUAUCUGUGAUGGUCAGAUCCAGGGAUUCCAGGUAAAUCGGGAACUGACCAUCCCUUGGUUGGGUUGGCAUUUGGAAUAUGUGGAGAUGUUUAUUUGUGCAGGUACCCAUACAGAAGGGAUUUUGUCCCAAACAAAUGGACGAGCACUCUCAGGCUCCAGGUACCAGCACCUCUGAACUACCAGAGACCACUGAUAUGAGUAGUUGCAUUGCAUACAGACUGUUGCAUAUAUGUUCAAUAGUUCAGGGCACAUGACAAACCAUGUGUCCCAAUACAACUUACAAAUAACGUAUUCACCAUCUGUACACACCAAUGCAUUUUCAACACUACUGACUCAUCACCCUUCCAGACUUGUAGUAGAUUUACUAAAGCUCUGGAGCUUCAAAGGGCUCCCAUACAGGUAUCAUAAACACACCUUCAAGGAAUAUAGUAUGCCCUCACUUACAGUCAGCACAACAAAACCAUUGGCUGUAAACACACUCAUAGCCAAGAUUUGCAGAGGGGUCUUCCAAUCUCCACCAUUUACAGCAUGGCACCAAACACACACAUUGGUAUUGUCACAAGGAAUCUUCCCUUAAACAAAGACUAACCAUGGACUUAUUGGUAACACACACCUCCGCUACCCCAAGUCUCAACUCCCUCAUACCCUCCGAGGAUUUUUCUUACUAUACAACACCAUUGAUCUACCUUUACAGCUAUCACUCAAGCAUGGGUUGAAGCUUGAUUAAGUAAGACCAAUAUCAUCAACGCAGUAAACGGCUACCAUCUACCCUACACACUGGCACUUACAUGGCAUAAAUUGGGCAAUCCUUUCCCCGCUCAACUUUCGAGCUACAGAUUAGCCUACUAUCGAUAUUCGCAGAUACUCUGUGCUGGUUAUGAUAACAUAUCCAGAGGCCUUACAGUCAUACACUAUCUAGAAGACUUCUUGUUAAUCAAAGAAAGCAUAUUUUUCACUAGAAGCCUCACGGCAGCUUAGUCUGGUUGACCACUUGGGCGUCCCAGUACCCCAUAAGAAACAGAAGGCCCAGACACUAUCUUCACAUUACUGGGCAUAUGACUUGAGUCGGCAUCCAUACACGCAAGUUACCACAAGACAAAUAGGGAACAUUCUCAACUACAUCAAUCACUACCUCCUGCUUAGUACUUACAACUGCAAGGAACUACGAUCCCUACCAGGUUCCUUAAUUUUGCCAUGCUUUCACAUCCAGAGUACUUUCCCCUUUUUUCCACACUUCCAACAUGACGAUCAGAGGAGGUGCCUAGACACCUCAGCAACAGCAGACCUGCACAUGGGGGGGGGAUUUCUUAACCACUUGGCAUGGUAAAAGCAUGUUCCUUCCAGGAUUGUCUGACAUUUCUCCAACCAGAUGGUCAGACGCAGCGUAUACCACGGGUUUGGCAGCGAUCUACCGGGAACAAUUGCUUUGGGGCUGUUGGCCAUGGCAUCCAGGUUUGGAAAUUUUUCCACCACUUCAGCCCCUUUGUAGCAGCUGCUGUGGCAUGGGGUAAAUCAUGGUCAGGGUCAUCAAUCCGUUGUUACUCAGACAACUAAGCACAUACCAUAUCAUCAACAAACGCCACUACUCAUCCAUAAGUUCAUGAUGUUUCUGGGGAACUCACUUGGUUGGCCACUUAUCACAUUUCACUUUCAUGUACCAGACGGGGGUAUACAUCCCUGCCGACAACUGUCUCAUUUAUAUUCCAGGCAUGUUCAUCAUACGCUUCCUACAGCCGCCCAUACAGUCACGUCCACUCUUUCGUUCCAGAGACAAAAUCAUGGAUUAGACAUACUCAUGCAGCAUAGCAUGCACUAUCCCACCUAGCACUUUCGUCCCAUACUUGUAGAACGCAUAACACAGCUUUUCACCUGGCUUAAAGAAUCUCAUUGGAACACGACAUAGCUCAACCUGUGUCACAAAAUUUCUCCUAAGUUUUGCUUAUUUUUGCCACCUUAAACUUAAACUAUCUCAUACAUCAUUAAUUAUAUAUUUUACAGGCAUUCAACAACACAUGAUAACCUAUGGCCAAAACUACCAUAAACUUCAUGCUAUCAUACCAGGAAAGAAUAUACUCAGAGGUUUUCAGGAAUCCAUUCCCCCACGUUCCUCUCAGAGAUUACCAAUAGCUAUCCAACUGUUCAUCCUUAUCGGACCUAUUAGAUCUACAACCAUUCAAUUAUACUACCAAGUCGGCCAUUACCAGCCAUGCACAUUGCCUUUUAUGCCUUUCUCAGGCCAGAGAAUCCACUACCAUCACCACCACUCAGACAGAUCAUUGUCUUCAACGAUCCCACGUACGUAAACACAUAUAUCAUUACCUAUUGGCUCUACCACAUUCCGAAAUGAGUCAACAUGCACCAACAGUAGAGAUAACAUACUAUCCUACCCACAACAAAUGGUGCCCACUUUCGGUCCUAGAUUCCUACCUUCAAAAUCCUUUCAGGAAUUAAAUACUGUAAUGCAUUUAAGGAAAUGUCUGGUUAAUUUGUAUAUAUUUGUUGACUGUAUUAAAUCUUUGAUUAUUCAUUUUUGCCCUCUUUAUUUACAGGCCUACCGUAUCGUCGGUAUCGGCACACCACAACCGACUUGCUCCCUUUACACUAUCCUAAGCUUAUGCUGGAUCCUUACUCCAUAUACGGCUAUUUUGCCCCUUACACAAGUAUUAAGGCAGUUUUGCCUGUAUUUGUGGGAGGGGCUUAAAUUAAUUCACUCCCCUAUAUAAGGGACACCCCUUACCUGACUCAUAUCGCUUGAGGUCAGCAUCAGAAUGACCCUCCCACCCACUCCUCAUUUCAACACUUUCUCUUUUCUUUCCAUUUACUUUACUUUCUUACUCCUUGGUGGGCCCUCUUUAUUUACAGGCCUACCGUAUCGUCGGUAUCGGCACACCACAACCGACUUGCUCCCUUUACACUAUCCUAAGCUUAUGCUGGAUCCUUACUCCAUAUACGGCUAUUUUGCCCCUUACACAAAUAUAUAUAUACAUAUAUAUAUAUAUAUAUCAUAUAAAAUAACCCUCAGUGAAUUAUCAAAGAUAAUUAGACACAUAGAAUGUGAUGGUAAGAACACCCUCACACACAUGCUGCACCCCACACACAUGCUGCACCCUUCACACACAACACACUGCACCCAUCACACAGCACACCCAACACACUGCACCCCUCACACACACAUGCUGCACACAGCACACCUAACACGCUGCACCCCUCACACACACAUUCUGCACACAGCGCACCUAACACACUAUGACCCUCACAUAUACACAUAUAUUUGGAUGUAUAUAGUAUAUAUAAAUACAUAUAUAUAUAUAUAUAUAUAUAUAAAUAUAUAUAUAUAUAUUAUAGCACCCCUCACACUGCACCACUACACACAUUACGCUCCAGACACACGCUAGAUCUCUUACCCAACUCUGGAUCAUCUAAUCUACACACACACACAUACACACAGUAGAUCCCUAUAUACACUCUAAAUCCUCUAUACACACACACACACACACACACACACACACACACACAAUCUCCUAUACACACUCUGGGUCCUUUACACACUAGAUCCUCUACACACACACACACACACACUGCAUCACCUACACACACUACAUUCCUGACAUAUAAACUCUGGAUCCCCUUUGCAAACACUACAUUCCUUGUUAACAAACACAUGCUACAUUCUCUAAACACACACUCUCUACAACCCUUACACACACUACAGCCGGUAUGCACACACUCGCUACAUCCCCAAUACACACUAUGCCCGCUAUACACACACUCUCUACAGCCCCUUGCACGAUAUGCUUUCCUGGCCCUUUUGUCCUCUGGUAUCCCACUUACACCAGAGACAAGUGAAAAGCAAACACAGUGCAAGCCUCUUAUUAAAUUUGCUUGCACUGCGCAGAACAAAUUCAGGGCCUUUUUCUCAUGUUAGAGCUCUUCAGCAGGGCUCUGGGCAUUGAACCAACAUGCUCACUUUGAGAGGGGGCAUGCUUGUCAUUAGUGAUGACAAAACACACCCUCUCUGGCCCCACCCCCUUCUCAGGGGCCGCUGUGAUUGAAAAAUGCCCGGGCCUAAUUUUUUCCCCAGUCCAGCCCUGGUCUCUACGCUCUGCAUGGAUACGCUGAAUUUUCCUCAUAGAGAUGCAUUGAUUCAAUGCAUCUCUAUGAGGAGGUCCUGAUUGGCCAAAACGGCAUUUGGCCCUGAUUUUUGCCAAUCCAAAGCAAUUAAUUAGUGGGUUUAGCACUAUAGGGUCAGGAAUACAUGUUUGUGUUCCUGACCCUAUAGUGUUCCUCAAAGGUGCCCAUUACAUUUGAGUCCCUUUAAUGAAUAAUCCCCUAUAUACCGAGCAUGCUAAUUAUAAUAGAACGAGAUGCUGCUGGGUCCUUUACUAAGCAUGCUUUGCUCACCCCCAUUCAGUUUAUUCUCAGUGCUGUAAAUGAGUAAUUCUUGGAAAAACGUGCUCCUCUUUUACAUUUUGUUGGCUGUGGGAAUAGGUGUUAAGGACCUGAUGGGCUGUGAUUGUGUUACCUGCUCUGUAAUAAGAUAAGGACGAAUAUCUUGUUACAAAUGUAUUUUACAUUUCUUUGAAUUCGAAGAAAAAAAUGUUCUGAGUGAACGAGGCUUAUUACAGGAAAAGCUAAUCUUCUCUCAUAUAACAGAUAACUGGAUAAAAAAAGUAAAUUUCUGAAAAAAAAAUCUGAAUCUAAAACCAAAAAGAAACUUCUCUGAAGCCUAUAGCUGCUUACUCUUUGGGAGAGAUGUGAGAUCCGGGCCUGUAAUAUAAUCUGAGGCUAGUGUGAUGCUAUCUGGGUUUGUCUCUUUGUCUUCAGAGGGCGAAUAGCUCAGGUUGACCGCAAGGUCCUUCAUUUUACUCCAAACCCUCUUCCAUUCUGUCCUCUCCCAUGUUCUGGUUCUAUGUUCUAUGUUCUCUUCCAACUGUUCGUUGCUCCUGCUUGGGUCCUGGUGUUUGUCCCGAUUUGGGAACCAAAUGAUAUUAUACUUUAUAACGGGCCAAUACGUUCCGAUGUCCAUGGGUAAGUAAAAACAAAAAAAACUAAUCAGACAAUGCAAUACAAACUUUGACAAACAAAUACAGGAGCAGGUGAGAGCCCUAAUCCCAUGGGGAUUUACAAUCUAGAGGAUAUGUUGCUGUCCUAUGUUUAUUUAGUGAUGUCGAGCUUCUCGGACACGCUACGUAUAGUCAUCAGAAGCUGACUUUUUACGAGUCAUCUGUUCAUAAAACACCCUUUGGGGCCCUACAAGACAGUACUGAAUGUUAUAAACAACCGUGCCGCCACUCUAUCCGUUAACAGUGCUGUCCAACACACUGUGUCGUUAUGUUUUGAAAAAGAUUGAUUGUCGAGACGCUACUUUGUGUCUUUGGGUCGCUGAUAACAGGGACAUAAUCUACAAUUACAAACACAGCAGCUUGGACCUGUCAGGUAACACAUCCCCUGUCUGGGUCCCUGCAGGUUCUGCUUUUGGUUUUCCGUGUCCUUUAGUCUAACCCCCACCUGAAUAUCAGCAUGAGAUACAGCGCAACAAGCUAUAGAUGGAGUAAAAAUGAAGGUGAUGCUAGAACAGUUCAAUUUAAACUCUCUACAUGGCCGAAAGCUGAAAGUUUACCCUGUUUAUGGUGGUAGCAGUAAUAGUGAGCUUCACAUGGGGUGCAUCUCGUUUCAUCCCUCUCCCUGCCAUGUUACCAUGGAAACCUACAUCCCCGUGAAUCCCAUCUAGUUUGCUAAAGGUGUCCGCUCAUGACAUCUCUUAAACUAAAGUCGGAAAUCUACGAAAUCUGCAGAUAGAUUGAAGACUUCAAAGUGUUACUUGUCGCUGAAGUUAAUUUUAUUCCUCCUUUUUUUUAGCCCUCUGAGCACCAGAAAGGGGGUGAUUAACACAAUCACCAACCAGGAAGUUGUACCAUCGCCCACCGCAGAAAGGGUUAACAUGUAAUCUUGUCUCUCCCCAAUAAAGAAUGACUGAAGAAAGGAGCCUGUCUCGGGAAUUUGCACAAUCACGUGUUUAUGGUAACAAUUAACACCCCUUUCAGAAGGUGAAUCAAAUUUUAAUGUCUAUAUAUUGGAAGAACGUACACACAAUCCCCAGGUAAGUUUACGCACAAAACAGGGAAAGUUUCCCCAGAUUCACACGUUAUAAUUGCUUAUUUCCAUUAAUAGACCAAGAUUUGUACUUUACAUCGUAUGAUUGCAGUUCACCUGCUGUAAAACUGACGUCAGCUUGCGCUUUAUAUAAACACGCUAAUAUAAAUAACAUAACCAGAUCAGUUAACGUGCAAAAGACAUCGGUUAAGACGACACUUCGUCUCUUUUUUUGUUCAAAGUGCAACCUUCGUUUUCCUGGAUGGUUAAUAUUUUAUGUUUACUUUAACAAAUCUAUUUGUGAGAUCUACAAAAUUAGAUUAAAUGUAAAAAUGAAGAUCUCGGUGUUCUAGAAUUGAACUUGUCCAUCUUGGCUAUUUGUCAAUCAUUAUUAGAAUCUCAGUAAAAACACACAAAACACACCCACUGAAAGGUUACAAAUACACCAGUGGAAGAAAAAACGAGGAUACAAAUUAUUUAAAAUUACCCUUGUUCUAUUGUAGAAAUAAAAAACUCAUCUUAGUCUUUAUAAACCAUAAAAAAUACCAUAAUCUACAAAACAAUAAAACUCAAAAUAGUGUUACACUGAUAUACACAAAUAAUUAGUGGGAAAUCCCGGUUUGCUACAAUCAACAGUUUUUCCGGGAUUUCCUCUACAGCCGGUGGAAGUUUUCUCACAUCUAAACCAAGGCUUGGCUAUCUGAAUUAGAGACUGGUGAUACACUUCACCUCCCCCCUGCUAAGAUUGACUGAUGGCGGUCACAGGGAGGGGUGAACCAGGAUUUUUAAAAUGAGACUUACCAUUUCGACAUGUACAUCCAUUGGAGCAACACAGACUGACUUAUUGCCCCUGAGGAAGUCCAGAACGAGGACGAAACGUGUAAGGUGGACAUACAUUUAUUUUGACCGUGUUCUUUUAUUAUAUUUAUGUUAAUUUAUGUAUAUAUGAACUGCUGAUUCACAAAGAUUUUACCUGCUGGAUACCUGACUGUUGGGGACUCCAAGUGGAGAUUGGUGAUAAGCUAUCAUUUCUAAAUAGAAUAAAAAUAAAUAGAGGUAUUUUACAUAUAAAGAUCUACUCUGUGUCCCUUUUAUCUAUUUUUUCCAUAUAUGAUGCUGCUAUUUGGAAGCAUUUGAAGUGUGAAGACACCUAUGGUGUAUGAUUUUUGCUCACUAUUAACUUGUGUUUGUGAGUAAGAUACCAUUUUCCAUAAAUGAUUUGUGUAUAACAGUGUUACACUAUUUUGAGUUUUAUUGUUUUGUAGAUUACGGUGUUUUAUAUUAUUAGAAUCUCCAUGCUUUGCACCUGCCUGUCAGCAUGUCAAGAGAAACAAUGUUUUUUGUUCUCAUCAUUUGCAUCGCAUGCCCUAGCUGUGCCAGGACUGAACAGAAUGUGAAUGCUAAAUCUUUGAUAAACAGUUAAAGGAAAAUACAGCAUCCUGUGAAAGUUAACUGAAGUUAUAGGUGAUUUGCAAUGUUUUAUUCAAAGGUGGAAUUGUGAGAAAUGUAGCCCAACACGCAGAAUUAAGUCAGAGUGAUAAACAGAUUACCGGGCCUUAGAAUUACCGGGCCUUAGAAUGGUUGGAUUUAACAUAGAAAGAAUAGUCAGAAACAAGCUGAAGUCAGGGACACAGACAGGAGCAUAAACGAGAAGACAAAGCUAAAGGGUCACGGUUACCAGAAAUAUGGAUAGUCAGAACAAGCCGAGAUCAAAAACCAGGAUAACAAUAUAAAAAUGCGCGCUUUUGGAUAACCAAAGUAUUGGAAACCACAAGACACUGAAUACUAGCAGGUUUGGGUUUAAAUAACCUCAAAAGCCUGCUGUCACGUUACCUUUUGUUGCCCAGGCUGUGACACAGGUGGAGGUCUAUUAUCAUAUCUACUGUAUUUACUCUGCGUGUUGGGUCACAAGUUAUCGUGACACCUGCUCAUUGGUUAAAAUGGGACCUAUAUCUCCAAAACGUGCAUGUGCGUCUAAAAAGUGACGCCGCACGCACGUUUACAUCACUUAUGACGUUUUUUGGGUGGCGCUAUUUAAUAGCGCAGGACUGAAGCGGCCAGCGUCCUUAACGUAUAUAAUUUAACCCAUCCCCUCCUACUUUGACUUUCAGUUCAGAUCCUAAAAACCCUCCUACCUUUCCCUGUAGCCUAACGGCAGAUGUAACCCAGCAGAUACACAUUUCUUUUCUAGUACCGUUCUAUUUCUCUGCAUCUAUGCAGAGGGAAUUCCAAUGCUAUGUUCUCCCCAACACACACUGUAUGGAAGGAAAUCUUUGUAGGUCAAACUUUAGAGCUUCCUUCUAGGAGGCAGAGAAAAUGUAUGUAUCUACCUUAAGAGACAAAAAUGGCAUUUCUGCUCCCAUGAUCAUAUUUCAAACCCUUUGUGAAAUAAUGCAAUGUAAAGAAUACCAUCUAAUUUCUGUAAACGUAACUCAAAUAAAAUGAGGAAAUUCAUUAAAAUGUUCGCAAAUUUACUUUAAUUCAUUUUUUUUUUCAAGUAUCUGGGAUAUCAGGCGAAUCCACAAACGUUCUUUUAUCCUACGUAUUUGCUACUUAUUCAUCUCAUGUUUCAAAUAAAGCUAUUUUAAGUAAUAAAAAGCAAGUUUGUAGUUAAAGGAGAAGAGGGUGGAAAAUGGUCGUCCUUUCCUUGUCCCCAAGGUCUGAGUGGGCUUCUUCAUGGUGGAGUGCUUGGUUAAGGGUCCUGCAUGGCUUUUUUAAAGAUAACUGCCAUCACAUUUUUAUUUCUCAUUUUUUAAAUGCUUGUUAUAUUUAGUUUGUUACAUUUAUUUUAAACUAUGUAAUUAAAUUUUUUUUUCUUUCUGUAAUUUCACCACUUUUUUUAAUCUCGCCGAGCAGCCAAUGUUGGGUACGACUCUACUGUUUGAGUAGCAGUUGGUCAGAUAACAGUAGAGUCUGACCUAACAUGGCUGCUCAACCAAAUAAAAGUGAAAUUUUCUUAAGAAAAUCUAUAUACAUCAUUAAAAAGAAUCGUUAAAGGGACCCUCCAGGCACCCAGACCACUUCUGCCCAUUGGAGUGGUCUGGGUGCCAACUCCCACCACUCUUAACCAUGCAAGUGUAAUUAUUGCAGUUUUUAUAAACUGCAAUAAUUACCUUGCAGGGUUAACUCCACCUCUAGUGGAGACUUCCGAAAAGUGUUUUAAAUGAUGAUGGGCAUCCUCACGCUAGCGUUGCCAGAAUCCCCAUAGGAAAGCAUUGAAUAAUCCCCAUUGCCACACAUGCGCAUUAGGUCUCCCCCAUCGGCUGACGUCGGCGGGUGAGGAGCGUGGGCAGAGCCGGACCCAGCGCCCAGGGACAAAAAAAACUGAUUUGAUUUCCUGGCACUGGAGAGUCCCUAAGUUUCAUUAAAUAAAAUAAACUAUUCAAAAAAAAAAAAAGAAGUGAACAUUUGAUGACAGUUGUCCUCUAAGUCUUGGAUAGGGUCCACUAUGGCCCACAACUUAUAUAGUGUCUUUCAUAGAAAUCUUUCACAGUGUUCUGCAAAGGGUUUGGAGGGUGCCUUUAAAUAGCAGGCCGUCAUUUACUGCAUGUUACAUAGGUUCUACCCUGUAUCCAGAUUGGUGAUUUUCCGCUUUUAACUAGGAGUAGACAUCAGUUGAUCUUAGCCGAGAUAUGAUGGUCAUUAAGGUCCCAAACAGUUUGACUUUAUUGGACAUUAACAUUGUACCAACCAGAUAUCAAUCAGCUCCAUCCAUCGCAGGAUUCAGAAUAAAACACAUUUCUUAAAAUGCAUGUUAUUCAUGCACAGGGACUUCUACAUUUACAGCUGAAUAAAUUAUUGUCCAAACCAGGAUUUAAAAAAGAAAUCAAGGACACUUCCAGCAGUCUCGUGCACACGGGGCCUUCAGAUAUUAAUAGGAUAUCACAGUGGUGAUAAAGAGAAUUGUUGAUUUGCAUAAAGCAAGAUCUGUGAGAGGAGACUCUUUCUAUGCUUUACUGCUAGCACAUCCUGGAUACAACAACAAGCCUCGUUGUCCUUAAAAAGAGGGCGAGAAUGGAAGGAACCGGGACUCCACGCCUCGCAUUGUCAGCUUGCAUUAUGGUUUUUAAUAUCCCUUUACUGUGAGGGAUAAGCACUUAUCCUGAGCUAAUAGGACAAUUUCUUACAGACCAUUACAAGCCUUGCUUGUGCACAUGAAGUGAAUACAAUGUACUUAAUAUCCCGGCUGAUUCUUUGCAUUUUGCUUGCAAUCAUUGUUGAGCGUGGUAGUAACAAAAAAGAAAAACUGGGCUAACGUAAGUAAAGCCCCGAAAUGCUCUCAAGAGGUGGGACCAAGCCCAAAACAUGAUCUUCAUUUCUUUGUUACAUUUUUGUUUCUUUGUAAGUUUUUAUAAAACUAGCAAAAGCGCAUUUUUUUCUAACUGAGGGAAGGAAGAGCGACCGCCUCGUACAGUAGUUGAGAGACACUUGGAAGGGGGUUGGAGAAAUGCGUUGGAAUAAAGGGAUAAAAUAAAGGGAUACAAGCGAAGAUCUGGUGUGUGAGAAUGGAUGGAAGGCUAUUUGGGAAUGGGACGACAUUAAAUUAAUUGCGGAAUGCACAGCUGCAAAAAAUUGUCAACAGGUUUACAUUUAAUUUUCAGUAAAUUUGUGUCGCUGUAUAUUAAAGCUGUCUGUGUUUUUUUAAUCUUGUUGCUUCUUUUGCACCCGAACUGUAAUUACUAAAUAUACGCCAUCACAACAGAUUGCAACAGAUUUUUUAAUCUUUCCGCUACUUUCUCUGACAGAGAAGUGUUCUGCUCCCCUUCUCUUUUUCCACCACCCUCAAUUCGGCGUUCUUCAGUAGAAAUUUCUGUGAAAACUUAUGUAAUUUUCUAUGAUAAAAAUGUCACUUUUUAGAUCACUUUUUGCACACUUAAAUAUGAUUUAACCAUCACUUCUCAGAAUACUUUGAUAAAUGUCCUCCAUUGCAUUGAUUUUCUUUCUCAACGGUUACUUUUAAACUCUUUGUGAACAGUCGCUGUUUAGAUGACAAAAUGGUCACUGGCGUCCAUAGGUCACAAAAUAAAGUACUAACCCCUGGCCCCCUGUUUCUAAAAUAAAACCUGAAGAAAUCUCUUUGUUGAUUAUUAUAUAUUUAAUUCAGUGAUCAUUCCAAACGUUUUUUGAUGUCCUCAGUCACAGGCGUGUGUCUGUCCACUAGUCACACAGAAACACGGCUUUCAUAAUACACGAUAUCGUACGGGAUAGAAUUUAUUGACUUACCACUGAUUGCGUUCUCCUACAGUGACAAACGGACAUUGUUUGUGUUCCGCCGUCCUGCUGAGUAAAUGUUUUCUUCCAGUUCCCUAAACCAUGUCGGAUGUGAGAGGUUUAAGAGACAGUUCAUACUAUACAUUUUGUCUCUUAAAUGUGCCAUCCACUUCGUCCUGACAUUUUAACAGCAAUAAGAUUCUCAAACGGCAAACGUGGGGGAUGAGUGAGGCCGGGAGGCUAUUUUGUUGUUUGUAACAGCAGAAGGACAUUGUUAGAUUAAUAUUGAGAAUAAAGGUACAGCAUAGAUAAUAAACAGAGAUCGAGAGGGAUUUUAGAUACAAGGAGAAUACAUAUCGUCUAUAACAUAAACCUCAGAGACUGGAGGAAGAUACAGUGACCGAGUUUGUACUGACUGAUGGGAGAUACAAAACGGGGAGAACCUAGCAAGAAACAUAUUCUUAAAGGGUUACUCCAACCACCAUAGCCUCCUUGCUCUCUCCACCGAGUCCUCCCUGCCAUCCCUGGCUCCCUAUAUUUCUUAUAAUAGGAGGGCAUUCUAGGAUAAAAAAAAAUAAAUAAUAAUAAUAUUUAAAGAGUGUUAAUGUAACCCUUUAAAAUUAGGGAACCUUGAUACAACGGGCGAAAGGCCUACAAUUCCCAUGAUUCUCUGAGAGCCUUAAAUCCCCCUCCCCCCCACAAUAGAUCUUUAGGGGAGAAAAGUCUGCGUCUACAAAUAGCAAUGGUCAGUGAUAAAAUAUCUGCUUAUUAUACAAAGCAAGGAUAAAAACUAAUAUUUUGGACAGAAGUGAUUGCGUAGAUGUUUAGUGUUGGCCAGAUUAAAAAUAGUGUUUUUUUGUUUUUGUUUUUUUGUUUUAACAGAAAGGGUUACCGUAUAUACUCGAGUAUAAGCCGACCCGAAUAUAAGCCGAGUUGUAUUUGACUCGAGUAUAAGACUAGGGUGGGAAAUGCAGCAGCUACUGGUAAAUUUCUAAAUAAAAUUAGAUCCUAAAAAAAUUAUAUUAAUUGAAUAUUUAUUUACAGUGUGUGUAUAUGAUGAAUGCAGUGUGUGUGUAUGAAUGCAGUGUGUGUGUAUGAAUGCAGUGUGUGUGUGUGCAGUGAGUGCAGUGUUUGUGUAUGAGUGCAGUGUGUGUGUGAAUGCAGUGUGUGUGUAUGAGUGUAGUGUGUGUGCAUAAACGCAGUGUGUGUGUGAUGCAGUGUGUGUGUGUGUGUGAUGCAGUGUGUGUUUGUGUUGCAGAGCCUUGGUGGGGGGUGGGCAUUUUUAUAAAAAAAAUUAAUUAUUAUUUUAAUAUUUGUUAUAUUAUUAUUUUUAUUUAUUAUUAUUUAUAUUUAUGUAUUAUUAUUAAUUUAUUUAUUUUUUGUCCCCCCUCCCUGCUUGAUACAUGGCAGGGAGGGGGGCUCUCCUUCCCUGGUGGUCCAGUGGCAUUGGCAGUUCAGUGGGGGGAGGAGGGGGGCUGGCAGAGCUGUUACUUACCUCUUCUGCAGCUCCUGUCAGCUCUCUCCUCCUCCGCGCCGGUCCGUGCAGCUCUUCUGUCAGCUCACACUGUAAGUCUCGCGAGAGCCGCACUAUGACCCCGCGGCUCUCGCGAGACUUACACUGGGAGCUGACCGAGGUGCUGACCGGACCGGCGCGGAGGAGGAGAGAGAGAGGAGGGAGCUGACAGGAGCUGCAGGAGAGGUAAGCGCUCGCUGCCAGCCCCCAGUCUGUAUUAUGGCAAUGUAAAUUAAUGUAAAUUGCCAUAAUACAGACUGACUCGAGUAUAAGCCGAGUUGGGGUUUUUCAGCACAAAAAAUGUGCUGAAAAACUCGGCUUAUACUCGAGUAUAUACAGUAGAUAUUUUAAAUAGAGAAUCAUUCUGCUUUAUCGCCAGCUAUCGCACGUUAUGUCCUUUAAACUAAAUCCAUGUAUAGCAGCAGCCAAACACAGCCCGGUCAGUGACCAGAAACCGCAAACAAGGAAAGUAAGGCUGCAACGGGUGAGAACGUUAAAAAAUUAAAAUGGAUCACUACAAAACAGGUUACUUCAAAGAAAACCAGUGUUUUAAAAACGAACCAUCCAAUUAAGACAUUCGGAGCACAGACAAGUCAUGCCCAUAUUUCAGAUUAUGGCACAAUGAGAUCCCAUCUCCUUACAUAUGGUCCUUUACCCUCUGACGUCCAAUUAAGUAGCUGUGUUUCGUCCUUCGCUCAGCAUUUAUUAUUAUUAUUAUUAUUUACUAUUAUACUUUAUUUGGAAUUUAAAAAUUAUAAAUCGCUUCCAACAUGACGUGUCCCUUUAAAAAUAACCGCAUCCGUGUUCAUUAGCCAAUGAAAAUGCACAGUACAACUACUGACACCCGGAAAGAGUAGCUUAGCCAAUGAGGAGCAGGGGGAGGCGCUUACUGUUUACCUAAAGAAAACUGAUGUUUGAUUUUUUUUUUUUUUUAAAUGUUUCUUUUUUUGUUGUUGUGUUAACUUUAAGAUAUCCGUGUUCCUUUAAGAUAUAAAUUUCCAAUAUCAAUAACAAAUACAUAUUGUGUGUUUGGAGCUUGUUUGGGCUUUUAUCGGACUAUUUCAGGCUGUGGCCCUAGCUAGUGGUCUGUACAUUCCCGAGAUUAAAGUAGGACAUUUCACAUCCACAAACCCAGACUGGACGAUUCCCCGGGAUCGCCAAAUGGGCUAUAAAAAGCAGUCCGUAGGGAACAAAUUGGCUCACGGCGCCAAGCUGCCAGAUUUCAGGAGCUUGUUAGUACUAAAUAAGCCUGAAAAUUAGACGAGCUGAUCACGGAUUCAUAUUUUAUGAUUUUGUUAUAGGACAUGCAUCAUUUUGUAGGAUUUUUUGCCUCCUUGCCAGCUGUCAGAUGGAGCUGACAAACAGCGGCGAGGCUGACAUGCUAUGUGACUAAAUCGAAUUGCAUCAGCAUAUGGUUUGGUCAAUCAAAUUAUGCUAAAUAAGACAAUAUUAUUUUUUUUAUCUGCUGUAUCAAGUAAAAUCUGUAGCUAUUUUUGAUCUAGAAAUGUUCGUAGAGGCUCUCAUCAGAAAUCUAUCUGUCUUAGUCUUGACAAAUAAUGUGAUCUGAGAGAAUUAUCUCGGAAUAAUCUCCAUGUUCCCGUGGUUAGCAAAGCAUUGUCACAGCUCUAUUAUGCGGAAAUGCUGAGAUUUUAGGAGUAAACAGCAACUGUUCAAAUACACAAUCAGAAUAAAACAUCACAAGACGUCAACUCGAAAAAUAUAGCUUUAGAUAUAGUCUGUGUGUUUGUGUUCAUAUUACACUAUAUGUGUGUGUGUGUGUGUAUAAAUAUGUGUGUAUAAAUAUGUGUGUGUCUGCGUGUGUGUAAAUAUAUGAGUGUGUGUGAAUAUAUGUGUGUGCGCGUAAAUAUAUAUGUGUGCGUGUGUGUGUGUAGUAUUUGUUAACCUCUACCACGGUGUAAGCCUUCCUGUGUGAGUGCAUUCACACGUUAUAUAUCAUUUUAAAGGAGAAAUAGUGAUUUCUUUGAUACCAUACACAUGUAUACAUAGUACAGUAUUAAAGAGGAAUAAACUAUUAAAAAGAUUAUAAAAACUAAAACACUUUUCAUAAUUUCUACAGACCAAGUGUAAUUAAACAUUCCUAACGAGAAUAGUUAAAAUGAUUGACUAAUUAGCCCUGAUUGUUAAAAUACUCACUAUGUGUAGGAUUUCAAUACAUUGUUAAAAGUUAUAAAACAAAUACCGCAAGGAGUAAAUUAUGGGUUUAAAGCUGAAACUUUGCUAAAUUUGGCAUAUUGAGAUUACAAAUUUAAUAGUAGUCACAGAAUUCUAAACAAAAGUGUAGUGGAGAUCCAGUAUUCCACAAGUUAUCUCCGCUUAAGAUCCCAGUGAGGCUCAGGAACAAGUAGUUAUAAAUCCAUAAAGCAAUAAUUCCAGCAGGCAAGACAAUUUAAUAAUAUCCCAACAUCAAUCCCAAUGACUGGACGACACACAGCAUCAGGAGCAGAACUAAAAACCUUUAUUUCACAGUGGCCUUAUAAAGCAUGCUCCCAUGCAAGGGAGGGAUUUCCAUUAAUUAAUACAGUAUCCAAUCCGGUACUAGUAUCCUCCCACACAUCUCCUCCCCUCAGCCUGACUCAUAAUCCCCUUAUAAUGUACACAAAUUCCCCCAGUUUCUGGAUGCACCCCUGAACCUAGGGGUACCCCUUUAAAUGGCACAUCCCCUGGUAGCCCUGAUCUGGGUGAGCAACAUAUCCAAAAAUCACCCAGAUCGGACCAGGGGUUUGGGAAAUUCAUGGAGGUAAUAAAAAGACCGACUGCGCUGGAGAGAAAAGCCGAAUUGGGCUCCAUGCGGUCGGUCACAGUAUAAGGAAAUAAAUUUCACGAAAGGCUAAGGCUACAGAGAUCAGGUUUGCAUAAAUCCCCUCGUUCGGUUGUUUCUGUCUACCGAACGAGGGGCCGUUCGGUAGUUUGGAACCGAACGGACCGGGCUUGUGGAGGUCUCAGCGGUGUUCGCCUAGUCGAGUGUCCGAUUUGGGUUCCAGACACUCAACGACAAAACACCGCUGUUCAGGAGUUUUAAAAUGGCUGCCGCCACGUGUUCGUGUCCAGAAUGGCGGCCACCCAGAGAACAAAGGACCUACUGCACAGCUUGUUAAUUACCCAUUCGCAACAUUGUUGCAACGGGUAAUUGAAGGCACACUUCACGCGGGGGAGGUCUGAUUGUUCGGUAGUUUCAUUCCCUUAGUUUAUUCGAAUGAUUCUACCGAACAAUCAGACGAAUACACGUUAUUUAGACACAUAUAAACCAGCAAUUUACCCGAAUACAGUUAUACACAUGUAAUUUUCAGGACAGCCCAGUGCCAUCCGCUACAAAAAGUAUAUAUUUGUAGACAUCUUACCCCCCAGGCUAUGUGACUGAGAGAAUUUUGAGAUUUUCCAUUUCACCAUUUCAUCACAGACCUAGUUCAAAAUAUUAUGGUUUUUUAAAACAUGUUUUAUUUGGGACAAAAUAUUCACUGACCACGCUGGCCCCACUACUGCAAACACCCCAUAUUUGUAUUCUGCUACUAUUUUGGAUUAUAAUGACACCCAGAAUGUAUACCUUUCCCCUACUCUUAAUCCUAAUUCAACAUCUUAAUCCUAAUUCAGCGGUGUUCGCGCAAAUAAGUGUCCGGUUACAGUUCCACAGUUUGGGCGCUGAACACCACUGGCCGUUCGGGACUUUAAAAUGGCCGCCGCCACAUGUUCGGCAACCGAACAAAGGCCACCCAGCAUUCGUCAAUUAAGCUGCGGUUAACCGCAGUUUCUGGGAAGUUAAUUGCCGACACACUCCAGCUCCCAGGUGGUCCAGUCAUUCGUGCGUUAGUUCGGUAGAUUGAAUCUACCGACCGCCGGGCAGAAAGGCACGAAUAAGCCUUUUCUGCAGGGGAAAAGAAGUCUUUUAACAUGUGGCCAUAAUCCAAAGGCAACAGACGAGCAACCAGGCUUCUCCAAUGCAAUGUGGCAAGAUUGCUCUCGUCACAUCUCUCCCCUUUUCCAAACAGACUAACAGGGUAUCUGACCUCCUGCCGGUCAGUGCCCUUGUUAGUCCAGCAGCCCACCCACAACACACAAUCAGCAGUACAGCCCACCCACAAUAAAUGGUUACUACACCUGGGUAGAAGAGAAGCUUGUCCAUGUCCAGGUGCCUCACCACAGCUGUGCAGGGGACUGGUAGGCUGCUUUGGUGGGUUGCUGAGUGGGCAGAGACCAGCGGUACUCUGCCCUGCUGCCAGCGCUACUUUGGAAGUAGCCUGGUUGGAGCCUGGUUGCUGGAGGGCGAGACCAACUGUCUCCCUUUUUAGAUACACAGCUCCGUUGCUGAAGGGGGAGACCGACUGUCUCCCCUUUGGCUAAACAGCCCUGUCGCUGGGGGGCAGAACCGACCAUCCCUACCCCCUGUGCUGUAAAUGCAGAGACCACGGUCCCAUCUGCACGGUUGUGGGGUUUACUGUCCCCCGCUGGUACGUUAAGCUGCCGCUGGGGAGAGGGGGUAAAAAGCUCCUCUCCCAUUCAUACUUCCAGUCGCGGGGGAGGGAGACCGACUGUCUCUGCUCCCAAUACAGAGUCCUGCUGCUGGGGAAAGGAGACUGGGCUCCCAAUUCCCAAUAAAUCAUACUGCCGCUGGGGAACGGAGACCGGGCUCCCAAUUCCCUGUAAUUCACACUGCCGCUGGGGAUCUGAGCCGACUGCCCAGCAUCCCUGUAGCUCAUCCUGCCAGUGGGGAGGGAAGACGCUGCUCUCCUCUCCCUGCAAGGUACACUGCCGCUGGGGGACAGGACCAACUGUCUCUGUCCCCUGUAACUCAGCCUGCCGCUGGGGAAUGGAGACUGGGCUCCCAAUUCCCUCCAGUACCUGCCGCUGGAGUUCCUCCCAACGUGCCAGCUGACCUCUUUCUGCCCGGUAUUGCAGAUUCAUGAACACUCGGUCCCUCAUGGACUGCACGUAUUUCUCAGCUGGAUUGGUUUUGAAGAACUUCAGCCGCAAUUCCAUCAUAUCGUCAAACUCUCUCCUUGAGUAGCUGUACUCCACUGUUGGUUCCAUCCUGGUGCUGUCAGGGUCGCUGUACUCAGACAUGCGUUGCCCUCAAUUUGUAAAUCCAAAGAAAUGAUGUCUCCUGUAGCUGUCCUUCUGGCUGUGGGAACGAUCCCGCCGCUUGCCACCAAUUGUAACGGCACCCCCAGGCAUAAAAGGGUUAAACCGCAGUUUAGAAGAUCUUCCCCUUCCAGAGAUACAGGCACAGCUACUGCAGAAAACCCAACUCCCAAACCGCAUGUAAGGGAAUGCUCCAAACUCCCGAACUACAUACAAAAUAGCACUCCAAACUCCUGAACUGGAACCUCACGAAUAGCUGCUAGCAGACAAACAGGAAAAGCACCCAAGCGGCUUACACUCCUGGCAAUCAGUCUCUAACAGCAUACAGUAAAUCCCCCAAGAACGAGACAGAGCUCCGUGUUGAGGGUCAAGCAGUGGUCUGUUUAAUGAGGACUACCUGCCCAGUAUUUAUGCAGGUCUCCCACCUGGUGGACACUCCCCUAGGGGACCAAAUGGGAGACUGUGACAAAGGACAGACAUUAACCAAUGGCAGACACACAGAGGUAAAACAUCCCCACAAUGCAUCCUAACUUCCCUCCCUCUGUCCUGGAGAUAAUUGGGACGUAAUCAAAACUCCAUUACCCACACGGUUACAGUAAAACACUAAAACACAAUAAAAUACACAAUAUUACAUUUAUCACACAAAAUAUAUACUUGCAACCCAUCCCCAGAUAGCUGGGAUCUGAGCGCACAAAAGCACCGAAUAGCUCUCAGAUCCUAUGCACACAGUCCAAUCGCCGUGGAGUUAAAGUGUUCCUAAAGUCUGUUCUCCAUACGAAUAGACUCCACGGGAUGGCUAUCUGGGGUAAUGGUGUUCAUACGGUUUAAACUACCGAAUGAACAGGCAUUCAGUUAACUGACCGAAUGCAGAAGCAAGGAGGCUGACGGCUCAGCGGUGUUCGCGCAAAUAAGUGUCCGGUUACAGUUCCACAGUUUGGGCGCUGAACAUGGUUAAAUAGUAUAACUUUCAGGCCAGUCACCGUAGGAUUGAAAUUUGUAUGUAUGAUUUUAUUAUAAUAAUUCUUAGCGCUGUCCAUCUAAUUUACUAUCUUGUUUUGUUCUAUUGUUCACAAGGUAAAAGGAACUCCUUGUUGGUGAAUAGCUGCUUUAUUGGAUAGAGAGCACUUAUCACUUUUUUCACUAUCGUAGAAUUGAUGACUAACUUUCUAAAAUGGUCAGAAUGCUAACAUACUGACUGAGCAUUAUGGGAACUGUAGUUCACAGACAUCAUUUUGAGGGUUUAUUUACUAAAUUGUGAAUUGCUGUGAAACCUCCUUUCAUGGGGCAUUUACGGUAUAACUGAUCUAACCGCAGACUACAUGAAGCUCCUUACACCGCUUGCAUUUCACUGAUUUAAUUCAGACCCCGGCCUGCUGGCACCCCGUGGUUUGUUUUGUUAAACAAAUAAACAAUAGUCUUCUAAAGACUGUUAAUAACUGUGGCGUCUCGCACAUUCUGCUCGCAGUGUUAACGGCGGCUGUUUAUAUAUGCAACAUAUGUACGCUACUUCUAGGGCAAACUGCUAUGAUUACAUGUUCCGUUUACAGGUCCUUAUACAAUAUAUAUAAUAAUAAUCUGCUUUAAUGAUCCUUGAAUGUAAAUCAAUCAGUGUCCUAAUGCUGUUAUCUCUGAAUAUAAAUCAAAAUUUUAAGAAACAGUGCAUUGAAGAAAUGCUUAUGUAAAUGUAGCAAAUAUUAGAUUAAAAAGGAAAUUAAAACAAUCAUUGAAGGGCUUAUUCCCCAAAUAGUGAAAUAACUAAACCACAAAACCGCCUAAAAUAGACAUUCCGUAACUAUAAUCAAGCAUUUUCCAUACUGAGAUUUUUUCCCCCAAAAUGUUGCUUUGAGUGUUUCAGCUCACGCCCAGCGUAGUUUAAGUCUGCUCACUUAACGGGCAUUUCACCCAGUAUUCCAAGUCCUCAGUAGUGGCAAAACACGAUAACAAGUGCAGGCAUUUUAAUAGCCCACCCGUACGGCUAACUCAUUGAUCUAAAGUGACGUGAUGUCUCCAUAGUAAUGGAGUAUACAAUAUUUCAUGGUUAUUUCUAUGUGUACACAGAACCCAAGGCUAUAGCGCAGCCAAGUGAGCGAUACUUAAUGUUAAUCCUGGGGUGUAUGGUCCAUUUGUGUUGUUUUAUUUAAGUGCAUGAGUGCUACACGUGGCUUCGUGACAUUCACGCUCUGUGCUUCAUACAUGAUCAAAGACAAGUAUUGCCAUUGUACGAGCAGAGAGUGCCUGGACGAUCACUAUAUCCUCGUAAUGAACACAUGGCGUUCUGUCCUUUAUCUCGCAUCGACCUAUAGCAGAGAGCGUGAAUUUAUACUGACCUGGGAACAUGAAGAGCUGCCAUUAAUGGUGUGCGGGGGACGCUGAAACCAAGUCCAGGCGUACGACAUAACGUCAUUCACUCCCGAUACAAACACUCUGCAAAAACUCAUGUUACAUUAUGUUAUAUCUGAAAUUAAUUCCCACUUCAGUAGAUAAACAUGUGAAUCUCUUUCUUAUUUUAAUUCUCUCUCUGUUACCUCUUACUCUCUGUCUCCCCAUUCUUUACCCACUCUCUCUCCCACGCUCUCUCCCUCUAUAUUCAUCCUCUGUCACCACUAACUCCCCCACCACUCUCUUUUCUUCUCUUGAUUUGUCAUCAGUUAUCUUGCAUUGCCGAGUGUGAAAGUGUGUGUGUAUUCCAUAUGUGUGUAUGUGUAUGUACUGUAUAUUCUAUGUGUGGAUAUUGUGUAUGAGUGUUUAUGUAUGAUCUGUGUGUUUGUAUAAUAUAUGUGUGGAUACUGAAUGUAUGUGUGGGUAUGUAUGUUUUGUGCGUAUGUAGGUUGUGAACAAUAAAUCCUUGCCGAUUAAGAUUAAUUUAUUUAUUCUGUUGUAACCCAGCUCUAAUCCAACAUAACAUGUAUGUAUACUGUGUGUAUGUAUAUUCUGCCUGUGGAUACUGUGUGUGUGUGUGGAUACUGUGUGUAUGUGGAUACUGUGUGUGUGUGGAUACUGUAUGUGUAUACUGUGUGUGGAUACUGUAUUGGUGUGGAUACUGUGUGGGUGUGGAUACUGUAUGGGUGUGGAUACUGUGUGUGUGUGGAUACUGUGUGUGUGUGUGGAUACUGUGUGUGUGUGUGGAUACUGUGUGUGUGUGGAUACUGUGUGUGGAUACUGUGUGUAUGUGGAUACUGUGUGUAUGUGGAUACUGUAUGUGUAUACUGUGUGUGGAUACUGUAUUGGUGUGGAUACUGUGUGUGUGGAUACUGUGUGUGUGUGGAUACUGUGUGUGGAUACUGUAUUGGUGUGGAUACUGUGUGGGUGUGGAUACUGUAUGGGUGUGGAUACUGUGUGUGUGUGGAUACUGUGUGUGUGUGCGGAUACUGUAUACUGUGUGUGUGUGGAUACUGUGUGUGUGGAUACUGUGUGUGUGUGGAUACUGUGUGUGGAUACUGUAUGGGUGUGGAUACUGUGUGUGUGUGGAUACUGUGUGUGUGGAUACUGUGUGUGGAUACUGUAUACUGUGUGUGUGUGUGGAUACUGUGUGUGGAUACUGUAUGGGUGUGGAUACUGUGUGUGUGUGGAUACUGUGUGUGUGGAUACUGUGUGUAUGGGGAUACUGUGUGUGGAUACUGUAUUUGUGUAGAUACUGUAUCUGUGUGUCUUUUAAUAACAGUUAAUUGAGAGACUUCCUCAAACUCCAUGUUAAAGCCGCAAGGGCUGAUAUUUGCCUCCAGAAACUAAGUGACAAUACUGAACCUUGGCAGAAUGCUUCCCUCCUGCCGUCUGAUAAAACACUCCCUGUCCUCAUCUAAUUAACUCAUUUUGUUCCUCCUGACCGUGAAAUAGUUAAACCUUGACAGUUUUUACCUGGUUUCCCUGCAGAGACUUUGAUCCAAGGAGGAAGGUUUGACUUUGAGUUAAUGAGGAGCAUGGCACCAAGGCGUCAGACUGCGCCUACAGCCAUAUCCAUUAAGCUGGUGCCUACUGUUUAUCCCUGUGAGAUGGGGCUGCAGUUGUCAGCCAAGAUACUUCAUUCACAGAUCAUACGUGUCUGGCGGGAGUGAGGUCACUUCACUCCCCUGUUUUACCAUGUCAGGGAUACAGGCGUGUUGUAUGAAGGACCUGCAUCCUUUGUCUGUACUGCGAUAAUCACUCUCGGUUUAAUCAUUGUGGGGCGUCCAUGGGUGGCAGAUUGUACUGGUGAGUAAAACUUUAGGCUGUCUGACCAAGGGAAACAGAACGCAGCGUUAUUGCAUCUAAUGUGGAAACCUACUGGCUUCGGUGCAAGUCGGGUCAGUUCUUUUUUUAACAACGGAUACAGCUUGUUGGACUCUUUUAUCUGUCUGAAGUCUGUCGUAUUAUAAUCACUUUCAUAACCAUCCAUCGGCCGGCCCAGGGAGGAUUUCUUCUGCUAGCUCAAUGGAGUUAAAGGAAGUGCCAUCUGAACAGGGCUACGGCGUGCCAGGAAAACGUUAUGGAAAGCCGCGAUCACGUGCACGCUCACAGCUCUAAAUCAGAAGCUUUUAAAUGAGCACGGACAUCCAGGGGAGGGCUGUGUUUUCAUACACCGCAAAAGUAAACAUACCGAAUAAUUAUACAUGCAUGUUUUCUUUAGGGGUACAUCUGCUAAAUUGUUUCAAAAAAUAAAAUUUUCAAUGGUGUUUUUCUCUUAAAACCUUAUUAGUUCAUUCUUUUAUUGAACACAUUCUGGAACAGACUUGGUACGCAGGCGGCAGGCGAGCGUGAGUAUCGCAUGUCAGAGCAGUGUAAGAGGGUUACAGUAAUAUCUGACAUCUGCUACAAUGAAAUCAUUAACAGUUAACUCAUUAACCAGGAACUGCUGAUAAUUGACCAGAGAAUGGUUAAGUCUGGGUCAAAAUAGUUAAACUGUAAAAAACAAAACAAAAAAAACCCCUUAACCCUGCUAUUUUUGUAGACCCGCAAUCCCCUUGUCCGUUCCCACGAUUCUAUGUUUAAUGAGUGGAUCGGACAGUAUGACAUCGAGGAGAUGUGCAUUGUAUUGUAGCCAUAAUGUAGUAUGUGUGUGUGGAGCCAUAUUGUAUCACCAUCAGCAGCUUGUUUACAAAACGGCUUUGUUGCUAUGGCAACAUACACCAUAAAGUUUUAAUGAAUGUGAAAAACCGCUAAGGGAGUAAUAUUCUAUAUUUCACUUUGGGAAUGUAGCAAACGUCAGAUUAUCAACACAGAGAUUUCUUAUUAAGAACAGACAUUAGAAGAAGAAAUCCUUGUUGAACAUUUUUUUUAAGUUUAUUGUCCGUAAACAUUUGUUUGUCAGUUGGAUAAGCAGCGUUUGUCAAUGUGUCGUCCCACAGUUCUGGGGCGUUAAUCCUUUGUAACCAUCAUUAAAACGCAUCAAUGAGGAAGAUGUUAGGAGAAAUUGGUUUUGCAAACUCAGUCCGUAGCUGCAUAUUCUGUCAGCGUGCCCUGUUAUACAUAGGACCAGCUUUGGGAAGAGAGCAAGAAAUAUCCGUAACACCAGGCUGGCGCAGUACGAUGGAUUAAAUGGCCCCUGCUUAUAUAUCGGCUGGUUUGUGCCUGGGUGGCCUUACAGCAAUAUGUUAGGCAUCAUAUACGAGGUACCUUACACAGCCGUGAUCCUAGCCACAACUGUAACAUAGAUUAUUGUACCAUCUUAAACUGUAUAACAUUUAAUCUAUACAUAUUGUUACCAAUAGAAAGAUAGACUGAGAGAUGUUACUAUUACCCAAUUUAUUGGUUCUCAUUUUAGGUGCCGAUUGGUGCACCUGGGUUUCGCCCUGAUUGGGCGGCGAAACCCCUCUCCUCCCUGUGCACUGAUUGGCGCAAAUUGGUUUUGCGCCUUUCAGCUGAUUAGCUGUUGCUUGGUUUAGGCACAAAGUUUGAAUUUGCAGGACUAAACCAAGCAAUGCUGUGGAACUAUUUCCGAGGAUGUACAGAGCCCCGAGCCCAGAGGGUUUCUCAGGCUCUGUACAUCCGAUGGCCCCGAUAUUUGCAGGGAUCCUAGUUGGGACCCGGGCCUAUCCAGGGAUGUAUGGUUCAUGUUUGUACCCCAUUCCCUUCCCAGGGCGCAGAGCCCCUAAGUGUUCCCCAUAUAUGUAAUGUGUUUUACUGUUUGUAAUUGUUGUGCAGUUGGUAUCUCCCAGACCGGGAGAUGGUUAUCUGUAAACCAUCCCCCUCCACCCUGGGAGUGUAUGGAACAGCGUGUCAUCACACAUUGCGCCAUCACACAGCACAUCAUCACACAGUGGGUCGUCACUCAGUACGUCGUCACACAGCGUGUCAUCACACAUUGGGUCGUCACUCAGUACGCCGUCACACAGCGUGUCAUCACACAUUGCGCCAUCACACAGUACAUCAUCACACAUUGGGUCGUCACUCAGUACGCCGUCACACAGCGUGUCAUCACACAUUGCGUCAUCACACAGCGCAUAGUUACACAGUGCAUCAUCACACAGCGCAUCAUCACACAGUGUGUCAUCACACAUUGCGUCCUCACACAGUGCGUAGCAUGCAUUGCACUAGCUGCAAAAUGAAGGCAUUACAGAUUAUGGGUAAGUAACUCAAUCUCUGGGUUUGGUGGAAUGUUUAUAUUUAGCAAAUUCAAUAAAACAACCUUGUUAUCACUCACCCAGUAUUGUGGCUCCCGAGUUAAUUCGAGUUUUAGAAACUUUGUUUUCUCUUUCAAAACAUAGAUACGUAAUGUUUGCCAGCAGAUAAAAUCGAUUCUCUCGCUUGUGACAAUGUGAGCUUACUCUUAGAGAUACCUUGUAUCACUUCGAUACUUACUGGUUUUAGUAUUGGCAGGAUUUCCAGGGAACCGCAUGAAAUACAAAUAUCCUAAAUUGUCUAUAAUCAAUUUACCAUCCUUAAUAUCACAGUGUACAUCAGUGUCUCUGUGCAGGAUGGACAUUCCCCGUGUGAGAAAAUCAGCAUUUUCUAACUUUGUUCGUGUAAUAUUUCGGAUUUUUGUUUAUAUUUAGUUUAUUUGUUCGAUAGCUUUCAAACUACCGAACGACCGACCACCCCUCUGGCUUAUUAAUACUUAAGGAAACCUUCAAUUAAGCGCUCUCUAUGUGUGGCCGUCGUUCAUAUAGCCGAACGCCACAUGGAAGAGAAAACAGCGGCCAUCUUGUUUGCACAAAAGGAGGCAGCAGGACUUGGUCGUCGAGUGUCUUGACCCGAACAGCUAGGAGAGCGCUGUUCAGCAGUUUGGUUCCCACGAACCAGGGGAACAAUCGCUUCUAUGAGCCAGAGGGAUCCAUUUGUGCAUUUGUUCGGUUUUAUGACUUAACGAAAUAGAUUGACCACACAGCCUAAACACAUGAAACUGUUUCUGGGCAGGAGCCUCGUGUGCGGUCGGUCAAAUAGGACAUGAAAUUCGAAAACCCCUGAACCGAUCUGAGUGAUUUUUGGAUAUGUUGGUCACCCAGAUCGGGGCUAUCAGGGGAUGUGACAUUUGUGGGGUCCUGUAUGUUUUGGGGGUGUUUUUCAAGUAUUGUGAAAAUUGUGUUCCCUCUGCCCAGAGAUAAUUAAGUUAUUAUUUUAUCUGACCCAAUUAUCUCCAGGCAGAGAGGAGGGAAUUAACUGUUUGUACUGGGAGUAUCACUGUUUGUCCCUGUAUGUUAUUGGUUGUAAUAUGCUGUCUCCCUGUUUUCCAUCAGGUCCAGGGGGUGUUUCUCUGGCCUGGGGAAUCGCAUAAAAGCCAGUGUGGCACAAUAAAAUUUUAUUCCUGUUACACCCUUCAUCAUGUUUUAGCUGAUGUUUGGGUACCUGAUUACUGCUUUGGAAAAUUCUGCUUGAACGCUGCAUCUACUCUGGAGUAACAGACGAAUGGAAACCCGAAUGGCGAGCUAUAAUCACUCUUGCUUCUAGCCGUUCGGGUAAAAACAGACAAACCGCUAGCUACCACUUCAAGGUUCGCCGCACCCCGUUUUGGGACAAAUCUCUGUCAUCUUUACUCUCCUAAUGCCCUUCAUUUAUGUGUUUAGAAAUCACUCUACAAAACAAAGAUGAUUUGAGCUUGUUCUGUAUUACAUAUUUAGUUACAUAGAUAAUUAGAGUUAUCGGUAGGUCAUGAAAUCGCUAACAAUGUCAUAUAGUAGUCCCACGUCUAGCCUUAUCUCCAGCUAUUCAGGGCAGUGCUAAGCGCUCAGGCACUUUGCAGCACACAGUACAUGCGCAGCGAUUAAUGUCAUAUAAUAGUCCCACGUCUGGCCUCAUCUCCAGCUAUUCAGGGCAGUGCUAAGCGCUCAGGCACUUUGCAGCACACAGUACAUGCGCAGCGAUUAAUGGCAUAUAAUAGUCCCACGUCUGGCCACAUCUCCAGCUAUUCAGGGCAGUGCUAAGCAGCACACAGUACAUGCGCAGCGAAUAAUGUCAUAUAAUAAUCCCACGUCUGGCCACAUUUCCAGCUAUUCAGGGCAGUGCUAGGUGCUCAGACACUUUGCAGCACACAGUACAUGCGCAGCGAUGUCAUAUAAUAGUCCCACGUCUGGCCACAUCUCCAGCUAUUCAGGGCAGUGCUAGGUGCUCAGACACUUUGCAGCACACAGUACAUGCGCAGCGAUUAAUGUCAUAUAAUAGUCCCACGUCUGGCCACAUCUCCAGCUAUUCAGGGCAUUGCUAAACAGCACACAGUACAUGCACAGCGAUUAAUGUCAUAUAAUAGUCCCACGUCUGGCCACAUCUCCAGCUAUUCCGGGCAGUACUAAACAGCACACAGUACAUGCACAGCGAUUAAUGUCAUAUAAUAGUCCCACGUCUGGCCACAUCUCCAGCUAUUCAGGGCAGUGCUAAGCAGCACACAGUACAUGCGCAGCGAUGUCAUAUAAUAGUCCCACGUCUGGCCACAUCUCCAGCUAUUCAGGGCAGUGCUAGGUGCUCAGACACUUUGCAGCACACAGUACAUGCGCAGCGAUUAAUGUCAUAUAAUAGUCCCAUGUCUGGCCACAUCUCCAGCUAUUCAGGGCAGUGCUAAGCAGCACACAGUACAUGCGCAGCGAUUAAUGGCAUAUAAUAGUCCCACGUCUGGCCACAUCUCCAGCUAUUCAGGGCAGUGCUAAGCGCUCAGACACUUUGUAGCACACAGUACAUGCGCAGCGAUCAAUGUCUGACAUAAGAUGAAAACGCCGCUCUCACAGAGGUUAAGCAGUGUCAGGUCCCCAUUUUUUUGAGAUGCGUAAUGGGACACACCAAGCACCAAAAUAAUUUUGCUUAAUGGAGCAGUUUGGUGUAUAGGUCACGUCCCUGCAAUCUUACAGCUCAGCUCUGCAUGUGCUCCCAUUACAAAAUCACGUAUCACAGCUGGAAUCACAAGGAACAACUGGGAGGUAUCCACUAAACACUAACUUCUAGUAUAACAUUGGAGAAAAAAGAGCAACAUUUGGGCUAACACGGCCAAGCUUGGCUAAUUAUUUGCUGUUUGGUUUUUAGUUUGCUACAAUUCAGGAUUUUAGUGAUUAAAGGAAAACACAACUUUCACUUUGGGAAUGUAGCAAACGUCAGAUUAUCAACACAGAGAUUUCUUAUUAAGAACAGACAUUAGAAGAAGAAAUCCUUGUUGAACAUUUUUUUUAAGUUUAUUGUCCGUAAACAUUUGUUUGUCAGUUGGAUAAGCAGCGUUUGUCAAUGUGUCGUCCCACAGUUCUGGGGCGUUAAUCCUUUGUAACCAUCAUUAAAACGCAUCAAUGAGGAAGAUGUUAGGAGAAAUUGGUUUUGCAAACUCAGUCCGUAGCUGCAUAUUCUGUCAGCGUGCCCUGUUAUACAUAGGACCAGCUUUGGGAAGAGAGCAAGAAAUAUCCGUAACACCAGGCUGGCGCAGUACGAUGGAUUAAAUGGCCCCUGCUUAUAUAUCGGCUGGUUUGUGCCUGGGUGGCCUUACAGCAAUAUGUUAGGCAUCAUAUACGAGGUACCUUACACAGCCGUGAUCCUAGCCACAACUGUAACAUAGAUUAUUGUACCAUCUUAAACUGUAUAACAUUUAAUCUAUACAUAUUGUUACCAAUAGAAAGAUAGACUGAGAGAUGUUACUAUUACCCAAUUUAUUGGUUCUCAUUUUAGGUGCCGAUUGGUGCACCUGGGUUUCGCCCUGAUUGGGCGGCGAAACCCCUCUCCUCCCUGUGCACUGAUUGGCGCAAAUUGGUUUUGCGCCUUUCAGCUGAUUAGCUGUUGCUUGGUUUAGGCACAAAGUUUGAAUUUGCAGGACUAAACCAAGCAAUGCUGUGGAACUAUUUCCGAGGAUGUACAGAGCCCCGAGCCCAGAGGGUUUCUCAGGCUCUGUACAUCCGAUGGCCCCGAUAUUUGCAGGGAUCCUAGUUGGGACCCGGGCCUAUCCAGGGAUGUAUGGUUCAUGUUUGUACCCCAUUCCCUUCCCAGGGCGCAGAGCCCCUAAGUGUUCCCCAUAUAUGUAAUGUGUUUUACUGUUUGUAAUUGUUGUGCAGUUGGUAUCUCCCAGACCGGGAGAUGGUUAUCUGUAAACCAUCCCCCUCCACCCUGGGAGUGUAUGGAACAGCGUGUCAUCACACAUUGCGCCAUCACACAGCACAUCAUCACACAGUGGGUCGUCACUCAGUACGUCGUCACACAGCGUGUCAUCACACAUUGGGUCGUCACUCAGUACGCCGUCACACAGCGUGUCAUCACACAUUGCGCCAUCACACAGUACAUCAUCACACAUUGGGUCGUCACUCAGUACGCCGUCACACAGCGUGUCAUCACACAUUGCGUCAUCACACAGCGCAUAGUUACACAGUGCAUCAUCACACAGCGCAUCAUCACACAGUGUGUCAUCACACAUUGCGUCCUCACACAGUGCGUAGCAUGCAUUGCACUAGCUGCAAAAUGAAGGCAUUACAGAUUAUGGGUAAGUAACUCAAUCUCUGGGUUUGGUGGAAUGUUUAUAUUUAGCAAAUUCAAUAAAACAACCUUGUUAUCACUCACCCAGUAUUGUGGCUCCCGAGUUAAUUAGAGUUUUAGAAACUUUGUUUUCUCUUUCAAAACAUAGAUACGUAAUGUUUGCCAGCAGAUAAAAUCGAUUCUCUCGCUUGUGACAAUGUGAGCUUACUCUUAGAGAUACCUUGUAUCACUUCGAUACUUACUGGUUUUAGUAUUGGCAGGAUUUCCAGGGAACCGCAUGAAAUACAAAUAUCCUAAAUUGUCUAUAAUCAAUUUACCAUCCUUAAUAUCACAGUGUACAUCAGUGUCUCUGUGCAGGAUGGACAUUCCCCGUGUGAGAAAAUCAGCAUUUUCUAACUUUGUUCGUGUAAUAUUUCGGAUUUUUGUUUAUAUUUAGUUUAUUUGUUCGAUAGCUUUCAAACUACCGAACGACCGACCACCCCUCUGGCUUAUUAAUACUUAAGGAAACCUUCAAUUAAGCGCUCUCUAUGUGUGGCCGUCGUUCAUAUAGCCGAACGCCACAUGGAAGAGAAAACAGCGGCCAUCUUGUUUGCACAAAAGGAGGCAGCAGGACUUGGUCGUCGAGUGUCUUGACCCGAACAGCUAGGAGAGCGCUGUUCAGCAGUUUGGUUCCCACGAACCAGGGGAACAAUCGCUUCUAUGAGCCAGAGGGAUCCAUUUGUGCAUUUGUUCGGUUUUAUGACUUAACGAAAUAGAUUGACCACACAGCCUAAACACAUGAAACUGUUUCUGGGCAGGAGCCUCGUGUGCGGUCGGUCAAAUAGGACAUGAAAUUCGAAAACCCCUGAACCGAUCUGAGUGAUUUUUGGAUAUGUUGGUCACCCAGAUCGGGGCUAUCAGGGGAUGUGACAUUUGUGGGGUCCUGUAUGUUUUGGGGGUGUUUUUCAAGUAUUGUGAAAAUUGUGUUCCCUCUGCCCAGAGAUAAUUAAGUUAUUAUUUUAUCUGACCCAAUUAUCUCCAGGCAGAGAGGAGGGAAUUAACUGUUUGUACUGGGAGUAUCACUGUUUGUCCCUGUAUGUUAUUGGUUGUAAUAUGCUGUCUCCCUGUUUUCCAUCAGGUCCAGGGGGUGUUUCUCUGGCCUGGGGAAUCGCAUAAAAGCCAGUGUGGCACAAUAAAAUUUUAUUCCUGUUACACCCUUCAUCAUGUUUUAGCUGAUGUUUGGGUACCUGAUUACUGCUUUGGAAAAUUCUGCUUGAACGCUGCAUCUACUCUGGAGUAACAGACGAAUGGAAACCCGAAUGGCGAGCUAUAAUCACUCUUGCUUCUAGCCGUUCGGGUAAAAACAGACAAACCGCUAGCUACCACUUCAAGGUUCGCCGCACCCCGUUUUGGGACAAAUCUCUGUCAUCUUUACUCUCCUAAUGCCCUUCAUUUAUGUGUUUAGAAAUCACUCUACAAAACAAAGAUGAUUUGAGCUUGUUCUGUAUUACAUAUUUAGUUACAUAGAUAAUUAGAGUUAUCGGUAGGUCAUGAAAUCGCUAACAAUGUCAUAUAGUAGUCCCACGUCUAGCCUUAUCUCCAGCUAUUCAGGGCAGUGCUAAGCGCUCAGGCACUUUGCAGCACACAGUACAUGCGCAGCGAUUAAUGUCAUAUAAUAGUCCCACGUCUGGCCUCAUCUCCAGCUAUUCAGGGCAGUGCUAAGCGCUCAGGCACUUUGCAGCACACAGUACAUGCGCAGCGAUUAAUGGCAUAUAAUAGUCCCACGUCUGGCCACAUCUCCAGCUAUUCAGGGCAGUGCUAAGCAGCACACAGUACAUGCGCAGCGAAUAAUGUCAUAUAAUAAUCCCACGUCUGGCCACAUUUCCAGCUAUUCAGGGCAGUGCUAGGUGCUCAGACACUUUGCAGCACACAGUACAUGCGCAGCGAUGUCAUAUAAUAGUCCCACGUCUGGCCACAUCUCCAGCUAUUCAGGGCAGUGCUAGGUGCUCAGACACUUUGCAGCACACAGUACAUGCGCAGCGAUUAAUGUCAUAUAAUAGUCCCACGUCUGGCCACAUCUCCAGCUAUUCAGGGCAUUGCUAAACAGCACACAGUACAUGCACAGCGAUUAAUGUCAUAUAAUAGUCCCACGUCUGGCCACAUCUCCAGCUAUUCCGGGCAGUACUAAACAGCACACAGUACAUGCACAGCGAUUAAUGUCAUAUAAUAGUCCCACGUCUGGCCACAUCUCCAGCUAUUCAGGGCAGUGCUAAGCAGCACACAGUACAUGCGCAGCGAUGUCAUAUAAUAGUCCCACGUCUGGCCACAUCUCCAGCUAUUCAGGGCAGUGCUAGGUGCUCAGACACUUUGCAGCACACAGUACAUGCGCAGCGAUUAAUGUCAUAUAAUAGUCCCAUGUCUGGCCACAUCUCCAGCUAUUCAGGGCAGUGCUAAGCAGCACACAGUACAUGCGCAGCGAUUAAUGGCAUAUAAUAGUCCCACGUCUGGCCACAUCUCCAGCUAUUCAGGGCAGUGCUAAGCGCUCAGACACUUUGUAGCACACAGUACAUGCGCAGCGAUCAAUGUCUGACAUAAGAUGAAAACGCCGCUCUCACAGAGGUUAAGCAGUGUCAGGUCCCCAUUUUUUUGAGAUGCGUAAUGGGACACACCAAGCACCAAAAUAAUUUUGCUUAAUGGAGCAGUUUGGUGUAUAGGUCACGUCCCUGCAAUCUUACAGCUCAGCUCUGCAUGUGCUCCCAUUACAAAAUCACGUAUCACAGCUGGAAUCACAAGGAACAACUGGGAGGUAUCCACUAAACACUAACUUCUAGUAUAACAUUGGAGAAAAAAGAGCAACAUUUGGGCUAACACGGCCAAGCUUGGCUAAUUAUUUGCUGUUUGGUUUUUAGUUUGCUACAAUUCAGGAUUUUAGUGAUUAAAGGAAAACACAACUGUUAAAAGAUACUCUAAUUAUUAUAAAUCCUUAGUAUUUUCCUUUAUUUCCGAGAUUUCCUUACCCCCCCCCUUUUUUUUUUAAAUGAAAACACGUGCACCCACUGUGAGGUCACCAUGCUCGAUGAUCUCAUUAACACCCAGUGUUUCUUGUAGGAAGGCAUUGGGGACCUAGAGAGCAUAUUUGUCUAUUGGCAGACUUCUCAAAGGAGCUUCCCAUAUGUCGCCAUGCUGAGUGUGAUAAUGCCAAGAAGAAAGUCUUAAAGAGGAAAAGCGACUAGUGAUUUCAAACCGGCGACAUUUCUCAUAUAUUGCCACGAUCACCAUGCUCAAUAAAUAAUACAAUUAAGACUGCUUGCCACCUUAUGGUCGGAGCUUGGAUUUUAAAAAUACUAAAAACAAGAGGUAAAAAUGUAACGUUUCAUCUCUGUAUUCAUAAAGUGCACACACAGAUCCAUAAGAAAAUUAAAGACAAAAAUGGUUGUGCACCAAUUUCUCUGUGAAAAAACCCACAUUUCCCAUCUUUUCGGCUCCAUACUGCCUUCUUAUACAAUUGUUUAUUCUGCAAAGUUGUUUAAACAAAAUCUGGCUCGUGCUUUUGCUUUAUACUGGGGUUCAAAUAGACAAUAAAUUCCUCAAACGUCCUUUUAAAACACCUACUACAAGUCAGUGACCCAUUAAUUGUCAUCUUUAAUAAUCAUUGUUUUUUAUGGCAAAAGGAGAUUUAGUAGAGAGAACUUAGAAGGAAAAAAAAAAAACCUCUGCGUAAGAAAUUUCCAACUCCCACAUACCCUCCAGGCUCCAUUAUGUUAAAUCCUGUCCAGAAAUUUCUCCCUCUGCCGAAACCAGUAUGUGGGUCUCUUCACAAAGCUGACUUUAGAAAUUUCGCUGCUCGAACGCUCGUCGGGCUGCUGUGUGAAAUCAUAUGCAAAUUCUCAUUGUAAGCGUUUUUUUUUUCUUUCUCAGUAACUCACCUGACUCAUCUCGAUCUCACCUUGUAUAAAAAUAAUUUAAAAAGAAACAUUCUUUUCAAGAACUCGUCGAAUAUAAUUAAUUCUUUUAUGUGAAGUAGAGCGAGAUUUGCACGCAAGUGGUACGAAGAGCAAAGAAUGUUUCCUUUUAUGACUGUUCAUUGUUCAAGAAGGAUUAGCUAAUAGAAAUAAAAUUAAUACGACUUCUUAGCUCACAUCAGGAUACAAUCUGAUAUUGCGUAGACCCAUUUACCCCUUGUUGUUACCCACUUGGCACCCUGGUGAGGUUACAGGGCUUUCAUGGGGACUCCGCAGAAAGAUUAAUGAAUAGCCAAACGGUUAUCAUAAACCGGUUCUGUUCUCCGCUUGGUUGGAGGGGUUAAGGCUCAGAAUUCAGUGAGAGAUGUUGGCAAUCGCAACUUACUUAGCAUCUGUGUAUAUUGAGCUGAGUGGGCGACGCAUGCAGUAAGCAGUUGUGAAAACCGGUAAAACGAUGAAUAAAUGGACACCCACUUUGUACAGGAGACCCCAGUAGAACGAGAUUACAGCAUGAAGCAUUACACUCUACUGAACACAAACACUAAUUGCAGCUGAUUUCUCAUCUCCUUCUAAAUAAGGCUGCAAAUAGUCAGUUCCUCUGUCAGAGAAGGGCAGGAAUGAUCAGCUAGGAAGAUGAUAUUUAUGUGGGAUAGAGAGAGAACAGAGUAUGAGAAUUGUCAAAUAGGCUGCAUUCCAUCUACACUCGCAAUGAGGUGGAAAAAACACUCACCGAAAAGUUGUCGGUUUGUCUAGUGAUAAACCACAAAGUCUACAAGUUUCAGCUCUCGCUCUUUUUUCUAAAAAUAAAAUAACGCAUGUAUGACAGCCUAUGUGUGUGUGUUUACCGUAAUGUAUGCAUAUAAGUAAAUAUCGUAUUUCUAAACAGCUUUUGGCCUGCCCGUGCCCCAUGGAGACAGCCAUCUUUAAAUCCUUUUUAGUCAGCAGCACCUCUUAUCCAACCAAAGACCAGUCAGAUAAGUGAGAUUAGUGACAUGUGCAAGUGCCAGAUAUCUCCAAACUGUGCUGGGAGAUGGUGUUACGGUCUUUGCAGAUAAGUGGAGCUUUUUCACAAAGAAGAUUUAACGUUGAGUGGCCCCUACAGAGCUCAGGUAUUAAAAAGAGGCAUUUAUUUUUAAAGGGACACUCCACACCCAUAAUACAGUUUAUCUUGCUGAAGUAAUUUAUGUGUGAACAGUGUUACAGAAAGUGUAGAGUUCAAUAAAAUUGGCACUUCUAUUAAUAAACCUUGUUACAGACAGCUGGUCCUGUUACUUCCUGGUUCCGUUAGCUAAUUUGCACUGAAUUCAAGAGGCAGCAACUGCCCAGAGCAUCUGCCUUACAAAGACUUCUCAUUGAGCUGCAUUGGGAAGUCUGUGAUUGGACAGCCACAGAAAGUCUGGGCGGGGUUAGAAGGGGAGGGCUUGCAAAGGCUGCAGACAAGAGAUCUGCAGCUUCUGCAAGCUGUUUUUAUAUAUACCGGUAACUCUGAUGGAAAAAAAAGUAUAAUUAAAUGCAUGCAUAUUUUCAUUUGGGAAUAUCUACUAAACAAUGUAUUUAUUUUGUUGUAUAUGAGCAGUGGAGUGUCAGUGGAGGUUGUGUGCUAGAGCCUAUACAGUCAGACAAUCCAAAGGCCACUAGCCAAGUGUCUGAAGCAAACAGAACGACUAAGCAAAAUGAUAUUGUCAGUUAGGGUUUUAAAUAGGGUCUCAUUUAGGACCAUUACUUCUGCCUUCAUUCUUGUCCUUUUUUGUUACUAUCAUUAGCUGGCAUAGAUGGUUGCCUGGCAACCGAGACACCGGCAAAAAAUUCUAUGGCCUAUCCACUCGAUGUCAUUACCCUCCCACUGCAUCGUGUCACACAGGACUGGGAGGAGACAUUGGUGGAGAUGUUGGUGGAAGGCCCCAGAAGCCUCACCCGGCUUGUGAUGCACUCAUGGGAGUGUGUAGUAAGAGUGCUGGGUAAGAAAGCGGUCAGGGGGACAUUGUCAGGAUUACUGUUUGAUCCAGCACGUAGAACUGUACAGCACGGAUGACAAAUAAGUAACGUAUUACCGGUCCUUAGAAUGGCCGGAUUUAACGUACAAAGAAUAGUCAAAAAUACUAGCCGAGGUCAGGGAACACAGAAAGGGACACAGCGAUGAGGAAAGCCAGGAGUCAGGAUACCAGAAUAUAGAGAAGUCAAUAAACAAAGCCAAAGUCAAAAACCAGGUAGAAAACUAUAAACAGGAACGCGCUCUCGGACAACCACAAGGGAAACCACGACAGGGCACUGAGCAGGCUGAGAACUGGGACUAAAUACCCCUCCUUUAGUUCUGAUAGGCUGUAACCGGCCUUUGACCCCAAAGUCAGUUACCAGGUUUCAUUUGCAUAAUUGCUGCUCAGCAUUAACCCUUCUGUGGAUUAGGUUGCUGCUCGGCACAACUUUUCCUGUGUGGACAGUAAAUGUCAUUAAUCACUUUUCUCUAAGCGGAUGAAUACAUGACACCAGGUUUCAUUUGCACAAUUACUGCUCAGCAUUAACCCUUCUGUGGAUUAGGUUGCUGCUCGGCACAACUUUUCCUGUGUGGACAUUAAAUGUCAUUAACCACAUUUCUAUAAGCGGAUGAAUACGUGACAGACAUUUACUUAAAUAUAUAUAUAUUGUAUUAUAUUACGCAUAUACAUAUAACGUCAUUUAUUAUUUUUAGCAAUAUUAAAAAUUAUAUGAAUUUCAGGUAAAACAGAAACAGUAAGUAGUAAUUACAGCAAAUCCCCUCUAAUGAGUUUCAAAGGUUUCAUAAAAUGUCUUUAUCCAUGACAAAUUAUUUAAACCCUGAAGUCAAGUGAAACUUUGGGUUGGAAGUCCUUUCAGACAGUUAGUGGAUUUGUGAUGUCGGAGUCGGGCGUUAUAUGUGGGAGAAUGAAGGGUUCUCCGGAUGCCCACACCUAGGGGUUAAUACUUUGUCAGCAUGGAUAAGAAGCCGUUUCUUACUACAAACGAAGGUUUAACACACAGGGUUACAUCAGGAAAUUAGAGAGAGCUCAGAAUCAGCUAUGAUGGUAGAAAUAAUCUAAUCUAAAAUAAAUUAUAACAAUAUAUCAAAUAAUAUCACAAUAUUACUGAAAUCAAAUAUUUUCCAAGAUAAUAAAUCCUUUGGAAAACGUUUCCAACCGUAUUAAAUCGGUGCCGUGGUCCCCUGAGUCCUGGGCUUCUGUAUCACCAGGUUCAAGAAUUAGAUGUGGAUCCAGCAAUGAAUUGUAUGGCUAUAGCCUACGGCAUUUAUCGGGGGAAUAUUUUGUGCCCAAUUUGAAAGCAUAACAGUCCUCAUUCCUUAAUGGAUCUUAUAGUUGUAAUGGUAGAUAAUUUAGGUCCUUCUUGUUGAAGCCAUUUGUUAAUUCUUUGUCCGAGCCUUUGAAUGGAUGCUGAGUUUUGCUCUGGGCUUUGUGGAUUUUCUGCUCCAGUAAUUGUGGCAUCGAAGCCAAUAGAUGCUGUAGAUCUCACUAUUCCGGGCCGUUCUCUCUGAGCCAUUCAACAUUAGAGUCGAGGCAAAGUUAUGGCAAAAAUAUUAUUUACUAACUUUCCUUCGAUUCCAAUCAGUAAAAGGUUCUAACUGCAGUGCAAGCGCUCCUUACAAAAUAUACCAUUUACUAUUCACUAAAUUAAAAUAAAAAGCCCCCUUUUUAAGAGAAAUGCUAUUAAAAUUAACCCUUUCAGUAUCAUGCGUUAUUAAUUUACUUUCACUUUCAGGACGACAUAGAACAGUGCUUUGUGCUGCAUUCGGUACAUUGCUGUGUGACCAUGUGCACAUCACGGGGUCUCAUAGACCUCAGCGUGACUUUUUUAAUAAUUUUUUUACCUUUAUUUAUUUAUUUUUUACCUUUUUGUUAUAUAUUUUAUUUUACUUUUGUUAGUAUUAUUGACAUGAAAUAUCAUUGUUUGCAUAUAAUAUAAUAAUUUGCAGAUUUCCACCAGUUAUUUUUCCAGCGUAGUUAAUGCUUACGCUGGGAAAAAAGAUCUACGCUGGGAAAAAAAGCUCGGUUUUAUACUGCCUCUGAGAUAGUAAAUAUCAAGAAUCUUUAAACUGACUUCCUAGCAUAACUGAUUUCUGCAUUCUACUUGUGUUCGACGUGCAUGUAUCUAUAACUAGGAAUGUACAUACAAUCUAUACACACUAUCACGCAUACAUCGACGUGCAUGUAUCUAUAUCUAGGAAUGUACAUACAAUCUAUACACACUAUCACGCAUACAUCGACGUGCAUGUAUCUAUAUCUAGGAAUGUACAUACAAUCUAUACACACUAUCACGCAUACAUCGACGUGAAUGUAUCUAUAUCUAGGAAUGUACAUACAAUCUAUACACACUAUCACGCAUACAUCGACAUGAAUGUAUCUAUAUCUAGCAAUGUACAUCCAAUCUAUACACACUAUCACGCAUACAUCGACACAAAUGUAUCUAUAUCUAGGAAUGUACAUACAAUACUAUACACACUGUAUCUAGGAAUGUACAUACAAUCUAUACACACUGUCACGCAUGCAUCGACACGAAUGUAUCUAUAUCUAGGAAUGUACAUACAAUCUAUACACACUGUCACGCAUGCAUCGACACGAAUGUAUCUAUAUCUAGGAAUGUACAUACAAUCUAUACACACUGUCACGCAUGCAUCGACACGAAUGUAUCUAUAUCUAGGAAUGUACAUACAAUCUAUACACACUGUCACGCAUGCAUCGACACGAAUGUAUCUAUAUCUAGGAAUGUACAUACAAUCUAUACACACUGUCACGCAUGCAUCGACACGAAUGUAUCUAUAUCUACAUGCAUACAUCGACACAAAUGUAUCUAUAUCUAGGAAUGUACAUACAAUCUAUACACACUGUCACGCAUACAUCGACACGAAUGUAUCUAUAUCUAGGAAUGUACAUACAAUCUAUACACACUAUCACGCAUACAUCGACAUGAAUGUAUCUAUAUCUAGGAAUGUACAUACAAUCUAUACACACUGUCACGCAUACAAUCGACAUGAAUGUAUCUAUAUCUAGGAAUGUACAUACAAUCUAUACACACUAUCACGCAUAUAUCGACAUGAAUGUAUCUAUAUCUAGGAAUGUACAUACAAUCUAUACACACUAUCACGCAUGCACUCUCUGAUAACAUGAUGUAUAUGUAAUAGUCAUUUGAAAAAGACUGUGCACAUGAUUCAUACCAUAAUAUCACAGUUGCAAAUAAAUAUAAAAUAUUUAUUUUUGAAAAUAGAAAAGCAAUGUUAGUGGUAAAGGCAUCAGUUCAAUUAGCAUCCAGUUUUUCGAACUGAAAUAGAUAGAAAUCAAUAUUUCAUAUCUUCGAAGGAUCAGGUUAUAUCAGUUAUUUUCUAAGAAUGGUGAAUCGUUUAAGUUAUCUUCCUUGGAAUUUAAAAAUUCCUCUGAAGUGAUCCCCUUUUCACAUUGAUGGGGGUCCAGCGGGGUACCCUCAUUCUCACACUCCAGGUUUGGCAGAACUAUGCUUAAACAAUGGGAACAUUGUUGCUUGUACCGGCACCACAUGCUGCGGAAUUGGGUCGGUAACCAUGAGGCACCCAUAAUGCUCAGGAGUAAUGUAGUCCACAGCUUCUAGAGAGCUGAAGGUCGCCUAUCCCGGAUUUAGGCUGUGGGGGUGAGCUCUUUCUAUGGAUCUUAGGAUAAUAUGUGGUUGUUGGCAGAAACUGUAUGUGCAAGCAUGUCAGUAACACAGUAAGUAAUGUUACCGUAUAGGACGGUGGUGCUUAUUCAGAACAAGGACUUGUGGUGAUUCACCCGAGGCAGGAGAUUGUGUGAUUGGGAGAGGCUUUCAUUUCCCACUUCAUUUCAUUCCUGUUUGAGGACAGUAAAAUGCACAGUCAGCGAUCCUCAGAUUCCCAUGAAGAAAUAUGGUUUGCCCCUUCCAUGCCUGCAAGUCAGCAAUGGGCAUGUAUUAAACAAGGUGCCUUCUCCCCGUGUCACACUCAGCAUAUGUCACUAUAAGAUAUUGUGCCUGUAGCACUUCAGUGAGUUGGGAAGGUGAAGGUUAGUGGGAUUUCCAUCAAUAUAUCUUUUAAUGAUCUUUAGAAAGCCAUUGAUUUGGUCUGAAGUGGAAGGCAUGCGUUCUCCUUGCCUUGUUACCUCUCAUCCUAUAAUGUAAUAUAUUACUCAGUGUCCUAAAACCUUUUUAUCUCUGCAGUGACCUUCUCAGUUCCAGAAUCAGUUCUGCCGUAGUACAAUCAUACCUACUUCAAGAAAAAUCUUCUUUUAAAGGGACACAGAAAGCAAUAUCACUGCAGAUGGGCCAGUAUUAACAUGUAACCUACACAUUAUGGGGAAAAAUACAAAACGCUGCAGACACCAAAAAUAGUGCAAAAGAGAGAAAAAAAUCUGUAAUGCGCAGCAAGGCUCUGUCUCUGCAGGAACACUAAAUAAGAUCAGGGUAAAUUCCCUUUAUCCCAAUUAAAACGAUAUGUGGCUCAGUCAUACAGGGCGGAGUAAAAUGACCACCACUGACGCGUUUUGAGCCUACAGCACUUAAUGAGAUAGUCUCUGAUUCGUGGGCACUACACAUUAAGCUGUAUAUACUAUACAUUAAGCUAUAUAUACUAUAUAUUAAGCUAUAUACUAUACAUUAAACUAUAUAUUAUACAUUAAGCUAUAUACUAUACAUUGAGCUGUAUACUACACAUUAAGCUAUAUACUAUAUAUUAAGCUGUAUACCGUACAUUAAGCUGUAUACUAUACAUUACGCUAUAUACUACACAUUGAGCUGUAUACUAUACAUUAAGCUGUAUACCGUACAUUAAGCUGUAUAUUAUACAUUAAGCUGUAUACCGUGCAUUAAGCUGUAUACCAUACAUUAAAGGACCACUAUAGUGCCAGGAAAACAAAUUAAUUUUCCUGGCACUAUAGUACCCCCCUCCCGCCGGGAUGAAGUUGGAGGGGGUUAAACACUUACACACUUACCUUCCUCCAGUUCCCUCGGCGCUGGGUACUCUCCUCCUCCUUCCAACGUCAUCAGGUGAAUGCGCAUGUGCGGCAAGAGCCAUGCACGCAUUCAGCCAGUCCAUAAAAGCAUUCUCAAUGCUUUCCUAUGGACGCUGGCGUCUUCUCACUGUGAAAAUCAUACCGUCCAUUAAGCUGUAUACUGUACAUUAAGCUGUAUAUUGUACAUUAAGCUGUAUACCGUACAUCAAGCUGUAUACCAUAUAUUAGGCUGUAUACCGUACAAUACGCUGUAUACCGUACAUUAGGCUGUAUACCAUACAAUAAGCUUUAUACCGUACAAUACACUGUAUACCGUACAUUAGGCUGUAUAGGUGACAGUCACUAGAUGUGAUUCCUAGUAAUGUAGGUAUGACGGCAUUGACGUCCCCAUAGAGAUAUGCUGAUUCAGUGCCUCGCUAUGAGGAGAUGCUGAUUGGCCAGCCCUGCAUUUUGCUGCACACUAUCCUCCCAUUGCUUCUCUACGGGAAAUGAUUGGAUUGUCUAGCAUCAUCAAGAAUGAUAAUCUCAGCCAUGAAGGUGGAGCCAAAAAGGGCCAGCUACAGCAUGGGAAAAAAGAGGAGUCUGAAUGGUUUACUUUUUUACUGAAAAGGGGGCUGGGGACCUAGAUAGUUUUUGUUCCUGACACUAUAGGGUUCCUUUAAAAACUGAGAAAUUCCACGCAUAGUGGGGAUUAUAAAUGCCGAAUAUACGAGCACUAGAUUUUCCUGUAGGCUUUAUUACUCUUCCAUCUUUGGAGGUAGGAUACAAACCGUGCAGGAGGAGGAGUAACAUAAGACGCAAGCGGCACUGAAUUGUACUUUUAGUUGGUGGACAACAAGUGGAACGUCUGUGGCUUGUAAAUUAAAAAAAAAGGACUUAAACAUACUGUGUGAUCUACUGGUCAAUGAACAGCAGUAACAAAGUGUCUCUGGCUCGUACUCGGAAUUGAGGCACAGAUAUGGCACAGGACAUCAUCAUCAUUUUUGAGCAAAGAAGUCACUUUUUUGAAAUGAAAUUUACCCAGUUUUGCACAGACUCUUUCUAUCCUCACUCGUUUGGAGGUGACGUAUUGUACUCUGCAAAGCAUCUCACGUUUCGCAGCAUUACAAAUUAUGUGCUUUUAAGUUUCUGCACAGAUGCCGUGUGAAUACUUCACUGCUUAACACAUAUAACUCUGUAGCAAUGUUAUUACAUCCAUAAGGAAUCAGAUUAUAUUAACUAUCAAAACCAAACCUAUUGUCUGUCAAGCCAAACGGCCUGCGAAGCGUGAACAGCUGUUACAAUCUAGUAGCCGUCUUUGUAUAAUAAUAAAACAACGAGCAAAGUGCUGAUAACGCAACUGUUCCAAAGCACUUGGUGGUGAUUUGGGGAUAACACUAAUUCCUGCAUGAAUAUCUCAGCAUUCCGGCAGCCUACACUGAGCUAUAUUAAUAAUCAAUUCGCUGGAAUAUUAAUACUUUAUAAGAUACACCUGGAAGGCACCCGCUCUUAGUGUUAAUGCUACAUUGGGCGCCCAAAGCCUUCUACAUCAGAUACAUAUUUUCCUGUUGUUUGCCAUUAUACUCCCUACUGUUAAAGAGGUUAAUUAACACUUUUCUCAUGGAGUGAGGCCUGUGUGUUUAAAUCUAACGGAACUAGUACUGAGGUCAAUUCUGCAAAACCAUUUACUACGAUGAUUCACUAAAGUGAGAAUCCCAAAUUAAUUCAAGUGAAUUUUAAAUUAAAGUACAAAGUAGCCAAAUUGGACAUUUUCCCCAAAUCAGCUGUGUUUUUAGUUUGGCUAUUCUGGUCUUAAAUUUAACAUUUUCUAUAAUUUCCUGGGUCAGUGAUCAAGCAUUGAUGUCAGAGCUCGGGCAUUGAUAUCCAUUUGGGUCAGAGUUCGGGCAUUGAUUGCAGUCUGGGUCAGAGCUCGGGCAUUGAAAUCCGUCUGGGUCAGAGAUCGGGCAUCAAUGGAAGUCUGGGUCAGGGAUCGGCAUUGAUGGCAGACUGGGUCAGAGAUCGGGCAUCAAUGGCAGUCUGGGUCAGAGAUCAGGCAUUGCUGUAGAUUUGGGUCAGAGCUGGGGCAUUGAUGGCAGUCUGGGUCAGAGCUCGGGCAUCGAUGGUAGUCUGGGUCAGAGCUCGGGCAUCGAUGGUAGUCUGGGUCAGAGCUCGGACAUCGAUGGCAGUCUGGGUCAGAGCUCGGACAUCGAUGGCAGUCCGGGUGAGAGAUCGGGCAUCGAUGGCAGUCUGGGUCAGAGCUCAGGCAUCGAUGGCAGACUGGGUCAGAGAUCGCGCAUCGAUGGCAGUCCGGGUCAGAGAUCGGGCAUCGAUGGCAGUCUGGGUCAGAGAUCAGGCAUUGCUGUAGAUUUGGGUCAGAGCUCGGGCAUCAAUGGCAGUCUGGGUCAGAGCUCGGGCAUUGAUGGCAGACUGGGUCAGAGAUCGGGCAUCGAUGGCCGUCUGGGUCAGAGAUCGGGCAUCAAUGGCAGUCUGGGUCAGAGAUUGGGCAUUGCUGUAAAUUUGGGUCAGAGCUCGGGCAUCGAUGGCAGUCUGGGUCAAAGCUCGGGCCUCGAUGGCAGCCUGGGUCAGAGAUCGGGCAUCGAUGGUAGUCUGGGUCAGAGCUCGGGCAUCGAUGGCAGUCUGGGUCAGAGCUCGGGCAUCGAUGGCAGUCUGGGUGAGAGAUCGGGCAUCGAUGGCAGUCUGGGUCAGAGCUCGGGCAUCGAUGGCAGACUGGGUCAGAGAUCGCGCAUCGAUGGCAGUCCGGGUCAGAGAUCGGGCAUCGAUGGCAGUCUGGGUCAGAGAUCAGGCAUUGCUGUAGAUUUGGGUCAGAGCUCGGGCAUCAAUGGCAGUCUGGGUCAGAGCUCGGGCAUCGAUGGCAGACUGGGUCAGAGAUCGGGCAUCGAUUGCCGUCUGGGUCAGAGAUCGGGCAUCAAUGGCAGUCUGGGUCAGAGAUUGGGCAUUGCUGUAAAUUUGGGUCAGAGCUCGGGCAUCGAUGGCAGUCUGGGUCAAAGCUCGGGCCUCGAUGGCAGCCUGGGUCAGGCCUUCCUUAGAGCUUCCUUAUAUGCCCAGUAUUAGACACAGAGCUCCCAUUCGGGAUUGGAUUGUGUAGAUCUCAGAUAAACCUUAGAUAUAAACAGUUUGUUUGUCUGUGUGUUUUUCAGUGCAAUAAGUUACGGCGUGCAGGCUAGUUAGUAAGGCCGUGGCUCUUGUUAAAGGAGGUCGUUUUCCCCUCUCUGUGGGUGGUGUAAGCUGCCUGUAGCCAAUCAUUAUGAAGAUGAAUGACGGUUAAUCGAGUAGAUAAAGACAGAGCUUAAUCUAAGGGUCUCCGCAUGCACUGAAUUAGACAUUACCAGCCGUCCGGGACAUGAACGAGCAGAGUUCAGUAAUAAAGGGAAUCCAGUCGCUCUGGACUAUGAUUCCCAUUAAUACUCAGCCAGCUUUGCGAUUCACGAAUGACGUGAGGCUGUGGAGAUCCAGUGAGAUGUAUAGACCAUCAUCCUGUGAGGUUUUUCUAUACUGUCGUGUUUUGUUUGAGAAAGUAUGUCUAUAUCGUCUUUUCUUCUGUCAUUGUAGGGUCUUUGCCAUUUUCAGGUAAUAGUAAUUUAUGUGCAACUCUGCGAGCUAUUUCACCUUAAUUUCUGUCUUUAUAAACUUGAUCUGAGACACAGAUAGAAAUAUAUAUUUAUACAUUUAUAAAUUAAAAAAACAAACAAUCAGAAUAUCUUGUAAUAUCUGCCAUAGUCGACUAACAGAGUUUUGGAACAACAAGCUCUCUGGAGAUCUCCCUUCAUCACGUCUGAAACAAUUCCGAUUAAAUUCUGUUACAAGAUACUUCAACUAUUAUUUUACAUCAUUAUCAUCAGACUAAAUAAUUAAACUUCAUUAUAUAGAACUUUUAUUUUUCUUUAUUUAUAUUCUCUGAAAACUGAAAUUUGCCAAAAUCUCCAUAUUUUGCCUAUACAGCUCAGCAGAAUAUAUCAAUAUUUUAUAAAUAAAAAUUAUUGCGAUGUAAAAGAGAAGUGAAAUCCACCAGAAACCAAGUGAAAUUCGUGAUUUUUAACCAUUCCUACAUUAAAACUUUUUUGGGGCGGGGAGAAACCAAACCCGACAGAAUCGAGCCAAAUUUUUAUAAACCCUUUGACAGAGCCUCUUUAAGUUACUCUUUUGAAAAGGAGCUCAUUUAGAGAAUAGAUUUGUGAAGGUUCUAGAAUAUGCCCAUUUUUACUUGGAACAUAUCUGAUGACUAUAUUUAAUGAGCCGUGUGAUUGUCUAAUUUAAUAUGCCGAGCGUGUGCCUACUUUUCCCCUGUUUGACCUUCGGGAAUAGAUGCUCAGGGAUAAAAAUUAAACUGAAGCUUUACUUGUGCCCCUCAUUCACAAACAAUUGAAUUCCUCCAUCGGAAUAUUUCACUUUUUGGUCAAUAUUUGGUCAAUACUGUGCACCACCAUUUCCCACUGUUUUAUAUAUUUUUAAUGAGAAAUGUUUUACUGUAUUUACCUGGCAGUAUCAAUAUAUAUUUUAAGAUAUGUUUUAGUGAUCAUUUAAAGUUUAUUAUUCUUUGAUGAAUGAGCAGCUAUUCUGAUGCAAGGAGAAUGAUCGACACCAGUGGUAAGAACACCCCAGGAAGAGGCCGGCUGUGCGUUAGGUCAGAGAAGGCACCUGUUUGCAUGGGCGACAGGUGAAUACUAUUCCCAAAUACUGUGUCCGGGGAGGGGAGAAUGAAGGAGGCCGCGAGGCAGCUGUAAUCUUCAUGAUCUGUGAUGAUGCCGGGAGCCGGGUUACAAUGUCACUCUGGAUCACUAAGCAAAACCUGAGGGAGCAGAGCAAGAAGACUGCACACCAGUCCCAGGCGGUCAGUUUUUUAAUUGUCUCAUAUAUUGUUAAAUUUCCCCAUUUAUAACGUACAGCGCUGCGGACUAGGUUGGCGCCAUAUAAAUGCCAAUAAUAAUAAUAGUAAAUAAUAACAAUGAGCUAAACCCUGCAGAGAGCUCACCGCAGUUUGACAGACCCCAACUGUUAGCAAGGAGUUUGACUACUUACUUUGGGGGCAUCUGGGAACUCCUGGCACCAUAACCACUAUAUAAUGUUUUGGUUAUGUUGGUGCUUUGAGCGGUCCUUUAAAUAUUUACACAACAUAAGUAGAAAAGUUAUCCACUUGAGCAGCAAUGAAGGAAGGAAGCAAACAUUACAUAUCUGUAACCACAUUGUGUGAAUGCUGCCCUCACAGAGCCGGUCCGCGUACUUGGAUCGCUCUUGGCUUUGUUUUUUGUUUUCAAUGACACACAGACGAAGCAGAGCUUUUUUCAGCAUUGGUUUACUUCCAAAAUGUGCAGACUACUCGGGAAAAUAUCUGAAUAGAUUGUUGCAUUAUAAAUGAAAAUAUAAUCUCACUGUGCAAUGCUACCUGCGUCCUGGGACCCGAGAUUUGAACAAGAAUUGACAAUAUUACAGCCUACCCAACUUAUCGAUAUGAUUAUAUUUCUAACGAGGACUCUUUGAGCAGCAUUUAUACUAAAUACUGGGUCCCAGAUACUCAUCGGUAAAUUGCCCCGUGUCCGUCAAUUGUGUCUUUUGGUGGUGAGGUCUCUAGGAGCACACAUGGAGUGCUGAAAGAAUUAAUUGACACACUUAACAGUGAAUUCAAUAACAAAAACAGUUUUUGUAAUGCCCCCGGUGUAAGGCUGGCAAUAUUGAAUUGCUACUGUCCCGGCCUCUGAUGUAUUGGAUAUUUUUCUCUUCAGUAAUAUUGUGGAAAUGGCACAGACAGAAUAAAAUAACCUACAUAGAGAUAUUGCUAAAUUAAGCAUAAAACAACCUUCCUUUAUAAAACUAAUGAAUAAAAAGCUGGACUUUCAUUAACAAUAUCUCUGUCACUUAGACUGGGCUAAAUAGCAAUGCCUAUAGAAUAUUUUUUCAUUCCAAUUAAACUAUUAACUCGAAGCUAUUCAAGGAGAACAAGUGGACGUCUUCUGAUCCAGUGUUGGCAUUCAGCUACCUGAGACCCAUUGCGUCAGUGAUUGAGAGUAAAACAUAACACGCCGCUCUCUGCACUUUGAUCACAGCAGUUGGACGGAGAACUCACUAAUAUUACUGAGACCUUCUGUAUAUAAUAACCAGACAAUAUAGCUUGGUGUGAUCAAAGACAGGUCUCACUGGGCAGCAUAAUGCAGAAGAAGCUGACUUUGCCAAACCACUACAAAGGACUUACGUUGUCAAGAGUGGCCAGGGACAUUCUCGUUGAGAUUUAAAGAUAUAAAACCUUUCAUAUUUUUAUUUGCAGAGUGAAGACAAACACAUUGCAAUUUUUCUCUUGUUUUGAAUCAUUCUGGAGACAUGAGCAAGUGACAUCAUAAAUUAGCACUUCUAUAGUAAAUGUAUACUUUUAUAAACAUUGAAGAAUAGUUUAAAGUCUGCGUUUCAAACCGUUUUUAUCCCCAAAUCUAAUAACCUUUUAAAAGUCGAACUCUUUAUAGCCCUCAGUUUAUUGAUCCAAUGGGAAACUUGUCCUGCUACAGGGUGACUUGGAAAUCGGUUUAAUUUGUUUAGGAAUCUUGACUGUUGGAUUGACAGCUGUGUCAGUCACUGAUAAUACAAGAAGCACUCGCAGUGAUUACAAUUUGAGGUUUUGGGGUAUUUUACUUUGUAUGACAGUGCUAGAGAGAGACGUGUGUACACGUUGUAUCUAAUCUCUUCAUUUUACAUUUUGGGCAGGUACAACGUGUUAAGCUCAUUGCUAAAUUUGUUUCAGGAGUGUACAUUAUACAGAUUUAUAUGAAAAUAAUUCCGAAAAUACCCAACAAGAUUUAUCAUUAGGGAAAAAAAAAAACCCACAGGUUUAUUCUCUGAAGUAUAAGCAGUUGUAAAUUUAAAGGGGCACUCCAGACAUUAAAACAUUUAUCUUAAAGGGAAACUAUAGCUUCCCUCACUGUCAAGGCGCCCUCCUGCAGCGUUGAAGAGGUUAAUAACCCCUUCAGUCACUUACCUGGGUACAGCGCUGAUGUCCUCGGCGCUGGCUCAGCUCCGCCCACGCUCCUCCCCUGCUGGCUGAAAUUCUUGUAAUCCUUGAAUAUCAGUUUACAAACAAUAUUACUGUUAUUUCAUGCGUUAGCCGUGCAGCUCUUAUGCUAUAUUCGACCAUUGACCCGUUAUAUUGGUUCAAUGUCUCUGUAUUUUUACCCUGCAUAUAGGCAGAUGACAUUUUUAUUUACCGGUUAAUAUUGCACGUAGGGCCUUUUAUAAACAGGACCAGAACUUCUGCUCCAAAUAAUGGAAACACGUUAUAUCCAGAGUAACUUGCUGUAUCAAAAGAUUUAAUGAUGGGUGCUCUCCAAACCCUUAUAUCGGUCAAUCUGCUGCUAAUUAGGUAUAUCAAUAAAAAUGGAGUCAGGAAAGAUACACUUUCUUUGAAGGUAAUUAAGCUACUCUGGUAUUGUAGAGGACCUGUCAUAUCUCAGAAUAUUUUAUAUUGUUCUCACGUGUCCACUGCAUUUAACAAAGUGUGUGUGAGGUGUAAAAAAUCUAAUUAAAUAUAGAAAUUCACACCAAUACUUUUAGCUCAAAACUGAAAGUGGGUGUCUUCAUCUUGGCUUGCUCUAAAUGAUUAGUCUGUUCUCUCAUUGAACAUAGGAAGUUGGAGAAUAAACAAUGGGGUGAAUUUGCCCACAUUUUAGUACUUUAGACAUUUCUCCUUCCAUCUCCAGAUCAACGUGUGCCCAGUGCGUGCCAGGACUGAACUGGAUUGUGACAUCAGUUCCUAAAUGUUUACUAUAAAUUGAAAAGAAAAUGGAGAAUUGUGGGGGAAAUAAAAGGUUAACAGAAGUCGCAGGUCACUUUCAAUGUUUUGUAAAGCGUUGGCUCCUAAUUAAUUUAAGAGUUUCGCUCGGCGUGCUAGGAGUUCUCUUUACAAUAGAAGCUGUGAAGACCAGCGAUGUAACCGCUUGUUUUUAAAUCAUUUAUUGAUUUAACACUCUCGCCGUUUGAAUCUGCAAUAUCAACCUACAUUAUUUUUUUUGGCAACAACUAAACACAAGACACAAAUGCAUCGAUUGGUCUUUCACCUAGUUGUCCGCAUUUAUCGUGUGACUUCCAAAGAAUUAAAUCAAAUUGGCCUUGCAGUAAUAGUUUCUUCGUGUUCAAAAGGCAGUGCUCGGGUCCGUGGUCCAUUUUCUAGUCAAUCACACGUUUGUAGCAGCAGAGUAGGCUUUUUCCUGGGAAGAUGUGCUGUGACAUUCAAUCACAGUACACACAGGCGCAUGGAGGUAGAAAGUUAGCUUUUCUGUAUAAUUGGGCCCAAUUUUCAGUGUGAUGCAUACAGUACAGCUGGUGUUAUUUCUGUCUGCUCAUGUAAAAUUCCAGAGUUGGAAGCUUGUUUAAAGAAUCCAAAGCGAGUUAAAGAACAAAGCUCUCGUGCAAUGUGUGAACUUCAGCAGCAGUGUCAACCAACAGCUCCAAGUGUGCUACAGAACUAAAAAACCUUGUUUUGAGGCAAACAAGUGGCCGCCAUUUUCCACCAAAUGGGGAAGUGUGGUAAAAUAUGGAAAAGCUAAGGGUUUUCCUGUGUUUUUCAGCAUUUCCAUGGCAAAAAUGUGACUGCCGAUUUCUAUCACCUAACGAUGGGCUAGAAUUCUCUUAAAAUGAUUUUGGUGACAGACGUGACAAUUCCUUGUUUUGUAGUGAUGUAAGUUACAUUCCACACCUCCCAACAUCGGGAGCUAUAAAAUUGGGUCGAAUGAGAACGCCUUCAAGGGAUGUCACUGGUUACCCAACUUGCCGGCCCAUCAAGCACUCAGAGUCCUCCAGAAAAUCUUACAUACAAUAUUAUAAUGUGGGAUUCAUGGAAUAUUCAUGUCUACGCAGUCUGUCAGGUGUUACAUUUUAAGGAAGGAGGCCCGCGGGAGCCCUGCUCAUCUGGCACGCAGCGACCGGAGAGAUAUCGCCAGCCGAAAGGAAACACAAUAUCUGCCUUCCAAAGUAAUGGGAGCAUUUAAUAGGACUGUAACAAUCUAUAUGUACCUGGACAUGUCAUAACAUCUACAUUUUAUUAAAAUAAUCUAAGCAUGGCAACGGAUGUAUUUACAUUUUUUAAUAGUAAUGCUCCAUUAAGCGGCUGUAAUUUCAGUGCUGGAAUCCCCUCAUGUUUUCCAUCGAGCAGUUAACAGAACACACGCUUGUUGCUCUAUUUUAGAUGCUUUGUUUGUGGGUUUUUAAUGCCAGCUAUUCAUAGAGGCUGCUAUAAUUUCCAUCUGCCAGUUUGAGGAGUUAAUCAACAGUGCCGCACCGUCCCUUCCAGCCACCGACUCGUUUAUUACUUGUGGAUCUGCUGGCAAAAUGGUUAAAUAGCCCGGCCUUUGUUUGGCUGCUGCAGUGCUAGCUGUUAUUUGUCAGGGCUUAAACCUUGCGUUGCUCAGCGCUCCGGAGUUUAGCGGUUUUGGAUUUUGUUGUAAACCUCUUAGAUAUGAUAUGCGCAAUCCUCUUACACACAAAUUCCUUGUAGCAACUGACAGAACAUAAUGGAAGUCUAAACAGCUAGACAAAUAAAACUGUCAGAUGGGGUAAUGGCUGCUAAAAUCACCACUACAUUUUGUGUCGGCGGCGCAUUAGCAUGCAGGUACAUUAUUCUGCGCCGGGACAGUCCUUCCUCCGGAGUAGGGCAGAGAGAGCAUCUGCUGAAGUGUCAUCUCAUACUUACAGGAUAUAGAUCUGCGCUGCUGUGAUUCAAAGUCAGGAGUGUUUAAUUAGUGCCACGUUCCGGGAGCAGAGGCAGGAUACAUCCACCUCCUACUGCAAAUAAUGUCCUGGCUUCGUGUCACUGAGAUGAUUCUCCUGUAUAUACAGAGGUGGCCACACUCAGUGUCACUAAUUCUUUUAUUCUACAAUAUUCCUGGACAAACGCCCUUCCCACCAACGCCCCCGCUACAUGCAUCAAUAGCAGAUACUGUCUGGUUGUUGAUAAUUUAUUUCUGGAAGGAAUACUAUAAGGUGGACACAUUGUUUAUAUGAUAAAAUACUGUUAGUGAAUGACUGGAUCAACACCAAAGGAUAACAAUUGAAAUGUUACCAUUUUAUGACUUCCCAUUCUUUAUCAGUUAUUAAUGGAAAUGAACCCUCCUGUCCCGAGUAAUGGGGUACAUUAUCUAUUGAUAUUGCUAAUCUUAGGGCUCCGUUAUCAUCUUAUAACCUGUUUUGUAAUAUUCACUUUUUUUUUUGUUACUUGUUCAUUGUUUUAUUUAUAUUUUGAUUGAAAAAUCUGCUGCCUCCUGAAAGGCCAAAAUGUGCCAUUGAAAAUAAUGAACCUUUCCCAUAAUGCUCGAGUUCUUGAGUCUAGUAUAAUGAAAUGAUGUCAGCAUUAACAUAAAUGACCUGAUUUUAUGAAUUAUCUAACAACUUUCAGUAAAUUAAAGAGAUUUAUUCACUAAGCACCAAAUGAUGAGGUGAACAAGCUGCACAUUGUAAUUAUGGAUUAUGUUCGCUAUUAUAUUCGGUUUUAUGUUACCAAAGUUGACCGACCGCUAGCACUGAUUUCAUGGAACUAUUUUGGGCUUAAGCCACAUGUGCGGCCGGUCAAAAAUGGGACUUCCAUGGAAACCCUGAACCGAUCUGGGUGGUUUUGGGAUAUGUUGGUCACCCAGAUCGGGGCUAUCAGGGGAUGUGAAUUUUGUGGGGGUUUUCGUGUAUUUUAUGUGUAUUUUGGGUUGUUUAUAAAUUGUUAUAUUUUCUGUCCCUGAGAGAUAAUUAAAUUAUAAGUGUUAGCUCAUGUAAUUAUCUCUCAGGCACAGAGGAUCCUGGGAUGGAUUUCCCUGUAAUGUUGGAUUGAAAACCCUUUGUACGGGCUAUUGUAUAAAAGCAGGCCAUCAGGCCAGAUUAAAGCAUUCCAAUUUGUAAUCCCAGAAUUAUGUGUCGUCUAGUUACUAGGUGGGGAGAAGGAUAAUCACUGUUCCAGCUUGUUCCAACACGGAGGACUCAGCAGGUAAAGACCUUGUAAGGACUAGAGCUCCCAGGACUGUGUGAUGUCCAGUCCCUGAGAGUGGAUAGAGCUAGUCCCCUAUUAGGCUCCAGGACAGAGAGGUUCCAGGACCCCAGUCAAGCCACGGCGACUGGGGACAUAAGCGCUGAGGUUUUUCCCUUGUUCCAGCUAGGAAGCGGUCCUUGGCGGAGGUACUCAGCUGGGGUACAGGGAGCUCCGUUACAACUAUUUUGAGUAAAUAUAUCCCAAUGUCUCAAUUGAUGUCAAAGAUGACACUACACAGUGAAAUUCUAUUAUCUGAAAGGAUCAUGGGUAAUAUAAUCUAAACCUUUUGAGAAGGGACUCGUGAGCCCAAAAAUUACUUUAUAAAAUGAAAAAUUAUAAAACAUGAGUAAUCGCUGUUAGGCCAUGUAUUUAAAUGUUCAUAUCUGUGAAAUGUCCUGCUUAUACAUUCUAAAUGUGUGAAUAUUUAGCGUUUUGCCACAUAGAAUAAGAUUUCUUCACAGCAACCAGACAUUCCCACAUCUGGCAAAAUUCAGAUACUGUAAUUGCAAUGUCAUUUUUGGAAACAACGACAGGGUUGGAUUUUUCUUCCUUGAUUUUCUAACUAAUUGAUCGUUUUCCUUUCCAGGAAUAAUUUAACGAGAACGCAUCAUUUACCAGACUAUCAUCACUGACAAACUGCGGU
rnacentral:lncRNA from 1 species